ACUUGAAAAGUUUAUCUACGAAGAAAGAUCCAAAAAUGUUCGCCAAUUGGGUUGGCCAAUAUUGUACAAAAUUGCACUAGGCAUAGCUCGAGGAUUGGAGUACUUGCAUCGUGGUUGUAUCACUCGGAUAUUGCAUUUUGAUAUAAAACCUCAUAAUAUCCUCCUUGAUGAAGAUUUUUGUCCUAAGAUCUCCGACUUUGGUCUUGCCAAACUUUGUGUUAAAAAGGAGAGCAUUGUAUCAAUGUUAGGUGCACGAGGAACCAGCGGUUAUAUCGCUCCAGAAAUUGUUUGCAGAAAUUUGGGAGGUGUCUCUCACAAGUCUGACGUCUAUAGCUACGGAAUGAUGGUCCUAGAGAUGGUUGGAGGAAGAAAAAAUGUUGACGCUGGAGCUGAUCGCACGAGUGAGAUCUACUUUCCACAUUGGCUCUAUCGACGAAUUGAACAAGAUGAAGAGCUUCAACUAAUUGGGAUAAUGAAUGAAGAGGAGAAGGAAUACGCAAAAAAGAUGGUGAUGGUUAGUUUGUGCUGCAUACAAACCGAUCCCUUAAAUCGACCAUCCAUGACUAAGGUUAUGGAGAUGUCAGAAGGAAACCUAGACUCCAUGCAAAUUCCUCCCAAGCCUUACCUAUAUACAUCUUCAAGAACCGAGGUAGAUUCAUCAGCAGUAGAACUGGCCUACUCUUUAUCUGCUGUUCUGUCAGCUGUUAUUUUGUUGUGAACUUUCAGCAAAAGCUGGUAUUGUUGCCUCUAUCUUCGUCGACUACUGAAUUUAUUACUUGCUCUGUACCAUUUUAUAAGACACAUUUUCCGUUUUAAUCCCCAGACCUCACUUUGUGGACAACAAAGAACUUGAAGAAGAAAAAAGACAAGCUCAAAAUGAAAGUGAUGUUGCUAUAUAAUAAAGCAAUAUGAUAAUUGAACUUACCUUACAUAAUUCAUGGACAAGAUUCAGAUGCCAAGGACAGUUGAAUCAUUGAACAGCUAGUCCCGGUGCACUAAAGCUACCGCUAUACGUGGUGUCCGGGGAAGGGCUCCACCACAAGGGUGUAUCGUACGCUGCCUUACCUUGCAUUUCUGCCAGAGGCUGUUUCCAAGACUUGAACCCGUGACCUCCUGGUCACAUGGCAGCAACUUUACCAGUUACUCCAAGGCUCCCCUUCUCAUUGAACAGCUAGUAGAAAGAGUAAAUCCUGGUAAAUAAAAUGUAUGACAAAAGAAUUUUACUGCAAUUACUUGGGAUCGGAAAAGUCUCCGCGUUAAAUAUUAGAUCCAUCCAACGACUGCUGCAUUUACUCGUCAAUUAUGCAGUUGUUAGCAAUUAUACAUAAUUUUCUCUUCUUUCUUCUUCGAUUUAAGAUGUGUGUUUCUUUCUCUUUUCAGUCACUUUCAUAUGCAGUUGAAGCCUUAAACAUUUACUCGCGGUUGGUUUUUACACAGGUCAAGGAAUCUUGUAUCGCUUCAGUUAUAACAACAAAAAUAAACCCACUGUAAUCCCGCAAAUAGGGUCUGUGGAAGCUAGUCUGUAUGUGGAUCUUAACCUUGCCUCGAGAAGGUAGAGAAGCUGUUUUCAAUAGACCCUCGGCUCAAAAAACAGAUGAAAAAGAGGACAAUAGCAACAAGCCGGAACAACAAGAAAAAAAAGGGGCAGCCUGGUGCACUAAAGCUACCGCUAUGCGAGGUAUCCGGGGAAGGGCCCCACCACAAGGGUGUAUCGUACGCAGCCUUACCUUGCAUUUCUGCUAGAGGCUGUUUCCAAGGCUUGAACCCGUGACCUCCUGGUCACAUGGCAGCAACUUUAUCAGUUACUCCAAGGCUCCCCUUCAAAAAUUACAAAAAAUGAGAACAAAGAAUCAACUGAUAGAAAUAGCCAACACCAUUGUUUUAAUAAUAUUACAGCACAAACUAAACCUAGUACACACCUAAGUUGCUCGGACUCGUCAAAAAUGUCUACGGGUUCGUGUCGGAUCCUCCAAAAAUAGAUCAGCAACAUUUUUGGAGAGUCCGAGCAACUUAGGUACACAUAGUCCUCCAGUUAAUCUCAUAAUGCAGAUUAAAAACUCUGGUGAAAUGAUGAUAUAAAAAGGCAAAAAUUGAAUUCAUUGACUAAAUUUGCUUCAGUAUCAACUUAUAUUUCAACACAUUUUCCUUCAUUAAGUACAAAAUAAGUAGUUCUUGUGCAAAUAUAAUCUCUUAGAUUAAUCUCAUAACUACUAUCACACUUUUUUUUCAUUUGAUAGAACCUAUUUACAUUAUUGGAUGACAUAUAAUAAGCUUCGAUGCCAAUGUUCGAUAAAUCACUUUUAACUAAGAUAUGAGGCAGAUAUCAGAAAGAAUUACUAUAGCAAAAUUGUAGACACACUUGGCAAUGAUGCACGAGUUAAGUGACUUUAACUCCACUUGGUCGUUUUCCUUCCAUGGCAUCCUUCUUGUCGCAGCAGUCAGCACAUAGAAAUGGACCUUGCCAAGGCUUUGAACUCGUCGAGAAAAUUGAACCAGCAUGUACUGAUAUGCCUUCGGUUGCAGCAAUGUCAACUUGGCAAACGGCACAGAUGAAGAGACCGGACAUUGAUGCACCGUUUGAAUCCUCACUCCCUAAUCUGCAAUCCAUAUGAUAAAACAAUGAUCAAAGCUCUAUUCGUGGAAAUGUAACUCGCAGGAAAAUGAGAACAAAAUGUCAAGAAUACUGGAUUUCGAGUCUCAAAAGGCCAGAAAUAUUAAAGCAUAGCCUGAAUAUUACGAAGUUCAAGGGAAUGCUAACCUUUCGGCAAGCAUUGCUGAGCCUUCUUCAAACAGUUCCUCUACAAUGCCUACAGCUGACAGCUUUUUCGAUUGUUUGGCAGCAGAUUUCGGUGACUUUCUUCUGAAGAAAAGGGAUUGGAGCUUGUUAUACUUCUUCGGCGGAGUUGCAGGCUGUACAGUAUUAUCGGGAGGUAUUAUGUCAACUACUAUGCAUGUUGUGUCAUCCUUCAACCCUCGCGUCCUCAAAGCUUCCUACACAAUCAACGACAUAAAUGAGUUAAAAGAUCUCAUUAUAAACAUUUUUUAUAGGUGCAAAGAUUCGUAUGAACUUCACUACCUUCACAACUUGUCUAGCAGCAAGCUCGGCAGGCAAGCCACGACAAGACUUAGCAGCCAUGUCUGAUGAUACGGCAUCCCAAAUUCCAUCAGACGCAAUGAUCAGCCUUCCACCUCCAGUUGAUAGCUUCACAAUGUCGAAAAAAGUUAGGGCCUGAUCCAUUCGUUAGUAAUCUACACAAGUGACAUCAGAUAUACAACAGAAAAGAGUACACCGGGAUUUGGUCGGGGGUAAAUCUUAAGAUGGUCGACGAGAGAGUAAGAAAAGAAAAGCAAGUUAUUACUUUCACUUGUUUGACAUAUGGUAUUGGAACAAUGAAUUCCCCUACAUCCAUAUCUCCGAUUGAUCUUGAAAGGCAUAAACCUCCUGGCCAACAUCGAAGAGGACCAAUCUGCAGAUGCACAAUGAAAGUUUAUUUCACACCCGUAAUAUGAUAUCGGAGAUAUAAAAAUUUACAACCCACCUCAGUACCACCGCAGAUGCUAAGCCUUCCUACUUCACCUCCACUUGCUGUGACACGCUCCCUUCUGCAAUUAAUCAAGAAACGAUGAACACUUUCAUAUCAACGGAUAAACAGAAAGAAAAGAUUUAGAAGAUGGGCACUUACUCCUCCGCGUUUUCCUCAAGCCUAUGGUCUACAGUUAAUUCCGAAACAGCACCACCCUGAGUUUCCAAAAUGCAGCGGGAAUCUCCAACAGACGCAACUGUCACAGUCCAUCCAUCAACUAUCACGAAUGUAGCUGUGGUUCCAGACGUUUGUCCUAAAAUGACAAAUGCAGGCAUACGGAAUUAGCAUCAUCGAAGCGUGAAUCGAAAAUAAUAACUGGUAAAACGAAAUGAAAGAGAAGAUAAAUUUCAUGCCUUUUCUCUGGAACUCCUUAUCGGUUUUUACAAACCCUGCAACUAGUGCACGAGGCAAAGCAUGAAGCCACUCAUCCCUUCCAAGUCCACGAGGAAUGGCACUCAAAACGUGAUUUAGUAAAUGAUCCUUUGAGAACACUGCGGCCGCUGUACCAUUAUGUCCGUCAAAGAUCUGACAAUUAAUAAAGAAGAAUUUAUCAUCUGAUGGACAAUUAAUCAACUGAAUAAUCUCCCUGCAAGAUAACCUCAAAUGAAAUCUGACCAGCGCACCUUAGGCGCCCCUUUUAUCCCAAACAUGGUACCAUCCCAUCCCGAUACGUAACAAGUUUGAGUACGAUGGGAACACUAUGGUCCGUGCGAAAAAAAAAAAGUUCAGUGACAAGACCAUCAAUGUCCAUUCUCUAUUUUACAAAACUAUUCGACUGGAUAAAUCCAAAUACAACAUUCAGCAAACUCGAGUGACAUCAAAGCGAAAUACUAUGAGACUAGAAAUUUUGCAAGUCGUUAAAUUUAUUAAGACGACACUUUCAUCUUAUAGAAAGAUGGAGAAUGCACUGUGAUUAAAAGGACCUGAAGAGAGCGAAAUCGAUACAAAGAAUUCACAUGUCGACCCCUAUUAACUUGGAGAAAGAUGGAUUUUGAUUGAAAGAAAAUGGAGAAAUACAUACCGCAAACACGGAGAAGGAGGAUGAAGGAUUGCCUUGAACCCUCUGGCAGUCUGUCCUCAUUAGAAAAUAAUCUUCGCCUUUCUUGGACUGAGCUGCACAUCCGUAUCUGAUAGUUGGCUUCUCCAUUUUCUCAUUCCGUAGUUCUCUGCUAAUCAGUGCUGCUAACGGUACUAGAUCGUGAUUCAACCUAUGCCUCUCUUCCCUUGACCCCAUUUCUCCUCCUAUCAACUAAUCGGGGACGUAUACCUUGUUAUAGUCAAAUCUGGAGAAUAUGAACUUCCCCGUUCUCCUUUUCUUUUAAUCUUGAGAUCGCUUCCUUUUUUCACAUCUCAGCUCAUCACCAAAAAUACUCCACAAAAUCCUUCUAUUCGGUCCAAUAAACAUUCCCAAAUAAGAACUCCCCAAAGUUUCAAACUUGAUCCCGAAAUCCAAUCACGCGUAACAAAAACACCAGAACAAACACACAAACAACAUGAAACUUCAAGAACCUCCAAACAAUUUCAUUUCCAAGAAAGAACUCUCCCAAAGCUUCAAACUUGAUCGCGGAAUUCAACCACAAAAAGCACCUGGAACAAGUACGUAAAUAAACAACAUGAAACUUCAAGAAUCUCCGAACAAGUUCAUUCCGAAAGAAGAAUUCUCUCAAAGUUACAAAUUUUAUCUCCAAAUCUAAUUAUACACCACGAAAACACGUAAUCAGCAUGAAACUUCAAGAACCUCCAAACAAUUUCAUUCCCAAAGAAGAACUCUCCCAAAGUUUCAAUCCUAAUCCCCAAAUUCAACCACAAAAACACCUAGAACAAACACAUAAACAACGUGAAACUUCAAGAACCUCGAAGCAAUUUCAUUCUAAAAGAAGAAUUCUCCCAAAGUAACAAAUUUUGUUUUCAAAUCCAAUCAUACACCACACAAACACCAGAAAAAAACACAAAAACAACUUAAAACUUCACGAAGCUCCUAACACUUCAUACCGCAAGACGAACUCUCCCAAAGCUCAAAUCUUGAUCCCCAAAUCCCAUCACACCUGAAUGAACACGAGCAAAUAGAAGUUCAGGAAUCCCCUAAAGCUCGAAACUUCGAUCCCCAAACCCCAUCACGCCACAACAAACACAUAAACAACAUGAAAGUUCAAGAAUCCCCUAAAGCUCAAAACGUUGAUCCCCAAACCCCAUCAGACCACAACAAACACAUAAACAACAUGAAAGUUCAAGAAUCCCCUAAAGCUCAAAACGUUGAUCCCCAAACCCCAUCACACCACAACAAACACAUAAACAACAUAAAAGUUCAAGAAUCCCUAAAGCUCAAAACGUUGAUCCCCAAACCCCAUCACACCCCAACAAACACAUAAACAACAUACAACUUCAAGAAUCCCUAAAGCUCAAAACUUUGAUCCCCAAACCCAUCACACCACAACAAACACAUAAACAACAUACAAUUUCAAGAAUCCCCUAAAGCUCAAAACUUUGAUCCCCCAAACCCCAUCACACCCCAACAAACACAUAAACAACAUAAAAUUUCAAGAAUCUCCUAAAGCUCAAAACUUUGAUCCCCAAAUACCCAAAACAAACACAUAAACAACAUAAAACUUCAAGAAUCUCCUAACAAUGUCAUUCCAUUCAACUUCUGUUAUAAAAUAGCUCAAAUUCUAACAUAGUACAAGUAGCCCACCGGGUUAUUACCUUGUAAAGACAAAAGUUUUUUUAACAUACUAUGUUUUCCCCCACAAACUAAGCCAAAAUGCAGAUCUGAUAAUGACCACAGAGAGAGAAUUUCACUUCAAGUUAACAAAUUUAAUACACAAAAAAUUAAAGAAACGCGGAUUGCUGACAAGAUAUGAACUGUAGUAAAUCAAUCAUCAAAUAAACACUACUUAAAAAAGUUAAUUUUUCCUUAAAUAAACAAACAUUCUUGAAACAUAAUGUACACAUAAAUCUCACAUAUAAAUAACCAAAUGCUAUUAAUUUAACAGGUCAGCAAACAAGAAAACAACAGCCAAUUUCACUACUACAUAUAACAGAAGUAAAACAAAGAUAUACAGUGGAUUUAAUUGAGGUGCGAAAGCUAACUCGUACACCACGAUUAUCAAAAUAUAAUAUAAUUAACAAAGAAGUUACAUAAAAAUGUAGUUUUUUAAAUAAAUUUACAUUCUUGAAACAUAAUGUACACAUAAAUCACACAUAUAAAUAAACAAAUGUUAUAAAUUUAACAGGUCAGCAAGCAAGAAAACAACAGCAAACUUCACUAUACAAAAAAAGUAAAACAAAGAUCCACAUGACAUGUCUAAUACCACAAGAUUAAACAAUGUUUUUGAUACACUUGACAUAUUUUAAUUUAUAAUUAUAACAUUCUAAAAUCUUCAAUACUUCUUAAGCUUCGUGCCGAGUCAAAAUACGUCAAAUAAAUUCAAACAAAAGAAUAUAAUAUUAUAAGAGUAAUUAACAAAGAAUUUAUAAUAAAAAAUGUAUAAUAUCUUUUUAAUGAAAGAAAACACUGACCUUUUUUAUUGUUGAAGAAAGAUGAUGGAAAGUGAAAGAGCUGACUAUGAGAUAGUACUAUGAACAACUUUUUGUAUGAGUUUUCUGUUGGUGACUUUCUGGUACAGCUACCAGCUUUAUCUUUGUUUUUUUUUUUUAAUUUUUAUCUUUUUCUUUUUAUUGAGGUCGUAAUACGGACGGAUUCAAGAUAUGAACAUGACUUCAAGCCUUAAUAAUUUAAAAUUUAGAAUACGUUUAGCCGUAAUACAUAAAAGCAUCUUUUAACUUAGUGUUAGCUGACAUUUAUGUACUUUAACUUUAGCUUUGUAUGAGUAGACAAAACUUGAACAAGUCGAUACGUGCGUCUUGCAUGACAUCUCACGUAAAUUACUACCUAGGAAGUAUGAGUGUACUUAUUUAAUUUUAUAGAAAUUUAAGUAUUUACUUGACCGCACACAAAAUGUUAGUUGAAACUAAAGUUAAAAGACGCAUUUAUAAGCUAAAAAAUAGUUAUUUAUGAAUUUUAUCCUCAGUUUUUUAAAAAUUACAUAAAAUCUCAGAUUUUAAACUAGUUGAUUUCUUAGGAUCGCGAUACAUUACUUAGGAUCACAAUACAUUACUUAGUCGAUUUCGUGAUGUAUCCGGAUACAUUACUUAGGAUCGCAAUACAUUACUUCUAAGGUCCCGUGAUGUAUUGCUACCCUAAGUCAUACAUGGCGAUCCUAAGUAAUGUGUCGAGAUAUAAAUUAAAAUUGAGAUUUUCAUAAUUAUUUUAAGGGGUUGAAAUUUUAGAUAAUAAUUAUAAAUUAAGGUGUGAUAUUAUGUAAUUUACCUUAUAUAUUAAUCGAAUCUAAAAUGAGUAUCGAAUUAAAUAAACUAAAAAUAAUAAUAAUAAGGUAGAAUAUAGGUAAAGGCAUGUGAUAUCAAACAUUAGACACGAGCACAAGAUCUUGACACCUUUCUAGCCAUGUGCUUCCUAGUACAAAUACAAUGAUUCUAUUUUUUAAAAAAAAAAUAUAUAAUAUAAUAAGUAACAAAUAAAUAAGUUAAGAACAAAAUGAAAAUAUAAUUGUGAUUAUUUUGCCGAUUGAAAUAUUUCUGGAACAAAUAACUUAUAUUUGAAAUUAUAUUUCCUGAAAAUACUUUUCGACAUUUAAUUUUUAAUUUUAAGUGAGAUAUUUUUGAAAAAAGAAUAUUUCAUUAGAGAUUGAUGAUAAUAAUGCUAUAAAAUCAUAGAAUUUUUCGAUGAAUUUUUUAAAAUAUUAAAUUGUAAUUUAUAUAAUGCCUAUGUGCAUAUUAAAUUAUGAAAUUAGAAGCAAAUUGAUUUUAAAUAUUUUAUAUCAAAAUACUAGAAAAUGAUUUAUUUUUAGAAAAUAUAUUUUUAAAAUAUAAAUAUGAUAUAUGUCUACUCGAUGUACACACUACAUACAUAUACGGAAGUUCACUUUAGCUCUCUUAGUAGUAAACAUGAAACUUUAUUCACCUACACUGAAAUAAGUAAGAGUAGUAUUUCUUUCGUUUCGUUUUAUAUGAAUCUACUUGGUUGACUUCAAGUUAUAAAAGAAGAUUUUUGGAUUUUCUAAUUUUAUUAGUCCAUUUAAUUUUUUGAGUUAGAAUUUUAUUCAAUAAAUUGAGCAAAAAGAAAAUGAUGUUGAAAAUUCUUCAUAAUUGUGGUUGUAGCUCGAAGCCUUAAGAAGCAAGUUGGAAAUUAAAAGUAAAUGCCAUGGGACCAAAUGAAUGUUAUAAUAUUCUUAGGUUAAAUUCUAAGGAAUAAGACCUGAAACAAGUGGGCUUCCAAUAUAUAUAUAUAUAUAUAAAUGGUGUAAGUAUUGGGUUCUGUUUAUUCAGAAUUCUCGAGUUUGAGUUCUAGUAUAAAGUUGCUUUUGUCAAAGAGAGUGCUACCUCCUAAUGUGGGACUUCUCGAGGUAAAGUUAAACUUAGAUGAGGCACAAUGUAGAUAUCGAACACCAAAUUGAAAAGAAAAAUCCUUUAUAACAAUAAUUCGAAUUCAUGUGGCAUAAUUAGGAAUUAUUUUUUCAUUUCUAGGACUCGAACCGGGCGAUUGGAUCAAAAGACUUGAGUUCCUUUUGAACUUCCUUGAUCAAUAACAACUACGAUAUUUUGAAAUCUCUAAUUUAAGAUGGUCAAUUAUAGAUAUUCAUCUCACGAUAAUCCUCGAUGGUGGCAGAUACAGAUAAUAUUUCAAUACUUAAAAGGAAGUUUACUUUAUAAAAUUAAUAAUGCAAUAAUUAUGACUUCCAAUUGGUAUAUCCAAUUGAAAAUCGAACCCUAUCAUUUUCUACUCAGUGUAUGUGGGAAUUAUAUAUUAUGAUUGAGCAAUGAUACAUGAAUAUUUUUUAAAGUAUACUCUAUUUUAUUCAGUUGGAAAGACUUUACCUAAAGUUUUUUCAAGAUUAGAAUAAGUGCUAGUAGUUUUUUCCUCCUUUAUUUUUUUUAUAAUUUCCAAGCUAGUGACUUUGUAUGCUUAGAAAAGAAGCAAAUUAAAUUAAAUAGGAAAUUUUAAUACAACAAAAUGUGAAAUAUAAAAGUUUUCUUUAGGAAAAUCCAUUAUUUAACUAUGAUUCAUAGGAUUGAUCAUGUUUUUUUUUUUUUUUUCCUCAUUUGAAGUCCGGUAACCGUAUUGGAGACCGACUAAUCCAGAUUCGUGCCAAGUAGGGCACAUUCGAAGGUAGCGCUCCCUAUCAAAGUUUUUUUUUUGUUUAUCAUUCGGUGUCCGGUACCCGCAUUGGAACCCAACUAAUCCGAAUUCAUGUCAGGUAGGGCCCAUUCGGGGAUAAUGCUUCCUACUAAGAAUUUUUUCAUACCCAGGGCUCGAACCCGAAAACUCUGAUUAAGAGAUUAAGAGAGGAGCAACCUCAUUCACUGCACCGCAUCCUUUGAUGGUGCGUUGAUCAUGUCUCUAUUAAGUCACUUGUCUUACAGUUAGUUGAGCUUCGUAGAAGUAAACAUAUGGAAGUAAAUGCAAAAAAAAGAUCAAGGGAAUUUAAUAUAUAGUAUACAUAAUAUACAUAAAAAUAUAAAAAAAAAUACCAAUUUUGAUAAUGUAUAAUUGACACCCUUGUUGUGAACCAAGUUCAAUUCAAUGUGGAUAUAAGGUCAUACAAAAGUAGUUAUUAUUGGGCUGACAAGAGCUAUUUGGCUGAGAACAAGCAAUAAAAUUAGGUUAAUUUGGGAUCCGUGCUCAGAUGCGGAGCUAGAAUUUCAACUCGGAGUUCAAUAUUUGAAGAAAAUCUAGUCAAAUAGAGUUCAAUACCUGCUAUAAAUAUAUAAAAAAAAUAUUUUAAUCAUGUAUAAAUGGUAUAUUUUUUCGUUGAAGGAGGGACGGAUGCCUGUCAAAGGGCUGGCUCCGCCCCUGUCCGUGUUGAGUAGAGGCGAGAGAACAGUUGCGUCAAAAAGGGAUAGUGGAAUUGUGAUUCAAGGAUAAUGCGUAUUGUUGCGUAAAGAGUCUGAUUCCUCUCAUCUCCCUUUGCGUUUUUUAUUCAGUAGUUCUCUUUGUUGUACUAGUCGAUUGUUAUUCUGCAAUUACGUUGUUAGUUUAUUUUCCUAGUAAUUAUAAUAUAACAAUGUCUCUAUUGCGAAAUUGGAUAUUAUGAACCAAUUGUCCCACGUUGGAAAAAUAGAGAAAUGCUAAGGAGUUUAUAGGUCAAAUGAGUUUUCCCACCUAUUAGGCUAGUCUUUUGGGUUGGGCUCUCCCGUUUGGUUUAUAACAUUGGAGUUGUUACAACCCCGUGGAGAAAGAUGGGUCCAUCACUACCUUCAAAUUUUAUGUACACUACAAAGUUAUCGCAUUCAAGUCUUGAGAACAAAAUCACCUUAGGGAGAGAGCGCUUAACUCUUCAUUUUGAAACUUUUCGAUACAAAUUUAAAUUAGUCGAGUCUCAUUAAAUACCUAAUGGGAGUGAAAAGCCAAAGAAAAGGUUAGUUGCAAACAAAUGAAAUUGGACAAGAAUUCUAAGAUGUCAUGUCACAAACAUGAUUUGAUGUAACAAGCAUUUACUUCAACACAUUAAUGAUAGGAAAAAAAACAGGUGAGUGGAUUUUAGUUGGAAAAAAAUAUAAUACUACUAAGGUUUUAUUGAAAGUGACUUUACCAAUACAAUAGAUGCAGCAGUGACAGGAUUUUUGCUGAAUGGGUUCAAGAUAUGAAGAAAAACUCAUCGAAGGAAGUUCAACAUCUGUAAUAUAUAUAUAAAAAUUAUUUUAAUCAUAUAUUAAUAGUAUAAUUUUUCAUCGAAAAAGAUUCGGACGAAUCCCCAUUAUUAUGUUGGCUCCGCCUCUAGCUUCAUCAAUACAUAGAAACAUUUAUAUAAAAAAAUUGACAUCUACCUAGUUUUAAUUUAUACCUUUAAAUUAGUGUACAUUUUCUAGCGGUGUAUGAUAUUUAAUUUCAUACGUUUCUCUAUCGAGAAAAUAACCUCUUAUAACUAUUUACAACUAGCUCGAUCAUGCGUUUUAUUUAUCGAUAAUCUUUUAUGUAUAUUUUAAUAAUGAAAAAUUGAGUUGUACCUCGGAGGUAUAUAGUUUUGUCAAUAUUAUACAAUAGAUAUACUGAAAAAGAAAAUCAGAACAAAAAAGUUUCUAGGGAGGAAAUUAAUUUGUCUUUGAAUCUAUCCAAAAAAAAAAAAAAAAAAAAAAAAAAGGCCAACAAUAUAAAUUUCGAUAAAAUUUUGAUAUUUUUCAUAAUUACUGAAAAUUCCAAUUUUGGUCUGUCGAGAUACAUAAUUAACUCCUAAUACAUUCAACGAAGAUACAGUUUUUCUUUGUAGAGAUAUACAAUUAGCUCCCGAUACAUUUUUUUAUUUAUUUUGGAUCUGUCGAGAUACAUAAAACAUACCGAUAAAUUUUUUUUUAUUUUGGGUCUGUCGGGAUACAUAAUUAACUCCUGAUACAUCAAACGAAGACACAUAAUUAGUUGAGAUUUUUGUAAUUAUUUUUUAAAGGCAGAGAUUUGUGUAAAUAUGAUAAAUUAAGGUGUAUGUUAUUUUUCCCCAAAAAAAAUCUAUUUUUUUUUUCAUAACAAUUAACACUAUGACAUAUUUCCACUUCUGGCCUCCUGUUAAUUUCAAUAACUCUUAACAGGCUGUUAGAGGUGUACAUUUUGGUCCUACAUGUUUGGGCCUGUUUGUUCAACAGACCAAGAUAAACAUUCACUUAUUAUCCAAAAUAAAUGGUCCAGUCCACUAGCAAUGAUAUAAAGUUGCUGGAUUUCUAGCACCAAAUUUAUAUUUGGAUAAUAAGCGUAACUCAGUUCACUAAAGCUCUUGCUAUGCGUACAGUCUGAGAAGUACCGAACCACAAGGGCCUGUUAUAUUUGGACACAACUAUUUAAUUGUACCAUUCUUUUAGAUUCUUUUGCAUGUUUAUCACUUCGAAAUAACUUUGAACAUGCAUUGUCUGAUGUUACAUAUGACUGGAGUUCAUGCAUUUCGUCCUAAGUUUAGACAAAUGCGGUGAAAAUACCCGAACUUCAAUUAGAUGCAUGACUGAAGUCAGUCUUAUGUGCCUGAACUUCAGAUAUUUUGUUUCAAAGUGGCUAGAGACAUGCAAAUUUUUAAAUUCUUUCGCAUGCUUAUCGACUUCAAACUAACUUUGAACAUGCAUUGUCUGACGUUACAUAUGACUGGAGUUCGUACAUUUCUACCUGUGUUUAGGUAAAAAUGGUUAGACUUCAGUAAAAAUGACUGAACUUCUACCAAAUGACUCAAGUCAGUCUUAUAUGCCUUAACUUCAGAUAUUUUGUUUCGAAGUAGCUAGACUUGCAAAUUUUUAAAUUCUUUCGUACAUUUAUCGACUUCAAACUAACUUUGAACAUGCAUUAUCUGACGUUACAUAUGACUGGAGUUCAUACAUUUUAACCUAUGUUUAGGCAAAAGUGGUUGAACUUCAAUAAAAGUGACCGAACUUCGAUCACAUGACUAAAGUCAGGCUUAUGUGCUUGAACUUUAGAUUUUUUGUUUCGAAGUAGCUAGACCUGCAAAUUCUUAAAUUCUUUCGCAUGUUUAUCGACUUGAAACUAACUUUGAAGCAUUUAGUAUACUAAAAAUUACACAAAUACACAACUUAUGUUUCCAAUAUUACAAAAAAUCCCAACUCCCUAAACAUAUUACAAAAAUCCCAACAUGUAUGUACACAGAAUGUUAUGUAUAUGUCGGCUAUGUUAUGUAUAUUUAUAUGGAGAGAGAGUAAAGUAAUUAAAAAAGCGGGAGCGACUGUAAUUACUUUCAAAAGGGUCGAUAUUUAUGUUAUUUAUACUUUAGUAUAUGCCCACUCAUGGGCUUAAAACUAGGUAGAAUUUAAGCCGAUAUAGGAUUUGCUAACGAUAAAAUUUUGGGCUUGGGCUUCGUUCAAUGUCAAGUUUACUACUUGAGCCCAACAACAAUAUUUGUUAAUUUUUAGUAUAGUAGAACUAUUUGUAAAUAGAACUACACAUAAUUAUGUCUCACAUAUUUUUAACCUGUCUAUUAAUCAAGUCAAUUAAAUUUUCGAUCCAAAUCGAAUAUUAAUAGUUCCAAUCAUGCAAGAUAGAAUCGAAACCGACAAUUUUCCCCAUGUUUAAUUAUCUUGAUAUUCAUGAGGAACUGAAGUUCAUAUAAUCGAUUAUAAUUUUUUAGAAUUGAAGAGUAAUUAUCAUUUAAUAAUUUGGUAUUUGAUUUGUACGAACUCAACUAAUCAAGAUUCGCAUUGAGUAUACUUAUUAAGAGAGUAAAACUCCAUAUCAAAAAAUUCUCCGCUCAAAAUACUCGAAAAUGGAGACAUCUGGUCAAAGGAGGAUUUGGUAUUUUAAUUUACAGCAAUAAUACUUCAUAAAGUUAUCCUUCUACUUAAGAUUGCAUUUUUAAAAUAAGUAUCUAAAUAACUGAUUUUUAUAAAGUUUUAUUUAUAUAAAAAAGAAAAUUUUAGCCAUCCAUUCGAACAGAAAUUAAUACAAUAAUUAUUUUUAUUAUUAAGCUAUUGUGUAAAUUUUGAUUUGAAUUUUGAUAAAUCAGUCAUCCUAUUGAAAUAAGAAAAAGAUGAAAAAUAAGAUAAAACAUGUUAUACAUGACAUUAAAUUUUAAAAUAGUAAAAUAUCUAAAUAUUAUAAAACUGAAAAUUCACACUAUUAUUUUUAUAUCUUCAAAGUCUAAUAAAGUAAUAUAGGUANNNNNNNNNNNNNNNNNNNNNNNNNNNNNNNNNNNNNNNNNNNNNNNNNNNNNNNNNNNNNNNNNNNNNNNNNNNNNNNNNNNNNNNNNNNNNNNNNNNNNNNNNNNNNNNNNNNNNNNNNNNNNNNNNNNNNNNNNNNNNNNNNNNNNNNNNNNNNNNNNNNNNNNNNNNNNNNNNNNNNNNNNNNNNNNNNNNNNNNNNNNNNNNNNNNNNNNNNNNNNNNNNNNNNNNNNNNNNNNNNNNNNNNNNNNNNNNNNNNNNNNNNNNNNNNNNNNNNNNNNNNNNNNNNNNNNNNNNNNNNNNNNNNNNNNNNNNNNNNNNNNNNNNNNNNNNNNNNNNNNNNNNNNNNNNNNNNNNNNNNNNNNNNNNNNNNNNNNNNNNNNNNNNNNNNNNNNNNNNNNNNNNNNNNNNNNNNNNNNNNNNNNNNNNNNNNNNNNNNNNNNNNNNNNNNNNNNNNNNNNNNNNNNNNNNNNNNNNNNNNNNNNNNNNNNNNNNNNNNNNNNNNNNNNNNNNNNNNNNNNNNNNNNNNNNNNNNNNNNNNNNNNNNNNNNNNNNNNNNNNNNNNNNNNNNNNNNNNNNNNNNNNNNNNNNNNNNNNNNNNNNNNNNNNNNNNNNNNNNNNNNNNNNNNNNNNNNNNNNNNNNNNNNNNNNNNNNNNNNNNNNNNNNNNNNNNNNNNNNNNNNNNNNNNNNNNNNNNNNNNNNNNNNNNNNNNNNNNNNNNNNNNNNNNNNNNNNNNNNNNNNNNNNNNNNNNNNNNNNNNNNNNNNNNNNNNNNNNNNNNNNNNNNNNNNNNNNNNNNNNNNNNNNNNNNNNNNNNNNNNNNNNNNNNNNNNNNNNNNNNNNNNNNNNNNNNNNNNNNNNNNNNNNNNNNNNNNNNNNNNNNNNNNNNNNNNNNNNNNNNNNNNNNNNNNNNNNNNNNNNNNNNNNNNNNNNNNNNNNNNNNNNNNNNNNNNNNNNNNNNNNNNNNNNNNNNNNNNNNNNNNNNNNNNNNNNNNNNNNNNNNNNNNNNNNNNNNNNNNNNNNNNNNNNNNNNNNNNNNNNNNNNNNNNNNNNNNNNNNNNNNNNNNNNNNNNNNNNNNNNNNNNNNNNNNNNNNNNNNNNNNNNNNNNNNNNNNNNNNNNNNNNNNNNNNNNNNNNNNNNNNNNNNNNNNNNNNNNNNNNNNNNNNNNNNNNNNNNNNNNNNNNNNNNNNNNNNNNNNNNNNNNNNNNNNNNNNNNNNNNNNNNNNNNNNNNNNNNNNNNNNNNNNNNNNNNNNNNNNNNNNNNNNNNNNNNNNNNNNNNNNNNNNNNNNNNNNNNNNNNNNNNNNNNNNNNNNNNNNNNNNNNNNNNNNNNNNNNNNNNNNNNNNNNNNNNNNNNNNNNNNNNNNNNNNNNNNNNNNNNNNNNNNNNNNNNNNNNNNNNNNNNNNNNNNNNNNNNNNNNNNNNNNNNNNNNNNNNNNNNNNNNNNNNNNNNNNNNNNNNNNNNNNNNNNNNNNNNNNNNNNNNNNNNNNNNNNNNNNNNNNNNNNNNNNNNNNNNNNNNNNNNNNNNNNNNNNNNNNNNNNNNNNNNNNNNNNNNNNNNNNNNNNNNNNNNNNNNNNNNNNNNNNNNNNNNNNNNNNNNNNNNNNNNNNNNNNNNNNNNNNNNNNNNNNNNNNNNNNNNNNNNNNNNNNNNNNNNNNNNNNNNNNNNNNNNNNNNNNNNNNNNNNNNNNNNNNNNNNNNNNNNNNNNNNNNNNNNNNNNNNNNNNNNNNNNNNNNNNNNNNNNNNNNNNNNNNNNNNNNNNNNNNNNNNNNNNNNNNNNNNNNNUAAUAUUCAUGUUUAUUUUUAUAUUUUUAUGUUUUCUGUUUUUUUUUUUUUUUAUUUAUGCUAGUAUAGUUUUCUCCAUUUAGUUAAUUUAUCAAAAAUAUUUAAAAGUAUCUUCUUUUUACUUAUAUUCUAAUUUUUUGUCUUUUGUAAAAUAUUUUAUUUUCACCUUCAAAACAAUUAAGUUAAAAUAUUUCAAUUUUUUUUGUAAAAAAAUAUUUAUGUAUUUUAAAUUUUCUCCAACCAUUUCAGAAUCUGCAAUCUGCUUUGUCAUGAACUGCAAAAGUUGCUCAUGCGCAUAAAAAUUUAAAGUUAUGAAUAAUAAUUUUUCAUUAUAUUCCUCAAUCACAACUUGAACUUGGAUCCUAAUAAACAAACUUUACUUAAAAUAGCAAUUACUUAGUCUAACAUCAUGUAUUAAUAAUUUUAAGGUUGUAUUUGGUUAUUUUUACAAAAUUAUAAUGAAAAAUAUCACUUACUUGAAUUCAGACCCGAAUGCAAAAAAAUAAUUGUUAAACAUCAUCAUCUGCAUAUAAAAAUAAAAAGGUCAAAUCAAAUGAAGUUUUUUUUAAAAAUAAAGAGUGUAAUAUGUAAAUUAAUAAAUAAAGUUAAUAAUCAGUAAUCAAUAACAGAAAGAUAAAGAAAACUUAACAUUACAUAACAGGAUAGGAGUGAUAUUUAUAAGAGAAGAAAACUUAACAUUACAUAACAGGAUAGGAGUGAUAUUUAUAAGAGAAGAAAACUUAACAUUACAUAACAGGAUAGGAGUGAUGUUUAUAAGAGAGAUUAAGAAGGAGCAAUUCUAUUCCAAUUCAAUUUUAAUUUAAAAAUUCAACUUCAAAUGUACUUAUCUUUAUAUUUUUCAAAUUUGACAUGCUUAUCUUAAAUCUUAAAUAUAUAUUUGAAUUAUGAGAAACAUUUGAAUUCAAAUAUCCCAAUCCUUAUCUUUUUCAAAUUUGGCAUGCUCAUCUUAAAUAUAUCUUUGAAUUAAGAGAAAUAUUUGAAAUCAAAGAAAUUAAUCCAUAUCAUUUUAUAAUAAAUAUUAAUAAAAUAAAAAUAAAUUUAUUUUUGUUCCUUAUAGCUAAAUAUGUUGAAUGUCAAAAAGAAAAUAACUAACUUUCCAUCACAAGGCAAAUUUCUUUUUUAUAAAUUUUAAAAACUUCUGCACAAUCAGUAAAAAUGAUUGACAAUAAACUUUCAAAUUUUUAAGAUCAUAAUUUAACAUUCAAUGAUUAUGACUCAAUUGCAUUUACUAAAAAUUAUUUCAUUUACUCUUUUAAAUUUUUUAAAUUGCACAUAAUUAGUUAAAAAAUAAACAAAUAGAGAUGUAGAAUUUUAAGUUAAAUCAAGAAAAGAAUAAAUAAUUGAAACCUAAAUACCUGAAAAUUUUAUUUAAAAAUCUUCUCAAAAAAUUUAUUUUAAUUUACAGCAAUAAUCCUUCAUAAAGUUAUCCUUUUACUUAAGAUUGCAUUUUUAAAAUAAGUAUCUAAAUAACUGAUUUUUAUAAAAUUUUAUUUAAAUAAAAAAGAAAAUUUAGCCAUCAAUUCGAACAGAAAUUAAUACAAUAAUUAUUUUUAUUAUUAAGCUAUUGUGUAAAUUUUGAUUUGAAUUUUGAUAAAUCAGUCAUCCUAUUGAAAUAAGAAAAAUAUGAAAAAUAAGAUAAAACAUGUUAUACAUGACAUUAAAUUUUAAAAUAGUAAAAUAUCUAAAUAUUAUAAAACUGAAAAUUCACACUAUUAUUUUUAUAUCUUCAAAUUCUAAUAAAGUAAUAUAGGUAAUACUGUCUUCUUGCUCUAAGAAUGGUUAUUUAUACAUCUCAUUGUGAAGGAGAGUCUUGACUUAACUACUAAAGUUAUUAUGUGAUCGACGUCACGAGUUAGACUGCAUAAAAUAAACUCUUAUUGUUCGAACCUUCUUUGGACCCCACAUGACCAAAAGUAAGCUCCCUUGUUUCUUAGGAUGCAAUUCAAUACUUUUCGUCUCACUAUAUAUUAAUAAUGUCAUAUGAAUGUGAAACAGAAUAUGAAAAAUAUUAUUUGAAAGUAAAAUUAUCAUUUUUAUUUAUGACUUAUUAAGGAGCGUUCAAAAGUGAAAGGGGUCAAUACAUUAUUUCCUUAAGGAUGUUUUCGUCCUACCCUUUUAUAUGUUGUCCAAAAUUAAUUUUGUUUUCCCACUUUGGAGCAAUAUAUAUAGGUCCCCUUUAAACUCAUUAAUAUUUUCCUAUGAUAUUUUAUGCAACUUUUUCUCUAGAAGACAUAUUUCAUACUCAUUAAUUUUCCUAUGUUGGAAUUUUUUCAACUUUUUUUCUAGAAGACUUGUUGGUACACAUGAAUUGAAAAGGAAACUACUUGUUGAACAACGUAGCUAAUUUUCCUAUAUAAAUAGGAACUUUCCUUCUCCUAUUUCUUUUUGGAUUUCCCUUUUUUUUUUCCUCUUUAUAAAUACAUAACAAAAAGGGCAAUAACUAUAAAAUUAUACCAACACACUUUACGGCUUCAAUAUUACUUUUUUCCUACUGAUUUUUACUAUCCAAGAUUUCUACUACUCAUGAUGAUGUUAUGGUGACGAAGGUGGUGCGUGGUGGCGUUCUCGAAUAUCCGGUAAGUGGCACCACCGUGGACGGCCGUGACAUGUCGUUGUUACAAGACAAGAUUCUUAAAGUACCAACAUCAUUAAUCUCCAAGAAUGAAGGAACUAAUUGGAAGAGGACAACAAAUUACUAGAAGUGUUUUUUUUUUUUUUUUAAAUAGUAGCAGAGCUAGCUUUAAUACGACAAUUUUCUUUUCUUUCAAUUUUCAUUUGCUAAUGUAUGAUGAAUUCUUGUAUUAUAAUAAUUGAUUGAUUGAAUCAAUAUUUUAUUAUCAUUAUAUUAGAAUCCCUCUAAUACAUUUCACUUUUGUUAGGGAGGACUUUACCUCCAAUAUGAGAUUUCACGAUGUAAAUUCAGAUUUAAUCGGACUUUAGUAUAAAUAUCACACUGAGUUAGAAUAAAAAGAGAGUUUAAUAUAUAAUCUCAUUAAAAAAUAUAUUAUUAUAGCUAGCACGUUUAUACUAUGGCCAAUAUUGGCAAACUAAUAGACUCUUGAUUAAGUUAAGAGACAACCACUAGGUUAGAAAAAAAACUUUUCUUAUGUUAACUUUAGUUUUUAACAAAAAAUAUUUGUUUAUGUAAAGGUUCUCCAAGACUUAGGUCUUAGGUGCAAUAUUGCUAAGUUGGAUUGUAGUUUUACAUGAACAAAAGUAUUGCUCAACUAAUUUUUAUUUUAAUGGUAAUGUUAGGGCUAAUUUACAUCUAUUUNNNNNNNNNNNNNNNNNNNNNNNNNNNNNNNNNNNNNNNNNNNNNNNNNNNNNNNNNNNNNNNNNNNNNNNNNNNNNNNNNNNNNNNNNNNNNNNNNNNNNNNNNNNNNNNNNNNNNNNNNNNNNNNNNNNNNNNNNNNNNNNNNNNNNNNNNNNNNNNNNNNNNNNNNNNNNNNNNNNNNNNNNNNNNNNNNNNNNNNNNNNNNNNNNNNNNNNNNNNNNNNNNNNNNNNNNNNNNNNNNNNNNNNNNNNNNNNNNNNNNNNNNNNNNNNNNNNNNNNNNNNNNNNNNNNNNNNNNNNNNNNNNNNNNNNNNNNNNNNNNNNNNNNNNNNNNNNNNNNNNNNNNNNNNNNNNNNNNNNNNNNNNNNNNNNNNNNNNNNNNNNNNNNNNNNNNNNNNNNNNNNNNNNNNNNNNNNNNNNNNNNNNNNNNNNNNNNNNNNNNNNNNNNNNNNNNNNNNNNNNNNNNNNNNNNNNNNNNNNNNNNNNNNNNNNNNNNNNNNNNNNNNNNNNNNNNNNNNNNNNNNNNNNNNNNNNNNNNNNNNNNNNNNNNNNNNNNNNNNNNNNNNNNNNNNNNNNNNNNNNNNNNNNNNNNNNNNNNNNNNNNNNNNNNNNNNNNNNNNNNNNNNNNNNNNNNNNNNNNNNNNNNNNNNNNNNNNNNNNNNNNNNNNNNNNNNNNNNNNNNNNNNNNNNNNNNNNNNNNNNNNNNNNNNNNNNNNNNNNNNNNNNNNNNNNNNNNNNNNNNNNNNNNNNNNNNNNNNNNNNNNNNNNNNNNNNNNNNNNNNNNNNNNNNNNNNNNNNNNNNNNNNNNNNNNNNNNNNNNNNNNNNNNNNNNNNNNNNNNNNNNNNNNNNNNNNNNNNNNNNNNNNNNNNNNNNNNNNNNNNNNNNNNNNNNNNNNNNNNNNNNNNNNNNNNNNNNNNNNNNNNNNNNNNNNNNNNNNNNNNNNNNNNNNNNNNNNNNNNNNNNNNNNNNNNNNNNNNNNNNNNNNNNNNNNNNNNNNNNNNNNNNNNNNNNNNNNNNNNNNNNNNNNNNNNNNNNNNNNNNNNNNNNNNNNNNNNNNNNNNNNNNNNNNNNNNNNNNNNNNNNNNNNNNNNNNNNNNNNNNNNNNNNNNNNNNNNNNNNNNNNNNNNNNNNNNNNNNNNNNNNNNNNNNNNNNNNNNNNNNNNNNNNNNNNNNNNNNNNNNNNNNNNNNNNNNNNNNNNNNNNNNNNNNNNNNNNNNNNNNNNNNNNNNNNNNNNNNNNNNNNNNNNNNNNNNNNNNNNNNNNNNNNNNNNNNNNNNNNNNNNNNNNNNNNNNNNNNNNNNNNNNNNNNNNNNNNNNNNNNNNNNNNNNNNNNNNNNNNNNNNCUUUUCACUUGACAUGUUUAAAACUAGAAUAUUUUGAUAUAUUUGACAUAAUUUUAACUUAAGACCAUAAAGUUUAAAAAGAAAUAAUAAAAUUUAAACUAGGUUUCAAGUCAAAAUAUGUAAUUUAUUUUAAAACAGAAAGAACAGUACCUUUUCUUUGUCAUAUUGCCAAAACAAAUUUCUUCAAAAUUUAGAUAUAUUUCAAAUCUUUUCCCCAUAUUUUAUUUUACUAUUUUCUAACAAUAGGAUGGAAAUACAAUAUUUCCGUACGUACCAAAUUAUUGGAUCGAAUAUUACUUAGUUUUGAAAUUUGCAAACCUCAUUGAUAGUAAUAUUUAUCUUAUGGACUUUAUUAGUUGAUGUAUAAUAUUAGUGCUCCAUUCUUUCAAUAAUAUUUGUCCACUAUCAACUUGACACAAUUAAAAAAUAAUUAAUAACAAAUAUUUUAUACCAAAGUAGGUAGCUAGCAUUACCAUUGGAAGGUACUGCUCUCUCCCCUCUGUGUAUAUCUUCAUCUUCAAGUUGAAAAUAUGUUGGUCCCAUUAAUUUAUACUACUGCCAGUAUAUGAAUACGAUCCUGCUCUCAUUGAUGGUUAACCAGUAAGCCUCAUGAGUAGCUGCACCAAGAAAAAAUGCAAGUAGCUAAAGAAGGGCCAUGAAAAAUCAUGCAAAGCAUUAAGAAUGGAAUACAAAAGGAGAAAAGAAGUUCCACCUUGAAGGAGAAAUGCAGGUUGUAAAAGCACCUGGUGCGGUUACUGAUCUUUCAGAAAGCAACAGAUUCUUCAUAUCAUCCAUCUAUUUCUAGAUUGCCGUGGUUGGUGGUACAGGGAGGCCAAACUGUGUCUUCAUAUAGACAUGUUUUAUGCAUGCGGCAAACCGCCAAUAUUCAUCCAGUCGAAAAGAUUAUUGCUUCCAUUACAGAUUCUAGAAAACUCUUCAGCCUUUCUCAAUAGUUGGUGCUUUGUAUAAUUAUGAAGAAGUGGGGAUUACGUACCCGACCCCAAGAACUUUGGCUUGGACACUAUAUAUGUGUUAAAAGAUCCAUAAAUUAAGUACAAAUAACAGAUUUUGAAUCCAGCAAAUCAAAUGGGCAGAGGUAGAACCCCAAACAAACAAUAACCCAUAGUGUUCUUGUAAUUUUUUGCAUGAAUAUUUUGGAAGGACAAGGAAAGUUUAAAAGAGGAAACAAUUUUCCUUAAAGUUUCCUACUUGCAGGUUAAAGCGAGGAGAAAGUUUUGUCUUGCUUUUUGCACUAGUUUCCUGCUUACUAAACACACAAAACUAUGUGAAGAAGUUUAUAUUCCGCGCUUUUCUUUUCAAUUUUUGGCAACCAAAUGUAACCCUAGUGCUUCUUUUCUUGUAUGCAUUAACCUUAGUGCUUCUCUUCUUGUUUGUUACUAAAGAUGUGCGUAAUUCUAGUUAUCCAUAAUGAUAGCAUGUGCUAGGUAUUCUUUUGUUCUUCUCCAUUCGAUACUUAUGGAGUGUGUUUGUGUUUAAAGGAAAUGGCGAAUUUAACAUUUCAAGUUUCUUUGCAGGGCUUUAAGAGGUCACGGACUGGGAUUUCUGAGUCAUUUAGUCAGGGAGGAGCAGUGGUAAAUCCAUCAACAAGUGAUUAUGCUUCAAGGGAAGUUAAUAGUUCGGCAAUAACUGGCGGAAAUGAUCAGAUUGGGCUUCAGUGGGGUUGGGAUGACGACGAUAGCGAUGUAGGGACGGAUAUUCAGGCACUUCUCCCAGAGUUUGGAGAUUUUGGUGAUUUCUUUGAGAAUGAUGCUUUGCCAUUUGGAGAGGUAGUUAUAUUAUCCAUGGAUGGUAAAUCAUGGUCACAUCAUCUCCAGCAUAUAUGUUACAAGUCUUGUUAAGACCCUGACUUACAAUCAGUUACCAUGUAUAUGAGUUUUCAUUUUUUUUUUUUCAUCAUUCAGUGUGUAUAUCAUGCUCAUGGGAGAUAUCAAUUCUACAUCUGACCGGUAUACAGAUUUGAAAUAGUUGAACGGCUUCAAAAUAUUUGAAUGCCGUGUGUAAGUUAUUAAUAGGAGGUUCAUAGGUUAAUUGAAUGCAUUUUAGAAAUGAAUGGACUGUUUUACUGGAUGUUAUGGAACACUAAUAAAUGCCUACAUUUUGCGAGAUGAAUACGAGUUACCUACUUGUAGUAGAUAUUCUUCUUUGUUUGCUUUCCUCAUCAGGAAAUGAGCUGAUUUCUCCUUUUAUUUUAAAGCCUCCAGGAACUGCAGAGUCUCAGACUCUUAUGUUUCCUGCCUCAGACAGUGUGGAUGUUGGUAGCAGCCCCUGUCCUUCGAUGAUGGACAUGCAAGAUCAGCUUCUUUUUCCUGUAGUUUUUUCAUCCUUUGAGAGCUUUAAUCAACCACCGCCUCCGGUAAUUCUGGAUGAUUCACUGAGCAAGCAUCAGGAAGUUAUUAGAAGUGCUGCAGUUGCUAAUCAAGUAAACAGUACUUGUGCAACUAUUGCUGGUGAAUUUGAUCACUUAAUUAAAGCUGCAGCUCUCAUGUCAUUCUUUCCAGAGUAUGGAGCAGUUGAAACCCCUACAGGGGAGAACUCCCAUUUGAUUUUCAGGAAUCCCUAUGUUCCGAAGUCCCGAGAAGUGGAGACUGAGAAUUCAAGCUCAAACAGUUAUGUUUACUCAGCGACCCCACCUUUGUCGCCUUGCUUUGAUGCAUGUCAGGAGAAGUCCGGGGUGACUGUAAACCUCAAAGCAGGUACCGCAAGGCAUGAUACAGGCUCCAUUCUUCAAUCAAAGAAAUACUACACUCACAUUGAAAGUGGGAAAGGAAAAACGAUGAUAAGUUGUCUGGUUUUGUACGUAGUUGCACUACGCGUGAGACUCAAGUAGCACAGUCUCCGUUUUCUGGUUUCAAUUCGAAAAAUUCUGUUAAGGUAUCCACGAUAAAACUGAUAAAGCCAAUGAAGGGCUACUAAAAGCAGGCAGCUCCGGUCAAUCAAUCAAAACUGUGCUUGCAACAGAAGUUGAAUGCCUUAUGUGCCAGGCAUUUAUGUGUAAGAUACGACAUACAGUAUUAUCUUCAAGUGGCUGCCUUCCAGUCUAUCUAUUGUGAUAAGAAAGCGCUCUUAGUUAGUUCGGUAGGACGUGGGUCUCCAAAACCCGAUGUCGUAGGUUCAAAUCCUACAGAGCUCCAUCUAUCCAUCCUAGGGUUUUGUUUGUCAAUCAAUUUGCUGUCAUGUUGUCAACGCCAACGCCAUCGCAGCCGCCGUUACGGGCAGCACCGUCACCUCCACCGGAUUCGGAUGAUGGAGGAUCGAGCAAAUUUGGUGAAUUGGAACCUUUGUGGGAUUCGGUGUUGAAGCUGCCCAGUGAAGGCAUUACAAGAUAUGACCGUGACAACGUCUAUGAUGUUGUAAAUGAAAUGUAUACACCUAUUUUUCCUGGUGAUUGUGUUGGGGAUAAAGCUUGCUGGCUCAAGUACCUCAAAGAGAUCAAGGAAAGUGACGUAAGUAGCGCUUAUAUUUUAUUUAUCAUAUACACAUUAUGAGCCGAUGGUCACAUACUUUACCCGUAUACUCCUGUUUGUACAGACAGAACCUGCUGUUUACUCCUUUUGCAUAUGUAUUUACUAUUAGAGUAUAAGUUAUUCUAUUAGAAGCAAAUAUACAUACACAUAUAUUGUUACUAGAUAGUUACUAUUUCCAUCUCAGAAGAUGCAUUGUGACCUACACCCUGAGAAAUUGGAGGAAUGUAGAAAUAUGCGGUUGGUUUAGUUGAUUCCAUUCCAUUGCCUUUAGUAUACAUAAGCUGCUGUGCUUUUUAUAUCUAUAUAUAUCGUUACUAGAUAGAUACUACCGAGAAUAUUCUUCGAAACAAACAAACUCACUCUUUUAUCUUCUCUCAAAAGUAGGCUUAUCAUUUUAUACAUUCAACCUUGUGCAUUUUUUUUUUUUUAAAGCGAAGGAUAUGUUGGUUGACAUUUACUUUGAUGAUAGGGAUUUGACAUUAUAGUCUUUCCUGGUUGUGGUCCACUGACUACCAUAUUCCCCAUGACACCCUCUAAAGAGACGAAGGAUUUUGCUGAACAGGCACUUGAGCUGUACAAUGAGGAUAAUGUAUGCGUACUCUACUCACAUUGUUGUCUUUUCCUUUUUUUUUUUCCUCUCUAGAAAGCUGAGAAAGUUUCUCUCUAUGUAUCCAUUUUAGGACACUAAAUAUAAGGUCAAUGAGAUUCUCAAGGUUAAUGGAUGUUAUACCCAAUACUUCCAUUUCUAUAUUACCUUUACGGUUACGAAUGGCGAGCAUGAAUAUUUUCAAGCUGAAGUUCGGAAAGAUGUAGAUGAAUCUCUGGAGUGUGCAAUCAUUAGGCCAAGGGUAAUGAAAUCUGCUAUACAUCCCUUUUUAUUUGCAGGAAUGGAUUCGGAGAAGCCGCUCAACUAAUCUUUGUCCCAUUAUGAAUGCUCAUUUUUGCUUUGUCGAGUUCAUCUAGUAAUUCACUCUCUUUUGAUUGAUGAUUUUUAAUCUUCAUACUAACAACUCUCUUGCGCUUUUAUGCAGGCGAAUGGAGCUUGGGGCAUAUAGUGGAUGUGAUGAUGUCUGUGCAUUGUUUUGCCUCAGGUUCAAGCUGCUUUAUCUUUGUGUUAACAACUCUUGUCAAUUAGUUUUGGAAGUGGAUUAUCUAAGUCUAGUCUAGAGUAAAAAGGAAAUCAAAAAACAACUGGUGACCUUUGCUAUAAUCUAUUAUGGAGGAUUGUUCCUUUAUGUUUUAGUGAAUGUAAUUAUUCUGUUUUACUAUUAUGGAGGUACUGUUUUACCAAUUAAGCGUUUUGGACUUUUAGUAAGUUGGAACCAUAAGAGAAAAAAGGCAGAAAAAUGGAUGCUUGAUUAUGCAAUGCACAACAUAUAUUUACCAAGCUAGUAGGUGGCGCCGACAUAGUUUUGGUGCAUGCGUUAUCUAAACUCAUACCUUCUCGAUGUUAAAUAGUCCUUUCAAAACUAUACAUGCUCGUAAUAUAUCAUGUAAAUUGUUAUGCAUCUGACUGUUGUGAGCCUAUGUUCAAUUUCUAUAUCUAUAUCAUAAUCAAGUUCUGAACUUUGCGUAAAACAAACUCAUUCAAAGAAAACAUAAUAUAGGUACUUAAAAGUCACAAAUAUAAAUGUGCUAUACAUGAAUCACAAAUCACAAGGAUAUUAGAUAUUAAAGGUUUUCAUGAAAUUCUAAUUCAGUUACUAUUCCCUCAUUCCCUUUUUAUUUAUCAGAUCACGUUUAUUGAGAGUCAAUUUGACUAUUUUUUAAAAGAAUUACAACAUACACACAGAAUGCUAUGUAUAUCUCGGCUAUGUUAUGUAUAUUAAUAGGCAGAGAUAGUAAAGUAAUUCCCUAAACAUAUUACAAAAAUCCCAACAUAUACACAGAAUGAUAUGUAUAUAUCGGUUAUGUUAUGUAUAUCAAUAGGUAAAGAGAGUAAAGUAAUUCCCUAAACAUGUUACAAAAAUUCCACAUAUACACAGAAUGCUAUGUAUAUGUCGACUAUGUUAUGUAUAUUAAUAGGGAGAGAGUAAAUAAUUUAAAAAGUGGGAGAAAGUGUAAUUACGUCAAAAGGGUUGCUAUUUAUGUUAUUUAUACUUCAUUUUAUAUUUUUAGCAAAUGUUGUAAUUGUUGUGUUGCCUCAACACCAGGCUAUUUCCGGUGCAUGACUUUCAUUUUUUCCCCACAUUUGCAGUUUCCUCUUGCAUCGGAAUCGUGAUUUUGCUCUUCUGCUUGGGAAAAAGUAUUUCCAGGCUCAAAAAUCUCAGGUUUUGGGAAUCUAAAGCUGAGGAUCACCGAAAUAUUGAAGCAUUUCUGAAGAACUAUGGGUCAUACGCUCCAAAAAGAUACAAUUAUACAGACAUCAAACGAAUCACCAGUUGCUUCAAAAACAAACUAGGCCAAGGAGGAUUUGGUAUUGUUACGGAGGAAGUUUGGGUAACAGGAGUCAAGUGGCAGUGAAGGUCCUGAAUGAACUAAAAGGCAGUGGUGAAGAUUUCAUUAACGAGUUGGCUAGUAUUAGCAGGAUAACACAUGUUAACAUAGUGAGCCUUGUGGGAUUUAGUUUUUGAGGGUCACAAAAGAGCUCUCGUAUAUGAGUUCAUGCCGAAUGGAUCUCUUGAAAAGUUAACCUAUGAGGAAAGAUCCAACAGAGUUCUCUAAUUAGGUUGGCCAAUACUUUACAAAAUUGCACUAGGCAUAGCUCGAGGAUUGGAGUACUUGCAUCGUGGCUGUACCACUCGGAUUUUGCAUUUUGAUAUAAAGCCUCAUAACAUCUUGCUUGAUGACAAUUUUUGUCCUAAGAUCUCCGACUUUGGUCUUGCCAAACUGUGUUUGAAACCGGAGAGUAGUAUGUCAAUGCUAGGUCCACGAGGGACUAUCAGUUAUACUGCUCCAGAAAUGGUUUGCAGAAACUUGGGAGGUGUCUCUCACAAGUCUGACGUCUAUAGUUAUGGAAUGAUGGUCUUAGAGAUGGUUGUGAGGAAGAAAAAAUGUUGACGCUGGAGCUGAUCGCGCGAGUGAGAUCUACUUUCCACACUGGCUCUAUCAACGAAUUGAACUAGACGAAGAUCUUCAACUGGUCGGGAUAAUGAAUGAAGAGGAGAACGAAUGUGCAAGAAAGAUGGUGAUAGUGAGUUUAUGGUGCAUACAGACUGAUCCAUCAAAUCGACCAUCGAUGAGCAAGGUUGUGGAAAUGUUAGAAGGGAACCUAGACUCUCUGCAAAGUCCUCCUAAGCCUUACCUACAUUCUCCCUCAAGAUCAGAGGUAGAUUCAUCAAUAAUAGAACUGACAACAACAACAACAACAACAUUAACAGAAUAGCCUCACAAGUGGGGUCUCGGAAGGAUGGGUCGGAUGUAUACAGACCUUACCCCUACCUUUGUGAGGUAGAGAGGAGUUUUCGAUAGACCCUCGACUCAAGGAAAUCGUUUUUCAUUUGAAAGAAAUGAAAGUGUAAAAAGUUAGCUUAGUAUAUGCUGGUACUUAACUAACAAUGUGUCUCUAGAACAUCUUACGUCUAACAAUUUUAGAAUAGAAUUGUAUGUAGUGUCCCUCUUGGAAAAAGAUUGUUAUGUAUUUUCUCACAUGGUGUUAGAGCCCGUGAAAAAUAAAUGAUGGUAUUUUUGCUCGGGGGAGUCUAGUAGCCUAUAUGUCGAUUGAGUCUGUCACUUAAUGGUCUGAAUAGUUUCUUCGAGCCCGGUUAGGCGUUUGGCAUGACGCAUAACGAAGCUGAUUACUAUGUGUGUAUCAUUUUUCUCCAAAUCUGUGUAUUUAUUUGAUAGUUUAUAGUAAUGAUAUCGUUAUCACUAGCAAUGAUAAAGAUGGUAUCACUAUUUUAAAGCAACAUUUCUAUUAGCAUUUUUUGAUUAAAACCUCGACAGACUGGAGUAUUUUCUAAGUAUUCAGAUCGCUCAGUCCAAAUCAAGUAUUGAUAUAUAACAAUGAAAGUAUCCAUAAGAGUAUAUGCAUUGCACUCUUAUGGAUCUGAAUGCUAAAUACUUGUUAGGAUAGGCAAUUGGUUGACCAGUAAAAUACUUUUAUAUGCUAAACAAAUACCAAAAUUGUCUAAAAUUACAUGUAAUUGUCUCCAAAAAAAAUUUAUAAUUUCCCUAGUUUUCUUCCUUAUUUCUCUCUUCACCACAGUAGAUUUUUCUAGAGCUAUUGAAGUUCUAAGAAUCAAGUACUUCAGGAGUCCUAUUUAAUUUGUUUCUUCUCAUUCCAGAGCUAAUGUAAUAUCCCUAGUCUUAUGUGCCUGAACUUCAGAUAUUUUGUUUCAAAGUAGCUAGACUUGCAAAUUUUUGAAUUUUUUGAAUUCUUUCACAUGUUUAGCGACUUCAAACUAACUUUGAACAUGCAUUGUCUGACGUUACAUAUGACUAGAGUUUGUACAUUUCUACCUAUGUUUAGGCAAAAGUAGUUGAACUUCAGUAAAAAUGACCAAACUUCUAUCAAAUGACUCAAGUUAGUCUUAUAUGCCUGAACUUCAGAUAUUUUGUUUCAGAGUAGCUAGACUUGCAAAAUUUUUUAAAUUCUUUCGCAUGUUUAUCGACUUCAAACUAACUUUGAACAUGCAACACUGCAAAACAAAUUGCGCGAAACAAAAUAUCUGAAGUUCAGGCACAUAAGCUAAGGCUGACUUGAGUCAUUUAAUCGAAGUUCAGUCAUUUUUACUGUAAGCUGGCCUGGACAUAACGACUAUCAAAAAAAUUGACCAGUUAAGUUUGAUCUUGAAAAUUCAACUUUCUAAUAAAUGAGGUAGAUACAUGGAAUAGAUGGACCAAAUGAAGUCAACUCUGUGCUAACAAGAAGAUAAAAAAGGAAAAAUCCAAGAAACACCCUCUUCUUUGUUAUAUUUCCAAUAUCUACUUGUCUGGUUUGUAUAUUUUUCAGUUGUUUCAAGAUUACAGAUGAACCAAGAAAGAAGGUAUUUCUUGAUAACAACGUUAAACCUUUGUGUUUUGUGCUUCAUUCUGCAACUAGAUAAAUGUUGUCAUGCUGUUGAUCCACAGUUUGUAGCAUGUAACAAACCAGUAAAUUGUAGAUAUGGUCCAAGAAUAAGCUUUCCAUUUUAUGUUAAAGAUGUUCAAGAAUCUUAUUGUGGGUACCCUGGAUUUAGGCUGAAUUGUAGUGAACAAGGUUAUCCUGUUGUACAUAUUGCUGGAAAUGAGUAUAUAGUUGAAGAUAUUUCAUAUCAAGAUCAUACUUUUCAGCUUAAAAAUUCAGUCUUUAAUAGUAGUAUAAUGAAUGGUUGUGUUUCUGAGAUCAAGAAUGUAUCACUCGAUAAUCGCCCGUAUAGAUUUGUGAAUGAAUCAAGAAUUUACUUGUUGUCCAACUGUAAUGGAUCGAUAUCGGGGGAGCUAUUGAAGUAUAGGAUUGGUUUUGGUUGUGGUGAAGAAAAUGGGAAUGAUGAUUGGGGUCUUGCAAUGUUUGAUGAGGAUGAAAGCUUUGAGUCUGCAUUGCAAGUGUGUAAAAAUCAUGUAAUGGUACCGGUAGAAAUGCGUGGUAACGAGGAAAACGGUCAAGACUAUCUGUUCCUUUUGAGAAGGGGGUUUAGAUUGAGCUGGACAUCUAGUAAUUGCAGUGAGUGUGCAGAAAGUGGAGGACGUUGCGGAUUUGAUGUUACCAGUUAUAAAUUCAGAUGUUUCUGCACUGGCAGGCCUCAUUCGUCGAGUUGCCCACCUACCAGUAAGCCCCUAUCUAACAGUUACUAUUAUGUUCUGAAUAGGCACCGGGCUUUAGGUUCUUUCCGUGUGAUUACCAAAUGCAUAAAAAAUGUAUCCCUUGAUGAUAUUGCUAUCAAGAUACAGCUGAAUUAGGCAUUGGGAUUAUGUUGUGGAUGACAAAAUGUGUGAAAUUUUCUUAUAGCAGCUAAUUACUUCAUUGAUGAAUUGUGUCUUGUUCUGAUCAGAGGCGAAUCCAAGAUUCGAAAGCUCCGGGUGCCACCUUAUUUUGAACAAUAACGUAUACUCCGUACGAUAUUUUAGGAUAGUGGAAUCAAUAUUCAAAGAGUAAACUACAAUUAUAUAUAUCUAACAAAUUAUAUAUAUAUCUAACAAAUAUUAGUAUUACAUAAAGGCUUGCCUAGUUGGUAUUGUCAAGUGCUUUGUAAAGAAGAGGUCAUGGUGGGUUCUAUUCUUCAAUAGCCACACUAUGUUUUUUUCUUAAGAGAAAACAGACAAGUGCUAAAAAUCAUUCUAAAAAUAGAGUGCAAAGUAGGUUUCGAACCCACGUUGUAGGAGUUAAACCCAACAAUUUCGACCACUUACGCCACUAGUCCCUUUGAUAUUGUGGGUGCCAAGCAUAAUAUUUAUACAUGAACUGAUACAUAUACACAUAAAUAUACAGAGUUUCAUCCGAGAAGUGCGGAUGCCGUGCCACCCCAUACCUUCUACAUAGAUCCGCCCCUGGUUCUGAUUAACUAACAUACAUUUCGGGGUUUGACCUCUUGUCCUGUUAAUUAAUCCUGUAGUUUACACCAGCAGUAUUUUGUAAUGUAUAACAGCAUACUAGUUGAAGACUUCCUUCGUUAUUUUCUCAUAGAUCUCUCCUUCUCAUGCAACAAUAUCACUUCGUUCAAAUGCACGACUAACAAAUGCAGGUUGAUGGUUAUUUACAAAGAUACGAGACAAACUUGAGUUGUGAUCAAAGACAUAGUACUCCAGCUAGUGAUCUUCCUGCUAGUUCCUCCGUUAGUCGGAUUACCUUUCAAGUAUCUGUUACCUUCAGGACCAACUUCUACUGAUUUGUUUGAUCAAUUGCUUGUCAGUUGCUUAUGUAUGUCUAGUUUCAUUUUUGGAAAGGAUUUAGAUGUGUGUUAGUUGGUUCCUUCCAAGAUGUUGAAUAUGUCGAUGUAAAUGGAAGGGAAUUGCUUUCACUCUUAUCGUGACUAAUUAAUCUUUCAUUUCUCUCUUCUUGCAGAAGCAAAACGAAAAUUGGGACUGAUUCUAGGCACAGGUACAUGUCUAUUAUCAUUAGCUUUUAUCUGUAUUUUAUAUUUUUAGCAAAUGUUGUAAUUGUUGUACAUCUGUUGCCUCAACACCAGGCUAUUUCCGAUGCACGACUUUCAUUUUUUCCCCACAUUUGCAGUUUCCUCUUGCAUCGGAAUCGUGAUUUUGCUCUUCUGCUUGGGAAAAAAUAUUUCCAGGCUCAAAAAUCUCAGGUUUUGGGAAUCUAAAGCUGAGGAUCACCGAGAUAUUGAAGCAUUUCUGAAGAACUAUGGGUCAUACGCUCCAAAAAGAUACAAUUAUACAGACAUCAAACGAAUCACCAGUCGCUUCAAAAACAAACUAGGCCAAGGAGGGUUUGGUACUGUAUACAGAGGAAGUUUGGGUAACGGGAGUCAAGUGGCAGUGAAGGUCCUGAAUGAACUAAAAGGCAGUGGUGAAGAUUUCAUUAACGAGCUGGCUAGUAUUAGCAGGACAUCACAUGUUAACAUUGUGAGCCUUGUGGGAUUUAGUUUUGAGGGUCGCAAAAGAGCUCUCGUAUAUGAGUUCAUGCCGAAUGGAUCCCUUGAAAAGUUUAUCUAUGAGGAAAGAUCCAACAGAGUUCGCCAAUUAGGUUGGCCAAUACUUCACAAAAUUUCACUAGGCAUUGCUCGAGGAUUGGAGUACUUGCAUCGUGGUUGUAACACUCGGAUUUUGCACUUUGAUAUAAAGCCUCAUAAUAUCCUGCUUGAUGACAAUUUUCGUCCUAAGAUCUCCGACUUUGGUCUUGCCAAACUGUGCAUGAAAAACGAGAGCAUUGUGUCAAUGUUAGGUGCACGUGGCACUAUCGGUUAUACUGCUCCAGAAAUUGUUUGCAGAAACUUGGGAGGUGUCUCUCACAAGUCUGACGCCUAUAGCUACGGAAUGAUGGUCUUAGAGAUGGUUGGAGGAAGAAAAAAUGUUGACGCCGGAGCUGAUCGCACGAGUGAGAUCUACUUUCCACACUGGCUCUAUCAACGAAUUGAACUAGACGAAGAUCUUCAACUGGUCGGGAUAAUGAAUGAAGAGGAGAACGAAUGUGCAAGAAAGAUGGUCAUAGCCAGUUUAUGGUGCAUACAGACUGAUCCUUCCAAUCGACCAUCGAUGAGCAAGGUUGUUGAAAUGUUAGAAGGGAAACUAGACUCCUUGGAAAUUCCUCCCAAGCCUUACCUAUAUUCUCCGUCAAGAAUACAGGUAGAUUCAUCAACAACAGAACUGACGUAAUCUUUAGGUUUUCGCGAGUUUCAUACCUCAAUGAUCUAUUGUUAUCAAAAACAGUGACUUUGCUAAGUAAUUUAGUUAUCACGAGUGAUCAUUUAAGAAAUUAACUCGUAAAAACUCUUCUUUCGACGAAAUACAUAUACCAAGUGAAUCCAUCUUCUUGUCUAGUUGUAUAUUUUCAGCUGUUCAAGAUUACGGAUGAUGAACUACCAGUUCCAAGAACGUCUUAGGCAUAUUUUUGUAACUCUACUUUUAGACAUUUGAAUUAUUAUUAGCACCCAUAUCCAUAUCUAGAUCUGUACACCCGAUUUCAAAGCUUGGAUCAUGAAGGACCCGAUAUCUAGAUCUGCACCAACGCAGUGUGCAUGUAGCAUAAACAACAAGUGCAAGUAAAUUUUUCUAUUUCCAAUGCCUGAGAAGGCAUCUAGAUAUGAUAUAACCAUAGUUGGAAUAAGCUAUAACAGAUAUAAGAUUUUAACCAUAUAUGAUAUUGACCAAACGAAGAAAGAAGAGAAAAAAAUGCAUAACUAGAGGAGAAAAAACUUUGGAAAUAUCUAUAUAUAAUGCAUAGACUUUUCCAAUACCAAGUCUUUGCAGUCCAAUUCUUACGUGGAAAUUAAAUGAAAAUUGAAUAAUUCCGUCACAAGGCUUCAUAAUUACGCCUUAAUAAUUGGUGCAAGACUUGCCAGUCUUUCUGUUGGCUUGAAGGUGCUUUGAAGAUUCCCUCACAGCCCUUAAUAUACGUUUUAACAAAUUUUCCAGAUCCACUUUACGAUCCAACACAAGUGCAGUGAACCACUAGAGUUCAUAUUUAGUCUUCACACAAAAAAAUGAUUUGCCCAACUCAGCGUCAAGGUGUAUUUUAAUACAAAGGAAGUGAUAGUUUAGGUAGGUAAAGAGAAUAAUGAAUAGUUGAUGUAUGAAACUCGUGAAUAAAUGAGUUUGCAUACUCAAAGUUGGAGUGUUUGUUUAUGUAAUGUGCCAAGUCGAGUCUUCACAUAAACAACUACUUAAAGUCUCCCUCACAACACAUAAUGCAUGUUUCUCACAACUUAUCCAUUAACAGUUUUAUACUUCAUAUGGUAUCCAGAGCCAAUUAGUAUAAUUUUUUUUUGAUCCCUCCCACUCUUCCCAUCAAAAUGGCCACAAACAUGACUGCAACCAAUUCAGAUGCUAACAGAACAAUUGUCCAGUUCAAUUCUGUCACCCAGUUACCAAUCAAACUAAUUGGCAGCCACAACUUUUUCCUUUGGAAAGCACAAGUGUCCAUGCUUGAUACCAAACGGUAUCUACAACACCAAAAUAGUCCGCAAACAGUCACAACAAGACAACAAUACCAUACAAGAAGCAAACACAAACUUAAAACAAUGGAAGGAUAGGUAACUUGACACAAAGAGAACUCAUUAGGUAGCAACUAAAGAGUGUAUCAAACUCUAAAACCUCUACAAAAUAAGUUAACAAGGACCAAGUUCUUACGGUGACCGCCAAGGGAAUCAACUCACCUCAAGAUCCACCGUUUCAAAGAAAAGAACAAUAUUGGCUUUUCCAAGCCCUAACUAAGAACUACACUAAGGUGGUCUACUCUCAAGAGAGAGGAUUUUCAAUGUCUCAUAUAUUCAUCAUUAAACAACUAAAGAGAAAAGACCUAAUAAGAAACUAUAUAUACCCUAACUUAUUACAUAGUAUAUAUAGACUUCAAGUCUUUCUGUUGUCCAAUUAGAGUACAUUUUCUAGCGGUGUAUGAUAUUUAAUUUUUUACGUUCGCUAUCGAGAAAAUGACCUCUUAUAACUAUUUUAUAUGUUUAGGCCUGUUUGUUCCACCUGCCCAAGAUAAGUAUCCACCCAUUAUCCAAAUAAAUGGUCCAGUCCACUAGCAAUGAUAUAAAAGUUGUUGGAUUCAUAGCACCACAAGGUAUUUAUAUUUGGAAACAACUAUUUAAUUGUGCCAUUCUUUUAAAUUCUAUUGCAUGUUUAUCCACUUCGAAAUAACUAGAAAAUGGCGAAAUUGUGACAGAAAAUUUAAUCACAAAUCUGUCACAAAUCAUUGAUUGUGAUGGAAAAAUGUGCAUCUCAGAACCCUUGGUCAUAAAAUUAUUGUGACAGAUUUAAUUUGCGUCACAAAAUUAUUGUGACGGAAUUGAGAUAGAUCGUCCGUCACAAUAUAAAUCCUUAAAUUUGACUUGAAUUCCGUCACAAAUUUAUAACUGAUUUGUGACAAAAUAUUACGCUAUAAAAUAGUGACAGAAUAAUUUCCGUAACAAAUUUUCAAACCUAGUCACCACAAUUGUGACAAUAUAUUUCGUUAUAAAUAAUUUGUAACAGACUAAUUUAAUCACAAUAUGACUCUCUUACCAAUAUUAGUAACAAAUUUAGAAUAGAUUGUGACAAAUUAAAUCUGUCACAAAUUUUAUUUGAAUUUUUAAUUUGAAUAAAUAAUAAUUACGAAAUACUAUGCUCUCUCUCUCACACACCCACACCCACACCCACACUAUAUACAUAUAUAUAUAUAUAAAACAUAAUACAAGAUUUAUAAUAAAAAAAGUCGGAAGUUAAUUAAAACAUGCAAAAUCACAACUUGAAUAAUCAAAAAUCUACCAAAGUUUAAAAUUUAAAGCAUAUAACUAUCCAAAAAAGUGUGACAAUGUUCAAGUCACACUUCAAGUAACUAAAGUCUCAAAAUAUUAAACACUUAAGCAUUAGAUGAGUCCCUAUUAGGGAGAGUAGGAUUACUAAUUAAGCGAGAAGAUAAUGCCAUAUUGCUCAUCAUGCGAGUCCAUUGCUCCUCCAUAGAUUUGAAUCGAUCAUCACUUUGUUGCCUCAAACGGGAAACCUCUUGCUCUUUUCGUUGUUGCACCUCCAACUCUACACGUUCUUGAAGAACUCUCUCUUAAUUUUCUCUCAUAUACGACACCACUUUCUCAAGUAUUUUGAUGCGCUCUUCGGCAACAUGAUCGGACACUACACGCAAAUUGCAUGUCAUAUCUUUAUACAAGGUUGAAGCUUGAGAGCCCAAUCCAUACAAACAUCGUUUUUUUGCUCCACCCACAAUAUCAAAGUACAUACGAUUUAUAUUGAGUUCUUGAUCUUCUGAUGAAUCAUCUGUUGAUCCCGAAAGAGCAGUAGCUAUGACAACCUCCAUUUUAUCCUUAAAAAUACAAAUAAUCAGCCAACAAAAACAGUAUGAAAAUUAAAAAAAUGCUAAAACUAUUUAUUAAUAAGUAGAAGGUAGAUGCUACAGGUAUUAUUGAAACCAAGGUAUAACAGUAUAAAAGUAUAGACCCCCGGCUUAGGACCGAUAAUAGUAUAACACACAAAAGAUAAGCGCAUAUAAACUAGUAUGGUACACAAAACAAACUAACAGUAUAACAAACACAAAAGAUAAGUGGUCAUAUCGAUAUCUAAAAACAGCUAAGUUCGUGAAACACUUGGGGAACGUUAAGAAUUGAUGACCAAAAAACUUGCGAUCCAGAUGGCAAAGAACCUGCUUUAACACCUUCAGACGAACACACUUACAAGAGGAAGAACCUCUAAAAACUUGUUUGGUUGAAGCUUUACCAAAUGAGUUGGUUCUUUGAAGGCCAUAAGAAUAGGCAGUGGAAGCUUGGGUGAUAGAUGUAAUCAUAGGGAUACUAGAUUUCUUCCCCAGUUUUUUGAUGCGCAAAACAACCUAUUCUCCUUUACGACGACCUAGGUUUGCCUGAUUUUCCAAUAAAAGAGUUAAAGAUCAGACAACUAGUGUUUCAUAUAUAAAGGGCACAAUUGGAUAGGAGGAAGUUCAAUGAAGCUGGAAAGGCGGGAGGAGAAGCCGGGGCUGUCCAUCGUUAGCACAAAAUUGGAUAUCCUUUUGAUUUAUUGUGCAAAAAUAAAACAAUACUGGUCCAUAAGUUGCAGCAUUAAGACAACCAUUUUAAAUAGACCUGCAUUUAAUUAUGUUAUUCAACUACAAGUACAAUAUUUUUGAAACUGACUACUAGUACAAUACUAAAUAAAAGUAAAUUAAUCUUGUGCACGAAUCUCUAAACUACAAGUAGCUCUGUAACUAAUAAAAACAAUAGCCACCAAGUGUAGCAUGUUAAGGUGGCUCAGCCGUAUAGAGGAACCAGACAAAAUCCAGUAGUGAAUGAAGCACAAUGGAGUGGUGGAGUCGGAAAUUCAAUAGUGUUAUAUAUGGGGUUUGAAACUAUGACUUAAGGUAAUUUUGAACCCCUAUGCAACUUUACCAGAAUAUUACUCAUUGGAAGUUAAUUCUGGAAAACACUGAAUUAUCUUCUCAAUACAUAUUGGUUUAAGAUGUUUCCACAUUCAAUUAUUUAAUUGCAUCUUAUCUCAUUACUCUUUUCAUUGGUUCAAACGUCAAACGGUUUGGAUUGAACCGUGAAAGCUAAUAAAAGCUACUUGACACCAAUUACCUGAGACUGGAUGUCCUUUCUUAAAACAAUAUUUCCAAGUGUUUCACAUCAUAGAAAAUAAUCAUCUGUUUAAACCCUUACAUAUUUUUAUAGAACUAAAAAAGUGAAGAAAAGGGAAAUUUGACCACAGGAUCAUUAGUAGAACGACGGAUUUACUUAAAGUUAAAAGUAACAACACCUAAAAGAUAUACGCAGGAUCAUUAGUAGAACGACAGGUUUACUUAAUAUACGAUCUACGGAAAGAGUUAAGAAUUAUUCAUCCUUAAAUCCUCUCCGAAACAUUUCUUUCCUAAUAAAACGAUCCAUGGUCUUAACAUUGAAGAUCGUAGUAUAUAAACAGAAGUAUAAGCUUUCCUAAGAUGGUUUUUCACACAGUCAAGAUCUUGAGUUCAAAUAAUUAUGUUAAAACUUAUGUGUUGACAAGUAAUUUUCAUAUAACAGUAGAACAUAGAUAUAAAUUUGAGCCUACUUUUAACAAUCAUGAAGAAAUUGUUAACACUUGAAACUAACUUGCUAUAGAAUAGCCUACGUAAGGGUAUUAUCGCGACUAAACCUCAACAACUACCGGUUGUUAUAGAAUAGCUUCAUAGUCAAAUAGACAUUUUCAAUUCAUUUUACUUGUUUUUUAGUACCGAUUUUGUUUUCCAAGCUAGAAUCAUGCUAACCACUUCAGGCAAGACAUGUUUAUAAAAGACCUACUUUGAAAUAAACCCCAAAGUCAUCAAAACCAAAUCAUACUAAGGUAUACCUACUUAGAGCGGAUAUUUCAGGCAUCUGUAGAACAGUGUUUUAACGGAAAGUAACAUAAAUGGAGCCAUGUAGCUCAAUGUACAUCUAUUUGAUAUACAAUCAAAGGUCAUCUUACAUAUAAGGAAUAUAAAGCAAAUUUUCUUUCUCUAAAUGCUCAUAAUUUAACUCAUUGUAUCACCACUCAUACAUCACAGCCAUUUCUUCACUUCUUUUUUAUCACUGAGAAAUCCCCAAAAGUCAAUGGAGAACGUCUCGGAAAUCGAUGAAUAAUGGGUCAGCUCCCAUACUCUUCUCCACUUAAAUACAAGAUUUUGUCAUUAUAAAAAGCUUUUGUCUAUGGAAGGGUUCGAGCAUGUGUUGUUUCUCCGUCUUUGAGUCUUUCUCAAAUGCAAAGGAAAUCCUAAGAAUAAUUUUAUGUGGACUCUUCUAGCAAGUUAGUCUUCCCCAACUCCAAUUAACACUUGCCAAACCUCUGCACCAACGACUUUUUCAUACCUCAAAAUAGAACUCUAACUUACCACUAUUAGGAUUAGUAUUAGAUGCAAGUACAGGUAUAGGUACAACAGUAGGACUAUUAGGAUUAGCAUUAGAUUGUUUACUAGUUGAUUUUUUACUAAUUGCACACCAAACACAUGGUGAAAAAUCCAAAACAAGAAUCAUAAAUAAAUAAAUAAUAAUAGGGUAACAAUAUCCUAGUUUUACCCAUUUCAUCUAAUAUUUCAAAACUAAUGCCGAAGGAUGAUUUCCCAGAAAAAUGCCACCACUAUAUGGAAUAUUACCAAAACAAGGUUCAGUGAAGCAUUAUUAUUAAUAUUAAUAGAAACAGAGCUUUAUGGAAAAUUACCAAAGCAAGGUUCACUUAAUGGAAUAAAUCCGUCAUAAUUUUAAUUACAUUAUUUGCUUUUUUUAUAUUUUAUUGUGAUAAAAUGUUAAAUCUGUCACAAAUUUAAUAACAAAUUUGUGACAGAAUUUUUUUUUUUUUUAAUCAACUUUAACUUGUGACAAAAAUGUGUCCGUCACAAAAAUUAUAUUGAAAAUCUGUCACAAAUUAAUCACAAAUCUGUUACUCUUCGAAUUUCUAUGUGAUAAUAAAAUAUUUUAAAAUUAUUAUAUUUAUACAAUAAUGAUCCAUCACAAAUUCAUCAAAAUUCUGUCACAAUUUGUGACUGAAGUGUUUCGUCUCAAAUUUUCUGUCACACUUUUGCCAUUUUCUUGUAGUAUUUGAACAUGCAUUGUCUAACGUUACAUAUGACUGAAGUUCAUGCAUUUCUUCCUAAGUUUAGGCAAAUGCAGUAAAAAUACCCGAACUUCAAUCACAUGCAUGACUGAAGUCAGCCUUAUGUGCCUGGACUUCAAAUAUUUUGUUUCAAAGUAGCUAGACUUGCAAAUUUUUAAAUUCUUUCGCAUGUUUAUCAACUUCAAACUAACUUUGAACAUGCAUUGUCUGAGUUUAUUAGUCAAUAAUUGCAACUUCUUUGUUAAAAAACUUAACCACAACUGGAUAGAGUUACCUGAAACCUGUCGCUAGUAGGAGGAAGCUGACCUGGACACAACGGCUGUCAAAAAAAGGUUGACCAAUUAAGUUUGAUCUUGAAAAUUCAACUUUCUAAUAAAUGAGGUAGAUACAUGGAAUAUGUGGACCAAAUGAAGAAAACGUUUUGCUAACAAGAAGAUAAAAAAAGAAAAAUCCAAGAAACACCCUCUUCCUUGUUAUAUUUCCAAUAUCUACUUGGACAUAACGGCUGUCAAAAAAAGGUUGACCAAUUAAGUUUGAUCUUGAAAAUUCAACUUUCUAAUAAAUGAGGUAGAUACAUGGAAUAUGUGGACCAAAUGAAGAAAACGUUUUGCUAACAAGAAGAUAAAAAAAGAAAAAUCCAAGAAACACCCUCUUCCUUGUUAUAUUUCCAAUAUCUACUUGUUUAUUAGUAGUAUAUUUUUCAGUUGUUAAAGAUUAAAGAUGAACCAACAAAACAGGUACUUCUUGAUAACAUCAUUAAACCUUUGUGUACUGUGUUUCAUUCUGCAACUAGAUAAAUGUUGUUAUGCUGUUAGUGAAACGUAACAAUCAUUUUGGUCACUGUAGAAUUGAUGAGAAAAUGAGACGAGAAAAGUCCUUAGUUGCAGGUCACUCACUGCAGAAUUGACAGGUAAAAGGCUGAAAAUCAUUGGAUAUAUAUCUAUAUCGUCUAUUUCAGAGACUUUUCCGAUCCAAGUCUUUGCAUGUGUAAUUCUUACGUGGAAAUGAUCUCUUAUGACUACUUACAAAUUGAAUAAUUCCGUCACAAGGCUUGAUAAUUACGUCUUAAUAAUUUGUGCAAGGCUUCAAGUCCUUCUGUUGACUUGAAGGUGCUUUGAAGAUUCCCUCUCAACCUUACACACGUUUCAACAAAUUUUCCACGUCCAACGUAACUAUGCUAUUAAACACAAGUGCAGUGAACAAGAAGAGUUCAUAAUUAGUCUUCUCACAAAAAAAAAAGUUGAUUUGUCCAACUCAGCGUCUAGGUGUAUUUUAAUAUAAAGGAAGUGAUAGUUUAGGUACGGAAAGAUAGUUGAUGUAUGAAACUCACAAAAAUUGGAGUGUUUACUUGUCAGCUGAGCCAAGUACUUAAUUAAAGUCUUCCCUCACAGCACAUAAUGCACGUUUCUCACAACUUCUCCACAUCUACUAUGCUUUUAAAUGCAAGUUCAGUGACUAACUGAGUUCAUAAUCCAGUUUUCCUCUUCUUGAGAUAAUUCAUAUGGCAAUCACUUCAUUGGUCAGCUUUCUUCUAUCUCUUCUUCUUAUAUUAGUUCAGGCAAAGGGAAGAAAUGAUUCAACUUGUCCAAAGUCCUUUUCAUGUGGAAAUUUUACUAACCUGAGCUUUCCGUUCUCUCUUUCCGCACAACCUGAGUGCGGAAUACUGCGCAUGUCUGGUUGUGAUGAUAAGCCAUUUCCGAAAAUCCGCCUGCUUCCUGGACGAGAUUGGUACUAUGCUUUACAGCAGCAUGAUUCAUCAGUUUGGCUUGGGGACCAGAAACUCCAAACAACUUUGACGCAACACAAGUGUCAGGCGUUUAACAAAAAUUUCUCCCUUCCAAACUCACCUUCUAUCUCUUUCAAUAUGAUUAAUAUUAACAACUUCAUCAAAUGCAGCAGUACCCAGAAGAAGAACGAUCGCUUUGCUGGUUAUAAUAUGUACAAUGGCUGUGAAGGCUUUAGCAUAUACUACAAGCUAACCCGUGAUGAUGAUAAAAACAUAGAAGCACACAAUCUUCCUACCAACUGUUCACUUAUCAAAUUACCAAUUCACAAAAAUGAUGGUGAUUUGUUCAACAGGUUAGGUCCCGAAUUUCUAGUAGAAUGGAAACUGUCUGAUGACUGUAGCGAAUGUCACCAUUAUGGAGGUCGAUGCCAGACUGAUAAAACCAACAAAUUUUAUUGUCUCAAAGGUAGACAUCUCCUUAAUUCAAUCAUUAAUAGACAUUUUCGCUUAAUUGGAAACUCAGAAGUGUUCAUUUGCAGAUGUUGCAGNNNNNNNNNNNNNNNNNNNNNNNNNNNNNNNNNNNNNNNNNNNNNNNNNNNNNNNNNNNNNUUUUCUUCUCCGGAUAAUUUCUCAGAUACCGUUGUUUCCCUGUUGUUCUUUCGACUCAUAUUUCUUCUCUUGUUUUUAUGUACUAUUUGAAUUGUAGACAAUUUCCCAGAUAGUGCAUAGGAUUUCAGAAUGAAUUUAAUUUAUAUUCUAUGAUGGUGCAUGACUUCAUUUUGUUUCCGCAGGUGCUAGUUUGUUUACUGUUGGACUGUUGGUUUUACUCUUCUUCUUCAGAAAUAAGGUCUUAUGGUACAAAUACAUCAGGUUAUGGGGAUCUAAAGUUGAGGAUCACCGAAAUAUUGAAGAAUUUCUGAAGAACUAUGGGUCAUACGCUCCAAAAAGAUACAAUUAUACAGACAUCAAACGAAUCACCAGUCGCUUCAAAAACAAACUAGUCCAAGGAGGGUUUGGUACUGUAUACAGAGGAAGUUUGGGUAACGGGAGUCAAGUGGCAGUGAAAGUACUGAAUGAACUAAAAGGCAGUGGUGAAAAUUUCAUUAACGAGGUUGCAAGUAUUAGCAGGACAUCACAUGUUAAUGUUGUGAGCCUUGUGGGAUUUUGUUUUGAGGGUCGCAAAAGAGCUCUCGUAUAUGAGUUCAUGCCAAAUGGAUCUCUUGAAAAGUUUAUCUACGAGGAAAGAUCAGACACAGUUCGUCAAUUGGGUUGGCCAACAUUAUACAAAAUUGCACUAGGCAUAGCCCGAGGAUUGGAGUACUUGCAUCGUGGUUGUACCACUCGGAUUUUGCAUUUUGAUAUAAAGCCUCACAAUAUCCUGCUUGAUGAAGAUUUUUGUCCUAAGAUCUCCGACUUUGGUCUUGCCAAACUGUGCAUGAAAAACGAGAGCAUUGUGUCAAUGUUAGGUGCACGAGGAACCAUUGGUUACAUUGCUCCAGAAAUUGUUUGCAGAAACUUGGGAGGUGUGUCUCACAAGUCUGACGCCUAUAGCUACGGAAUGAUGGUCUUAGAGAUGAUUGGAGGAAGAAAAAAUGUUGACGCCGGAGCUGAUCGCACGAGUGAGAUCUACUUUCCACACUGGCUCUAUCAACGAAUUGAACUAGACGAAGAUCUUCAACUGGUCGGGAUAAUGAAUGAAGAGGAGAACGAAUGUGCAAGAAAGAUGGUCAUAGCCAGUUUAUGGUGCAUACAGACUGAUCCCUCAAAUCGACCAUCGAUGAGCAAGGUUGUUGAAAUGUUAGAAGGGAAACUAGACUCUUUGCAAAUUCCUCCCAAACCUUACCUAUAUUCUCCCUCAAGAAUAGAGGUGGAUUCAUCAAUAAUAGAACUGACAACAACAACAACACUCACAGAAUAGCCUCACAAGUGGGGUCUCGGAAGGAUGGGUCGGAUGUAUACCGACCUUACCCCUACCUUUGUAAGGUAGAGAGGAGUUUUCGAUAGACCUUCAACUGAAGAAAAUCGUUUUUUCAGAAAAUGAUUUGAAAGAAAUGCAAGUACAAAAAGUUAGCUUAGUAUAUGCUGGUACUUAACUAGCAAUGUGUCUCUACAGCAUCUUAUGUCUAACAGUUUUAGAAUAGAAUUGUAUGUAGUGUCCCGCUUGGAAAAAGAUUGUUAUGUAUUUUAUAUAAAUAGGAUUCGAUGUAAUAAUGUAGCUCAUGCAUCUUAAUAAGAUUUUUCGAGACUUUAUUUCUCACAUGGUAUUAGAGCCCGUAAAAAAUAAAUGAUGGUAUUUUUGCUCGGGGGAGUCUAGUAGCCUAUAUGUCGAUUGAGUCAGUCACUUAAUGGUCUGAAUAGUUUCUUCGAGCCCGGUUAGGCGUUUGGCAUGACGCAUAACGAAGCUUAUUACUAUGUGUUUAUCAUCAUUUUGCUCCAAAUUUGUGUAUUUAUUUGGUGGUUUAUACUAAUGAUGUCGUUAUCACUAGCAAUGAUCAAGAUGGUAUCACUAUUUUAAAGCAACAUCUCUAUUAGCAUUUUUAGACUAAAAACCUCGACAGACUGGAAUAUUUUCUAAGUAUUCAGAUCGCUCAGUCCAAAUCAAGUAUUGAUAUUUAAUAAUAAAAAUAUACUUUAGACAUUCUUGAGGAGACAAAUGAUGGAUGUAUACGCAUUACACUCUUAUAUAUCUGAAUACUUGUUACGAUAAGUGGGGCCACUCAGUGAUCUUGAAGUAUAUACCAACAUGGGUUGUGGUGCAGUGGAUGAGGCUGUUCCACCCUUAAUCAGAGGUUGAGGGUUUGACCCUAGAUAUGGAGAAAACUUUGUCGGGAGUGUUACCACCUUAAUAGGUCCUGCAACGCGCGAUCCAGAUUAGUCGGGGCUCCAAUGCGAGCACCAAACACCAGUUGGGAAACCAAAAAUAAGAUCUUGAAGUAUAUAGGCAAUUGGUUGAUAAAAGUUCAUAAAAAGGUCCAAAAUUACAUGUAAUUAUCUCAUAAAUAACCUAAUUUAAUAAAUAUUUUUACAAAAUCAUUAUAUUGAAUUUGAACGAGUCAAUUUUUUUUUUUAUAAUUUCCCUUUUUUUCUUCCUUAUUUCUCUCUUCACCACAUUAUAUUAAUGGACAUCCACUAAAUACUCUAUGCCAAAAAACUAAUUUUUCAACAAAAAUUUAUCAUUUUUUUCACCUAUAUAUAAACCUCCUUUUCCCUAUCAUUCUCAUAUUUUAUUUUUAUUCCCUCUUUUUAACUUUCUCAAAUAAAUUAGGAAAGCAUAGAGGGAAUUAAAAUCCAUAAUGGCUAUUAAAUUUUUAAUUGCUAUUGUUACUAUCUUUGUUGCUAGCAAAUUUGCAUGGGAUAAAAAAACCACCCCCACCCCCACCCCACCCCCAACCCCAACCCUGAGGGUCCAUUUUAUGAAUUUUCUGGAAGAAAAUUCAAGAUUGAACCAGGACAUGAAAAAUGUUAUCAAGAUUGUUAUAGAGGUAUAUUUGGUGGUGAAGGCAGCCCAUUAUAUGCUGAACAAGAUUGUUAUAACACAUGUCAUAACCAUGGUAAAUAUGUGGUACCAAGUUUAUAGAGGCACAUUUUAUUUUUUUAAUUAACCAACAAGAAUUCUUUGAUAUGUAUAUUCAUGUUGGUGAUCAUUUGUAAUUUUAACAUGGUUAUGAAAUAUAUGUAUAUAUAUAUAUAUAUAUCACUUGGCAUGGAUGUUGUCAUAAAUUUAAUUUGUGUUACACUUUUAUGUGGAUACAUUCUUUUUUGUAAAUCAUCUAGUAGUACCAACUGAACUAUGACCAAAUUUGUUACGAUAUACUCCAACUUUACGGGGUUCUAUUAGCCCUAGAACUAAAUUUUAGCGUAUUUUUGUCAUCCUUUUUAGCUGACGUGACGCCUUUUGUCAACCUUUUUAGCUGACGUGACACCUUUGACGUGGGCUCCAUAAUUUGUGAAUAAUUUAACAAGAUAGGUAGAAUAAAGAUAGUAUCGAGUGUUGCUAGUUAAUUCGGCUACGCUUGUGAAUAAAUGAACAACACAAGGAAACUUUGUCAAUUCGACAAGACUUGUGAACAAUUUAAUAAAGAUAGGUGGUUGAAUGAAAAUGGUACAACUGUUGUAUUCCUCCCAAGGGUAGGUUAAUUCUUACACGUUACUUAUCCAUACGCCAUUGAAAACAUCGUUUCCGUAUUUUCCGUCCGACUUGCAUGUGUUAAGCAUGCCGCCAACGUUCAUCCUGAUCCAAGAUCGAACUCUCCAUGAGAUUCAUAGUUGCAUUACUUAUAGCUUCCUUGUUCGUAAACAAAGUGAAUUUGGAAUUAUCUUUCAUUCCAAGACAUAACUUGUAUCCAUGCACUUCAUGUUCGCUCCCAGAAAUAUAGCCACCCCUGCUCCCAGAAAUAGGACACCAAAUGCGUGGUAAGUACUCUUUCAUUCUUAAUCAAAGGUUUUGAGUUUAUUGUUUUAGGUACGGAGUCACCUUUGUUAGGGAACACUUUACUCUCUAAUGUGAGACUUUUUAGUGCAAAUCUAGAUUUAAUAGCAGAUAGUUCGAGCUCCAAAAAUGAUUAGGGAGCACUUUACUCUCCAAUGUGAGAUUCUUCGGUGCAAAUCUAGAUGUAAUAGCGGAUAGUUCGAGCUCCAAAAUGAGUACUAAACACCAGGUGAGAAACACAAAAAAUUAUUGUACACUAACUUUAAAUUCUUUGGAGAAAUAACAUAAAUCCCGACAAUAUGGAGCUUAAUUACAUAAAAUUUUGACAUUUUGCAUAAUUACUGAAAUCUUAAUUUUGAGUCUGUCGAGAUACAUAAUUAGCUCUCGAUGUAUUUUUUGCGAUUUUGAGUCCGUUGAGAUAUAUAAUACAUCCAACGAAGAUAUAUUUUUUUCCUUGAUAAAGAUACAUAAUUAGUUCCCAAUAUAUUUAUUUUCGAUUUUGAGUCUAUCAAGAUAUAUCCUUAGUGUAUACAACUUUGAUUCUUGGAAAAACAACAUAAACAUACGCCUUAACUUAUCAUAUUUACACAAACUUCCACCCUUACAAAGUAAUUAUAAAAAUUUCAACUAAUUAUAUAUCUUCGUUGGAUGUAUCGAGGAGCUAAUUAUGUCUCUCGACAGACCCAAAAUCGAAAAUAAAUGUAGUUGGAGCUCAUUAUGUAUCUCGAUAGACCCAAAAUUAUUUUUUCAAUAAUUAUAUAGAAUAUCGAGAUUCUUAUAAUUAAGCUUCAAACUCUCGGAAUUUAUGUGGUUUGUCUUAAUUCUUUACUAUAGUCUAAAUUAUUUGAAAAAUUGAUCCUCCUGGUACAAAGUUGCCUUUGUUAGGAAGCACUUUAAACCCCCCAAACCUACAUUGGGACUUUUCAAUGUAAAUUUAGAUUAACAGCGAACACUUCAAGCUCCAAAGUAAGUACCGGACACCAGGUGAGAAACACAAAAAAAUAUUGUACACUAACUUUAAAUUCUUUGGAAAAAAACAACAUAAAUUCCGACAGUUUCGAGCUUGAUUACAAAAAUUCUCGAUAUUUUGCAUAGUUACUGAUUUCCGAUUUUGAUUCUAUCGAGAUACAUAAUUAGCUCCCAAUACAUCCAGUGAAUAUACAUUUUUUCUUUUAUAAAGAUAAAUAAUUAGCUCCCGAUAUUUUUUUUUCGAUUUUGGAUCUAUCAAGAUACAUAAUUAGCUCCCACUACAUUUAAUGAAGAUACAAAAUUAGUUAAAGUUUUUGUAAUUACUUAGUAAAGGUAAAAAUUUGUGUAAAUAUGAUAAGUUAAAGAUGUAUAUUUAUAUAAUAUUUUUCAAAUACUUUACCAUAGCCUAAAGUAAGGAAAAAUAACAUAAACAUACACCUUAACUUACUAUAUUUAUAAAAUUCUCCAUCCUCACAAAGUAAUUACAAAAAUUCCAACUAAUUAUGUAUCUUCGUUGGAUGUAUCGGUAGCUAAUUAUGCAUCUCGACAGACCCAAAAUUAAAAAAAAUAUAUCGAAAGCUAGUUAUGUAACUUUAUAAAGGAAAAAAAUAUAUCAUCAUUGAACGUAUUGUGUAUCUUGACAGACCCAAAUUGGAAAAAAUAUAUCGAGUGCUAAUUAUAUAUCUUUAGAAAGGAAAAAAUGUAUCUUUCCUGAAUGUAUCAUGAGCUAAUUAUGUAUUACGUAAGAUUCAAAAUUAAAAUUUUUAGUAAUUAUAUAAAAGAAAUAACUAUUAUAGGGCCUUUACUAAUGGACUCAUAUUGGGCUUAAUAUAUCCAUUUAUAUUGUUCCACCAAAUUAGUUCUCUUCUUUAAUUUCUUUAUUCUCAUCAUCAAUGGCGGCUUCUUCCUUACAAUUCACUACAACAACUACUUGCGAUCCACUUUUUCAUUCACAAAAAUUACCCAAACACGCCGCUAAAUGGGGUACAAUCCGCUGCUCCGCUACCACACAAAGCAAAAGCUACAACAUCACUCUUCUUCCUGGUGAUGGUAUUGGUCCUGAAGUCAUUUCUGUUGCCAAAAAUGCCCUUCAACUUGUUGCGUCCCUCGAAGGUAUAAAGCAUUUUGUUAGUUUGGUUUUGUUAAAUUGUCGUUUAGCUAAUAGUUAUUAUCUCUAGAAAGUCAACCCUUCCGUGUUCUUGAUUACAAUAUUUUUCAAGGAAAAGUGAUUUUUUUGAUAUAUAUAUAUAUAUAUAUAUAUAUAUAUAUAUAUGCAUUUCAUUAGAUUGAUUUCGUUCAAUGGCCGUUUAACUAGUAGUUCUUAUCUCAGAAAGUCAAACUUUCGUGUUCUUGAAUACAACUUUCGUUCUAUUUUUUCAAUAGAAAGUGAUUUUUUGAUAUAAAUAUGCAUUUUAUUGGAUUGAUUUCGUUCAAUGGUUGUUCAACUAGUAGUUAUUAUCCCAGUCUUGGUGGACAGAGUUACCUAAUAUCUGUUAUUGGUGGGAGGUGGGAGGUGGGAGGUAUCCUGUAGAAUUAGUCGAGGUGUGCAUAAGCUAGCCUGGAUACUACAGUUAUUAAAAAAUAUAUAUGUGUUUUAUUGGGUUGAAUAGUUAUUAUCUCAGAAAGUCAACUCUCGUUCUUGAUUUUAACUUUUUUUAAUAAAGAAAGUGGCUUUUUGGCUAAGUUGCUCGGACUCUCCAAAAUGUUGCCGCACCCUUGUCGGAUCCUUCAAAAAUACACUUUUUUUGGAGGAUCCGACACACACCCAUAGACAUUUUUGAAGAGUUCGAGCAACUUAGCUUUUUGAGAUAAUAACUAUUAAUUGGCUGACCAAUUGACGAAAUCAACCCAAGUUAUUAUAUCAAAAAGUCAACUCUCGUUCUUGAUUCCAAUAUUAUUCGACAAAGAAAUUGACUUUUUGAGAUAAGAAGUAUUAGUUAGCUGACCAAUUGACGAUUUCAUUAGAUGGUCGUUCAACUAAUAUUUAUUAUAUCAGAAAGUCAACUUUCAUUCUUGAUUUUAAUUUUUUUUUUUUUUUUUUGAUAAAGAAAGUUACUUUUUGAGAUGGUAACUAUUGGUCGAGUGACCAUAUGAGAAAUCAAAUCCACUUUAUCGGGUUGAUUUGUCAAAUGGCAGUUCGACUAAUAGUUAUUAUAUCGGAAAAUCAACUUUUGUUCUUGAUUCCAAUUUUUUUCGACAAAGAAAGUGACUUUUUGAGGUAAUAACUAUUGGUCGAGUUACCCUAUGAGAAAUCAACUCCGUUUUAUUCGAUUGAUUUGUCAAAUGGUCGUUCAAGUAGUAGUUAUUAUCUCAGAAAGUCAAUCAUGACUUAAUUCUAUUUUUUUUCAAUAAAGAAAGUGACUUUUGAGAUAAUAAAUAUUGGUCGAGUUACCAUAUGGUAAAUCAGAGUUUAAUUUAUAUAUAUAUGAAAAAGUUAGUUACUUUGACUUUAAUGUGAUUUUGAAUGUAUGCAUUUUUUGGGUUGAUUGCGGUAACUGGUCGUUCAACUAAUAGUUGUUAUCUCAAAAAGUUAACCUUGUUGUUGAUUCUUAUAUAAUUUGUUCAGCAAAGGAAGGGAAUGAUUAUAUGAGAAUAAAUAUUUGUUGAGUGGUCAUCUUAGAAAAUAAUUCGAUUUUAUCUUGAAAUGAGUUUAACUUUUCUGAUGGAGUUAGGAUUAGUAUAAGUCGAUGUAAGCAAUGUUUGCUCAAUCAGGAGUAUGGGUGGCAAAUGGGCGGGUUGAGUUGAAUUUGGCUGGGUAUGAUUUUAUGGACUAAUCUUGGCACCUUUUAUCAGGAGUUAUGGUAAAUCUCUUGACAACGAAAGGGACUUUUUAAUAUAAUAACUAUUACUUGAGUGACCAUCCAGAAAAUCAUCUCCAUUUGUGAGAGGAGUUAUGGUAAAUCUCUUGAUAUUCAUGCUAUUAUAGGUUAUAAUUUACUGACUGUCAGUGUAUUUAAGUUGAAUCAUUUUGGAAAAUGUUAGAAAUGGAUGUCCAAAACUGUUUUUCGGACGAGGGAGUAAAUUGUAUGUGGUUAUUUUCACUCUUGAUUUGAAUUUGUUGUGGCACUAUUUUUCUUUUUGGAUCCUUGGCACUAUGUUAUGUUGUCGUAGUACUGUUAUUCUUUUGGAGUUAAAAUAGCCUUUUGUUUUUCGGUAGGAUUUUAAAAAUUUUCUUUUAACGAAUAUAAAAGUUGUAACUUGAUGUCCAUGUUCACACUAUUUAGCUCUGGUGGCAGAGCCGAGAACUUUAACAAGGGAAUUCAAAAGAUUUGAACUUGUUGUGACCUAACAGGAUUAAUAUUUACAAACUUAAAGCAAAAGUAUGUCCAAGGGUUAACGAUGCAACUCUUGGAAAUGUAACAGGAUUUGAAGUAGCAUUCGAAGAGAUGCCUAUGGGAGGGGCUGCGUUGGAUGCUGUAGGGGUGCCAUUGCCCGAUGAGACUCUUAAGUCUGCAAAGCAAUCUGAUGCUACUCUUCUUGGGGCAAUUGGAGGGUAACUACAUGAUGGGACCCUCUUGUGAACAUUUAUUAUAUUAUUUCGUAUGGUUGUUUUCGAUUGAAUCUCAUGUUUCUUGUUUCUUGUGCUGUAUUUUUCUUGAUUCUAAAUCUAAAGAUAUAAAUGGGACAAUAAUGCAAAACAUUUGAAGCCCGAGACCGGAUUGCUGCAACUUCGAAAAGGCUUGCAGGUCUUUGCUAACUUGAGACCAGCCACUGUGUUACCACAGGUAAUUUUUAUUUUCAGUUGCUUAAGACUCUACGUAUCACAAAAAAGAGACCGUCGUAUCAAUUUGAGAGUAUUCUGCAACUGCUAAUAGUGUAAAUGUUCUUAACUUACAAGUUUUGUCAUAAUGAAAACUGCAACUGAUAAUGUCAAAGCUAGCGUAAAAAGGGUAAAUGUCUAAUUUAAUUCUGCAUUUAGAAUUCUUUUGACACACCUAUUUGGAUUUAAAGACGUAAAGUGUUUGCAUGAACUAUUGGGCUAUGUUGCUCGGACUCUUUAAAAAUAUCGAUGGGUGUGUUGGAUACUCUAAAAGUAGUGCAUUUUUGGAGAAUCCGACAAGGGUACGACAACCCUUUUAAAGAGCCCGAGCAACAUAGCUAAUGAGACAUAUGGACACAUGUAAUCAGGAAAUGAGUAGAAAGGUUCUCAUGGAGAGCCAUGUACAUCUACCUACUCUUUUUGACACGAGCAACCUCCUGAAACCCUACCUCCUACACUUUUAUUCUGCUGCACAAAAUUGACGGCUGAUACUCCUUGAGCAUGCUAACAUGACUGGCAAAUUAAAACUACUGCUAGUACCACCACUUUAUGUAUUCCUCCUACCUCUUUGCCAACACCAUACCGUUAACAUUAAUGAUUCACUCAGGUGUUUAGAGUCUUACCUCAAGGUGAGUGCUUGCGAGUUUUGACAUUUCGUUAAAAUGGUUGUGAGUGAGGUACAACAAACCUGAGAGUUAUGCGCUUUGACAGCCAUCUGACUUCCGCAGUUUUAUAAAUUUAGUUUCUCUUCUGCAGAGUCAUCAUUCACUAUCAUUUAUUACAAACAGGAAACAUAUACUUCAUGAACUUGUCUUUCAAAUCCUGUACGCAUAAAUUACAUGGCGAGUUUCUGCGAUUCCCACAUUCUCAUAUUCCUCACUUAUUGCAGUUAGUAGAUGCUUCAACUUUGAAGAAGGAAGUUGCUGAAGGUGUUGACCUAAUGGUUGUUAGGGAACUUACUGGAGGUUAGUUUGGAAUUCUUAUGUUCAUUGAUAUUCAAAUCAACUUCCGUUAUCAUUAAGUUGUUUUUUACUUUUCUUUCUCAAGAUGGUCUCUCUCUAUGAUUGCAACUUGCUGUUUUUUCCUCAUGUUAAUUAGGUAUUUAUUUUGGCAAACCAAGAGGUUUCAGCACUGAUGAAAAUGGUGAGGAAAUAGGUUUCAACACUGAAGUGUAUGCAACAUAUGAGGUAAUUUGCCUAAAAAAUGCUUCCUGCUGUGCUUCUAAAUAUGACAAAUUUUCUAGUAUUUUAUCCAGUAUUCUCCAGUAAAAGGAUCCCCCCUCCCUUUUAUUUUUGCAUGAUAGCUUCAAGUGAAUGUUCACUUGUGACCUAGUUGGAGAAUUUGAUGAAGUUUCCGGUUUCUUUCUAGUUUUGAUUGGAAAAGUAGUUCGGUUGUGUCAUUUUUUUUUUCUUGGAUUGAAGCUUAUGUGUUGGUUGAUUUUGAUUUUGUUCCAUUUGAGAAUUUGGUAUUGUUUUCUUUUAUAUAUUGAUUAGUACAAUUAACUGCUAGUUGUAAUACAUGGAACAGUUUCUGAAAUUUAUCUGGAACUAUUGUCAAGCGUCAUUUUGUAUGCAAAUAUUUCAAGUUAUUAACUUUGCUUAUAUAACUUAACUCUUUCAUUGUCAUUCGAUUACUGUUGAAGUUCACAUGGAAACUACAUCCAGUAAUGUCUUACUGUUUCAAAAGUAGGAUAGAUUGAGCUCAAGCUUUUCUACCUGAAAUUUGUUCCCAACUUUUACAUCAAUUUUUGGCUUAAAUUCUUUUCAGAUCGACAGAAUUGCUCGUAUUGCAUUUGAAACUGCGAGGAAGCGUCGAGGGAAACUCUGUAGUGUGGAUAAAGCGAAUGUUUUGGAGGUAACACAUAAUCUUUCUCUCCCCAUUCCUCAGCCCUUCUUUUCACUUCCUCUAUUUCUGCCUUCUACUUUUUUUUCCAACACUGUUUCUGUUAUAAAGCAAGUAAAUCUAUUAAUAAUUGCACCAACAUGGUGCUGUAAUAGCUGUCACGUAUAUGAUUUAUCUUUAAUCUUCUGGGAAAAUAAUCUAGUUAACUACCUAGCCAUCUAUACAGAAAGGUACCUAUUCUCUAUACCAGGAGUAGACUAGAAUCAGAAAGAAGCUCGUUAUUCUCCAAGAAUAUCUUUCAACUGGUUCAUUUAUUUCUCUGCAAAUCAUCCAAACAAAAGCCAAAGUGAAGUCGUUCUCAUGCUACUCUUCUCCAAUUAUGAAUCUUCACCAAUCUCAGACUAGCCAAGGUGUCAUAAGGGAAAAACAAAAACCCUUAAGUCGUAACUCGUAUGCAACUGUAAAAUCAAGUGAUCAACAAAAUCUAAUCUACUUUAAGCAAGUUUCUUGUUUAUUCCUUCUGCAGUUGAUGCUUUAAAAGAAUUGUACUAUAGACUAAAGUUUGCAUUGUUUACUCUAAUUUGCCGGUUCCCGCUACUUAAAAUUGCAACUGGGAGACCAUAAAGAGAGCAUUGAGAUCGAGUUCAUUAAGAGUAACUUUUUAUUCUAUAGUGUUGGAGUUCAUGAUUUUGAGAUAUUGGCAGGCUUCCAUGCUCUGGAGGAAGAGAGUUACAGCAUUAGCCUCGGAGUAUCCUGAUGUAGAGCUGUCUCACAUGUAUGUUGACAACGCAGCCAUGCAACUUGUUCGCAAUCCAAAACAGGUACAUUCUUGCUUCUCAAUUUUGGUCUUACCACAUCGAUGACACACUAUUCCAUGGAGUUGAUCCUCGAAAUAAUCGUAAUGCAGUUUGAUACAAUUGUGACAAACAACAUAUUUGGUGAUAUCCUGUCCGAUGAAGCAUCAAUGAUUACAGGAAGUAUCGGGAUGCUUCCAUCUGCCAGUCUUGGUGCAUCGGUAUUUCCGGAUAAUCUCAUUUCCUUGGAAAAAAUAUUGAUUCCUUUUUCUUCUCACUACAAUUCUUUAAUAUCCUCUUACUUUUGGGCAUAUAUUUCCUCUAGGGACCUGGAUUGUUUGAACCUAUACAUGGUUCUGCUCCCGAUAUUGCUGGGCAGGUUGGCUUUUGUAUUUCUUUCUUUCUCCUUUUCUCUUUGCCCUUCUCCUGCUGCUUAACUACUAGCAAACCUCUCCCCACCCCCACCCCCACCCCCGAAAAUUUGUGUAAGUUCAUGCUUAAACGCUAACUUGAAACGUGCAGGAUAAAGCAAACCCUUUGGCAACAAUGCUCAGUGCUGCUAUGCUUCUGAAGUAUGGCCUAGGUGAGGAGAAGGCUGCUCGGAGAAUUGAAGCAGCUGUUUUAGACACCUUAAAUCGAGGAUUCCGUACUGGUGACAUUCACUCAGCAGGACAUGUGAGUUUUUAUCUUUCUUUGAUAGCUCUAUUACUAAAUUGCCAACAACAUUUUUUCGUCUAAACCUCUAUAUGCAUAGGCCGGACCAAUUUUAACGCUGAAACCAUUUGGUAACUAAUGCUUUCAUAUCAAACUUACGACAUGAGUUAGCACUUAAAUGAAACUGUGAGGAUUCAUAUGGUCGACUCUUAACUUGUUUGGGACCGAAGCCUCGUAGUUGUUGUAGUUAUCGUUGCUAACUUGCUAAAUGAGCUUAAACGCGUGUCUUCAGAAAUUGGUCGGCUGCAAGGAAAUGGGCGAAGAAGUGCUCAAAUCUAUCGACAGCAAAACUCCUGCUGCUGUUUAAAUUUAUGAAGAGGCUUCCUUUGAGUGACCUUAGCAAAUGAUCAUUUUGGCAGAUACAUAAUUUUGCAAUUUAUGUCAUCUUCUGAAGGAUUCAAAAUCGAUGAGUGUUGUAUCGUAGCCUAAACGUCUCUAUUAUUUUUCUCUGAAUGUUAUCAAGAAAUUAUCCUGUUGUAACAUGAUCAGCCGGAGAUGCUUGCAUUAGGAUAGGCUGCCUACAUUACAUUCUCUUGAGGUUCUUUGUUCAUCGAGCUGUCCUUUUAUCCUGUUGUAACAUGGAAGGAAAUGAAAAUAAGAUUUAAAGAGGUUCUUUGUUCAUCGAGCUGUCCUUUUAUCCUGUUGUAACAUGGAAGGAAAUGAAAAUAAGAUUUUUCUUUAAUCCUGUUGUAACAUCUGGAAACGGCCUCUGCCAGAAAUGCAAGGUAAGGCUCGCGUACAAUACACCCUUGAGGUGGGGCCCUUUCCCGGACCCUGCGCAUAGUGGGAGCGUUGUAACAUCUGGUUUCGAGUAUGGAAAGUGGAAUCGCCUUUGAUAACGCGUUUUAUACCACAUGAAAUUUCUUGACGCGAAUUUGAAUUUGUCUGAGGUCAAAGCGGGUGCCGAACACCGGAUAAUGAGUACAAAGAAGACCCUAUCACCCUUACCCUAUCCAUUUGCUUCAAGUCAUUUUCAUUCCUUGCUCUUUACAUCUCAGCCAAAUGUAUUGGUUCAGUAUCUUUGACAUUUAAACAAAGAAUAAGCAUAGAACAAGACACCCCCCUCCCCCUCCUCCAAAAAAGAAAAGAAAAAGGCAAUUGUUGAGAUGGAUAAGGUCCUUCUAUCUUUAAUCACGAUUUCAGGUUCGAGUUUUGAGUACGUGAAAAUCAUGUUACGAUGAGCAAUACUUUUUCUUUUAAUGUGUCUUACGUGAUAGGCGGCAACAACAACAACAUAACAACAACAUAUUCCCACAAAGUGGGGUCUUGGGAGGGUAAAGUGUACGCAGUUUAUACCACUACCUCAGAUGAAGCGGAGAGACUGUUUCCGAUAAACCUUCGGCUCAUGACGGAUAACAGUAUAACAACAAAAAUAUAAAAGCACACAAUAAAAUGGGAUAGCACACUGCUUAAAGAAAACAAGACACCAUAAGGUAAUACUAUAAACUAUCUAUUCAAAAUCAUAUAAAUCACCGAAGCACCACGAACAACACAACCGAACUCCUACCACUAACCCUCUACCCUAAUCCGAUUCCUCCACACCUUCGUACCAAGGAUCAUGUCCUCCGUAAACUGUAACUGCUCCAUAAAUGCCUAAUCACCCCUCUCUAAUAAGGAGUGGGGUGGGGUGGGGGGUGCGGGGUAGGGGGUUGUAAAAGGCUAAGAGAGAAUUUUUGGCCGUAGUGAUAGUUGAGAAGACAAUGGAGAAUUGAUUCCUUACAUAGUUCAGAAAGAAGAUUAUAUAUAUAGCAAACUUUCUUAAUCACAACUAUAUAAUCAAAUCUUUUAAUUUUUUUUUUGUCUUUUGUUUUUGAUAGUGAUAGAUAUAAUUAAAUAGGAUAUAAUAAAAGCUAGUUGAAUGAAUUAAUGAAAAAAAAUAACUAUGUACCAAUAUGGAAUUGUAGUGCAGUGGAUGAGGCUGCUCCACUCUUAAUCAGAGAUCGAGGGUUCGACACUGGAUAUGGAGCGGUCACCUUAAUAGGCCCUGCAACGCGUGAGUCGAAUUAAUCGAGGUUUCAAUGUGAGCACUGGACACCGGAUAAGAAACGAAAAAAGAAAAAAAUAACUUUAUCCAAGUUCAGAUAAAAUGUGAUCAAAGUGAUCAAACACAUAGUAAACUUUGGACACCUAUGACAUAAACAUAAAUAACAUAUAUAUAUGAACACUUUCUCAAAUAUUAUCAUAAACAUAAAUUAAAUUCUAUUUGAAUUCUUUAUUUUUUUUAACACUCAUGUAUCAUAAGUUAAUGUCAUAACUUAUCAUAUGAUACAUUCAACACCUUAUUAUUACCUUAAAUAUUUAACUAUUGCGUUAUAGUAAGUUCCUAAUCUUGUAAUAUUAACAUGUACAUUUCCACACUAAAGUUAUUAUAUUAUACCAAAAAAAAAAAAAAAUCUUUAACCAUACUUCUAAUAAAAGAAAACAACAUAAAUAAAGUAAAUUACUUUUCUUUUUAAUUAAAAUUUUAAAGUGACGUACAAUUUUAUCAUUGCUGAUUCACUAAUAACUAACUUUUUCAUCCUAUUUUUCUUUAUCGUCAUUUAAUUUCGCUAAUAAUAAUACACUUCUAUUACCCACCUAAACGCUAUGCCUAGUUUUGGGGCUGGCGUGUGUAAUACACACGUCAAUCUCAUAUUUACACGUAUCUAAGUGAGCGGAUAUAUGUCAUUAAAAUACUAAAAAGAAAGUCUCGGGAUAAUAGGAUCCACAGAAAGUUCAGUAUGCUUAACUACAAAUCGUUCAAAGUUCACGCAUUUUUGUGACUAUUAUUCCUAAUAAUUACUUUACCAAGAUUUUUUUUUUAUUUUGACCACAUCAAAAUUCUAUUUUUUUUCUUCUUUUUUUCCAAUUCAAAAAGCCACUAUCCAUACGCAAAAAGGACUUAUACAACUUCUAUAACUCGUCUAACACGUCAGUAGACCCAAAGGGUAUUUGUAUAUCAUAAAUUCCCACAUGGGUUUUUACUUAUUACUAAAUCUCACUUUCAUUAAAUUCUUGAAAAUAAAAAAAAAUAGUUAAUUUUUCAUUUUUAUUUUGUUUUUGCAAGUUUUUGUUCUUGUUUUGGGUUCUUGAGGUAUAAUUUUUACUGGUUUUUUGCUAAAACUUGAAAGGGUUCUUUCAUUUUCAUUCAAUUCUUGAAAAUAAUUAAAAAAUGACUUAAUUUUUUUUUUAUUCUUGUUUUGGGUUCUUGAGGUACAAUUUUUACUGAGUUUUUGCUAAAUCUUGAAAGGGUUCUUUCAUUUUCAUUCAAUUCUUGAAAAUUUAAAAAAGUUUUAUAUUUUUUUGUUGUUUUGGGUUCUUGGGGUGCAAACUUUCUUGCAAGAAUUUUGAAAAAUGGCCACUGGGGCUGUGGCAGGUGAUCGUAGGAAUGUUAGAAAAGUAAUUUGUGAUGCUGGUGCUGGUGCUUCUGCAGGUAAAUAUAUUCUUGCCUCUUUUUUUGUGUUUGGAUUAAUUUGUACAUUGUUAUGAUCUGAGGUUUAAUGCCAAAGAAGAUAGUACUAAUAGAUUUAUUCAUUGUUUUGCUUUUUGAUCUUGUGAAGUUUUUGAGCUAUUUGAAUGUGAUAUUGAGCUAAUUGGGGGUUGUAAAAAUCAUUGCUUUUUGUAUUUUUGGGUGGUUUUAGUUCAAAAGAAGGUAAGAGAUUUAUUAUUGGUUUUUGAUCUUUAAGUUUUUUGAGCUAUUUGAAUGUGAUUUUGAGCUAAUUCCCAAUGGAGACAAACGCUAGGUGAUUUCUUUCCAUUUGUUGUUGUAGCCUUGGUGGACAGAGUUACCUGGUACUUGUUGCUGGUGGGGAGGUGGCAGGUAUCUCAUGUAAUUAGUCGAGGUGCGCACAAGCUGGACCGGACACCACGGUUAUCAAAAAAAAAUUUGGGGGUUGUAAAAAUCUUUACUUUUUGUGUUUUUGGGUGGUUUUAGUUCUAAAGAAGAUAAGAGGUUUAUUAUUGGUUUUUGAUCUUUGAGUUUUUUGAGCUAUUUGAAUGUGAUUUUGAGCUAAUUGGGGGUUGUAAAAGUCUUUGCUUUCUUGUAUUUUUGGGUGGUUUUAGUUCUAAAGAAGGUAAGAGGUUUACUAUUGGUUUUUGAUCUUCGAGUUUUUUGAGCUAUUUGAAUGUGAUUUUGAGCUAAUUGGGGGUUGUAAAAAUUUUAGUUUUUGUAUUUUUUGGGGGUGGUUUUAAUGCUAAAGAAGGUAAGAUAUUUAUUCCUUGUGUUAUUUUUUGAUCUUUGAGUUUUGUGAGCUAUUUGAAUGUGAUGUUGAGCUAAUUGGGGGUUGUAAAAAUCUUUGAUUCUUGUAUUUUUGGGUGGUUUUAACUCUAAAGAAGGUAAGAGACUUAUUCAUUGUGUUGAUUUUUGAUCUUUGAGUUUUUUGAGUUAUUUAAAUGUGUUUUUAGUUAAUUGGUGGUUGUAAAAAUCUUUGCUUUUAUAUCUUACGGUGAUCCUUUAGGUUCUAUUGCUGCUAUAUUUGUGUCUAUUGGAGGUAGGGGAAGGGAAAGGGGAAAUGGGCGGAGUGAGUUGCAAGGCAAGGAGUCGAAUCAUCACCAAUAAGGUGAUAGUUCAGAUAGACAACCAACUACCAACUGAGCUACUAAGAUUCCUCAAUUAACUUGUCCAUUGUUAUGAUCUGGGUUUUUAAUGCUAAAUAUGAUAAGAGAUUUAUUCAUUGUGUCGAUUUUUUGAUCUUUGAUUUUUUUUUGAGCUAUUUGAAUGUGAAUUUCAGUUAAUUGGGGGUUGUACAAAUCUUAGCUUUUGUGUAUUUGGGUGGUUUUUUUUAGGUGCUAUUGCUGCUACAUUUAUGUGUCCAUUGGAUGUUAUUAAGACAAGACUGCAAGUACAUGGUCUGCCCCAGGCGUCUCAAUCUGGUCGUCAAGGUUUGUGCUCGUCGUUGUCUCUUUUAUUAGAAAUGAUAAGAACUUCUAUCCUGUUAUGAAGUGGUUCCAAGUGAACAAAUGCGAAAUGAAGUAUUAAGAUUAAUGUGAUAUUCUAAUUGAGUUAUUUUAUAGCUCUAGUAAUGAUACGGCAAUGAUGUCUUAUAUAUAGCAGUUAAGCACACUUCUUAUUCAAAACUUAACAACCACGAAUAUUCCUGUUUGCGUUUUGUGUGAGCAAAAAAACACUCAGAUCAGCGUAUCUGGAAAGUGGGCUGCUUUUACCCCGAUUUUAUUCAGUUCAAUGGAUUCAAAGUUCUUCCAGUUCUAGUAUAUUUCCAAUAAAAGAAGUCUGGCUGUUCCUUUAAAUUCUUAGCCAUCAUCUCACGUGCAGUAGAAGUAUUAGUUUCCUUAUCAAAAAAACAGUAGAAGUAUUAGUUAUUCUGAUUGGUUGCUUUACCGAGCCGCAAUGUAUCCUCAUCUCCCACCUUGUCCUAGAAACUUAUUCAUCCAUGUGUUCUUCUAAAUUGUUUAACUAAGGUAUUUGUUUGCAUAAAACUAAAGGCGCUGUACAGUAGGAUUAUACAAUUACCUCGUCCAAACCUAAGUGCGACUACAAAAACGUAUAUCCAACCAUUAUGCAUGGAUGGGAUCUCUUUUGAGCUCCAACAUAGCAACAAAAAGAAAUUUACAUUGUGAAUUUAGGAAUUUUGUUUUGUCUUGGAGGCUUAAUGAUUUCAUUUUUCACAAGACUGCACCUUUGUGGAUAAGAGCUAUUUUGUUGUGCUUUUUGGCUGUCUUCGCAUUCCUUCAGCUUUCCUCUCAGAUAGACUGCCCAUUAGGCCGCUCUUUUUCCAAUUUCCAUUUUCUCCAACAUAGGAUGUCCAGUGUGUUGAUUUCGGUGCUUUUUCUUGGAUUUAUGCUUUCCAAACUUGAUGUAGUCAUUUCCUAAAUGGAUUUCACAUUCUGUAUGUUGUGCACUCUCGACUCAUCGCAUCUCUAUGGGAAAUUUCCUUUGACAGUGAGUAUAAUUUGGUGAGUUUUAGAAGAGAGUUGCUGUCAACUUUCUGCUGAAGGUUUCUAGGGCUAGUUUUGUUGUCUUCUUAAUUUAAACAAGUGUUUCUUUGAGGAGCUGAUAAUUGGUCUUUCAUUUUGUUCCUUCUUCGAAUAAGUUUAUUGUUUUUUGGUUGUCUUGAUAAACCUAUUAAGAUCAAUGGUUACCUUCGAAAAAGAAGUGAAGAAUAAAGAAAAAGCCAAAUCCAUAUUACUGGCACACUUAUUUUUCCUUGAAUUAUUGGACAACAAACAGGUAGUGUCAUUGUCACAAGCUUACAGACUAUACUAAGAAAGGAAGGUUUCGGGGGACUUUAUCGUGGCCUUUCACCAACAUUGACAGCUCUUCUUCCAAACUGGGCGGUAAGCAUCGACUUGUUCGGUUUCUGCUUUGUUGUGGAUUGCAAUUAGUUGGAGUUCCUUUAUUAAAUGAAUCAUCGAAAUUGAAUGAAAUAAUAUUCAGAUAUUCUCUUUGGCCUCUUAUGGAACUUCAUUCUUUAUUAUUAUAAUAAUGCAAUGAUUAGCCCUUCCUUACACGUCACCACACACACUCUGUUAUUGUUGAUGAAGAAUAAAAAUCAAUAAGGCCUUUUUUGGGGCGGGGGUAGGUGUUGCUGUGUCGGACUCCUGGAUAACUUUGUAAUGUUAUUGGCUUUGUUCACAACUGACUCCAUGUUGGCAUAUAUUUUCUAUGCAUGCUGAAAUGCCGAAUCCACUCACCUUGUUUCUGAAAUUUCCACAUAUAAGAAACCGUUUUGAUAGGAAACAUUCAUCUUCUGCAGGUAUACUUUACAGUUUAUGGAUAUCUCAAGGAUUCGUUGCAUUUGCAUGGUAAUCUUUUACUCUAUUGGUUAUCUGGACCAUUAUCUUUCGUCACUUCUUUUUUCUUUUUCUUUUUGUCUGAAUGCCAUAGUGUUAUUUAAUCCUUUUACUAUUUGGAAGUCCGAAGUUGUUAUGGAUCUUUACCAAAUAAUAUCUUCUUGUGCGAUAAAUGCAGUGGAUAGCUGUGGGCAGCUUACAAUUGGUGCAAACAUGAUUGCUGCUGCAGGAGCGGGGGCUGCAACAUCCAUUGCAACAAAUCCAUUGUGGGUUGUUAAGACCCGGCUCCAAGUAGGUUUCAUGUUCUUAUAUAGUUAGCGCUGAUUUAUUCUUCUGUGCACACUUCUUGUGCCUAGCUAUGAUCUGUGCCCUUUCAUUUUUCUAUAUAUUUCUUUGUCCUGCUCUAGUUGCUUCAGUCUUUAUCAGUGUACUGUUAUCGUGUCCAUGUAUGCUUUCCUUCAUCAAAUAUCAUCGGAAAGAAGGAUGGGAAUAGGUGAAACACAUUUUUUUUCCCUGUUGGGGCUCAAUUGUGGAGUAUCAGAACUUUCUUUUUUAUGUUGGUGUUAUUCGAGUUAGCUUGUGUGUAACUCAAUGAUUUUACCGGGUACUUGCUAGUUGCUACCUCCCACUAGCACAGAUACCUGGUAACUCUGUGAACCAGGCUUAAGCGGAUGAGCAGAGAUCACCUAGUAUUUUUUUUUGCCUCUGUUGGGAUUGGAGCAUUAGAGUUUCUACCGUCUGUAUCUAAGCCUGUUAAAAUAAUUAGUAUUAGGCUGCACUGUCGCGAGUGAAAGAAAUAUUCCUCGGGUUUCUCCGUCUUCCUCCAUACCAAAAAGGAGUUUCUCAUUUGCACUUGUAGUAUGUUCACUUUUCCAUCUUGUGGUGAUACCUUUGAUAUAGUAUUAUUCAUCAUGUGUGUGAUACCUGAAUGGAUGAAAAAAUUCGAUGGAAGAUAGUUUUAGACUUAAAGAAUUCUCAACGGAGAGCAGAAUGCAGAUUUCACACAGUUUAGAAAACCUGAUAGAUGCACUAAAACCGAUGCAUGGCUAGUAGAAAAGUUGACUUGGGAAUUGAGUGGAACUCACAUCCAACAAGCAGCAUAAGUUCCUUUUUUCUUUAUGACAAGAAACAGAAUUUGAAGACGGGAACCUCUUGAUAUAUGAUCAAAUAUAGGAGCAAAGCUGAGAUUGCUUUCCCACGUUAGAAAGAGAAAAGUUAUGAGGGAGAGAUUCUAAAAUUUACGAGGGUAAGAAACCUAUUGGACUGAAGCUGCAAGUGUAGGGGAUAAAAUGGGAGGUCAUUUGAGGUGGUAUGAUUAUGUCAUACUUCGACCUCCAGAUGUACCUCUCUGUAUGGCCGAGACCAUGGUGAGUAAAGUUGCUAAAGAGGAAUGAGACCGACGGAAAAUCAUAUGGAAAGUAGUAGUCUCGAAAGUGCAUAUUUUACACUGCACAAUAGGGUAAACACAAACACAAAUUCUUUUGUGUAUAUAUGAACUUUUGAAUUCUUUGAAAUAAAAUAAAACAAAAAACUUUUAGUGUAGAGGCAAAAGUGGUUCAAAAAUACUAUUUCUCACAUUUUAUAUUUCCUCUAAUCUCUUUGUUAAAUUCCUGACUUCGUUUGUGCAUGCAAAUCUAGUGAAAAUUAGAAUAGUAUGGAAGAAAAAAAUGUGUAUAAUACCUAUUAGUUGGGAUUAAUUUAGACAUCUUCAUGUUUUCUUUAGAUUCAAUAUUUGCUAAAGUGUCUUCGUCUAGGAAGAGAUCUAGAUGCCAGUAAAUAUCGUUGAUAAUUUCUGAUGCUAGAGAAACUAAAUUUUUAUACUUAAAUGGACACACAUAGAUAGUGUGGAUUCUCACGGUCGAUCCCAACUUGCUUGGAAUUGAGGCGUCAUUGUAGUACCCAUUGCUGUAAGGAUCUGCACAUGGUGCCGAUACAAUUGCAUCCUAGUUCAACAUAAACAUGCUAAGUGUUCACGUAACAUAGGCUAAAAAGCACAAGUUUCUAAUACCGUUUGAGUUUAUUGUUCGGGUGUCCUUAAUUAGUGUUGGAAUAACAACUUGCAUUUGCUUCUCUAUGUUCCUGAUAUUUUCUUUUCCUCAUUCUUUAGACACAGGCGCUGAGGGAGGGUGUAGUUCCUUAUAAAGGUACAUUGUCUGCUUUAAUACGAAUAGCACAUGAAGAAGGGAUCCGCGGAUGGUACAGGUUAGUUCUGUUGUGAAGAUGAGUUAUACGAACUUUUUACUUAAACGUGUUUCAUCCUUUGUAGAGAGGCUUCAGUUCCAUAUCCUCUUAGCCAACUAAGCGAAGCUGGAAAACAUCUUCGUAGGAUAAUAAUUACCCUUGUCCCCCCAAAAAAAAUGCAAUAUCCUUUCAUCACGUGAUGUUGACUUGGAAAAUUUUACCUUAAUGUUUCACAUCUCUGGCUAGUUAUUUCGGGAUUGAUAUCUCCGUUUCCUUUGGGUUGCAGUGGCCUCUUGCCGUCUUUGGCUGGGAUAAGUCAUGUUGCUAUCCAGUUUCCAGCGUAUGAAAAGCUGAAAUCGUACUUGGCAAAAAGGGGUGAGAAGUUGUUUUCUUUUAUCAGUUGCGGAAGUUUGUUGUCCAUUUGUCUCUUAUCUGAUUGAUCACGUGAUGUCUAUCUCGAACUGCCAGCCAAUAAGCAUAUCGAUGAACUGAACCCUGGUGAAGUAGCGAUUGCCUCUUCGAUGGCCAAAGUAGUUGCCUCUGUAAUGACUUAUCCACACGAGGUAAGCGGAAAAUGGACCAAGAUCAUCUUUUUGUUCUUUCGCGGAAUCACUGUCCUACUUAUUAAUCUAUCGUUCUUGAUCAGGUCGUGCGUUCUAAACUACAAGAACAAGGGCAAGCAAGAAACUCAGAGAAAGCAUAUAACGGGGUCGUUGAUUGUGUAAAAAAGAUGUUCAAACAGGAACGCAUUGCUGGAUUCUACCGGGGCUGUGGAACCAAUCUCCUACGGACGACUCCCUCUGCUAUUAUUACAUUUACCAGUUAUGAAAUGAUCCACAGAAUCUUUCAACGCGUUAUACUUCCAGAAGAGGAUUCAGAACCAAAUCCUAGACGGAAAUCCCAUAAGGUACCCGAAGAACAUGGAGACAAUGACGAAAACUUACAACAAUCAGAAAGCACGUCGAAUAAGAGAACUCCUUUAAUUCCUUUGAGUAACUCUGAUAAUCUAACUGCUAGACAUUGAUUAGAGAUGUUUUUUCUUUUUCGUCGCGGAGGCAAUUUGCAACAAGUGUUUGCUGUUGCACAAUUUUUUCUUUUGUAACUGGCCAUUUCUGGCCAAGGAAGUCUUAUAUUUCGAUCUAAUAAAGAAGCGCGCGGAUAGUUUUCCGAUAAGUCUUUCUUCAACAUCUUUGUUUAUUUGUUCUACACUUCUACUGCAUCUUUCUCUUUGUGCCUCUCUCUCUGCCGUCACAAGGUAGGAGUAAGAUUUGCGUACACAUCACCCUCCCCAGAUCCCACUUGUGGAAUACACUUCUACUGCAUCUUUCUCUUUGUGCCUCUCUCUGCCGUCACAAGGUAGGCGUAAGGUUUGCGUACACAUCACCCUCCCUGGAUCCCACUUGUCGGAUACACUUCUACUGCAUCUUUCUCUUUGUCCCUCUCUCUCUCUGCCGUCACAAGGUAGGAGAUAGGUUUGCGUACACAUCACCCUCCCCGGAUCCCACUUGUGGAAUACACUUCUACUGCAUCUCUCUCUUUGCGCCUCUCUCUGCCGUCACAAGGUAGGCGUAAGGUUUGCAUACACAUCACCCUCCCCGGAUCUCACUUGUGGAAUACACUUUACUGCAGCUUUCUCUUUGUGCCUCUAUCUGCCGUCACAAUGUAGGAGUAAGGUUUGCGUACACACCACCCUCCCCGGAUCCCACUUGUGGAAUUACAUCGGAUAUGUUGUUGUUGUCGUCGUCGUCGUUGCAUCCGAAAAAUAGUGGUGACUGGUGAAAGCAACAACAAAAUUGGGGUCCUUUUCUUUCACCAUGUGAAAGUAUAGGCUAAAUCUUGAUUAUUGACCCGUUCUUGGAGGAAAUUUCUAAUAAAGGAAUUUGUCUGCAGACAAUUUAUUGCAAACCAAUUUUUGGUGGAAAUUGAAUUAGUCAUAGUCUGAAAUCCCAUCUUAUUAACUUUCUUGACAGCCAUUAAAUUCCAAAUAAUUAAUGCGAAAACGAACGCGAAAAGUUUUGACUAAAAGGCAAUACCUGCUAUCUCCUACCAGUAUUGGUGCUCGGUAACUUUAUCCACAAGUAUUUGGAAACUAUGUAAACCAAUGCUUAUUGAAAGAAAUCACCUAGCGAUUUUUUUGUCUCCAUGAUUUUCACCACUUCAUUAACCGUUAGGCUACAACUUUUGAUGCUACAUGUAUUGGUGUUGGCUUCAAAGAGUGAUUGCACUAAAAAGGGCAGCCCGGUGCACUAAAGCUUCCGCUAUGCGGAGUAUUCAAGGAAGGGCCCCACCACAAGGGUGUAUUGUCCGCAGCAUUACUGCUAGAGGCUGUUUCCAAGGCUUGAACCCGUGACCUCCUAGUUACAUGGCAGCAAACUUUACCAGUUCAUAUGGCAACCUGUUAUUGUAGAUAAACUCAGGGCUAGGAUAACCCAAAGAGAAAAUUUUCCAAAAUCUUCAAUGAGAGAAAGAUCCCUUUAUUUGCACCAACAAAUUAAUUAGCUUCCGGUCUAAGGGCCAUUUUGCUCGGACUCUUCAAAAAUGCUGACGUGCAUGUUGGAACCUCUGAAUGUAGUCCAUUUUUGGAGGAUCAUACACAGGUGCGACAACAUUUUAGAAGAAUCUGAGCAACAUAGUCUAAAAGGGAAUCAUAUACAUAUAUGAAUAUAACUAACACUUUAAGAAAGCUUCAUGUACUAUGUUCAUGAACUAUGUAUGCCUUAAGCAUCAACCAAUUAAACAGGCUGCAACAAGCAAAAAUCUCAAUAAAAAAAUGGUGUCAUGCUUAUCUUGAUGUGUCUCUAACAUGAAGGGGAAAAAAGGAUUAUGAAUAUCACAUAUGUUGCUCGGACUCUUCAAAAAUGUCAUUGGGUAUGUGUCGGAUCCUUCAAAAGUAGUGCAUUUUUGAAGGAUCUGACACGGGUGCGGCCACAUUUUUGGAGAGUCCAAGCAACUUAUAUCACCCUCCAGUACUAGUUGUAGUGGAGCUACUAGCCCAUGUAUCAAUCACAGUAUCAGGUGAAGCUGGAAUGUUUUUCUUCAAUAACACAGCAUCAUCUGUUUCAGAAGGAUAACGACGAAAUUUUACAGUUCUUGGCUUGGUAUGAUAGCUAUCGGUAUCCUUUUUGUGAUAAUCUUUCCAUUCACCGUCUUUUAUAGUCUUCAACGUUUCAUGUACUUCUUCCAUUGUAGGUCUCAUGUCUUUGACAACUUGCAAGCACCGAAAAGCUAGUUCUGUGACUGAUUUUGUCAUCCUUCUAACUUCAGCAUCUGUGUCAAAUCCAAGAAAUGGAUCGAUCACCUCAUGGUAUGCGCUUUUUAGUAUCCUGUUCAUCGCGUAGUUAGCCAAACUAAUCUCGUGCAUAUGUCUAUUCAUAUCUAUAGCUGGCUUUGAUGAUAUAAGCUCAACAAGGACAACCCCAAAGCUAUAAACAUCACUCUUAUCAGUAAGCUGGUAACAUUCGUGAUACUGAGGAUCAACAUAUCCCGGGGUCCCUUGAGGCGCAGUUGAGAUAUGAGUAACGUCAUUAGGGAAGAGUUUUGACAGCCCGAAAUCUGCUACUUUGACACAGAACUCAUUGUCCAGGAGAAUGUUAUUAGUCUUGACAUCGCGGUGUAUGAUGUCGGAAGCAUGAAGGUAAGCCAACGCACUAGCAGUUUCUAUGGCGAUUUUGAGCCUUAUAGGCCAUGUUAGUAACCUAUCCUUCGCUCGAUGCCCGUGCAGGUGAUCAGAAAUUGUUCCAUUGGAAAUGUACUCAUAAACAAGGAAGAGUUCACGGCUACGUCUUGCUGUGCAUCCAUAAAGAGUAACAAGAUUCGGAUGCCUAAGUCGAGUAAGAAUUUCAAUUUCAUUGAUAACCUGUUGCAUUUGCCUGUGGUUGUGCUCGUAAAGUCUCUUAACUGCAAGUUCUUUUCCAUCUCGAAGUUUUCCUGAUUUGAAACAUAACGAAAUGGCUGUUAGAUCAAGAUUCUUACUAGGUGCAUUACCCCUCGAGACGCAAAACAGACAAAACAAACUCUUGUAGAUUGUCUUUAGAAUAUUCCUCCCUCCACUGUCCGUUGUCUUACUUUCCUUUUUAGUCCAUUUUAAAAAAGAAUGCCUGUUUACAACUCGUUAAUUCUAACUUUACACGUGGCAUGUUUAAGACCACAUAAUCAAAGGACAUUUUGGUACAUUCUACAUAUCUUUAAUUUAAAAAACCACAACAUUCAAGUCUCUUUUACUUAAACUCCGUGCCAAGUCAAAACAAGACAAACAAAUUGAAACGGAGCAAGUAACGAGACUUUCUUACCAUAGUACACGGUUCCAUAACCUCCAUCACCAAGUUUUCUAGAAGAGCUGAAUUUAUUGGUGGCUUCUUCAAGUUCUGUGUAGGAGAAUACCGGGAUCCCUAGGUAUUCACAACGUUCCUCGAGCUCAUGAUGAAUCAUUGAAAUACCAGAUGUAUUUCUUGAAAGAAUUGAUGAAGAAUCAUUUUUCUUCUUGUAAAACCAUAGAAAACAAGCAAUUGCGCAGAGUCCAAUAAGGGAACCGAUAAAUGCUGAAGCUGAAGCACAAAAAAAACCGAUCAACGGGCAUAAACCGUGGACUAAAGUUAAAUAUUUAGAUUCUUUUUAUUCUUGUUAUUGAGAGGGAGCCUUUAGACAACAAUAAGAGUUUCCGUCAUUCGACCAAGAGGCCACAGGCCAGGCUCGAGCAGUGGUAAUAGCCUCUUUGUAUACAAUAAGACCUAAUGUCGUUGUUAUUGUAGAAAUAAAAUCAUAAAGGCUAAAUCUUGUGAUUGACAGUCUUUUCAAGAAUAGGGGAGUACAGAAUAAAGAGUUUGCAAGACAAAAGAGAAUCCGCUGGAACUACGAAAAAGGUAUUCUACUCGAUUCCCCCACAGUCUCACGCCUUUUCAUCAGAUAACAAAGUAGAGUUCGCUCCACUAUGUUGCUCAGACACUUCAAAUAUGUCGACGGGUGCACGUCGGAUCCUCCAAAAAUAGUGAAAUUUUGAAGGAUCCGACACGGGUGCGGCAACUUUUCUGGAGAGUCCGAGCAACUUGCUCCAGAACCCUCCACAGCCCAGGGCAGAAACAACAAAAUGUAAAACAACAAAAAUGUAGAUAAAAUGGUAAAGACAGAUACCUGCAACUAUCACUUUCACCUUUCUCCGAUGAUUUUCAGCCCCUACGAACAAUGAAAAUGUAAGCUGAACCCAAAAAAAAGAACCAAAAUCUUUAAUGUGAACCAUGAAAAAGUGCUUUUACCAUUGUUGGUAUCAGAACAAAGAAAGUUGUUAGUAGUAUUAUCAGUUUGACACUUGCCUCCUGUAAAAUAACACCUAUUACACUCAUCAGAAACAGUCCAUCCUAGUACAACUUCAUCAGUUAACAGAUGAAAUAAUCCACUAUCAUUCGAUUUCGCUUCUGAACUCCGUGCCACGGGCAAUCGUAUAAACGAACAGCCGCUACGAAGAAAUCCUGGGUAAUAACUAAGUGAUGUGUUAUAGUAAAGUAUGAAAUCUUCACACUCAUUGUAACUUUGAUAACUUCUUGAUUUGAAAAAAUCAUCAUGUAUUCUCUUCUGGCUACUGUUGCAUUUGAACAAAUUGAGUAACCGAUCGAAUCGAUACGUGAUUGAAGGAGAGAUAGGGAUGGACACAUUCUUAUCAAAAAUCUUGCAGCUGUGAGUCUUCAAAAGUCCAUCAAGACUAGUGUCCUUAAGUGUGAUAAACACAUCAAAUUUUUCAAGAGCUUGAUAUGUCACUCCACCCAAUUCAAUUAUAGGAUUUGGACUAACAUCACAAUCAACUUUUCUUAAUCCACAAUCAUGUUCAGUGGAUUUAUAGAAAGGAAAGCUCAAAUUUGUUAACUUUCCACAUUGGAAGUCAUUAGUACAGUUUAAGUAAGAUGUUUUCUGUCCUUGAGAUGAAUCAAAGCACCAAAAAUGAAAGAAAAUGAAGACAGAAAACCAAGAAAACAUAUCCAUGAUGAACCCUUUUGGAUAAAAAACAUCUAACAGUUAAACAAAAACAACUUUUUUUGUUAGUUUGGAUUUGCUUUGUAAUAGGAUUGCAUUAAUGUUGUUGUGUAAUGGACACGUUAAGUUGACUCAAACAUGUGGAAACAAGACUUUGAAGAAAGACAGUUUGAUGGAAGAUUGGAGCAAAUUGUGUGUGGGACCUUUGUGACUUUUACAACAUGGGGAAUUUUCUAUUCACCUUCCUUCCAUUUAUUGAUUGUUCAAAGAUAGAUUUGUCUUCUAGUGUUCGAAACUUCCUGAUCCAACUAAUUUAGAUUCAUGUCAUGUAAGUUCGUUAAGGAAAGUAAACCAUUCCUAAUCAUCAAGUUCUAUUUUUUCACAAGACUCAGUCUGAAAUGUCUGGUUAUUAAUGGUUUAGAGACAAUUUUUUCUUUUGGCGUCCGAAACUUACUAAUCCGAUUAAUUCAGAUUCAUGGUUACUAUGGUUUAGAGAUAAUUUUUUCUUUUGGCGUCUGAAACUUACUGAUCCGACUAAUUCAGAUUCAUGUAAUGUAAACUCGCUAAGGAAAGUAAACCAUUCCUUAUCAUCAAGUUCUUUUUUUCUCAAGACUCGAGUCUGAAAUAUCUGGUUAUUAAUGGUUUAUAGACAAUUUUUUUCUUUUGGCGUCCAAAACUUACUCAUUCGACUAAUUCAUAUUCACGGUUACUAUGGUUUAGAGAUAAUUUUUUCUUUUGGCGUCCAAAACUUACUGAUUCGACUAAUUCAGAUUCACGGUUACUAUGGUUUAGAGACAAUUUUUUUUUUGGCGUUCAAAACUUAUGGAUCCGACUAAUUCAGAUUCAUGAUUAUCAUGGUUUAGAGACAAUUUUUCUUCUGGUGUUUGAAACUUACUGAUCCGACUAAUUCAGAUGCAUGUAAUGUAAGCUCGUUGAGGAAAGUAAACUGUUCCUUAUCAUCAAGUUCUUUUUUUCUCAAGACUCGAGUCUAAAAUAUCUGAUUAUUAAUUGUUUAGAGACAACUUUUUUCUUUUGGAGUCCGAAACUUAUUGAUUCGACUAAUUCAGAUUCAUGUAAUAUAAGCUCAUUGAGGAAAGUAAACUGUUCCUCAUCAUCAAGUUCUUUUUUUUCUCAAGACUCGAGUCUGAAAUAUCUGAUUAUUAAUGGUUUAGAGACAACUUUUUUCUUUUGGAGUCUGAAACUUACUGAUUCGACUAAUUCAGAUUCAUGUAAUGCAAGCUCGUUGAGUAAAGUAAACCAUUCCUUAUCAUCAAGUUCUUUUUUUCUCAAGACUCGAGUCUGAAAUAUCUGGUUAUUAAUGGUUUAUAGACAAUUUUUUUCUUUUGGCGUCCGAAACUUACUGAUUCGAUUAAUUCAUAUUCAUGUCGCGUAAGUCCGCUAAGGAAGGCAAACCAUUCCGUAUCAAAAAGUUCUCUUUUCUCGAGAUUCAAAUCCGAAACAUCUGAUUAAAAGUAUGACUCUUUCUUAUAAAGGGACAUGCCAAAUCAUUCCUUCCACAUAUAAGGUGACCCCAUAAAGUAGUUAGGAAAAAUGAGUACCCUCUUUUAAAAGUUGAAAAAGACACUUGCAUAAAUAAGUCUUUUCACUUUUGACUCUUCUUGGUAUAUUAUUAAAUUCUUUUGACACAACACACUAAAGGAUUCACGUAGACAUUAAGGUUGUCAAAAAUACGAUUUUAAUUAGUCCAGAAGGUAAGAAGAGCCUCCUAAAGUUCGGGUGUGUCUCAGCUUUUUUGCGUAUAGUUCAAGGUGAUAAUAGAGCAUUUUCCCUUUAAAUUGUUUUAGCAAAAUUUGUUAAUUAAAAAAUCAAGCUAAUAUGGUUUACUUAUAUUUUGGUUAUAUUAAGCUUGCAUUUUAGUGAAUUAAUGAGAUGGAAUUCUUAAGACCAAAUUAGUCUAGUCUAAAUCUAGAAUAGUAAAAUUCUUGAACAUCAUAAUUAUAUAGUUUUAUCUUUUUAACUAACUUCAUUAUUAUUGUAACUGGUGUUUGAUCAUUGCAAAAUUUUCUAGUGAAGCCAAUGAGGGAAAAAAAUGCAGCCUCUUUACUUUGUACUGUGGCGAAGCUAGGGGGCGCAAGGGGUUCAUCUGAAUUGUCUUCGCCUUUGAAAAUUAUACGAUAUGUACGAGGUAGAGAUUACUUUUUUAUUGGUAUUAUAGUAGAUGUUGAAUACACGUUGCUUCUUCAUGUGUUUACUUCUUUAUAUUUUGAAACACCUGAUUCUGCGACUUAAUAUGUUUAGUGCAAAUCCAUACUCUAGAAUUGCUUCCAUGACAUUCAUAGAGAAAUGGAAUCUAUGGUGGUUUUUGAUAGGCAAUAUGUGGAGUGUUGUCACUAGGACGGACCGUACAAAUAGAGGUGAUCUAUGCGUAGUCAUUCUAGGCAGGGGCGGAACUACAGUUCGCCUUAUGGAUUCAGCAGAACCAGUAGCUUCGGUAAAAUUCACCGUACGGUUCAUAGAAGGAUAUGAAAAAGUACUUAUUUGUUGGGAACUUUCACUCCUCUAUAUUCGAAAUAUGCCUUUCUAGGAGCAUUACGAUCCCCGGCAAGAACUUUCUCUAUUGUGAUUUUUUUGGCGAGUUCGGUCAGGAGGGACGAAAGAGAGAUGCUUUCUGUCAGUCGAAAGCAGAUAUCGUCCCCCCAUGCUCCCACGGUCCGCUUACCGAGGAAUAGAAAGGAAGGACCCGGGGCCUUCUAUGUCCAACCUAAAAUGGAUGGAACACAAGAUAGAUGAAGACUAGAAAUUGCUAAAUCGACUGUUCCUCUAGAAUGGUUGGUACUUGGUAAUACCGCUAGGAUAAACCGUUCAACCAGUACCAUAACCAACUUCUUAUGCGGCCGGGCUCAAUAGGAGCAAGAGACUCAGAGGCAACAACCAAAACGAAGAGAGCAUGACCUAAAAUGGAUGAAACACCAUAUAGAUGAAGACUAGAAAUUGCUAAAUCGACUGUUCCUCUAGAAUGGUUGGUACUUGGUAAUACCGCUAGGAUAAACCGUUCAACCAGUACCAUAAGUAAUACCGCUAGGAUAAACCGUUCAAUCAGUGCCAUAAACAACUUCUUCUGCGGCCGGGCUCAAUAGGAGCAAGAGACUUAAGAGUCAGAGUCGACAACCAGAACGAAGCGAGGAUGAAACAAGUACCCAAUAAUAUUCAGUUAAAGCUAUGGCUUGGCUUCAAUGAAGUGUGUAUUUUCUGCUUAUCUACAUGAACUAGGAAACGAAAAAAGCGCAUGAAUCUCAUGUACUAGUGGCACUUGUGCUAGAGCCACUAAUCCACACUUGAGUUACAGAAAUCGGUGAAGUUGGAAACUUGUUGAGUUUCUUUAAUAAUGUAUCUACUUCUGAUUCAGGUGAAAGAGGGACUUGUACACUCUCUUUAGUAUUGUCAUCGCAAUCCGUUUUCUCAUCAUGUUUAAACUCACCAUGUUGAAUUUCUUGCAAUGUUUCUAGUACUUCAACCAUUGUAGGCCUCAUGUCCUUGUCAUGUUGCAAGCAUCGGAAUGAUAUCUCGGCUACUGAAGUAGUCAUCCUUCUAACUUCUGCAUCAGACUGAAAACCAAGGGACGGGUCUAUCAACUCGUCGAAUGCACACCUUAAAAUCCUGUUUAUUGCGUAGUUAGACAAGUUUAUCUCUUCGUUACGUCUACUGAAGUCCACUGCAGGCAUGGAUGAUAGCAGCUCAACAAGGACUACCCCAAAGCUAUAAACAUCACUUUUAUCAGUAAGCUGGUAACAUUCGUGGUACUUUGGAUCGACGUAUCCAGGGGUACCUUGAGGUGCAGUUGAUAUGUGAGAAAUAUCAGUUUGAUGAAGUCUUGAAAGUCCAAAAUCUCCGACUUUGACACAGAAGUUUUGAUCAAGUAGUAUGUUGUUACUCUUUACAUCGCGGUGGAUUAUAUCAGAAGCGUGCAGAUAUGCCAGAGCAGUGGCAGCUUCAACAGCAAUUUUCAUCCGGAUAGGCCAGGUGAGCGAACCAUCCUUCACCUUAUGACCGUGCAAAUGAUCAGCUACCGUUCCAUUAGGGACAUACUCGUAUACAAGUAGGAGUUGGUCGCUGAGUCUAGACGUGCAACCAUAAAGCGUAACAAGAUUUUUGUGCCUUAGCCUUGUUAGAAUUUCAAUCUCAGUUACAAACUGCUCCUUUCUCCUAGCAUUGUGGUCGUAUAGGCGUUUUACGGCAACUUCUCUCCCAUCCUGAAGUUUCCCUAGUUAUAUAGCAUACGAGAGUUAGAACAGUAAUAGCUAGACACCUGCAUUAUCAAAUCGAUGAUUGCUUUUAAAAGUUUCUUACCGUAGUAUACUGUUCCAUAUCCUCCAUCCCCGAGUUCUCGGGAGGAAUCAAAAUUCAUGGUAGCUUGUUGUAGUUCAGCAUAAGAGAAGAUGGGAACCCCAAAGAACCCGCUGUCUAAAUCGCAGCUUCGUGUUGAGGGCUCUGAAGGGGUGCUUCUUGGAAGAACGUUAGAAAAUCUUCGAUUACCUUUCUUGCAACAGCAGAUUAUAUUGAUCGCUAUGCUGAUUGCUAUGAUCGAAAAACCACCAAGCACUGCAGAGCACAUGAGAUGUUAAACAGGUCACAUUUUAUGUUUGUGGUAUAUAUGUUAGCAAUGUUGCUCGGACUCUCCAAAAAUGCUCUCGUACCUGUGUCAGAUCCUCCAAAAAUCCACUAAUUUUCGAGGAUCUGCACAAAUCGGACGGCAUUUCUGAAGAGUCCGAACAAACAUAGAGUUACAAAUAAAAGCCACGGAAAAAUACAUAAACAAGACAUUCAAACUUCGAGAGUGCACAUCUAGAUACCUCAACUUGGUCUCAACUGACAACUAAACACUCCCAACUCGUCCUUACUCGUGGACACCUACGUGACACAUAAAUUUUGGAGGUUUUUAGAUGAUCAUUUUGUAAGUCGGAGCAUUCAUCUGACACGGUGGAAACAAGUUGAGGUGUCUAGAUGUGCAUACUCAAAAUCAGAGUGUUUACUUGCCAGCCGAGAUCAAGUUUUGAGUGUCUAAUUGUGUAUUAUACCAGAAAAGGAAAGAGAUUCUUUUUUAAACGGACUAAAAAGAAAAGUACGACAAGCAAAAUGAAACAGAGGGAGUAUUGAUCAUAGACAAAUACCUAUGCCUAGAAUCAGCCCCAAGUUUCUUUUUGCUGCUGCAACACAACACAAAAGACAGUUCAAUUAGUCACACAAAAUCAUUCACAUUAACAUAGUAAACAUCUUGGGAGGCAACAACAAUACACCCAGUGUAUUCCCACCUAGUGAGGGGGUCUGGGGAGGGUAAAAUGUACGCAGUCCAUACCACCACCUCCGAAGAAGUAGAGAGACCGUUUCCGAUAGAACCCCAACUCAUGACAAAAAAACAGUAAAUAAAGUCAUAACAAAACAUGAGACAAGAUGAAAUAAUAGAAAUAAGACACCCACAACGUAGUACUAUACACUAACAAACCGCAAAGCACCCACCUCCCCCAACCCUCCUAACUAGAGACUCCACCCAAUGUGCAAAGUCCUACUAUGCUACCCCAAAGCACACCUAGCUACUGGCUACGACUCACCUACACGCACUAACCUUCUAACCUAAUUCGUGUUCUCCAUACCUUCCUAUUUGGGACUCAACAAAUAACAAACAUUUGAAUCCUUUCCAAAACUGAAACAAAUAGACAACUGACAAGCAUCAUGUAUGACAAUACCUUUAGAGCAAAAGAACUCAUUUUUGCUGUCACUUUGGCAUUGCCCUUCUCUAUAAAAACACUUGGAACAAUCUUUAGAAACUUCCCAAUCUAAUGUAAAAUUAGAACUUAACAACUCAAACAAAUCACCAGGAACUGGUUCUGCAGGUGGAAUAUACUUCAUCGGCAAUCGAAUAAUCGAGCAGUUUGCAGGAAGAUCAUCACCAGUAGGAAUACUAUAACCUCUACCUGAUCUUGGUUUAUGAUAGUACACAUCAAAUCCAUCACAAGAGUAAUUCUCAUAACGUCGAAAAUAAUCACCUAUCUCCUCAUUACUACUACUACUAGUACUAUCAUUCAUGCAUUUGAUCAAACUGAUAUUGUUGAAUACACCAAAUGAUACUGAAGGUGUAUUAGGAAACAACAAGUUCCUUUCGAAAGACUUGCAACUUCUACUAGCCAAAUAACCUUCAAGAAUCGAGUCCGAUAGAUCGAUACCAUUAACCCAUAGCCAUUUUUUGUAUGCAUUGUAUGACACCCCUUCAAGCUCAACUUUUGGAUAUAGUAAACUGUUGUUACAAUCAAUCUUAGAUAAUCCACAAUAUGGCUUACUGAAUUCUGAAAAAGGAUAACUCAUACUGCCAAGUCUACUACAAUUAAACUCUUUUGGACAAUAUGUACUUUCAACUUUAACUAAGUUGAAGAUAACAACAUGUAACAUAAACAACAUAACAGAAAAACAGGCUAAAGCCAUUAAGUCUAAAACUCUAAAACUUCAACUAAGUGACACACAUAAGUAGAAAAAAGUUAUUAUAGACAAAAUAUGAGUAUUACCAAAAAUAUUCUCUUAUUCACAUUGAAUUUAUCUUGUACUUGAGUUUGGACUUUUUUAGAUAAAAUGACAAAAAUGGUCCUUUGUGUUUGAGGGUAGGUUCAAGUUAGUCCCUUAUAUAUCUUUUGAGCAAGUUUAGUCCUUAAAGUUUGUAAAAUUAGAGCACUUUUAGUCCUUCGUCAAAUAUUUAGCAAACUCUAUUGGUUAGAUGUAACGAGAAUCGCAAGGAAAAAAAAAGAUUUAAUCAUUUCAUAAUACACAUCUUAACUAAGGGGUUUCAAAAUCGAAAAAUGUGAACAAAAGAACUAGUCGAAGGAAGUUCAACAUCUGUUAUAUAUAUAUGAAAAAUAAUUUUAAACUUUUAUAAAUAAUAUAAUUUUUUGCCCCCUCACUAUUAGCUAGCAUAAUAGUUGUAAAACCGAACAUAUAGAGUUUGUUAAACAUUUGAAUGAGACCAAAAAGCGCUCGUUUUUCGCAAACUUAAUGGAUCAAAGAAAUUCAAUGGAGUAUUUUGAAUCUACAUCCAAACAUAAGGGACUAUUUUUUUCAUUUUCUAGACUUUCUUAUCUUGUACUACCAAUAAUUCAAGAAUCAAGCACUAAAUAUUAUUUAAAAAAUAACAAAUAAAAUAAAAAAUAAAGUUGUGGGGACAACUAGGCUGCAAGUGGAAAUAUAUAAAUAUGAAUAGUAUUUUGCUUACCAACUUCUUAUUGACUGUAACUUAGCCGAAUUAAGAGACUUCAAUAAUAAUUAUUUGACUCUUAUCGACCAACGUUAUGAUGAAAUGAAUACGAUACUUUCAUUAGAGGUCUCGAAUUCAAAUUUUAGUUAUAAAAUGAAUUCUAUUAGGAAGUGAUUUCCUCUAUAUAUGCUUUUUACGAUAUAUGAAUCUAAAUUAGUUAGUGUCUCAAUAUGAAUAUCGAACGCUAAAAAUAAAAAAAAUUGAAUCUUCAAAACUAAUCAUAUAUUUAAUCAAUCUAGAAAAGUACUUUGAAUUAGUCUAUGCCUAGAUUGCUACUCCAUUGUAUUUUUUUGACAUCUAGUGGUGACAGCUAAUUUUAUUUUUAUGAUUUUUUCUUAAGAAUAUUAAGUUGUACUCCAUCUCUAUCAAUCUAUAUUAUAUAGUUUGACUUGACGUGAAAUUUCAGAUAAAAUAUUAGCUUUUAAUAUUGAUGGUCCAUAGCAAAGCAUCAUAUUUGUAUGGGGCUAUAAAUUAUUUUAUUAAGCUUGCAAGAGCAAUUCUAAAAUUAAAUUAUGUAAAAUUAUAUAAAAAUAAUAUUCUUUUUAGGGUAAACUAAAAAAAAAAAUGUGUCGCAUAAAUUAAUAAGGAGAGAUUAUGUGAUCUCUUAAGACUAAACCAUUAAAUAAAAAAGGCAAAGACAAAAAAUAAAUCUUUGUUGAAUAUAAAAUUGAAUAUACAGGUGGAAUAUUCUUUUUUUGUUUUUGUCUUUUUUUUAUUGCAGGUCAACCAUUGGCUAUAGAGCUAGAAAAUGGAAUAUAGAGUCCAUUUAAAGUUAGAGAGUUAACAAAAAGUCUCUUUUGCCCUUAUUUCCAAAAGCGCUCUAAACUUAAAUUAUUUUAAAUUAUAAAAAAACAUUAUUCUUUUUUAAAACAAACUAAAAAAAAAAGUAUAGAGGGUGUAACGUUUUAUAACAAAUGUGAUAUGAUGAGGGCAGCCCGGUGUACUAAAAGCUACCACUAUGCGCGGUGUUUGAGGAAGGGCCCCACUACAAGGGUAUGUUGUUCGCAGUCUUAACUUGUAUUUCUCCCCGAGGCUGUUUUCAAGGCUUGAACCGUGACCUCGUGGUCUCAUGGCAGCAACUUUACCUGCAACAGAAGAUAGGACUUCUUUAGUGUAUAUAUCUUAAAACUUUAAUACAAUGUAACUAAAAAUUGAAUCACUUCCACUCAUUUGAUACACUUAAAAAUAUAGCUCAAGAAACCUUUGUUGCUCGGACUCUCCAAAAUUGUCACCGUGCUCUCCGAAAUGCAGUACUUCUCGAGUAUGUAACAUGCAUCCAUCGACAUUUUUAAAGAGUACGUGCAACAUGUAGCAAGAAACUUGUCACAGUAGUACAUUCAUGGACUCUUAAAAUUUACACCAAUAACAAAGGAAGAGGGAUAAAAAGGGCAACCCGGUGCACUAAGCUCCUGCUAUGCGUUGGGUCCGGGGAAGGGCCUGACGACAAGGAUCUAUUGUACGCAGCCUCACCUUACAUUUCUGCAAGGGGCUGUUUUCAAGGCUUGAACCCGUGACCACCUUGUCACAUGUCAGCAACUUUACUAGUUACUCCAAGGCUCCCGAAGAAAGGGGGAUAUAGAACAUUUACUAGUUUGUAUUAGUUAUACUAGAGCAAGUAAUACAUUUAUCAGUCAGAAUUUGGCGAAUGUAGUGAUUUAACUUGCUUCAACAAUGACAUUUUCACUACUCUGAAUCUCCUUUAGAGUAUCCAAUACUUCAACCAUAGUAGGCCUCAUGUCUCAAUCUGUCUGUAAGCAUAGAAAAGCCAGCUCUGCCACUGAAGUUGUCAUAUCCCAGAUCAUGUUAUCUGAAUCGAACACCAGAGAUGGAUCAAUCAACUCGUUGAAUGCACGUUUCACAAUCUUGUUUACUGCAAAGUUAGCCAAAUUAAUCUCUUGUAUAUGCCUGUUCAUAUCCACAGCUGGCAUUGAUGAAAUGAGCUCGACAAGGACCACCCCGAAGCUAUAGACAUCACUUUUACAAGUCAGCUGGUAGCAUUCGUGAUACUUUGGAUCGAUAUAGCCAGGGGUACCCCGGGGUGCAGUUGAAAUAUGAGAGACAUCGUUUGGGAAGAGCUGUGAUAUUCCAAAAUCUGCAACUUUAACGCUAAAGUUGUGAUCAAGGAGUAUGUUGUCUGUCUUGACAUCGCAGUGUAUUACGUCAGAAGCAUGCAGGUAAGCCAAUGCACCAGCAGUUUCUAUGGCAAUGUUCAUGCGGAUUGACCAAGUGAGUGAUAAGUCCUUCGCGCUGUCGCCAUGAAGGUGAUCAGCUAGAGUUCCAUUAGGAAUGUACUCAUAGACUAGGAGUAGUUCGCGGCUGCGCCUUGAAGUGCCUCCAUAUAGGGUGACAAGAUUAAUGUGCCUUAGCCUGGUAAGGAUCUCAAUCUCAUUUACAAACUGCUGCAUUCGCUUGCAGUUGUGCUCGUAGAGGCGCUUUACAGCAACCUCUCGUCCAUCCUUAAGUUUUCCUGUUCAACGAUGGACAAGAAUUAGCCACGAGAGGAAAAUGUUGAUGCAUUUAUCAGUGGGGUUAGGAAGCUUCUCACCAUAGUAAACAGUUCCGAAGCCUCCAUCUCCAAGGACUCUCGAGGAAUUAAAAUCACUCGUGGCUUCUUCAAGUUCUGAAUAAGAGAAGACUGGCACACCAAAAUAUAUGUUGCUUCCCUCAACAUCAUGUUUAAAAAUGUCUGAGAAGAAGCGAGAUGGACUAAAUUUCCUCUUCUUGUAACGCCAGAUAAAGUAGACGGCUAAACAAGUUAUCAUAACUAAUACCCCACCAAAAACUGGAAAGAAAUCAGUAAUCAGAGGUUUAUCAGAAGAAAAAACAACAACGCAAUAUCUCAACUCCACUUUCCAUACAUCUGUGUAACCAAACAUACUUGAGCUUUUAACACAGUAUAGAAGAAAAUGCAAAUGAUAUGCCUGGAAAUUCUUAAAUAGAGAAGAAAGAUGAGGUGAAUGGAUAUUUAACAACCUGCUCCAAGAGUCCGUCCCAACUUGCUUCUAGUCCCAUCUAAAAAGACCAGGGAAAAUUAUCAGAUGCGAUGUGGAACAAGAAAGGAUCGUGAGAAGUAUGCAUUUGACUUUGAACAUGUAGAUUAUUUUGAGAUGUCUACCUUUGUAACAAUGAAAAUUGUCGUUCUUAUCAGUCUGGCAUUGACCUCCACCAUAGUGACAUUCGUAACAGGUAUCAGACAGUUUCCAUACUACAUAAAAUUCAGGACUUAACAAGUUGACCAAAUUAUUAUCAUAUACUCUUCUUGGGUAGCAUGGCAAUCCGAUAAGCGAACAAUUGGCAGUAAGAUUGCCCGCUAGAAUGUCUUUAUCAUCAACUCCAUCAAAUUUGUAGUAUAUGGUGAAUCCAUCACAGCCAUCGUACGACUCAUAACCAGAAAAAUGAUCUGUCAUCUUCUGAGUAAUAGUUGGGUUGUUAGUACUAGUGAUGUUGCAUUUGAAGAAGUUGUGAAUAUUCACGGGGAGGAGUCUGAAAGAAAUAGAAGGAGAGUCUGGAAGGGAGAUAUUUUUGUUAAAAGCUUUACACGUGUGUCGCCUAAACGUGGUUUGAAGCAGGGGGUCCAUGAGCUUAACUGUAUAACUAUACUCCUUGCCUAGAGCAUAGUACCAAUCUCCUCCGGGAAGUAGUUCGAUUCUUGGAUAUGGUUUAGCAUCACAACCAGACACGGGCAUAAUUCCGCAGUCAGGUUGUGUAGAAAGAGCGAAAGGAAAGCUCAGGUCAGUAAGAUUUCCACAUGAAAACAACUUCGGACAAGUUGAAUCAUUUCUGCCCUUUGUCUGAACUAAGAUCAGAAUAAGUGAUAGAAGAAAGCAAACAAAAGAAGAAGCCAAAGCCAUAUCGCAAAUCCUACUGCAAGAUGAACAAAGCUAGCUGAAGUUUUGUGGAUUGCAACUCUAGCUCACCAGACAUGUAUCGUAUAAAAGAAAUACUAAGUGGAACCAAAUGUAAUCAGACUUAUCGAGGAAAGAAAGGUAAAGCUUAGAAACUAGGAAGUUUCCACAUUAGCCUUUGUAGAAAUUUGCACCAGUAGAAAGACUUGACUUCUUGACUCUGCAAUAUACCAGGCAAUUUCUAAUCAAUUUCAGGACCGAAGUCUCCGAAAAUGGUUGACUUAACCUGUAGAAAUAGAGGCUAUACAUCCAAAGUUGGAAAAAAAGAAGAAGAAAAAGAACAGGAAAAGGAAAAGGUUCUAGUCACACCCCAAAAUGCAAGUAAAGAUAGUUUGAUAUGUAAAAGGAACACUGCAUACUUGGCAGUUAGCUUCCAUUUGCUCAUUGUUUUCACUAGAAAUUACCAAGGAAGUUUUUCAAGUUUGGCGGAGUAUACACGGUGUAAGCUAGAAAUAUUUGCAAUGUUCCAAGCCAUCUUAGUCAAAUUUUGAGAAAGUUGCUGGUAAAGUUGUUGCUAUGUGACCAGGAGGUCACGGGUUCAAGCCUUAGAAACAGCCUCUGGCAGAAAUGCAAGGUAAGGCUAUAUACAAUACACCCUUGUGGUGGGGCCCUUCCCUAGACACUGCGCAUAGCGGUAGCUUCACUGCACCGGACUGCCCUUUUUACUUGCAUAAAUUUCUAGCAAUGGACCUUCAAUUCCAUGACUACUCCAAUAGUAUGUCUUCUUGUGAAAUCACUUCUAACCGCGUAAAACAUUAACCUUCUUUUCGUCUUUGUUCUCUAUAACUUCUCCCAUCAUUUUCUAUUACAGCAGCUUUUGACCCCAAAAAAGAAGAAAAGAUAGUCGUUGGAUCGAGCCACUGCUUUGCCAGAAAAUUAAUCUGGGGUCUAUUACAGCUCUUAUAUAAUGAAACUAAAUGUUAAAUUACUUUCACUUGUAUAUACAUAGCUCAAGAAACUUCUCACAGUAGUACAUUCGUAGUCUAUCGAAAUCUACAUCAAUAACAGAGGACGGGGUACAGAACUAUUUCGUACUAGCUAUAUCGGAGGAAGUAAUCCAUUUACCAGUCAGAGAAUUUGGUGAAGGUAGUGAUUUAGCUUUUCUCAGCAAUAACGUCUCUUCUGAUUCAGGGAAAGAAGGUGCGGCAACUAUUUUAGCUCUCUUCUCAGUGUUAAAUUCACUCGUCUGAAUUUCCUUUAGAGUAUCCAGAACUUCAACCAUACUAGGCCUCAUGUUCCUAUCUGUCUUCAAGCACAGAAAAGCCAGCUCUGCCACUGAAGUAGACAUUUCCCAAAUCUUGGCAUCUGAAUCGAACCCCAGGGAUGGAUCGAUCAACUCGUGAAAUGAAGAAUUUAUGAUCUUGUUUAUUGCAAAGUUAGACAAAUUAAUCUCUUGGCUAUGCCUAUUCAUAUCCACAGCUGGCAUUGAUGAAAUGAGCUCAAUAAGGACCACCCCGAAGCUAUAGACGUCACUUUUACUAGUCAGCUGGUAACAGUCGUGGUACUUUGGAUCGAUAUAGCCAGCAGUACCCCGGGGUGUAGUUGAAAUAUGAGAGACAUCAUUUGGGAAGAGCCUUGAAAUCCCAAAAUCUGCAACUUUAACACUAAAGUUGUGAUCAAGGAGUAUGUUAUUAGUCUUCACAUCGCAGUGUAUUACGUCAGAAGCAUGCAAGUAAGCCAAUGCACCAGCAGUUUCUAUGGCAAUGUUCAUGCGGAUUGGCCAAGUGAGUGAUCGCUCCUUCGCUCUGUCACCAUGAAGGUGAUCAGCAAGAGUUCCAUUAGGAAUGUACUCAUAGACUAGGAGUAGUUCGCGGCUGCGCCUUGAAUUGCAUCCAUAGAGGGUGACAAGAUUAAUGUGCCUUAGCCUGGUAAGGAUCUCAAUCUCAUUUACAAACUGCUGCAUUCGCUUGCAGUUGUGCUCGUAGAGGCGCUUUACAGCAACCUCUCGUCCAUCCUUAAGUUUUCCUGUUCAUUGAUGGACAAAAAUUAGCCACAAGAAGCAAGAGUUGAUGCAAAUCUCAGUUAGAUUACGAAGUUUAUCACCAUAGUAAACAGUUCCAUAGCCUCCAUCUCCGAGUAUUCUACAGGAACUGAACUCAUUCGUGGCUUCUUCAAGUUCUGAAUAACAGAAGACUGGGACGCCAAAGUAUAUACUGCCUCCCUCAACAUCGUGAUUAAAAACAUCUGACAAUCUCCUUGUCGAGAGGAAGUGGGUUGAACUAAUCUUCCUCUUCUUGUAAUGCCAGAUGAAGUAGACAACUAAAGAAGUUAUAAUCACCGAUCCUACUCCACCAAAGACUGUAAGAGAAGUUAGUACUCCAUGUCUUUAGAAAAGAAAAAAGAAUCGCUUUUGUGUACCUAAAUUAUUUAAGUCUCGUUUUUAUGUUUCUUUAUCGCUAGAUAAAGUUUUGAUCUUACACAAAAUGAUAAAAAUUUAAACGAUAUGCAUGAAAAUUCUAUAACAAGAGAAUAACAUGGCAGCAAUUAAAUAUAUUUUACUACCUGUGCCCAGAAUCAUCUUUUUUGUUUCUGUUCUGUGAUCGGUACGACUUGUAGGUGUUUUUGUACCUACUGAAGGGGGCAAAAAUACGAAAUAUAUUAUCUAUGUGGCAUUAAACAUGAAAGACUUGAAGAAUAAACUUGCACUUGAUCGUAUAGAUUAUUUUGGAGAGUCUACCAAUGUUACAAUAAAAUUUGUUGGUUUUAUCAGUCUGGCAUCGACCUCCAUCAUGGUGACAUUUGCUACAGGCAUCGGACAGUUUCCAUUCUACUAGAAAUUCGGGACCUAACCUGUUGAACAAAUCACCAUCAUUUGCGUGAAUUGGUAAUUUGAUAAGUGAACAGUUGGUAGGAAGAUUGUGUGCUUCUAUGUUUUUAUCAUCAUCACGGGUUAGCUUGUAGUAUAUGCUAAAGCCUUCACAGCCAUUGUACAUAUUAUAUCCAGCAAAGCGAUCGUUCUUCUUCUGGGUACUGCUGCAUUUGAUGAAGUUGUUAAUAUUAAUCAUAUUGAAAGAGAUAGAAGGUGAGUUUGGAAGGGAGAAAUUUUUGUUAAACGCCUGACACUUGUGUUGCGUCAAAGUUGUUUUAAGUUUCUGGUCCCCAAGCCAAACUGAUGAAUCAUGCUGCUGUAAAGCAUAGUACCAAUCUCGUCCAGGAAGCAGGCGGAUUUUCGGAAAUGGCUUAUCAUCACAACCAGACAUGCGCAGUAUUCCGCACUCAGGUUGUGCGGAAAGAGAGAACGGAAAGCUCAGGUUAGUAAAAUUUCCACAUGAAAAGGACUUUAGACAAGUUGAAUCAUUUCUUCCCUUUGCCUGAACUAAUAUAAGAAGAAGAGAUAAAAGGAAACAAAUAAAAGAAAAAGAAGCCAAAGCCAUAUUGAAUCCUACUGCAAUAAGACAAAAACUAGCUGAAGUUUAUUUGUAAAGUUUGUUAAGAUGAAACAGGUGCAACCAAACAUAUAAGAAGGUUCAGAUUUAUUAGGAAAAAAAAAGGUGAAGAAAAAAAGAAAUGUUCACAUUAGCUUUUCUUGCAAUUGACUCUUUUACAAAGACUUUGACUUCUUGACUCUGCAAGUCUCCGAAAAUGGAUGACUUAACCUGUACAAAUAGAAUCUAUACAUCCAAAGGUUAUAGAAACAAAUCAUAAAGAAAAAAAGAAAAGAUUCUAUUCACACCCCAAAAUGGAACUGAAGAUAUUUUGAAAAUGUAAAAAGGGCAGCUCGGUGUACUAAAGCUAUGCGUGGGGUCCGGAAAGAGCCGGAUCACGACAACAAAUAUAUGAUUAAGAUUGAAAGAAGUGUGCAUGGUAGUGAUAUGAGUACCUGCAUGUUCUUCAACUGGCUUAUAUGCAACUUUAGAAGGUCACGGGUUCAAGCCUUGGAAACAGUCUCUGUAGAAAUGCAAGGUAAGGCUGCAUACAAUCAGGGACAGAGCCAGCCUUCUCUUCAGGGGGUUCGGCCGAAGCCCCUUCGACGGAAAAAUAUACUAUUUAUACAUGAUUAAAAUUAUUUUUUAUGUGGUUAUAGCAGGUGUUGAACCCCCUUCGACUAAAUUUUCUUUGAAUAUGGAACCCCCUUAGUUGAAAUCUAAGUUUUCUUUGAAUAUGGAACCCCCUUCGUUGAAAUCUUGGCUUCAUCUCUGCGUACAAUACACCCUCAUGGUGAGGCCCUUCCCCGGACCCUAUGCAUAGCGGGAGCUUUUUUUAACUUCUCUCUUCCAUUUUCUCUGUCGCUACUUUUUCACCCCAAAAGAAAGAGGGGCCUUUAGACGGAGGAGCCACUGAACACUCCGGUGAUAGUGGCACAGCAACCACUUCUGUGUAGUGAAAGUGUAUUAUAUUCUUAUGCCCUCGGGUUAAGUUACCUGCGAUAACUUAACAGAUGUACGAUAAGCUCGAAAAUAGAGUAGCAAAACCUGCUAUAACUAGAGGGAUAUUCUUUCUUUGAUCGAUGGAUGUAAAUAUUAUUAGAGAAAAUAGACUGUCCGGUAGUACCAAAGUUGAUACUGCAGCUUUAUACAAAUAGAGUAAAAUUCUUUACGCUGCCAAGGUAUAUAACUUAAAACUCUUAUAUACUGAAACUAAAAAUUGAAUGACUUCCAGUAAUAGAUACAUAUCUCAGGAAACGCCUGAUAGUCAUGCAUUCGUACUCUCAAAAUUUACACCAAUAACAAAGACGAGAGUGUAGAAAUUUUGAUUAUUUAUCAGUCGCAGAAUUUGGAAAAGCUGUUAUUAUUUUAGCUUCAUCGGCAUUGAGAUUAGACUCAGUUCUAUUAUCGUAGCCAAAUUCACUAGUCUGAAUCUCCUUCAGAAUAUCCAAAACUUCAACCAUAGUAGGCCUUAGAUCCCUGUCUGUCUGCAGGCAGAAAAAACCCAGCUCUGCCACUGAAGUAGUCAUUUCCCAAAUCUUGGCAUCUGACUCUAACUCCAGGGUUGGAUCGAUCAACUCGUGAAAUGCACAUUUUACAAUCUUGUUUAUUGCAAAGUUAGCCAAAUUAAUCUCUUGGCUAUGCCUAUGCAUAUCCACAGCUGGCAUUGAUGAAAUGAGCUCAACAAGGACCACCCCGAAGCUGUAGACGUCACUUUUAUUAGUCAGCUGGUAACACUCGUGAUACUUUGGAUCGAUAUAGCCAGGGGUGCCCCGGGGUGCAGUUGAAAUAUGAGAGACAUCAUUAGGGAAGAGCCUUGAAAUCCCAAAAUCUGCAACUUUAACACUAAAGUUGUGAUCAAGGAGUAUGUUGUUAGUCUUGACAUCACAAUGUAUUACGUCAGACGCAUGAAGGUAAGCCAAUGCACCAGCGGUUUCUAUGGCAAUGUCCAUGCGGACUGGCCAUGUGAGUGAUCGAUCCUUCGCUCCGUCACCAUGGAGGUGAUCAGCAAGAGUUCCAUUAGGAAUGUAUUCGUAGACAAGGAGUAGUUCGCGGCUGCGCCAUGAAGUGCAGCCAUAGAGGGUGACAAGAUUAAUGUGCCUUAGUCUGGUAAGGAUCUCUAUUUCAUUUACAAACUGCUCCAUUCGCUUGCAGUUGUGCUCGCAGAGGCGCUUUACAGCAACCUCUCUUCCAUCCUUAAGUUUUCCUGGUCAUUUAUGAACAAGAAUUAGGCAUAUGAAGAAAUAGUUAAUAUAUAGCUCUGUCAGAUUAGGAAGUUACUCACCAUAGUAAACAGUUCCAAAACCCCCAUCUCCGAGUACUCUAGAGGAACUGAAAUCAUUCGUGGCUUCUUCAAGUUCUGUAUAAGAGAAGACUGGGACACCAAAGUAUAUGCUACCUCCCUCGACAUCAUGUUUAAAAAUGUCCACGAAUUUCUUUGUUGAGAGGAAGUGGGAUGGACUAAAAUUCCUCUUCUUAUAAAACCAGAUAAAGCAGAUAGCCAAACAAGUUAUCACCACUAAUACUCCGCCACAAACUGGAAGGAAAUCAAUGAUCACAUGUUAUCCGGAAAAAAAGAGGAAAAAACAUCGCAAUCUUCAACUCCACUUUCCAUACAUUUGUGAAACCUACUAUACCUAUCUCUCCUAUCAUCCGUUAUCAUUAUGGAUAUGUUUUGAGCAUUUAACACAGUGAAGAAGAAAAUUCAAAUGAUAUGCAUGGAAAUUCUGAAAUAGAAAAGAAAGACGAGGUUAAUGGAUAUCUAAGUACCUGCUCCAAGAGUCAAUCCCAACUUGCUUCUAGUCACUUUUGCGUCUAAAGAGAAAACAGAAAAUUAUCAGAUGUGAUAAGAAACAAGAAAGGACUCUAAUAAAUAUACAUUUGACCUUGAACAUGUAGAUUAUUUUGAGAUGUUUACCUUUGUAACAAUGAAAAUUGUAGUUCUUAUCAGUCUGGCAUUGACCUCCACAGUAGUGACAUUCAUUACAUUCAUUGGACAGUUUCCAUUCUAUUAGAAAUUCAGGACUUAAAAAUUUGAACAGAUCUUCAUCGUCGAUUGAUCUCCAGUCAACUGGCAAUUUGAUAAGUGAACAAUAAUCAGUAAGUUUGCCUGCCAUAAUGUCUUCAUCAUCAUCUCUGUCGAUCUUGUAUAUGGUGAAUCCCUCACAGUCAUCGUACUUUCUAUAAGCAUAAAAGUUAUCAUUGCUGGUGAUAGCGCAUUUGAAGAAGUUGGCCAUGUGCAUUGGAAGGAUUUUGAAAGAAAUAGAAGGAGAAUCAGGAAGGGAGAAAUUUUUGUCAAAAACCUGGCAGUUGUGUUGCCUCAACAUGGUUCAAAGCUUGGGAUCCUCCAGCUCACCGACAUAACCAUACUCCUUGCGUAGAGCAUAGUACCAAUCUCCUCCAGGAAGCAGUUGGAUUCUUGGAUAUGGUUUAGCAUCACAACCGGACACGGGCAGUAUUCCGCACUCAGGUUGUGUGGAAAGAGAGAAAGGAAAGCUCAGAUCAGUAAGAUUUCCACAUGAAAACGACUUCGGACAAGUUGAAUCAUUUCUGCCCUUUGUCUGAACUAAGAUCAGAAGAAGUGAUACAAGAAAGCAAACAAUAGAAGAAGCCAAAGCCAUAUCGUGAAUCCCACCUCAAGAAGAACAAAGCUAGCUGAAGUUUUGUGAAUUUUGACUCUAGAAGUCUAUAUUUAUAAGACCUAAAUACUUUCUCCAUUACUAGUCUUUAGUUUAUUAAUAAAGUUUGUUAAAAUCAAACAUGUGCAACACAAAUGUACAAGAAAAGUCAAGACUUAAGAAAAUGUUCACAUUAGCUUUCUAGCAAUUGACUUCUUGACUCUGAAACUAUAUUGCUCAGACUCUUCAAAAAUGUCAUCGGGUGUGUGUCGAAUCCUUCAGAAGUAGUGUGCUUUUAAAGGAUCCGACACGGUCACAUUUUUCAAGACCGAGCAACUUAGCUCUGAAAUAUAACAGCAGCUUCUCACCAUUUUCGAGACCAACUCUCCAUAAAGGGAUGACUUAACCUGUAGAAAUAGAAGCUACACAUCCCAAAAUGCACCUAAAGAUAGUCGGAAAAUGUUUGAAAAAACACUUGAAUCUAUGACUAAGAUUGAAACAAGAGUGCAUAGUGAAACAAAAACCUCAACUUGUGAAAAAUGAAUUCUUUAAACACUUCUAACCUUGAAUGUUCUUUAACUGAUUGAAACAAGGGACUUGAGACGGAGGAGCCCCUUUCACUCUGGUGAUCCGCCUUGAUAUUCUCCGGCCUGCGAGGGUUCAACAAACUCUUCUGUGGACUGAAAGUGUAUAGUAUUCUUAUGCCAUUGGGUUAAGUUACCUACAAUAACAAGUAAUUGUUUGUAACAGAUAUGUAUGAUAAGCUAAAAAAUACAGUAGCAAAAACCUGCUACAACAACUAGAGAAAGUCUUUCUUUGAUCAGUAAAAGUAAAUUUUAUUAGAGAAAAUAGACUGUCCAGCAGUACUUAAGCUGAUACUGCAGCAUUACAAAAAUAGAGUAAAAUUAUGCUGAUACUGCAGCAUUACAAAAGUAGAGUAAAAUUAUUUACACUUCCAGUGUAUAUAACUUAAACUCUUACAUAAUGAAACUAAAAUUUGAGUGACGUCCAAUCAUAGAACGUAGCUCAAGAAACUUCUCACAGUAGUACAUUAACUACAUUAAAAAGGGGGUAUAGAACUUUUAACUACAUUGUACUACUUCCAUCGGAACAAGUAAUCCAUUUAUCAGUCACCGAAUUUGGAGAAAGUAGUGAUUUAACUUGCUUCAAUGAUAACAUAUCUUCUGAUUCAGGGAAAGGAGGAGUUGCUACUACGUUGGCUUCAUCGAUAUUGAGAUUAGACUCAGUUCUCUUAUCAUUGACAAAUUCACUAGUCUGAAUCUCUUUUAGAGUAUCCAAAACUUCAGCCAUAGUAGGCCUUAUGUCCCUGUCUGUCUGCAAACACAGAAAAGCCAGCUCUGCCACUGAAGUAGUCAUUUCCCAAAUCUUGGUAUCUGAAUCGAACCCCAGGGCUGGAUCGAUCAACUCGUGAAAUGCACAUUUUACGAUCUUUUUUAUUGCAAAGUUAGCCAAAUUGAUCUCUUGGCUAUGCCUAUUCAUAUCCACAGCUGGCAUUGAUGAAAUGAGCUCAACAAGUACCACACCGAAGCUAUAUACAUCACUUUUACUAGUCAGCUGGUAACACUCGUGAUACUUUGGAUCAAUAUAGCCAGGGGUUCCCCAGGGUGCAGUCGAAAUAUGAGAGACGUCAUUUGGGAAGAGCCUUGAAAGCCCAAAAUCUGCAACUUUAACACUAAAGCUGUGAUCAAGGAGUAUGUUGCUAGUCUUGAUAUCACAGUGUAUUACGUCAGAAGCAUGCAGGUAAGCCAAUGCACCAGCAGUUUCUAUGGCAAUGUUCAUGCGGAUUGACCAGGCGAGUGAUCCUUGCUUCGCUCUAUCGCCAUGGAGGUGAUCAGCGAGAGUUCCAUUGGGAAUGUAUUCAUAAACGAGGAGUAGUUCACGGCUUCGCCUUGAGGUGCAGCCAUAGAGGGUGACAAGAUUGUUGUACCUUAUCCUAGUAAGAAUCUCAAUUUCAUUUACAAACUGCUGCAUUCGUUUGCAGUUGUGUUCAUAAAGGCGCUUUACAGCGACCUCUCUUCCAUCCUUAAGUUUACCUAGUCAUCGAUGGACAAGAAUUAGGUGCAUGAAGAAAUAGUUGAAGAAUAGCUCAGUUUGAUUAGGAAGUCUCUCACCAUAGUAAACAGUUCCAAAACCUCCAUCUCCGAGUACUCUAGAGGAAUUGAAAUCAUUCGUGGCUUCUUCAAGUUCUGAGUAAGAGAAGACUGGGACACCAAAGUAUAUACUGCCUCCCUCAACGUCAUGUUUAAAAAUGUCCGAGAAUUUCUUUGUUGAGAAGAAAUGGGAUGGACUAAAUUUCCUCUCCUUGUAACACCAUAUAAAGAAGACGACUAAAGUUAUCAUCACCAAUCCUACACCAAAAACUGAAAGAGAAGUCAGUAAUCCAGCUCUUUGGAAAAGAUAGAACAAAUAGCCUACAGCACUUGUCUCUCCCAUUAUUGUUUGUCAUUAUCUGUACGUUUUGAGAUUUUACCACAACAUAGAAGAAAAUUUAAAUGAUAUGCGCGGAAAUUCUAAAAUAGGAAAGGACCCUGCAGUUUAUGUAUAUUUAACUACCUGCUCCCAGAGUCGGUCCCAACUUGCUUCUAGUCGCUUUUGCAUCUAAAAGAUAGAGGAAAAAUAUAAGGACAUAUUACCGAUAAGUGAUGUCAAAACAAGAAAGGAUAAGAAAUAUGCGCGCUAUACCUUGAGCGUGUGGAGUUUUUGGAUAUGUACAAUGAAAUUUGUUGGUUUUAUCAGUCUGGCAUUUACCUCCACCUUGGUGACAUAUAUCGCAGUCGUUAGACAGUUCCCACUCUACCAGAAAAACAUGACUUAAUAUUUUGAACACAUCAUCAUCAUAUAAUGCCGAGUCAAUUGGCAAUCUGAUAAGUGAACAGUUGGCAGGAAGAUUGCCUGGUUGCACGUAUUCACCAUCGUCUCCAUAAAGCUUGUAGUAAAUGCUAAAGCCUUUACAAUCAUUGUACAUUUUAUAACCAGCAAAAUGAUCAGUUUUCUUCUGUGUGAUAUUACAUUUGAAGAAGUCAUGAAGCGUAAGCAUAUUGAAAGUAAUAGAAAGAGAGUUUGGAAGGGGUCUGGAAGGGAGAAACUUUUGCUAAAAACUUGGCAAUUUUGUUGCCUCAACAUGGUAUGAAGCUUUGGGUCCGAGAGCCAAACUGUAGAUCUAUACAGAUUUGCCGUGGCAUAGUACCAAUCUCCUCCAGGAACUAGUUGGAUUCUUGGAUUCGGUUUAGCAUCACAACCAGACAUGGUCAUUAGUCCGCAAUCAGAUUGCGCGGAAAGAGGAAAGCACAAGUUAGUAUAAUUCCCACAUGAGAAGGACUUUGGACAAGUUGAAUCAUUUUUGCCGUUUGCCAGAACUAAGAUUAGAAGUGACAGAACAAAGCAAAUCAAAGAAGAAGCCAAAACCAUAUCGAAUAUCUACCACAAGAAGAAGAAAGACUAGAAGAUUUGUGAAUUGUAAUUCUAGCUAGCUAACCAGAACUAUCUUAUCAGAUCAAGCUGCAUAACUGUUACAAGUUUUUCCCACCGGUGAAUUUGUCAAAGUAAAGCACUAUGUGGAACCAAACAUGUAAGAAGAGUCAGACUUAUUGAUGAAAAUAAAGAUGAAGAGAUAGCCAUUGACACUAGUGGAAAGACUUGACUUCUUUAAGUCUGCAAACAAACAGAAACUUCUCAUUAUUUUCAAGGCCAAAGUCUUUGGAAAUGGAUGACUUGAACUGUAGAAUAGAAGCUAUAUUCAUUUCAGUUGACUGAAACUUAAAUGGUAUGCAGAUAGAUCAAAAGGUGAAAACAAAAAAGGAAAUGGUUCAAGCUACACCCUAAAAUCCACGCAAAGAUACAAUGUUCCAUUUGCUCACUUUCUCAUUAAAAAUUACCAAGAAAGUAUUUUCAAGAUUGGCGGAGUAUACACCGGGUAAGCAAGAAAUAAUUGCUAUUUUCAAGCCAUCUUCUCCAAAUUUUCAAGCCGUCCCCAAGCUUAUAGAAGACUCACCCCCGAGUUCAAGACACUAUGAGUCUAUCUAUGGUCAUUAUGACAAAAAUAUUCAAAUUGACACGUGGACUUGCAUAGGUUCCUAACGCCGGCCCCUCAAUAGUUCUCCAGUAGUACCUCAUCUUGUAAGUUUAAGCACUUCUAACCCCUAACACACUAACCUUCUCAUUUUUUUCUGCGACGUACUCCUUUCCAUUUUCUGUUACACCACGUUUUGACCCCGAAAGACAAUUAAGAAGGGUCACUGGACGGAGCCAGUGCUUUACAAGACCUGCCGGUGUAUAUAACAGGUGCAAGGCUUUUUCUUCCUAGAGUGUGAGGCAAGUUCUUUCUCAAUUCAGAAUGAGCAGAUAUUAAAUAUCACAGAGUCAAAAGUGAACACAGAGUUGUUCGCGUCUUAUAUAAUGAAAUCAAAAAUUGAAUCACUUUCACUCGUAGAUACAUAGCUCAAGAAACUUUCACGGUAGUACAUUUUAAGUCUCUAAAUAUCUACAUCAAUAACAAAGCAAGAGGAUAUAGAACUUUUGACUACUUUGUACUCGUGGUACUAGAGCAAAUAAUCCAUUUAUCAGUGACAGAAUUUGGUGAAGGUAGUGAUUUGACUUGUGUCAGCAAUAACUUAUCUUUGGUUUCAGGGAAAGGAGGUGUUGUGACUAUCUUAGCUUCAUUGCCGUUGAGGUUAGACGUCGCGUUCUUCUCAUUGUGAAAUUUAUUAGUCUGAAUCUCCUUUAGAGUAUCCAAAACUUCAACCAUAGAAGGCCUCAUAUCCCUAUCUGUCUGCAAGCAUAGAAAAGCCAGCUCCGCCACUGAAGUAGUCAUUUCCCAAAUCUUGGUAUCUGAAUCGAACCCCAGAGAUGGAUCGAUCAACUCGUGAAAUGCACAAUUUAUGAUCUUGUUUAUUGCGAAGUUAGCCAAAUUAAUCUCUUGGAUAUGCCUAUUCAUAUCCACAGCUGGCAUUGAUGAAAUGAGCUCGACAAGGACCACCCCGAAGCUAUAGACGUCACUUUUACUGGUCAGCUGGUAGCAUUCGUGAUACUUUGGAUCGAUAUAGCCAGGGGUCCCCCGAGGUGCAGUCGAAAUAUGAGAGAUAUCAUUUGGGAAGAGCCUUGAAAUCCCAAAAUCUGCAACUUUAACACUGAAGUUGUGAUCAAGGAGUAUGUUGUUAGUCUUGACAUCACAGUGUAUUAUGUCAGAAGCAUGCAGGUAAGCCAAUGCACCAGCAGUUUCUAUGGCAAUGUUCAUGCGGAUUGGCCAGGCGAGUGAUCUGUCCUUAUCUUUGUCGCCAUGGAGGUGAUCAGCAAGAGUUCCAUUAGGAAUGCAUUCAUAAACGAGGAGUAGUUCACGGCUUCGCCAUGAAGUGCAGCCAUAGAGGGUGACAAGAUUGUUGUGCCUUAGCCUAGUAAGGAUCGCAAUUUCAUUUACAAACUGCUGCAUUCUUUUGCAGUUGUGCUCGUAAAGGCGCUUUACAGCAACCUCUCUUCCAUCCUUAAGUUUUCCUAGUCAUUCAACGACAAGAAUUAGGCACAUGAAGAAAUAGUUGAAGAAUAGCUCAGUUGGAUUAGGAAGUUACUCACCAUAGUAAACAGUUCCAAAACCUCCAUCUCCAAGUACUCUAGACGAACUGAAAUCAUUCGUGGCUUCUUCAAGUUCUGAAUAAGAGAAGACCGGGACACCAAAAUAUAUGUUGCCUCCCUCGACGUCAUGUUUAAAUAUAUUUGAGAAUCUCUUUGUUGAGAGGAAGCGAGAUGGACUAUAUCUCCUCUUCUUGUAACACCAAGUAAUGUAGAAAACUGAACAAGUUAUCAUCACCAAUCCUACGCCACCAAAAGCUGGAAGAGAAGUCAGUAGUCAAGAUAUUCGGAAAAGAAAAAGAAUUUAACGAGAACAACUUGACGAGGAAUUUUUUUCUCAAGUCCAAUAUCCAUACAUUUAUAUAAACUAUGAUACUUGUCUCUCCUAUCAUCAUUUAUCGUUAGGGAAAUGGUUUAAGCUUUUACCAAGCGAAGAAGAAAAAAUGAAAUGAUAUGACUUGGGAAUUCUAAAAUAGGAAAGAAACAUGAGGUUAAUGGAUAUUUAACUACCUGCUUCAAGAGUCAGUCCCAUAUUGCUUCUAGUCGCUUUUGCAUCGAAAAAAGAAGAGGGAAAAUUAUCAGAUGUGAUAUGAAACAAGAAAGGAACCUAAGAAAUAUGCAUUUGACCUUGAACAUGUAGAUUAUUUUGAGAUGUCUACCUUUGUAACAAUGAAAUUUCUUUGUUCUAUCAGUCUGGCAUUGACCUCCAUCAUAGAGACAUUUGUUACAGUCAUCAGACAGUUUCCAUUCUACUAGAAAUUCAGGACCUAACAUGUUGACCAAAUUAUCUUCGUAUACUCCUGGGUAAUAGGGCAAUCUGAUAAGUGAACAGUUGGCAGGAAGAUCGCAUGCUAGAAUGUGUUCAUCCACAUAUAGCUGAUGCUUGUAGUAUAUGCUAAAGCCUUUACAGCCAUCGUACAUUUUAUAACCAGCAAAGCGGUUGUUCUUCUGAGCAAUGUUCGGGGUGUUACUAGUCGUAAUGUUGCAUUUGAAGAAGUUUUGAAUAUUCAAGAUUUUGAAGGAAAUGGAAGGAGAGUCAGGAAGGGAGAAACUUUGGUCGAAAAUCUGGCACUUGUCUAUCUUCAACAUGUUAACAAGUUUCGGAUCCACGAUCCCAAUCGUAUAAUUAUACGGCUUGGCAAACGCGCAGUACUCAUCUCCUCCAGGAAGCAGUUGGAUUGCUGGAUAGUUUUUAGUAUCACAACCAGACAUGGGCAUUAUUCCACAGUCAGGUUGUGUGUUAAGACAGAAAGGAAAGCUCAGGUCAGUAAGAUUUCCACAUGAAAAUGACUUUGGACAUAUUGAAUCAUUUCUACCCUUUGCCUGAACUAAUAUAAGAAGAAGAGAUAAAAGAAACCAAACAAAAGGAUAAGCAAAAUCCAUAUUGCAAGAAGGGGAAAACAAGCUAAAGGUUACUGAAUUAUACAGCAACUUUAUCUAGCUGUAUUACUACUAGUCUUUAGUUUAUUGGUGAAACUUGUCAAAAAGAAACACUACGUGGAACCAAACGUAUAAGAAGGGGAAGAACAACUUGACGAGGAAUUUUUUUCACAAGUCCAAUAUCCAUACAUUUAUAUAAACUAUGAUACUUGUCUCUCCUAUCAUCAUUUAUCGUUAGGGAAAUGGUUUAAGCUUUUACCAAGCGAAGAAGAAAAAAUGAAAUGAUAUGACUUGGGAAUUCUAAAAUAGGAAAGAAACAUGAGGUUAAUGGAUAUUUAACUACCUGCUUCAAGAGUCAGUCCCAUAUUGCUUCUAGUCGCUUUUGCAUCGAAAAAAGAAGAGGGAAAAUUAUCAGAUGUGAUAUGAAACAAGAAAGGAACCUAAGAAAUAUGCAUUUGACCUUGAACAUGUAGAUUAUUUUGAGAUGUCUACCUUUGUAACAAUGAAAUUUCUUUGUUCUAUCAGUCUGGCAUUGACCUCCAUCAUAGAGACAUUUGUUACAGUCAUCAGACAGUUUCCAUUCUACUAGAAAUUCAGGACCUAACAUGUUGACCAAAUUAUCUUCGUAUACUCCUGGGUAAUAGGGCAAUCUGAUAAGUGAACAGUUGGCAGGAAGAUCGCAUGCUAGAAUGUGUUCAUCCACAUAUAGCUGAUGCUUGUAGUAUAUGCUAAAGCCUUUACAGCCAUCGUACAUUUUAUAACCAGCAAAGCGGUUGUUCUUCUGAGCAAUGUUCGGGGUGUUACUAGUCGUAAUGUUGCAUUUGAAGAAGUUUUGAAUAUUCAAGAUUUUGAAGGAAAUGGAAGGAGAGUCAGGAAGGGAGAAACUUUGGUCGAAAAUCUGGCACUUGUCUAUCUUCAACAUGUUAACAAGUUUCGGAUCCACGAUCCCAAUCGUAUAAUUAUACGGCUUGGCAAACGCGCAGUACUCAUCUCCUCCAGGAAGCAGUUGGAUUGCUGGAUAGUUUUUAGUAUCACAACCAGACAUGGGCAUUAUUCCACAGUCAGGUUGUGUGUUAAGACAGAAAGGAAAGCUCAGGUCAGUAAGAUUUCCACAUGAAAAUGACUUUGGACAUAUUGAAUCAUUUCUACCCUUUGCCUGAACUAAUAUAAGAAGAAGAGAUAAAAGAAACCAAACAAAAGGAUAAGCAAAAUCCAUAUUGCAAGAAGGGGAAAACAAGCUAAAGGUUACUGAAUUAUACAGCAACUUUAUCUAGCUGUAUUACUACUAGUCUUUAGUUUAUUGGUGAAACUUGUCAAAAAGAAACACUACGUGGAACCAAACGUAUAAGAAGGGGAAAAAGAAAGGCAAAGCAAAGAAAAAUAAUGAAACUUUCACAUUGACACUAGCAGAAAGACUUGACUUGUUGACUCUACAUACUAACAAAAACUUCUUUGUUUUUUAUAAUCAUUGUGUCCGGGCCACCUCCGCUAAUUUCAUAGGACCAUUAGCAACAGGAAUCAGGUAACUCUACAAAUGGCAAGAAACCACCUCGUAUUUUUUGCCUACUAACAACUUCUCAUCGUUUUCAUACGAGUAAAGUAUCUAGUAACCCCCUAAACUAUGAUCAAAUUUGCUACGACACACUCCAACUUAACGGAUGUCCUAUUGCCCCCGAACUAAAUUUUAGCAUCUUUUUGUCAACCUUUUCAGCUGAUGUGGCACCUUUGACGUGGACCCCAUUUUAUGUAAUAAAGGUGCCAUGUUAGCACAAAAAUACGCUAAAAUUGAGUUCAGAGGUAAUAGGAUCCCUAUAAAGUUGGAGUGUGUCGUAGCAAUUUUGGCCAUAGUUCGGAGAGUUAUUGGAUACUUAUCUCUUUUCAUACAAAAGUCUCCAAAAAUGGGUGACCUAAAACUAUAGAAGUAGAAGCUAUACUCAUUUCCUAUGUUGCUCGAGCUCAUCAAAAAUGUCAUCGGUUGUGUGUUGAAUCCUUCAAAAGUAGUCUAUUUUGGAGGAUCCGACAUGUAUGCGGCAACAUUUUUGAAGAGACCAAGCAACUUAGUCACAACUCACAUCCUAAAAGACAAGUAAAGAUAGUAUAUGAAAAUGGAAUAGAACACUGCAUAAGAAAUACAACUUUCCAUUUGGUCAUUUUCUCACUAGAAAUUACUAAGAAAGUGCCUUAAAGAUUGGCAAAGUAUACACAGAGUCAAGCUAGAAAUAUUUGCUAUGUUCCAAAGCCAUCUUCUUCCAAAAAUUUGAAAAAAUAAUCAAUCUUUAAUAGUCAUUCCUAGCUUAUAGAACACUCACCCCAUAAUCCAAGACAUUGUGGGUUCGUUUGGUACGCGGGAUAAGGUGGGACAUCUCAGGACUAUAUAAUAACAAGAGUAAAGCAUCUAGUACGCUUGAAUUAUGACCAAAUUUGCUACGACACACUCUAACCUCACAGGGGUCCUAUUACCCCUGAACUUAAUUUUAGCAUAUUUUUGUCAACUUUUUUUGCUGACGUGGCACCUUUUUAGCUGAAGUAGCACCUUUGAAGUGGGCCCAAUUUUUAUGUAAUAAAGGUGUCACGUCAGCACAAAAGGGUGACAAAAAUAUGCCAAAAUUGAGUUCAGGAGGGUAAUAGGACCCUGUGAAGUUGGAGUGUGUUGCAGCAACUUUGGUCAUCGUUCGAGGAGGUACUGGAUGCUUAUCUAUGAUAACAAUAACAUAAUACUCAGUGUAGUCCUACAAAAGUGAGGUUUGAGGAGAGUGAAGUGUACACAGACCUUAUAAUAACAAAACAAUGUGAUUAUCGAGGUAUAAGGAACAACGGACAAUAACAGAAAUUGAAGGACAAGAAGCUACAAGGCCCAUAAAUAUUUUUUUCAUGUAUAUAUAUAUAUAACAUAUUGACACCUUGAUUUCUUUGUGAAUUUACUUCUUUAUAUUUCGAUACUUCUUAAGGAAAAUUUUUGUUCCGCCACUGUGCAUUCCCUCGGUAAGCUAAAACUAUGUGAUGUGUGUUGUCUAAUCACCUCUCAAUACUUUUUUACGUGUUUUUGUCUUUUUAUUUAUAAUUUUUAAUUUCAUGACUUUACUCCCCCAUUUUUAACAAAAUCUCCAUUUUCACCCUCUUGUAUAACAACAAUACCCAGUGUAGUCUGGUAGAGUGUACACGAUCAUUAUUCCUAAGAAGAGGUAGAGGUUGUUUUUGAUAGACCCUCGGUUCAGAAAAGUAAGAAAAGUACAAGAAAUAACAGAUAAUAACAAAAACAACUGAUAGUAACAUAACAGAAACUGAAACAAAAUAAUACAAUAAUCAGGUGUAAGUAACAUCGAGACAGUAAUGAAAAUCAAAGGACAAGAAACUACAAUAGCAAUACUACAACUACUAAUAUGAACAUAUAAACAACGCGUUGCUUAGUUGAAACAACUACAUAUAUAUUUACUUCUUUAUAUUCUGAAUCUUCAUACUAAAAUUUUAGCUUCACCCCAAUUUAUAUUCAAAGAAAAUGAUUUAUCUUCCAAAAUUUUCCAACACUCUCAGCUAGACUUGUAACCAAAGUCAUGAAGAAAUAGACAUUAAAAAAAGGGACCAUAUUGACUAAGUCAUUGGACUAAUUUGCCACUCAUCUUAUCACUGACAUGGUCUUUGAAAAGACAGUAUAUAGUAAUUAUAAUUGUUUUUACUCAUGUGAACAAAAUCCUGUCUAUUUUAUCUUUGAAUCUGAGGUUUCCAUUUGAUUCAUUCUAUGUUUUUGUUUGGAAAUUAUAUGUUGUGGUACAAUUUCGCAAUGAUUUUUUUUAGUGAUGAAGCCACGAAUUUCUUUGAGGGUAUUUAAGACUUAAUAUAUGUAUAAAAAGUAAUCGUAAUUUACAUAUUGAGUAUAUUUUUGUUAUAUAAACAGUAUAAUUUUUUUAUGAAAGAUGUUCAACUGAUUAUCCUUCAUUGUAUGUGGCUUCGCUAUAUUGUAUUUUUCUACAGAAACUGUAGAAUAAGAGAUAAUUUUUUACUCCUAGUUGAGUUUUAUGUGACAUUAUUUCCUUAUUAGUCCUUUUCAAAGAGGAUGAAUUAGUUUUAUAUUUGAAAAUGAUUAAACUUUAAACCUCUCCUUACCUCUUAACAUAGGAGUAGUUUUUAUAGAUAAAUAAAUAUUCUGACAUGUUUAAGAUCACAAGUUUUAAAAUCUUAUAACCAGAGUCCAGAAAAAUUUUAUGGUAUAUUUAAGAUCGCAAGUUUCAAAAGUAUUUUUUCUCUUUCUUAAAUUCCGUUUUGAGUAAAAUUAUGUCAUGUAAAUUGGAACGAAAAUAUUUUGAUGGAUUCUUGUAGAAGGAUAAUGUACAUCAAAAUGUCAUCUCACUUUCAAGUUCCUAGUGACUUGAAUGCUACUAAAUGGAACUUGUGACAUUAGUUCUGUCCACAGAACUUAUGAACUGCUAAAACACAAAUGGAUUGUGCUAAGUGUCACAUAUUGAUUGGCGGAAUCGAUUAUUGCCUUAUGUUCUUGUGUAGUUCUUCAUUCUGCAUUCUUUCAUUCUUCGUAUUAUGCUAGUAGUAGCUCUGUACCUUGACUUGCAUGGGAUUUGUGGAUAUUGUCUGUUGUCUGUUGUCUGUUCUGUUGUGGAUUUGUGUGAGCCUUGUAUUACUUGCUGCUGCCGCUCUUUGGGACCUAUGGUGCUCGGACUCUUCAAAAAUAUCAUCGGGUGUGUUGGAUCCUCAAAAGCUAUGCAAUUUUUAGGGAUCUGGCGCGGUUUCAGUGCAGCAUUUUUGGAGGGUCCGAGCAAGAUAGCUUAGGAGGUAAUUUCAUGAAAAUUGACAGUUCAAAAGCAAAAAAGAAGCAUAACAUCAAGAACAUAAUAUAUUAUAUACAUGUACAUUCACUUAAGCUCAUCAAAUGCCUAGCCAAAGUGUUAGUAGAGUUUGAAGUCUGAAAAAACAUCAUUCUAUACAUUUCCUAAGAUAUUCACUUAUGGUGCUCGAACUCUUCAAAAAUAUCGUUAGGUGUAUGCAUUUUCUUAAGGAUCUGACAUGAGUGCGGCAACUUUUUUUGAGCGGCCGGGCGACAUAGGUGACUAGUCACUCACUAGUGCUUGUUGUGGUUGAGCCACUAAUCCAUAUCUCACUAUUAGUUUCUGGUGAACUUAGGAACCUAACUUUCUGUAACAGUGCAGCCUUAUCUGAUUCGGGCGAAAAUGGAGGGAUAUUAACACUCUUGUUCUUGAAUAAAUUGAAACUAGCACUAGUAUCAAAUGUCUUCUCAUCUUGAUGAAACUUUCCACCUUGGAUGUUUUUUAAAAUGUUCAAUACUUCAUCCAUUGUUGGUCUGAUAUCCCUAUCGGGUUGCAAGCAUCGAAAAGCUAGCUUUGCGACAGAGAUAGUCAUUCUCUUAUUAAUGAGUAUAUCUGGUGCAAACUCGACUGAUGGAUCAAUCAGUUCAUCGAAUGCACAUCUUUGUAUCCUGUUUAUCGCCAAGUUAGCCAAAUUGAUCUCGUGCUUGUGCCUAUUCAUGUCAACAGCUGGCAUUGAUGAUACAAGCUCAAUAAGGACAACUCCAAAGCUAUAAACGUCGCUUUUGUCGGUAAGCUGAUAGCAUUCGUGAUAUUCAGGAUCAACGUAUCCAAGCGUCCCUUGAGGUGCUGUUGAUAUGUGAGUAACAUCGUUAGGGAAAAGUCUCGAGAGCCCAAAAUCUGCUACUUUGACACGAAAGUUAUUGUCGAGAAGGAUGUUGUUAGUCUUGACAUCGCGAUGUAUCACAUCAGAAGCAUGGAGGUAAGCCAAUGCACUGGCGGUUUCAACUGCAAUGUUCAUGCGGAUGGGCCACGUGAGUGAUCCCUCUGCUGCUCUUUCGCCGUGUAGAUGAUCAGCAACUGUUCCAUUGGGGAUGUAUUCGUAAACAAGGAGAAGUUCACGGCUGCGUCUUGAUGUGCAGCCAUAAAGGGACACAAGAUUUUGGUGCCUCAAACGAGUAAGAAUCUCGAUUUCGUUUAUGAACUGCUGCAUUCUCUUGCAGUUGUGCUCAUAGAGGCAUUUUACUGCAACUUCUCUUCCAUCAUAUAGUUUUCCUAAUUCAGAAUGUGCAAGAACAAUGAGAUACCGAGUUUUCCAACGAAUAGUGAAUAGUAAAAAGUGAUCAGUUGAACACCCUUCGUCAAAAUUAACUGAGUAUAUCGAAAAUUGUACCAAGUAUAAAGGUCAAAAAUUACAUUUUAUACUAUAUAUUAAAAGCAUAAUACGUAAACAGACACUCCAACUUGGACUCAGCCAGCAAAAGAGUGCAUAUCUUGACACAUCAGCUUGGUGGCAACUAAAUAUUCCAACUCGUCCCCAUUGUGUCUCAUGGACACCUAACGCUGAUGUGGCAUAUAAAUAUCGGAGGUGUCUAGAUGAUCAUUUUUAAGUUAAGAGUGUUUAACUGACGCAGUGGAGACGAGUUGAGGUGUAUUUUCAUACUCAAAGUUGGACUUAUAUGGCCGCCAGUCGAGGCCAAAAGUGUCGACCCUCAGCGAAACUCUUGGUUUCGCCAUGAGCAUGACAGCUAACUACUUUUCACUUUUUCGAAAAUGCUGUCUUUUAACAUAAUUCUAAGGUUCAAAGAUAAACUUACCGGAAUAUACAGUUCCAAAACCUCCAUCUCCUAGUUCAUUAGAGGGAUCAAAAUUGUUGGUGGCUUCCUGAAGUUCAGCAUAGGUGAAAACCGGAACCUGAAAUCCAAAAUAUUUGCUCUCUACGACAAGAUCCUGACGAACUUGUUUAGAAUCAUUCUUCCCUGUCUUGCGACGCCAGAUAGAGAAGAUGACAACGGAAGAUAGUAGGAUCAAACCAACUCCGCUUAUCACUAGAAAACACAAGAUAUUGUAAUCAAAAUCUGAUCUUUUAUAAGUGUAAUACUAAAAAAGGGCAGCUUUGGCUGCUUUGCCGGGGAAGGGCCGCACCCCAAGGGUGUCAUGUCAGAAGCCGACAGUGAUUGAUUCCACUGAUCAAAACCCCUGACCUAUAGGUCACACGGAGACAAAUUUACCGUUGCUCCAAGCCCACCCUUCGAAAGCGUACUACUAUAAAAAUGUGGUUAUUGACAACAUAUAUUGUUAAUACAAACAGUACCUGAGGCCAGGAUAAUCAUUCUCAACUUACUUUGUCCAUUUUGCCCUACAGUAAGGAAAAAAAUUAAUCCUUUAAGGUUUACCUCAAUAGAAAACAAUCAGAACAAGAGUUAUAUCUCAACAACAUAUACCUUUGGAACAAUGAAACUCGUGUUCGUCGAUGAUCUGACAUUUCCCUCCUUUGUCAAGACACAGAUGACAAUCUUUGGACAACUCCCAGUCUAGUAAAAUAUCAGAUGUCAACAGUUCAAACAAGCCAAGACUUGCAUGUGGUUUUGAUGGUGUAGGUAAUACAAUUGGCAAUUGUAAAAGUGAACAGUGCUUUGGAAGUUUGCCACUUAUCUUAGCACUAGUAUUUCCUAAUGAGUUUUUGGGAUGGUGAUAGUAAAUAUUAAAAUCUUCACACCUUUUGUAACUAUUGAAACCUUGGAAAAAGUAAUCAAUUGUUUUCUGGAUGGUGUUGUCUUGACUAUGUUUGCAUCUGUACAAGGUUAAGUUAGGAACAAUUUGGAAAGUCAUCAAAGAGGAAUUUGGAAAUGAGAAUUUUUUGUUGAAAGACUUGCAACUUUUGUUAUCUAAAUACUCUUUAAGCAUAGGAUCUGAGAGUAAGAAAAAAUCACCCUUCUUCAAUAGAGCAUCAUAUUUGUGUCCACCAAGUUCGAUCUUUGGAUAUGGUUUAGCAUGACAAUCAAACUUACAUAAUCCACACUCAGGAUUGCUGGAAUUUGUGAAAGGAAACUUCAUAACUCCAAGGCUUCCACAGUCGAAUUCAUCGGUGCAGUUGGUUAUGGAGUUACCUAGUACUUGAUGCAAGCUAAACAUCACUAAACAACACAGAAACAAGAAAGUAGAAGACAUGUUAUGUACUCUAUAUGGUCUCACAAAGCAAGAAAAAUGGAAAAGAGUGGUGUUAAGUGUUAAGGUUUCUUUCUGCAAUAUCAACCAUGUUAUCUGGUUUAAUUUUCUAUAUGUGGACUUGGAAUUUGUUGCAAAGACUUUGAGUAAAAGAAAAAGAUCCAAAUGAGGGCCAACUUGGAAGACUUUUCCACUCAUUGACUAAUUACUAUGUAAAGACUUGACUCAUUGACUGUUAAGAUAUUUCUGCACUUUUUUGUUUGUUUUAAACAAAUCUCAUGCAUCGUCUUAACAAGCAUGUAUGUACCUUCUUUCCUAAGAAGAAAGCAAGUAGUUUAGAUCACAUAAUAUUUCCAUGAGAGGAAGGGAAGUUGGUAAGAACAUUAAAGUAUUUUGGUUAUGAGUCAUUUUCGAUUUGAAGGGUUGCCUUGGAGUAACUGGUAAAGUUGUUGUCAUGUGACCAGGAGGUCGUUCUGUUGUGGAUUUGUGUGAGCCUUGUAUUACUUGCUGCUGCUUUGCUAGUACCAUCGUUUAUAUCUUUAUAUUAUCUUUAUAUUCUCUUAUACUUUCGUGUAGUUGUGGCUGUGGGCAGUAAUGGGUGGAUAGGGUCAUGUCCGAGGGGAUUAGGGCAUGGGGCCGUGGUGGGGGCGGGGGAUGAGGAAAGAGCGGGAGUGAGAGGGAGGCCAAGGUUUGGCCGCGGGGGAGGGGGGGUAGUGGAGGGUGUGCAGGUAGUGACGGUAGGCUGAGGGUUGGGUCUUGGAAUAUAGGGACCCUUCAAGGUAAGUUCAUAGAGCUUGUGAAGACCCUUAGGAAAAGGAGAAUCAACAUUGCGUGUGUUCAAGAGACCAAGUGGGUAGGGUCUAACGCUAGGGAUGUGGAUGGUUACAAGCUGUGAUACUCUAGGAGCGAGAGGCGUAGGAAGGGAGUUGGCAUCUUAGUAGAUGAAAAGCUUAGAGGUCAGGUAGUAGAGGUGAAGAGGAUCAACGAUAGGUUGAUGACUAUUAAGUUGGUUAUUCGAGGGUUUACCCUGAACGUGUGUAGUGCCUAUGCGCCGCAAGUGGGAUCGGAGGGGGAGGAGAAGAUGCGGUUUUGGGAGGCUUUGGAGGAGGUGGUGAGAGGCGUGCCUAGCUCGGAGAAGAUUGUUGUAGCAGGAGAUUUCAACGGGCACAUCGGGGCGCUACCGGGAGGCUUUGGUGAUGUGCAUGGUGGUUUUGGUUUUGGGGAGAGAAAUGAAGAGGGGGCUACCCUAUUGGAGUUUGCAAGGUCCUUUGGGCUGGUGGUGGUGAACUCGGGCUUCCCGAAGAAGGACGAGCACCUGAUCACCUUUCGAAGUAGCAUUCGUGAUAUUCAGGAUCAACGUAUCCAAGCGUCCCUUGAGGUGCUGUUGAUAUGUGAGUAACAUCGUUAGGGAAAAGUCUCGAGAGCCCAAAAUCUGCUACUUUGACACGAAAGUUAUUGUCGAGAAGGAUGUUGUUAGUCUUGACAUCGCGAUGUAUCACAUCAGAAGCAUGGAGGUAAGCCAAUGCACUGGCGGUUUCAACUGCAAUGUUCAUGCGGAUGGGCCACGUGAGUGAUCCCUCUGCUGCUCUUUCGCCGUGUAGAUGAUCAGCAACUGUUCCAUUGGGGAUGUAUUCGUAAACAAGGAGAAGUUCACGGCUGCGUCUUGAUGUGCAGCCAUAAAGGGACACAAGAUUUUGGUGCCUCAAACGAGUAAGAAUCUCGAUUUCGUUUAUGAACUGCUGCAUUCUCUUGCAGUUGUGCUCAUAGAGGCAUUUUACUGCAACUUCUCUUCCAUCAUAUAGUUUUCCUAAUUCAGAAUGUGCAAGAACAAUGAGAUACCGAGUUUUCCAACGAAUAGUGAAUAGUAAAAAGUGAUCAGUUGAACACCCUUCGUCAAAAUUAACUGAGUAUAUCGAAAAUUGUACCAAGUAUAAAGGUCAAAAAUUACAUUUUAUACUAUAUAUUAAAAGCAUAAUACGUAAACAGACACUCCAACUUGGACUCAGCCAGCAAAAGAGUGCAUAUCUUGACACAUCAGCUUGGUGGCAACUAAAUAUUCCAACUCGUCCCCAUUGUGUCUCAUGGACACCUAACGCUGAUGUGGCAUAUAAAUAUCGGAGGUGUCUAGAUGAUCAUUUUUAAGUUAAGAGUGUUUAACUGACGCAGUGGAGACGAGUUGAGGUGUAUUUUCAUACUCAAAGUUGGACUUAUAUGGCCGCCAGUCGAGGCCAAAAGUGUCGACCCUCAGCGAAACUCUUGGUUUCGCCAUGAGCAUGACAGCUAACUACUUUUCACUUUUUCGAAAAUGCUGUCUUUUAACAUAAUUCUAAGGUUCAAAGAUAAACUUACCGGAAUAUACAGUUCCAAAACCUCCAUCUCCUAGUUCAUUAGAGGGAUCAAAAUUGUUGGUGGCUUCCUGAAGUUCAGCAUAGGUGAAAACCGGAACCUGAAAUCCAAAAUAUUUGCUCUCUACGACAAGAUCCUGACGAACUUGUUUAGAAUCAUUCUUCCCUGUCUUGCGACGCCAGAUAGAGAAGAUGACAACGGAAGAUAGUAGGAUCAAACCAACUCCGCUUAUCACUAGAAAACACAAGAUAUUGUAAUCAAAAUCUGAUCUUUUAUAAGUGUAAUACUAAAAAAGGGCAGCUUUGGCUGCUUUGCCGGGGAAGGGCCGCACCCCAAGGGUGUCAUGUCAGAAGCCGACAGUGAUUGAUUCCACUGAUCAAAACCCCUGACCUAUAGGUCACACGGAGACAAAUUUACCGUUGCUCCAAGCCCACCCUUCGAAAGCGUACUACUAUAAAAAUGUGGUUAUUGACAACAUAUAUUGUUAAUACAAACAGUACCUGAGGCCAGGAUAAUCAUUCUCAACUUACUUUGUCCAUUUUGCCCUACAGUAAGGAAAAAAAUUAAUCCUUUAAGGUUUACCUCAAUAGAAAACAAUCAGAACAAGAGUUAUAUCUCAACAACAUAUACCUUUGGAACAAUGAAACUCGUGUUCGUCGAUGAUCUGACAUUUCCCUCCUUUGUCAAGACACAGAUGACAAUCUUUGGACAACUCCCAGUCUAGUAAAAUAUCAGAUGUCAACAGUUCAAACAAGCCAAGACUUGCAUGUGGUUUUGAUGGUGUAGGUAAUACAAUUGGCAAUUGUAAAAGUGAACAGUGCUUUGGAAGUUUGCCACUUAUCUUAGCACUAGUAUUUCCUAAUGAGUUUUUGGGAUGGUGAUAGUAAAUAUUAAAAUCUUCACACCUUUUGUAACUAUUGAAACCUUGGAAAAAGUAAUCAAUUGUUUUCUGGAUGGUGUUGUCUUGACUAUGUUUGCAUCUGUACAAGGUUAAGUUAGGAACAAUUUGGAAAGUCAUCAAAGAGGAAUUUGGAAAUGAGAAUUUUUUGUUGAAAGACUUGCAACUUUUGUUAUCUAAAUACUCUUUAAGCAUAGGAUCUGAGAGUAAGAAAAAAUCACCCUUCUUCAAUAGAGCAUCAUAUUUGUGUCCACCAAGUUCGAUCUUUGGAUAUGGUUUAGCAUGACAAUCAAACUUACAUAAUCCACACUCAGGAUUGCUGGAAUUUGUGAAAGGAAACUUCAUAACUCCAAGGCUUCCACAGUCGAAUUCAUCGGUGCAGUUGGUUAUGGAGUUACCUAGUACUUGAUGCAAGCUAAACAUCACUAAACAACACAGAAACAAGAAAGUAGAAGACAUGUUAUGUACUCUAUAUGGUCUCACAAAGCAAGAAAAAUGGAAAAGAGUGGUGUUAAGUGUUAAGGUUUCUUUCUGCAAUAUCAACCAUGUUAUCUGGUUUAAUUUUCUAUAUGUGGACUUGGAAUUUGUUGCAAAGACUUUGAGUAAAAGAAAAAGAUCCAAAUGAGGGCCAACUUGGAAGACUUUUCCACUCAUUGACUAAUUACUAUGUAAAGACUUGACUCAUUGACUGUUAAGAUAUUUCUGCACUUUUUUGUUUGUUUUAAACAAAUCUCAUGCAUCGUCUUAACAAGCAUGUAUGUACCUUCUUUCCUAAGAAGAAAGCAAGUAGUUUAGAUCACAUAAUAUUUCCAUGAGAGGAAGGGAAGUUGGUAAGAACAUUAAAGUAUUUUGGUUAUGAGUCAUUUUCGAUUUGAAGGGUUGCCUUGGAGUAACUGGUAAAGUUGUUGUCAUGUGACCAGGAGGUCACGGUUCAAGCCUUGGAAACAGCCUCUGGCAGAAAUGCAAGGUAAGGCAGCGUAGGAUACACCCUUGUGGUGGGGCUCUUCCCGGACCUUGUGCAUAGCAAAAGCUUUAGUGCACCGGGCUGCCCUUGUUUAGUCAUUUUCGAUUUGGAAAUAGGUGAACAAAGUCCGGAUAUAUCACAUACAGGCUUGACAGACCGUUCGAGUGAAAUAGUAAAAGAUAAGUGACUUUUUUGAUACAAAAGAAAGAAAAAUGACCUUUUGAGUGAAACGAUAAGGUAAGUGACUUUUCUGAUACAAAAGAAUGAUAAGUGACUUUAUUCACUUACUUCCAAUGGUUGAAUGAUCAGAAAAUUUCUGCAAUCAACUAAUCUGUGAUGGUGUUCUCAAUCAAAAAAAAUCCAGUCUCCAGAUCAGAUACCAGUUGAAGAGCUUUGUCAUAAGCUAAAUGAUCAAAGCUAGCAUAUUGUGAAGCUUCCGUAAUGUAACAAUUCAAAAAGCAUCUCACAGAUUGGUUGAUGGAAGGCAGAUUGAUUUACAGUGUACAUCCUGAUAGGUUAGGCAACGUAGUUGACACACAGUCAGAGAAGAAACGGAGCAUAAAAUAUACAAAUUUGCAGAACAUCAAGAUGUCAUGAGGAAGAACUCGAGAAGCUGGAGAUUUAUAAUGUUGGUUGUGGUAGAGCCACUAAACCAUCUAUCAUUCGCGGAAUUUGGUGAAGGUAGAAAUUCAGAUUUCAUCAACUGCAUAGCAUUCCUGAGAAAGACGCUGAGGGACCUUUACUACUAGCCUCAGUUUCAUCGCCACUCAUUUGAAUUUCAACAUCGGUAGAACGUAAUCCAUAGAAGGCCUCAUGUUGUCCUCUAGUUGCAGGCGUGGAAAAGCCAACUUUGCCACUGUGUGAGAUGCACUUUUUUCCCAUCGCAGCAUUUCAUUGGUACGUCUCUUCCAUUGCUCGGUUCACCUAAGAAUGUGCAUUGUUAGCUGCUCUAUAUAGAGAGAGUUAAUCAAAGUACUGUUACCUUCUAGAAAUCUGCCAAAUAUAAAGCUUAAGUCCAUAUGCUUCUUACCGUGGUAACCUGUUCCGAAACCUCCAUCAGUGUGUUCUGUAAAGGAAAUUUUGUGCACACAGCAUUAUUUAGUCAUAAGAAGUGCACGCACUAGCUGUCAAAUGUCCCCGUAAAGUGGCUGAUACUCCUUUAAGUAACCUCAAAUCCAGGAUACCGUGAAAAAUACACAUGCUCGUUAGUGCAGAAAGCAUGUCCAUAUUCAAUAGUUACACUCAAGUGUUCAGAAAAUGGCGAACAAAGAACAAAAGUGGAAACUAAUAAAGAUAAAAAGGAAGGCCUCAGCGACGUAUUCCUUUACAGAUGAAUGAGUACAUAUAUCUUAACAUGUACAUUGACGCUAAGGUCAAGAGUGUAAGAAUUUCACCCGCUAAUAUUACUACUGCCACAACUACUAACCCACUUCUCCGUUACAGAAAUAGGUGAAGGUGGCAAUUGCAUUUUCUUUAACAAAACUGUUUUAUCUGAUGUAGGAGAAGUAGGGGCUUUUUCACCAUUACAAUCUGUUUUAUCGAUAAUUGAGUCCUUCGUCUUCUCAUCUUUGAUGUGAUCCGUAUUGUUGCUUUGAAUAUGUUUAAGCGUUUCUAGUACUUCAUCCAUUGUCGGUCUCAAGUCCGUCUCAAGCUGCAAGCAUUGAAAUGCUAGCUCUGCUACUGAAGUAGUCAUUCUCAUAACUUGAGCAUCCGACUUAAAUCCCAGGGAUGGAUCAAUCAGCUCAUCGAACGCGCAUCUUUGAAUCCUGUUUAUUGCUAAGUUGGCCAAAUUGAUCUCAUGUCUACGCCUAGUAAUAUCAACAGCAGGCAUUGAUGAGAUAAGUUCAAUGAGGACAACACCGAAACUAUAAACAUCACUUUUUUCAGUGAGCUGGUAACAUUCAUGAUACUCUGGAUCAACAUAUCCAGCUGUCCCUUGAGGAGCAGUUGAGACAUGAGUAGCAUCAUUCGGAAAAAGUCUCGAAAGCCCAAAAUCUGCAACUUUGACACAACAAUUGCUGUCGAGGAGUAUAUUGCUAGUCUUCACAUCACGAUGUAUUAUGUCAGAAGCAUGGAGAUAAGCCAAUGCACUAGCAGUUUCGACAGCAAUAUUCAUCCGGAUAGGCCAUGGAAGGAAUCCGUCCUUUGCUCUAUCCCCGUUCAAGUGAUCCGCCACUGUUCCAUUGGAAAUGUAUUCAUAAACAAGGAGGAGUUCACGGCUGUGCUUUGAUGUGAAACCAUAAAGGGUAACAAGAUUUCGAUGCCUUAGACGAGUGAGAAUUUCAAUUUCAUUUUUAAACUGUUCCAUUCUCUUGCAGUUGUGCUCGUAUAGUCGCUUCACUGCAACUUCUCUCCCAUCCCUAAGUUUACCUAGUAAGGAACGUAGUACAAAUUUAGUUAUUUAAUCGUUUCAUUCGAACAUCUAUUUUGCUUUCGACAUUCUUACCAUAAUAAACAGCACCAAAACCUCCAUCUCCUAGUUCUUUAGAGGAAUCAAAGUUACUAGUAGCUUCUUCGAGUUCAGCAUAGGAGAAGACCGAGACUCCAUGGUAAUUACUACCUCCAUCAAAGUCAUGUGUAAAGGAAGGAUCAGAAGAUUUUUUUCUUGAGCGGAAGUAUAAACAACUUUUUUGUUCUUUCUUGUAACGACAAACAAUGACAGCGACCACGACCACGAGGAUUAUUAACACAGCUCCACCUAAAACUGAAAAAAGACAAAAACGACGUUAACAUGAUGUGGAACUAUGUUGAAAUGUCACAUUCAGGGAUAAUAAUAUAGUACUGAUUUACCUGAACCAAGAAUCAACCCCAAUUUCUUUUUCCCUGAAAAUGAAGAAACGUCAGACAAAUCGCGGAGGAAGAAAAUAGAACUUAUAAAAUGUUCCAGUGGAUAGGAAUGGAUAUACAGCAACAUGCAUUUAUGAAAUAAUUGGUUUUGGACCAGUAGGUAAAUGCUUCUGGAUGUGCUAUUCAACAACGACAACGUACACAGUGUAAUCCACAAGUUGGGUCUGGGGAGGGUAGGAUGUACGCAGACCUUACCACUACCUUUGUGGGGUAAAGAGGUUGUUUUCAAUAGACCCUCGGCUCAAAAGGAAUGUAAUUGAAGCAGGAUUGCAAGAAAAAAAUAACCAGAUAGCACGACGUGAAGCAAAUACAACAACAACAACAACAUACCCAGUGUAUUCCCACAAGAGUGAGGUCUGGGGAGGGUAAGAUGUACGCAGUCCAUACCUCUACCUCCGAGGAAGUAGAGAGGUUGUUUCCUAUAGACCCCCGGCUCAAAGUAGAGAACAGUAAACAAAGGGAUGGAAAACAUAAUAGAAAAUCAGGAAUAAGAACACAACGUGAAGCAAAUAAAGCAACAAAUAGAGCCACACACAGAAGAAUAGGAGACUAUGCAAUUACAAAAUACUACUACCAAUAAUAAAAAGAGGAAAAAAGAAAUGUCCAAGGGUUGUCGGUAACUAAGUUGUUCGGAAAAUCCCUACAUGAUAAAAAUUCAUAGGCCAAUCUUAGACAAGUUAUCGCUCUUUGAUCAUGAAUCAACGCAAUUGAAUUAGUGAAGAGUCGCCUACAAUCUCACUAUCACCAAACUUCAGUCAGUGCAAGCUGGUAGUAAAAGAAUGGAAAAGAUAAUCUCGUCUACAUUAGAGUACUUAGUUUAUAGUAAAUAUAUAAGACGAGAUUUGGAUGUUUAUGAUGCACAUGAAAGCCUCCUUGGUCAUUGUUAGCUUUUGUAACUCUGCAAAUAAUCAUUAUCUUAUGUUGAGUAUCUUAAAGUUGCAGCUGGUGGUAGCAGAUACCAACACAGCAAUGAUUCUGGUGAGACCGAUCAGAGCGAUAACAGACAGGUUCACCAUUUUCAGUGCUACAAUGGUUGCUGCUUCUUUCAUAACCACUGACCUCCGGACCAUUGUAGUAUUAAUUUAUUUUCCAACAACCUUACAUAGUCUAUCGAUUGGUAUUUUUUAUUGCUCUUCUUUUUCCAAUUUCAACUGGUGCAGCAACAUAUGACUCUCAAGGCAUGCACUACGAUCGACUUGGUUUUCCCCAUUGGCUAAAACAGCAUAGGGAUGAUUCACAUUUUUUGGCGAAUUUUGGGGGAAAGUAGUUAUUGAAACAAUUAAAGAUUUACUAUAAUAUAGUUGAACCACAUGUGAUGGGAGAUUGAUCAAAAGCAAAAAACUUUCGAGGAGCUACGCAUGAAGGAUUCACUAUGUCAGUAUUCACUAACCGAAAUGAUUGUUUCUUAUAUAGGAGAUACUUUUGUUAAUGUAGUGACUGCUGGAAGUUUAGUAAAGUGGUGUAAAUAACCACAAAAUCGGGGUAACCACAUAAACAUGGAUUCUUAUCUAAGAUAAAUAAUACGUAACAUAUACAAAAUAGCCAGUUCAAUCCCACACGUGAGGUCUGCUGAGGGUGGUGGCGUGUACGGCUGUACUCAUACCUUACCCCUACCUCGUGAAGGUAGCCAAUUUAUACAUAUCAAUUACAACUUUGCUUUGUUAACGACCCGCUUCCUGAGUUCACGUUAGCCUACUUCAAUUAACCAUCUCAAACUAUUAACCUAGUCCUUCAUACAUACCGUUAAAGAUCGUGUCUUGCAUAUGAAUAUCAAAGAUAAAGCUCAACUAUGAGAUGAACACGGUAUUCCUUCAACGGACCUUGAGUCUAUAAUCUUUGUCCUCCAAAUGUAAACUCGAAUUGGUUAGUGAAAAGGAGAUUAGGUGGGCAGUGGAUUAUUAAACUAAAAAAGCACAGCCCGGUGCACUAAAGCUCCCGCUAUACGCAGGGUCCGGGGAAGGGCCCUACCACAAAGGUGUAUUGUAUGCAGCCUUACCUUGCAUUUCUGCCAGAGGUUGUUUCCAAGGCUUGACCCCGUGACCUCCUGGGCAGAGGCUUUACCAGUUACCAGUGGCCUAUUAGAUUGAGAAUAGAAUUAACGAAGUCUUCGAUUGGCAUCCUCAUAUACUUAACAAAAUACUACUGGUGUAACCAAAAGAUUAAUAUGACAGAAGAUCAAACCCCAAAAUGCAUAAACUAAUCAGAACAAGACAUCAUUCAUCAAAGAAGUUAUUAGUAUCUAUACAUUGCAACACAAACUUUGAAAUCAAACACAUUAUUAAUCAUCGACAACAGACAGCUAACCUAAUCUAAAUGAUUAUUCAUCUGUAUCGUGAUUCUUAGAUCAUCAAGCAAUACUCUUUUAUGCUCUUUGUGAUCACACAAAAAGAAUCUAAAGCACGGUGUCUAAUCAUAGCAUAAGGCGCUGCAUAGAUAUACCGGAAAAUUAACUGCUAGAUAGGGUCAUAGGGACUUACUGGAAGGUUUGCAACUCGACGAAUGAGGCCUGUCAGUGCAGAAGCAUUUGAACUUAUAAUUUCGCACAUCAAAUCCGCAACGUCCUCCACUUUCUGCACACUCACUGCAAUUACUAGCUGUCCAGCUCAAUCUAAACCCCCUUCUCAAAAGGAACAGAUAGUCUUGACCGUUUUCCUCGUUACCGCGCAUUUCUACCGGUACCAUUACAUGAUUUUUACACACUUGCAAUGCAGACUCAAAGCUUUCAUCCUCAUCAAACAUUGAAAGACCCCAAUCAUCAUUCCCAUUUUCUUCACCACAACCAAAACCAAUCCUAUACUUCAAUAGCUCCCCCGCUAUCGAGCCAUUACAGUUGGACAACAAGUAAAUUCUUGAUUCAUUCACAAAUCUAUACGGGCGAUUAUCGAGUGAUACAUUCUUGAUCUCAGAAACACAACCAUUCAUUAUACUACUAUUAAAGACUGAAUUUUUAAGCUGAAAAGUAUGAUCUUGAUAUGAAAUAUCUUCAACUAUAUACUCAUUUCCAGCAAUAUGUACAACAGGAUAACCUUGUUCACUACAAUUCAGCCCAAAUCCAGGGUACCCACAAUAAGAUUCUUGAACAUCUUUAACAUAAAAUGGAAAGCUUAUUCUUGGACCAUAUCUACAAUUUACUGAUUUAUUACAUGCUACAAACUGUGGAUCAACAGCAUAACAACAUUUAUCUAGUUGCAGAAUGAAGCACAAAAUACAAAGGUUUAAUGAUGUUAUCAAGAAAUACCUUCUUUCUUGGUUCAUCUGUAAUCUUGAAACAACUGAAAAAUAGACAAACCAGACAAGUAGAUAAUCAAAAACAUACACUUGGGUUUCUUGGAUUUUUUCCUUUUUACCUUUUUGUUUGGCAAAAUAAGGUAUUCAUAUUCAGAUAAUAAUGAAAAAUAUACUAAAGGGAAAGNNNNNNNNNNNNNNNNNNNNNNGAACUAGCUUGCAUGCACGUCAACUAAUUUUACCCGAACUAGCUUGCAUGCACGUCAACUAAUUUUACAAUGUUAUGAAACGAACGGGAAUAAGAAGUACCAGAAAAUCAAAGAAAAUAAGAACACACAGAUUUUACAUGAAAACCCUUGACAGGAAAAAUCACGGGCAGAGGAGGAGGAGAAGAGUACGAUGAGGAGACGAAAGUCUCAAUGACGUAUAUAAACCGUCCAAAAAAUGACCCACUAAAUCGCACUUAUACCACCACAGACCCCACAAAAAAUCACAAAUAUGGAUCGCACCAUGAAUUUUUCAGUACCAAAUCAAUAAAAUUCGGAUCACAAACUCUAACACGCAGGAUACAGGUCACCUCCUACCGGCAACGCGUAUUAGAUAACUUUGUCCAUCGAAAUUAGAACAAAUGAAAUUUGGUUGGGAAUUGAACCUGACUUCAUAGUGUUCAACGCACUUCAUUGAACCACUAGGCGCCACCGUUUGGUGCACGGCUAUGUAUCUAUUGUUUUUUUAAAAUAACUAUGGUAUCCGAGCUAUCUUGCAUGCCCAUCGCAUGAUACCUAUUACCUCUCACCAGCAACAAAUAAUACGUAACUCUGUUCAUCAAGAUUAGAACAGAUGAAAUUUAGCUGACAGUUGAACCCAACUGUACGAUGCUCAGUGGAUUUCACUGAACCACUAGGUCACACCGUUGGGCUCACCAACAUGUAUCUACCUCAUAUUUCACAAAGGUUGAAUAUUCAAGAUUAUACUAUUGAACAUAAACAAGUUGCAUUUAUUGACCAAUGAACUGUUUGACUAAUAAAUUGCAAUAAAAAAGUCUGCUUUAAGAAACAUUAGUCAUAUUCACAUAGGAUAUACUACUAAUAAUAGAGGGCAACAUGUUUCUUGCUCAUAUGUCUGCAGUAAUUUGCACAGAAAGAAUGGAUUUUUAGCUAGUGUUUGAUCAUAAAUUUUCAAUCAAAUUUUAAAAUUUGAAAUUUAUAUAUUUGAUUGUGAAAUUUGAUUGGAUUCUAAAAAUGUGAGUUUAAGUAUUUUUCUAGUUCCCAAAAAUAGACUCAUUGGAAUAGGGGUGUAUAAAAAUAUCAAUAAAUUAAAUCGAUAAAAAUAUUAUUGAUUUAUUGUUAUUAGAUUAUUGGAUUAACGAUUUUUAACUGGUUUUAUAAAAAAAAAUUACUGAGUUAUUAGUUCGAUUCUAUUUUUUUCUUAUUGGAUUAUUGAGUAAACUGAUAACUCAAUAUAUAUAUAUUUCUCUUUCAUUUCUAUAAACCUAUACAAUUUCCCGAAAACCUAUUCAAGCUUGAAGAUUCUUGUAAAAUAAAACACAUCAUGUAGGAUUUUUGCUGCAACUAAGAUUUCGUUUCUUUUCUUGUUAGUUGCUACUAUUUCUAUUUUAUGCAUAUUUCCUUAUCGAUUAAACCGAAAAUAGAACUAUUGAGGACUAAAAAAUGAUAAAUCGAAAAUCAAUAAAAAAUAUCUUAUUGAUUUGAUUAUUAGUUUAACAUAUUUAAAAACUGAUAACCGAUAAUACAUAAAAUCGAACCGAACCGACUGAUGCACACCCCUACAUGGGAGGUAUUUCACUUUCACCGGUAAAAUGUAAAUAAUAAUAAUAAUAAAACACAACUUUAAAAAAUUCAAAUUCUCAAAUUUCAACUUUAAAAUUUAUGGCCACGAACUUAAUUUGACCAUGAAUUGUUCUAUUAAACUUCUUUUUGACUUUGACUAUUUAGGAAGCUAUGUUGGAAUAUAUGUUAACUAUAUAGGUAAGAGAUGAUUUGUUAAUGAUAAAGAUAUGAAUGAACCAAAAACGUAAGAGUCAUAAAAAAUUAAUAUCUCUACAAAAUUAAAAUUUUUCUCUCUUUAUGUAGAUGGUAUCAAACUAAAACUUGAUAAUUCGAUUAAUUUAGAUUUGCAUCACUCAAGAUGGUCCAUCUUUACUGUCAGUAUUCAAAUCUGAAAUCUCUGGAAAAAAAAAAAAAGGAAAGAGAAUCAUUCAUUCCAUUAUGUUACUUGAAAAUAAAAUAAUCUCUUAAACAAAGAUAUUAGAUUCUCAUUAAGCAACAUUAGUGGGAUGAUUAAGGUUUGAAUUAUAUUUUACUAAGUUGAUCUUUUUUUGUUACAUUUAGACUUUUGACUUUUUCUUCCUUUUGGUUGACCUUUUAAUCCUUUUAUAAAAAUAUUGAAGCCAAUACAUUAAUAUUCCUAUGAUAUUUCAUGUAACAUAUUACAUUAUUACAUCUUUUAAGUUCAUAAAACAAUAUAGAAUAUAUCCCUUUUUUUUUUGUCUCAUUUGGAAAUACUUUUUAGAAAGAUAUUCCUUCAUUCAUCUUUAGAAAAUUGGAAUACAAGUUGUGUGAUUAUUUUAUUCCUCAUAAAUAUUGUACUGACGAAUUAAAGUCACUUUUUUAAAAUGUACAUUUUAUGGCUAAUUAAUAUGUGUUAGCGCUAGCGACAUUGGAUUCAAUGGAAAUUAACAAAUAUCAUUAAAAACUUUAACAUUUUUUGUUAAAGUGCAUAUUUAUUACCGCUAAAAGUUUUUAUUGCCGUAUACCCAGCAUGUUUGAUGGAACUAAAGAUUCCCCCACGGCUCAAAGUACGCCGAUUACCUCCCAAACCGUACAAGAUAGUUACCACCUAUCAUACGGCUUUCUAACUUAACUUCUUUUUCUAGUUGUUCCGCUCUGUCGAUCAAUGGAAGUAUAAGAGAUCUGUAACCUCUCGCAAUCUUUGACGUAAUACUUCUUGCUUCCUAUCCAUAGUUAGCAUAUAUCUCCACCGGUCAUACUUUAAAUUGAGUCAUAUUCAAUGAAAAGAAUGUCUUAAGAUAGUACUAAUAUACAAAAUGAAAGGAAAUUAAGGUAAGUAUUAGUUUAAUUAAAAGAUAAUAUCUUUUUUAAGCCAAAGCGUCAUAACCAAAAAGGACAAGACCCAAGAAAGUGGAUAUAAAAAUACAAAUGUUGGAAAUUGACACCAAUAUGAGUUGUGGUGUGGCGGAUGGGGCUGCUCUACCCUUAACCAGAGGUGGAGGGUUCGACCUUGGGCAUGGAGAAAACUCUGUUGAGAGUGCUACCCCCGAAUGGGGCCCUACCCGUCGCGAAUCCGAAUUAAUCGGGCUCCAAUGCAAAUACCGAACACCGAACGAGAAAUCGAAAAAAAAAAAGUUGGGAAUUGACUUUUAUUAUUAAGAAAAAGAAAAAAAUCACACAUGAUUCUUUUGUUUUAUAAUGGACUUUUACAAAUGUUUGAAGACAAGAAAACGAAGCACUAUAUAGUUAAUGAUGCAAAAUUGGAAAAAUAGACAUUAGGAAAAAGGGGAUGAAUUGUGAUAAGAAGGAAUUUCAACUAAUAUUGCAGCCACCAAUUAUUAUUGGGGAAAAAGUUUCAACUAUAUUUAAACUUUGGCGAAAUUUAUUGUAAUACGCUUUAACUUUGCGGGAGUUCUAUGACCUCCUUAAUUAUUUAUCACCAUAUUUCCGUAGCAUAUAUUUGUCCAGUCGGAUCAUUGCGUGAAUACAUGCACACUGAGCGCGUAAGAGUUUAAAGUGAUUCAGGUGGACAAGUAUAUGCCACAAAAAUACGGUAAUAAACAGUUGGGGGAUCAUGGGACCCCCCGCAAAGUUGAGGCAUGUUACAGCAAAUUUCGUUAAAGUUUAAGUAUAUUUCUGGCUCUUUUUCCAUAAUUAUUCAAAGUAUGAUUGAGAUGAUGAGAUUUCUCUGUCUUUAAUCAGAAGUUAUUGAUACGAGCUAACAGAAUUUUAUUUUAAUGUCCCGACUAACUUGUACUUACCUCGACUAUGUUAUAAAACACGUGUUAUUUCACCAACAGAUACAGAUCCAAAACUAAUGCAUUUGUUGAAUUAAUAUACUAUCAACUUGUCAAUUAUACACUUGUUUUGGCCCAUCGAUACAAAUAUCAGGUAAUUCCAUACCAAGAUUAAGGUUAAUGAAAAAUACAAUUUAAAUUCUUUUGUCUUUGCUGAAAUUUAAACUCUAAUUUCAAAAAUCACGCCUACUUUAUUAGAUGUCAGGGGCGAAUCUAAGAUUAAAACUAAGAAUUCGAUAAAAUCUAAGAUUUAACUCAAAAACUUAAAAUUUUGGAUCCAUUUAUAUUGGGGCAAAUAACAUAAAUUCCGAUUGUUUGGAGCUUAAUUACAGAAAAUUUCGAUAUUUUGCAUAAUUACUGAAAAUCUCAAUUUUGGGUCUGUCGAGAUACAUAAUUAGCUCCCGAUAUAUUUUUUUUCGAAUCACGUCUGUCGAGAUACAUGAUAUAUUCAACGAAAAUACAUUUUUUCCUUGAAAAGAUACAUAAUUAAUUUUUUCAAUUUUGGAUCUAUCGAGAUACAUAAUUAGCUCCCGAUACAUCCAACGAAGAUAUAUUUUUUUCUAAGUAUAGAUAUAUAAUUAGCUUUCGAUACAUUUUUUUCGAAUUUGAGUUUGUCGAGAUACAUGAUAUAUUCAACGAAAAUAUUUUUUUUUUAAAGAUACAUAAUUAGCUUUCGAUACAUUUUUUCGAUUUUGAUUCUGUCGAGAUACAUAAUUAGCUCUCUAAUACAUCCAAGGAAGAUAAAUAAUUAAUUGAAUUUUUUGUAAUUACUCUAUAAGGAUGAAAAUUUAUAUAAAUAUGAUAAAUUAAGGUAUAUAUUUAUGUUAUUUUUUUCUUUAUAUUGGCCACUUGGGUGCACACUAAAUGGUUGGCAACAUCACCUUUAUAUCUUGAUAGACAUGUAAUUAGAUCUUACAUUUAUAGCCACUCAAUUGGAUACUAUUGUCAAAGUUCCAAUUUUUUCCAAUUUUGAAAUAAGUGGUUCAAAAAUUGUCAAAAUUCAUAUCCAUUUAGGGGAAUUAUUGUGUCUUACUAUUGGGUGAUAUAUAGUGGAAUAUAUGCAACCAUUAUGCAUAGUUUCAUCUAGAUACAUCUCACAAAUAGUUUGAUUUUUUUGUGUUAGGUAAAAAAUUAUUUGUAUCGAAUGUUUAUAUGUAUCUUUAUUAUAACACAUUAAUCUAAAUAUAUAUAUAUAUAUAUAUAUACAUAUAUAUAUAUAAAUAUAAAUUUACGUUAAUAUAAUUACUGGUUAAUAUGUGUAUUCAUUAAGUAUAUUUCGACCAAGGAUUACAAGUAUCGUGGUUAGUGGCGAGAUCGGAAAUUUUAUACAAGAAUAUCACGGUUGUAAUUUAAAGUUUUUGAAUAUAUGACGUGAAGCAAUUUCGAACCUCCUCUAUCAUUAUACUUGAUUUUUUCUUUAUGUCAACGGAAUUCAACAGCUCACGUAUAAUCAUAAGAAAUAAUUAUUACUCUAAUUUGCACAAUUUUCGAUGAAGAAAGUUCGGCUAAACCCCUUUGAUACUAUUUAACUCCGCCACUAAUUGUGGCUAUGCAAGUAAACAAUUUUUUGAGUCGAUUGGCUAAAAAUGUUAAGAUUUCAUUAUUUUUUAAACAAAAUUAAAUAAACCUACACCUUAACUUAUCAUAUUUACACAAAUUUUCACCCUUACAAAGUAAUUACAAAAAUCUCAACUAAUUAUGUAUCUUUAUUGAAUGUAUCGGGAGUUAAUUAUGUAUCUUGAUAGAUCCAAAAUUGAAAAAAAUAUAUCGAAAGCUAAUUAUGUAUCCUUAUAAAAAAAUAAUAUACCUUCGUUGGAUGUAUUAUGUAUCUAGACAGACCCAAAAUUGAAAAAAAAAUGUAUCCAAAGCUAAUUAUGUAUCUUUACAAAGGAAAAAAAUAUAUUUUUGUUGGAUGUAUUAGGAGCUAAUUAUGUACUUGAUAGACUCGAAAUUGAGAUUUUCAGUAAUUGUGGAAAACAUCAAAUUUUUCUGUAAUUAAGCGUCAAACUAUCGGAACUUAUAUUGUUUGCCUUUCUUUUUUAACAUCUUCCUUUUUGGAGGUACUUAAGAGCAAUAGUUGAUAAUUUGGUGGGCUAUAGCCCAUAAUGAGCUGAAUUUAGCAACAUUAGUGAAGGCCCAAUUACUACUUUGGCCCAUUAUCUGAUUCUCUCUCUUUUUGUUGUUUAUUCGUACGUAAGGGGUUCACGUUUCGAUUUGGAUCGAUUUUUCUCAUAAAAGGCUAAGACAAUCAAGUUGGUGUUAACUAAAAUUACGGUUAACUAACGUUAUUUUUGUAGAUUAUACAUUUAAGAAAAAACAUCGUUCGAAAAUAAGUCAGUUUCUGAAAUGUAUUUUUCGAUAUACACUUGAUGAAUGAAAAAUAUAUUUAUUGUCGAUCAUUAUAUAGAAAAAUAGUUUCCAUAUAUAAUUAGCAUACUUGAAUAUGAUAAUUAUUUCAUAAAAGCUUUGGAUCCCAAAAUGCACUUUAGAAUAUGUGGUAGAGCCGUCAAUAUGGAUCAGGCCCGUUGGGCCAACCUGACCCGACCUGCAAUUUGAUGGAGUUGAGUUUCAAUUUUUGAAGCUCAUUUAAGAACAAGGCUUUUUAGCUCGGCCCGUAUAAGCCCAUGGACCAUGGGCUUGAGCACUGUGGGUUGGGCUAGCCCAUGGGCCGACCCGUAAGUCAAAUACAUGCAACUAUUUAGAUUUCUUAUUAGUAUUUUUAUUUGGUUUGAAGGAUAUCAUGUCAAAAAUUAUUAAAUUUUGCUAUCAAGAGUAUUUUUUGGGGUGUUGGAGGCUUGAUUAACAAAUAUUAACACUAUGUAAUAUUAUCUAGUAAUAUUUAUGUUUGUUAACUAUCACGACCCGAACCGGGGCCCUGGCCGUGACGAGCAUUCCGAACCAUGAAGGUCCGAAACACCCCUAUCUAUCUGGUAAUCAUGCAUAUAAUUCAUAUGAUAAAAAGAAAUGCGGAAGAUACACAAUAUUACGGAAACAUGGUCACAAGUCUAGUGAAAUCAAUAAUGGGAAAUAAUGUCCCACAACAUCUAUCGACAUCUGAAAACCGUUUGCAAAAUCUCUACUACAUGACUAAAAGAAACAACUGUUUGAAAACUGGGACAAGGCCCCCAGUAGACCCAAAACCAUUAAAUGAUAAAUAAACUGUCAAACAUCAGGCCUUCCGGAAUAUAGAAGGCUCACCACUUGACCCUGCAAAUCUGUUUGAAGAAUCUACUGAUUAUCUGGACCCCUAGACUGUGCCUCCGAACCUGAGAGGGAAGGGGGUCAAUACAAAGUAAUGGUACGCAGAGUAAUCCAAAACAAAAGAGAGAUUUUUAUAUAAACUAAACGAGAGCUGUUAUAAAACACAUAAUUACAAAAUGAUUUCGAAAAUACAUGGGCAUAGUAUACUGAUUUUUCAACAACAAUGCAACACAUCUGAGGUAGGUGGUACACCCUACAAUUUCACAUUUUCUCCAACUGUCAAAUCUCGGUUACUGCCGAGAUUAGAGUAUAAGUGAGGGAAAGACACACAAGAUCACAUAGCAGGGUGUCUCGACCCAAUCAAGUAUGGUAGUGCACAAGAUCACAAAGCAGGGCUCCUAACUAUAGUCCCAAUUUGGGAUGACAUAAUGUUAGGGACACAAGAUCACACAGCAGGGUACCAAGUUCCCGAGUCGGCAAACACGGUUUCCAGCAUAGAGUCAUUUGACUCGUGCUUUCUUCGGGUAACCACCUAUCUCACAAAAUCAAUGCAUGAAACUCAUUUUAAUCAAUCACAUGUCAUACUCUACAGGGUAUCGUCAUACCCGACUUGCAAGUCAUCAAUAUCACAUCAACUUUCCAACUUCUCAUACCAUUUACCACAUGCACAUAUGUAUGACUUUCACACCAUUAAAACGCAUACACCAUGGUUCUCAAUAUACAAUUAUUCAAGAAGUUCAAUCAUUUAUGAUUAAUGUCAUAUCAAUUGCAAAACUCAUGCGCUCAAUGGUUUAACACUAGUAUAAUAUGGGGUAUAAAUAUUAUCAUGGGGAAUUUAGAAAAUUCACAACCCGUGUACAUCACACCCUUUUGAAAUUUCAGGUCACAUGUUCACAAUUCAACCAUUUAAAUACAUUCAAACAAACAACCCCAUGAUAUCUCAAUAAUUCUUUUAAAAUCAUAUAUCAAAACAUGUUAUUUGUAUCAAUUGAAAACCUCAUUUGUAAAAACAUAUAUAUACUUAUAUAAAUUUAAAGUCUUGCGUAAAUUUCUUUCUGAAAACAUGCCCGUGAAAUUUAGGACAACCCCACGUACCUCUAUUUCAGAGAAUAAUGAAUGAUUCUUGAAGAUUAGGGAUUGGGGAUUACAAAUCUCUAAUUAUCUUCAAAAACUCACGGUUGAAUCUUGAAUUAUUUGGGAUUCUUGUUUGAAACCCUAGAGAGCAUUCUUGAUGAAUUUUGGUGAAAGUGUAUGUAUUUAGGUGUAUUUGGGAUUAAAUCCCGUGUUUGGAUGGGUUUGGGGCCAUGGGAAAUGUCUAGUUCGACCUUAGAAUUUAAAAUUCAGGACUGAAACGCCGUAUAAGGCUUCACCGCGACGCGCUGGAAAUCGCGAUGAGCUACUGGAAUUGACAAUUGUCAAUUUAAGGCUCAUCACGAAGCGGUGGCCAGUCAAACGGGAAUGCUGACACUAAAAAUGAUCUAACUUCUUCACCGAGUGUCUGUUUUAGGUGAAUUUGGUAUCGAUAGAAAGUUAAUUCGAAGAUCUUUCAUUUGAUAUAUAGUAGGUGUAACACCCCGUAUUCAAGUACAUCUAUUGGCGUAUUCAAGUACGUGUAUUGGUCUUAUUUAUAUGGAAUUAAUUUUAUUUUAUUUUAUUUAUACCGGAAUUUGUCCGNNNNNNNNNNNNNNNNNNNNNNNNNNNNNNNNNNNNNNNNNNNNNNNNNNNNNNNNNNNNNNNNNNNNNNNNNNNNNNNNNNNNNNNNNNNNNNNNNNNNNNNNNNNNNNNNNGAUAUUUGGGAAUAGUAAAUGUGCAGGAAAAUUUCCUGCACACAAACUACUGAGGCCAGCCAAUUUUUGGGUCAACUUUGAACGAUCAUAAAUCUCUUAAUAUAAUGAACUGGGAGAGCUGCGACCUGUGAAAAGAAAUAUCUUUGAGUCUUCUUUCUAAUGCAAUUAGUUUCAUCCAAAUCCAACGUCUGAGUAAGGAGUUACACUCGUUUUACUUCAGCCUCUCAAAACAGAUUUUUAGGGUCAACUUCAAACGAUCAUAACUCCUUGUACAGGACGAACUGGGUGGCCUACUUUAUAUGAAAUGAAAGACCUUUGAAUUAUCUUUCCAACUAUACCAAUUUCACCCAAAUCCGAUAUCAGAGCAAAGAGUUAUGGUCGAUCUACUUUAGCUUAUCAAAACAGUCCACCAAAGGACAGAUUUGACAUUAUUUAAAUUUUAAAGGCACUUUGGUCAUUCCCUAUGAUAUUAUGGAUGGGAAUAUGUGUANNNNNNNNNNNNNNNNNNNNNNNNNNNNNNNNNNNNNNNNNNNNNNNNNNNNNNNNNNNNNNNNNNNNNNNNNNNNNNNNNNNNNNNNNNNNNNNNNNNNNNNNNNNNNNNNNNNNNNNNNNNNNNNNNNNNNNNNNNNNNNNNNNNNNNNNNNNNNNNNNNNNNNNNNNNNNNNNNNNNNNNNNNNNNNNNNNNNNNNNNNNNNNNNNNNNNNNNNNNNNNNNNNNNNNNNNNNNNNNNNNNNNNNNNNNNNNNNNNNNNNNNNNNNNNNNNNNNNNNNNNNNNNNNNNNNNNNNNNNNNNNNNNNNNNNNNNNNNNNNNNNNNNNNNNNNNNNNNNNNNNNNNNNNNNNNNNNNNNNNNNNNNNNNNNNNNNNNNNNNNNNNNNNNNNNNNNNNNNNNNNNNNNNNNNNNNNNNNNNNNNNNNNNNNNNNNNNNNNNNNNNNNNNNNNNNNNNNNNNNNNNNNNNNNNNNNNNNNNNNNNNNNNNNNNNNNNNNNNNNNNNNNNNNNNNNNNNNNNNNNNNNNNNNNNNNNNNNNNNNNNNNNNNNNNNNNNNNNNNNNNNNNNNNNNNNNNNNNNNNNNNNNNNNNNNNNNNNNNNNNNNNNNNNNNNNNNNNNNNNNNNNNNNNNNNNNNNNNNNNNNNNNNNNNNNNNNNNNNNNNNNNNNNNNNNNNNNNNNNNNNNNNNNNNNNNNNNNNNNNNNNNNNNNNNNNNNNNNNNNNNNNNNNNNNNNNNNNNNNNNNNNNNNNNNNNNNNNNNNNNNNNNNNNNNNNNNNNNNNNNNNNNNNNNNNNNNNNNNNNNNNNNNNNNNNNNNNNNNNNNNNNNNNNNNNNNNNNNNNNNNNNNNNNNNNNNNNNNNNNNNNNNNNNNNNNNNNNNNNNNNNNNNNNNNNNNNNNNNNNNNNNNNNNNNNNNNNNNNNNNNNNNNNNNNNNNNNNNNNNNNNNNNNNNNNNNNNNNNNNNNNNNNNNNNNNNNNNNNNNNNNNNNNNNNNNNNNNNNNNNNNNNNNNNNNNNNNNNNNNNNNNNNNNNNNNNNNNNNNNNNNNNNNNNNNNNNNNNNNNNNNNNNNNNNNNNNNNNNNNNNNNNNNNNNNNNNNNNNNNNNNNNNNNNNNNNNNNNNNNNNNNNNNNNNNNNNNNNNNNNNNNNNNNNNNNNNNNNNNNNNNNNNNNNNNNNNNNNNNNNNNNNNNNNNNNNNNNNNNNNNNNNNNNNNNNNNNNNNNNNNNNNNNNNNNNNNNNNNNNNNNNNNNNNNNNNNNNNNNNNNNNNNNNNNNNNNNNNNNNNNNNNNNNNNNNNNNNNNNNNNNNNNNNNNNNNNNNNNNNNNNNNNNNNNNNNNNNNNNNNNNNNNNNNNNNNNNNNNNNNNNNNNNNNNNNNNNNNNNNNNNNNNNNNNNNNNNNNNNNNNNNNNNNNNNNNNNNNNNNNNNNNNNNNNNNNNNNNNNNNNNNNNNNNNNNNNNNNNNNNNNNNNNNNNNNNNNNNNNNNNNNNNNNNNNNNNNNNNNNNNNNNNNNNNNNNNNNNNNNNNNNNNNNNNNNNNNNNNNNNNNNNNNNNNNNNNNNNNNNNNNNNNNNNNNNNNNNNNNNNNNNNNNNNNNNNNNNNNNNNNNNNNNNNNNNNNNNNNNNNNNNNNNNNNNNNNNNNNNNNNNNNNNNNNNNNNNNNNNNNNNNNNNNNNNNNNNNNNNNNNNNNNNNNNNNNNNNNNNNNNNNNNNNNUCUAGUCACUUUUGGUAUUGUAUAGAAGUUAGUUAUAUGGCGGGGUGUGUCCCGACCUUAGUUAAACUCUGUGUAUUGUCUAGAGGCUUUGUAGACCUAAUGUACAGUUAAGGUGGUGUUUUGUUAAUAGACGUGAUGGCUCCAACGGCCAAGUAUUGUAUAUACAUAUAUAUGUGUGCUCGAGCUUAUACAGGUGAUUAUUUCCUUUUAUAUGCGACAUGAUGUUGUCCGAAUUUCGGGUUGUCAUAGAGGUAUGCAUGGGAAGUAUAAGGUUACGAGAUGGUUCUCCCGGACCUCCUCGGUUACGGGUGCCAGUCCGCCCCAAUAGGAUUUGAGGCGUGACAGUAGGCCACCCAGUUCGUCAUAUAUAAUGAGUUAUGAUCGAUUGAAGUUGACCCAAGUUUCAACGUUCACUAAAACUUGAACGAUAGAAAAGUUUUCAACCCGUCUUUGAGUUAAGGGACUUCUAUGAUCUCAAUUCAUGCUCAACUAGAUUCACACACUACAUAAUUGAUUACACACUAAAUUUGCAUAGGAUUCAUGAAUUUUGCAACCUCUAUGUGAAAGCAUAACGGUUUACGUUCUAGCCCAAAAUGCGGGGUGUUACAUUAAUAUUCUAACAUCAAAUUAUAAAAUAUUAUUUUUUAAAAGGUGGGCUGGCCCGUGAAACCUGCAGCCCACAGAGUAAUGAUGUGGGCUUGGUAUUAUUUUGCCCAUUAUUUUGAUGGACCAGUCCAGAUGGGCUGGGCCGACCCAUAUUGACGGCUCUAAAUUAUGUGGUAACCAAGAAAUACACUUCUUGUCCAACAAGUGUACAUAAAAAAAGUUCCCCAAUAUUGAUUGUUCCAUUUUUAUUUCAAAGAGGGGUUCCAAUUUCAAAUGGGAAAAUUCGAAUUUUAUUGAGAACUCAAUAUAAAUAUCAAAUAUCGAAUAAUAAAUAAAUAAAUAAAGUAGUGGGGUCUUAAGAUUAAAUAAUUAAUCAACCUUGUAGGCACAUUUAAAGAUCCAAUUCUUACAUCAAUUUUUCUUGAAAAUAAAAAACUCCCACAUCACACUAUACUAGUACUCUCUUUGAUUACAAAAAAAAAGUGUGUUGCGGAUGGAACAACUCAUUUCUUAAUUGGAAGUAUCAGUUUUAAGUUUAUGGGUAUGAAAAAAUUCUUAAUAGAGAGUAUUUCCCUCUAAUGGGUCGUAUGCAACGCGAUAUAAAAUUAAUCGAGCUUCAAUUUAAGUAUCGGACACCUGAUGAAAACUCAGCCUCGUAUAAUGUUUGUUUACAUUCUUAAAUUUAUUUAUUUUUUAAAUAUCUUUGGAGGCAAUUUGGAAUAAAAUAAAUAAUGAAUGGAAAACAAAGAAAAUAAAAAUCACUAUUUUGGGAAUAAGUAUUUUUGAUUGGAUUAGUCAUCCUUUAGUCUUAAAUGAUUCUUUUUCUCUUUUAUAGAAUUUCCAUAAAUGAAUAUACCUUAUCUUAUUUCAUUCUCCCUUGUUUUAUUUGGACAAAUAAUAUAUUCUUUAAAAAAAAAUUGAAUUUAUUUGUGUUUGGUUGAUUAAAUUUGAAUUCUCGUCAGAAAGUAUUAUAAUGAAGACUGAAAUAUAAUGCUUCCUAAUAAAGAUAAUUCUAUACAUAUAUAACAAAGUUCAAAUAAUACAUAAUAUUUAGUUAAGAAUGAAUAAUCACUUGUCAUUUCACUAUAAUCCUUGUUAAUGCAUGUGAGAAUGCUCUAAUACUGAUAUUAUGAACUAGUAUAAAUUACUAUAUUAUUGAGAAUAACAAAAAUUUGAGCAUAUAAAUAGUAGAAUUUGUAAGAAAAAUAAAUGAAACAUUAAAAAAUCAUAUUGUUUAGGUAGCAACAAUAAUGAUGAAUUAAUUCCUUUGUAUACGUGCAUGAAUUUGAUUCGUUACGCUUGACUACGCCUAUCAACUAAUUUUAUUUAUUGUUGACAGAGUGAGUAAAAGACGUGACAAAAGAGCGAGUUCAGAUUCAUGAAAUUUCCACGCUCCGCCUUCUCAUUCAAGUGAUCAAUUAGUUUCGAGAACAUUCCCUCAAAUGACCGGAGGGGGGGGGGGGGGUUCAAAACUUAAGUACAACAACAACAAUAUACCCUGCGUAUUUCCACUAAGUAGACCUCAAACUACUAUAAACUAUCUAAUCGAAAUCACCAACAACACUAAACCACCACAAACAAGAAACUACAAGACACAAGCAGUGGCGGAGUCAGGAUUUUUUGCAAGGAGAUUCACAAGUGAACAUACAAACUAACCGAAGUGGGGUCAACAUCUACUAUAUAUACAUAAAAAGUAAUUUAAAUCAUGUAUAUAUAAUAUAACUUUCCAUCCGAAUUUCCUUUCCCAAGUGUAGCUCCGCCCUGGACACAUGUAUAACACUAUGACUAUGGACAUAAUUACACACAAAGCACUCCUCACUAUUAGUAAGGACGUGCUCCUCCCGACUGAGUCACUGACCCUCUAUCCGAAUUCGCAUUAUCCACACUUUCCUAUCAAGGGUCAUGUCGUGAGCUGCAACUGAUUCACGUCAUGCCUAAUCAUCUCCCUCCAAUAUUUCUUCAACCUACCUCUACCCCGCACGAAACUAUCCAUGGUCAGCCUCUCGCAGCUCCGUACAGGGGCCGGGCAACCGGGUACCUUCUCGUCACAUGUCCGAAUCAUCUCAACCUCACUUUCCGCAUCUUGUCUUCUACCGAAGUCACUCCCAUUUUCUCUCGAAUAAUCUCAUUUCUAACCUUAUAUCAUAUACUUACGUUUACGGGUUGUCGAUGUAUUCUGCCUCGAAAAGCGUGACGACAAAUAAAUCCCCAUGAGAUAGGUACAUUUCCUUCUCCAUCUGCCGCAUCGAAACAAAAGAUGUGACCCCCACGAUUCAUUUUCUUUGGGAAAAAAAAAAAAGAAUACUAUAUAGUAUAUAAUAUUAAUUUGAUUAAUUUCUUUUAUCGUCCUCCACAUAAAAUAAAUUCGAACCAUCAACUACCCCCUCGUGUUGGGCACAAUUGAAAAAAAUUUAUUCAAUUAUUAGCUUCUUUUUUUCAUUAUUAUUCGAUAUUUAUAUUGAUAAAAAGAUUUUUAAAAAAUACCUAGCAAAGUAAAUUUAGGUGAAAAUAAAUUAAUCCGAUUAUUAUGGUAAACGUAAGUAAGAAAAUAAUUACUCUUUUCAUAAUUUUUUUUGUUCAAUAUGUGAUAAAGUUUUUUUUAUUUUCAAAUUGAUUUGUGAUAUUGUUAUGUGUUUCAUCGGUUUCCUUUAAAUUUUUUGAUUUGUAUUUUGCAUUUAUUUUAAAAUAAUUUUAAUCGUGUAUUCAUAACAAAACAAGUACAAAUCAAUAAAUAAAUAUGGUGGAUUUCUUCUUUUUUGGUGGGGAUCUGAAUAUUGUAUAUUGACUUUAUGAACAUAACUAAUUGGAGAAACUCAAUUAGUUAAUGGUUUAAUCAAUAACCUAAGAUUAUAGAAAUAUUAUAUUGUUAUUCGUAUUUAUAUAAUAGUGGCUUUAGAUUUUAAAUACAUACAUUAUUGUCAUUUAUAUUUUAUUGAUGUUGUCUUAGGUGUUGUAAUUCGUUUAUACAUAAAGAUAGUGUAGAACAAAUGAAAAUAAGAGAAAACAAGAAAAAUUAACGAAAUAUUUUCUUAUCGAUUAAACCAAAAAUUGAACCGAUAAAGAUCUAAAAUUGAUUAACCAAAAAUUGAUAACGAAUAUCUUAUUGGUUCAGUUAUUUAUUUAACGUGUUAACAAACCGAUAAAUCGAAUCGAUAAUACACAAAAAAAAAAUCGAACCGAUCAAUGCAAAUUCCUAAUCAAUAACACAAGGUCGGUUUUUAGACACACACUUGUCAUUUGAGUGUUAUGCGUCAACGAUAAGGUAAUAUCCAUUCUUUAUUAUUAAUUUAGCGUGUUAACAAAUCAAAAAUCAAUAAAUCAAAUUGAUAAUACAUAAAAUCAAAUCGAAUUGACCGAUGCACCUCCUAAUCAAUAACACAAGGUCGAUUUUUAUACGCACACUUGUCAUUUGAGUAUUAUGUGUCAACAAUAAGAUAAUUUAUUCUUGAUUAUCCAAUUUUUUUUUGUUUUUUUCUCAAUUUUUUUUUUACAUGUGAGUUAUUUUGUUGGUAUUCUUGAUUAUUUUAGUAUAUUUAGUCAAACAAAUGUAUGUGUGGCAAUUGAGAAGCUUGGGCCAUGAAAAUAAAUAAAUACAAGAAGUUUCAACAUGUCACAAUUACAAGAGAUGUUGAAAGUAAUUUUCUUGUUUUUUUGUUGGUAACUAUUAUUUAUAAUUUUUGUUUAUUCUUGGUCAUAAAUAUUUGAUCCUUUUGAAAAUCAAUACUUGUUUCAAAGUUUUGAAAGGUACUCCAACUUUAACUUUGAAAUAAAAUAAUUGAUGUCUUUUUUUUUUUUUUUUUUUUUUUUUUUUUUGAUUAUUUGGUACUUCAAGUCAAUAAUGGAGACUGAAUUUUUUAUAUCGCAGUUCUUCAUUUACAAUAUAUAUUUUUCAAAAAAUUAACCUCAUAUGUAAGGUAAUUUCCUUAUGGAAGGGGGUUAGAGACGUAAUUCUACCUAAGAAGAUUUAUCAUUUACUUUAUACAUUAAAAAAUAUCAUAUAUACUAUGUGAACUUUAUAAAAAAUUAUAAAAAAUCUCCAAUUCUCGUUAUUUUGCUCAUAUGUCUUAAAAAAAAGUUCAGUUCACCUCUCCAAAACAACACAAAUCAUUUAAUAGAUCGUUACGAGCAGACCGGGGAAGUUUCGUCCGCGUUUGGACGUCCGCAACCCCAUCAAUUCAUAGGUGAACACAAAAAUAAAAUCGCAAAAAAUCGUCAAUUCCUGCUAUUUCACUCAUAUGUCUUUAAAAAAGCUUCAUCCGUCCUUUCAAAGAAACACAAUCAAAUUUAAUAGGUCACCAUGAGCAGACCCAAGAGGUUUUGUCCAAAACGCAUCCACACCUCGUCAAUCCAUAGACAAACACAUACAAAAUAUCACAAAAAAAUCAUCGAUUCCUACAGUUUCGCUCAUAUGUCUUAAAAAGGCUCUGUUUGCCUCUCCAAAGCAACACAAUUCAUUUAAUAGGUCGUUACGAGAGGACUCAAGAAGUUUCGUCCAAAACGCAUUCGGACGCCCACAUCCCCAUCAAACACUAAAAAUCAUAGAAAAUUCAUAAUUUCUAUUAUUUUGCUCACACGUCUUAAAAAAACAUCGUCCGGUUCUUCAAAGCAACACAAUCUAUUUAGUAGAUCGUCACGAGCUGACCUAAGAAGUUUCACCCAAAUACAUUCGGACGCCCAAAUCCCCCGUCUGAAAACUCUUUUUUAAAAAAGAAAAAUUGCUCAUGGUGAUAUUUAGUAACCUUCUUUUGGCUCGGAAUAAUUUAAAUUUGCAUUGCAUAAGGUCUAUUCUCAAGAAAAAUAUUACCUAUACCAAUAUCCAUUCUCAAAAAAUAGAAUUUGAAACUUCUGACUAAGAAUGCAGACAUUUUAUUCAUCACACACAUAAUUUUUCUACUAUAAAAAAACACAAAAAAGUGCUAAUAGUCAAGAUGAAAUUUUGAUUACACAGAACUUCUUCCAUUUAAUUUUUUUUUUUUUGCAACCUUUGCCAAAUGAUAUUGACUUAUUCCUAUCUACUCCAUAAAUCAAAUUAAUUAAUUAAUUAGUAGUUAGCCAUCAAAUUUGCCAAUUUAAUGAGAAAUUAUAAAUCUAAUGGACCAGAGGGGGCCUACAUAUCCUAACAAUUAGGUGAGAAAUGCGGACACCAAAUAUUUUGUGGUAGGUUGGAGGUUUUCAUUAAUAAAGACAUUUUAUUUUCGUGUUACAUGAAAAUACAAUAGUGGAGUCAGAAAUUUAAUAAAAUAUAUAUAAAUUUUAUUCGUAAUUACGUUAAGGGUAUGAAAAAAUAACUAACAUUUAACUUAUACACAUAACAUAAUUUUUUCGAUGAGGAAUAUGCAAUUGACCAUCCUUUAAUAUAGAUGGCUUCGCCUAUACAAAAAUAUAUUACUACUAUAUAAUUAUAGUGACCUUUUAAUUAGUAUUAAAUCUUAUCUUUCAUUUUAUCAUAAAUUUUGUCCCUUGGCUUGUUUAGAGGAGACAAUUUUAUAUAUAGUCAUAAUUUCGCCUUAAUUAUAUAUGAAAUAUAACAACAGUUUAUAUAUUUAUAAAAGCAACAACAAUAUUCUUGCGAAUAAUAAGCAUACACAAUCUUAUUUCUAUUUUAUAAAAGUAAAUUUUUUUUCAAUAGAUCAUCAACUCAAAAAAAAUAUAAUUGACGGAAAAAAUUAAACCUAAUUUUUUUUUUUCACAUAUAGAAAUCUUUUGUUUGACUAAAAAGAAACUACAUAAUAUCUCUUGAUUAAAAAAAAAUAGGUAACUAAUAAAACCUUUUUUGAGUUUUGACUAAAUGUGAAUAGAAUCCCUAAAAAUUAUUUUAUUUAAUUUUUAUAUUUAAGGUGGGGUUCCAAUAUGAUGCACAUGCAGAAUCAGCACUGUCUUUAUUAAUUACGUGAUUAAAUAAAUCAAUCAAGUACUAAUUUUUUAAUUAUAAAUAAUCAGUUGUCCAAUGCAUAUUUUUGGAAGAUCCAAUGUGCUGAAAACUAUGGUAAUAUUUUUAUGCCAUAUUUUUAUAAUAACAACUUGUAGAAACUCUUUAAAUGAGUAUAAAUUACCUAUAAGAGAUUUAGAUUUAAAUUUUGAAAUUAAAAAAAAACUAAUAGGAAGUGCUUCUCCUUGUAAUAAACUUUUCGAGACAUAUAAUACGCGAAUUAAUUAAAUUUUAUGCAGUAUGCGCCUCUAAAUAACAGUCAUCAAAUGUUAUGGUAGGAUGAAUAUAAUCACUCCGCUUUUGAAAAAAAAAUAUCUUAGUAAGGAGGGUUUCUCCUUUAGUGAGUGUUACGAGAUUUAAAUUUGAAUUAAUUGAAUUUCGUUGCGAAUAUCGAAUAUUGAAUAUAAUAUAAAUAAAAAAAAGUACAAAUUUUUCAUUAUAAAAUAAAUAAAUAAUGUCUAUAUGGUCCAUUGUAGCCACCCUCCAUGAUAUUUGCUUUCAUUUUAGAAGGCAAAUUAAUUGUGGAUGACAUGUGAUUUGAAAUGUUUUUAAUCUCUCCCAUUCUUAACUCUCUCACUUUUUAAUGGCAUAAACAAUUAUAAAAAUAAUAGUUGAAAUUUUAUACUAUAUGAUAGUAGCAAAUCAGUCAGCUGGUGCAUUAAAAUUUUUGCUAUACAUGAAAUUUGAGAAAAAAUUUAAUUAUAAUUUAUUUUACAUAUUUUGUAUUUUUGCCGUAGUCUGUUUCAUACUAUAUGAUAGUAGUAUUGAGUCAAUAGACAUUUUUCUUAGCAUCGGAAACUUUAGUGCACGAACUGUCUUUUUUUUAAAAAAAAUAUUAAACUUCAAUAAUAUUAAAAUUGAAAAAGUCAAAUAUACUUCUAUACUGUCAAAAAAUUAUUCAAAUAUACCUCUAAAUACAUUUUCAAUUUUAAAUAUACCUCUCUCGAUAUACUUUCAAUCUAAGUAUAGUUUGAUUAAAAAUAUAAGAGUAAAGCAUCUAAUACCGCGGACCAUGACCAAAUUUGUUACAACGACACACUUCAUACUUCAACUUCAGGGGGUCCUAUUAUCCCCUGAAUUAAAUAUUAGCAUAUUUUUAUCAUCCUUUUUAGCUGACGUGACACCUUUUGUCAAUCUUUUUAGCUAACGUGAUACUUUUGAUGUGAAUUUCAUUUUAUGUAAUAAAGCAGCGGCGGAGCCACCUUGUAGUUAGGAGGUUCAUCCGAACUCCCUUCGAUGAGAAAUUAUGCUAUUAAUAUAUGGUUAAAAUUAUUUUUUAUAUAUAUAUAUAGUUGAUGUUGAACCCCCUUCGACUAGUUCGUGUGCUUACUUUUUUUGAUUUUGACUCAUCUUAGUAAAUAUUCUGGCUCCGCCACUAUAAUAAAGGUGCCACGUCAGUAAAAAAAGGUAGCAAAAAUACGUUAAAAUUAAGUUCAGAGUAGUAAUAGGACCCCCUGUAAAGUUGGAGCAUAUUGUAGUAGCGUUGACCAUAAUUCGAGAGUACUGGAAGCUUAUCUCACAAUAUAAUAAACCAAGUAUAUUUAGACGGUUUGUAUGUACCUAUCGCUAUCGCCACCUCAUACUAGUUGUCUUGGGAGUUGAGAUGAUAAACUUAACAUGUCAUUGCACACAUGGCUCUUCAAUUUUCAUUCAUAAAUCCAAUUGUUUGAACUUUGAACCAAUCACUUUUUUUGUCUUACCUAUUUUCUUUGCUCUUGUCCUAAAUCCCAUAGAUAAUGUUCCAUAUUCCACUUGUCCAAAAUAUAUAUUUUUACGAACAGUGGCAGAGUCAGAAAUUUAAUAAAGAAUGUAUAAUUUUUUUUUUAAGUUAUGUUAAGAGUGUAAAAAGUUAAAUAUAUAUUCAUAAUAGUUAACAUUUAGCCUACAUACACAAUAUAAUUUUUUGAUGAUGAAUGUACACCUGACCACCCUUUGAUAUAGGGGCUCCGUCCAUGCCUACAAAACCUUCAUCUUUUUUAGAACAUAAUUUCUAUAGUUUUUUUUUUCUUUUUUCUGUGGAGUGGAUGUGGGUGGUUCGGUGGGGCCGCCAGGGCCAUUUUGGUGGUUAGAAGGACGAAAUGAUGUGAAUGAGUCGUUUUUGACCGUUUUCGAUGGGUGUUAGCCCACGUUUCAGUGGGUGUAUCUGAAUACUUACUUUUAUAGCUUUAUGUUCCAAGCAGUUUGAAUUUGUAUCGUAUAAGAGUCAUUGAAAGAAAAUAAUGACUUUUUAUAAGAUUUUUUUUUUAUAUAUAUCCUAACUCAAAUAUGAGAUUUUAAUUAAUAACAAAGAAUUUUUAUCCAUUUCAUCACAAUAUUUAACGAUAAUUUUGAUUUGUUUUCUAAAAAAAAUAAAAAAUCCAAGGCCUAGCGUGUGUUGUGUUGUAUGUUUCUAUGUGGGGUACAAUGGAAAGAGGUUAAAUAUGUUUUUGUACCCAAUAUUUAUAUAUUAAAUAAAAUAAUUUUAAUUUAAUAAUUUAAAUUAAUGUUAAUAGAUAUAUCAUUCAAGUGUAACUAAUUUUGAUAAAUAUAUAAAAGAGCAUAUGUUUUGUACUAUUAUUUUUGUUUGAAUAGAGGCAAAUAUUAUAUUAUAUUACACAUAAUAAUCCUUAAAAAAAUACAUGAUGGCUUUAAAAGUUUAUUGAAUUAUUAGCUUACUUUCAUAAUCUUUUUUUACAAGAUUUGGUAGAUUUUAAUUUUUUUUUUUGCCAACUUGGUUAGUGAUUUUGUUGGUAAAUAAUUGGAAAGUCAUUAGCACUUUUAAGGAUCUACCAAAAAUUAAAGAAAAUAAAAUGAGAUUGAAAAAAAAAUGAUAUUAAAUACUUAUGGUUCGGCCCUUCCUAGGAUCUCACGUAUAGUGGAAGCUUCAAUGCACGGGACUAUUUUUUUUUUUUUUUUUUGUUAAUCUCUAUAUUGAACUAUAUCAAUUUGCAAGAAAAAUGUGGCUAAUAUUAUUACUUUUAUUCUAAUCUCUUGCAAAGUAAAACUAAUUAUAAUGCUUUAUUUAGUAUUUUUGAUAAAUAAUUAAACUUUAAUGAACUUAACAUAUUAGAAUAUCUCUCCAUCACAAUUAGGUAUAUUCUAUUCUCCAAGCAUAAAAUUUGUAGUACCACAUAAAAUGAGAUUUUUCUCCCAAAGGAAAUAUUGUAUGGUUCAAAAUUUAAUAAGUAUAAAAGCAUUUAGUUCAAAUCAUAGUACUACUUAAAAUAAAUUGUGAAAAUAAUAAACAAGCAAAUAAAAAAAAUUAAAAUAAUGGCAAAUAAUACUUUUUUUUUAUUUUCCAAGGUAUCCCCACAGCCGGCAGCCGUGAGACUAAUCCUCCGUUCCUCUGUCAGCGCACUAAGCAGUAGGAAACUAGCCACAGAAUUUGCUCCAUUCGCCUUAGGCAGGGAUCGAACCUCCGACCUAUUGCUUAAGGGACAUAGCGCUGAACCACCAUGCCAACUCUAGUGGUUAGCAAAUAAUACUUAUGGUGGAGUGAAAUCUCAUGUUUUUUUUGUUUUUUUUUGGAGUUUCCCACCGGGUGUUUGAUGCCCGCAUUGAAGGCCCGACUAAUUUGAAUCACGCAUUGCAUGACCCAUUCUAAGGGUAAUGCUUCCUACAAAUUUUUCUCCAUACACAGGACUCGAACAUGAGACCUCUGAUUAAGUGUGACUAAAUAUGUAGGAAUUAUUUUUGUAAGGAGCGUUUAUUUUUUAUGUGUGACUUUUUACGUAUAUUAGUAUAUGAGUCGUUUCAUUCCUAUUGUGUGACUUUUUGAUGUAUGCGCUAAGCAAUAAAAAAAAUACCAACACGUAUUAUGGUGAAAUGAAAUAUCAGGUUCAAGUAUGUAUAAUUGAUAUUUUAAUCUUGUUUCUUAGAACGUAUUGAUUUGAUCCUAUAAGAAGAACCAGACAUGUAGUCGUUAGAAGCAAAACCCCGUAUAGAAUCUCCUAAUUGCUCCGGAGCUAUUAGAAAGAGAUUUUUUUUAACCAGAAAUAAUUCGUCUCAAACGAAGAUUAUUCGAAUGGACCUCUUUUUCAAAUAAAUCAAACUCGAUAUCAUAUUCAUCCAAAAGAUAUGGCCAUCUCUGUUCUCUGUAGUUUGCACAAUCCCUUUACAUCGUUCUAUUAUUACUUGCUGCUUGCAGGCUCAAAAAUAUCUCUUUCGCUUCUUCUCCCUGUUAAUAUUUUGGUCGAUUUGCUUUUUCCUUCGCGCAAACUACAGUCUAAUGCCCCCUUAUUGUGUUGCAUUCUGUGAUCUUGUCAAGGAGUGUCUUAUUUCCAGUGCGUGACUUUCUGAUGUAUACGAGCCGUUUUAUCUUCGAGAGAAGUCUUAUUCUCAAUGCGUGACUUUUUGAUGUAUCCCACAAGCAAAUAAAAAAACUAAACAUAAAAAACGAUUUGUAUAAUAACUGAAAGUACCAUUUUUGAAUUUGUCGAGAUGCAUAAUUAGCUCUUGAUAUAUUCAACGAAAAUAUAUUUAUGUAAAGAUACAUAAUUAAUUUCUAAUAUCUCUUUUUUCUUUUUAAUUUUGAAUCUGUUGAGUACAUAAUUAACUUCGAUAGCUCUUAUGAAGAUAUAUAAUUAGUUGAAAUUUUUACAAUUACUUUAUAAAAAUGAAAAUUUGUGUAAAUAUAAUAAGUUAAAAGAUGCAUUUAUUUAUUUUAUUUUUCAAAAAAGAAAACAAAAUGAAAUUCAAAUAACCUUUGUUUUUUCUUCUUCCCACUUCCCCUGCCCAUACAUACAAUUUUAAUUAUUCUGUCACUAUUUCUCUCUCCUCCAUUUUCAACUGCAAAUUUCUGCAAAGAAAAAAAAUUAAAAAGUUCUCUUUUUUAUAAAAUACCCACAUGGAGUCAAAUAGUUGCUACGGUUUACUCAAAAUUCUUCAUAAAAACUUCAUAAUUCGUCGAAAAUUCUCAUAAUUUUUUUUGAAUUUUUUUUGUGGCUAAUUAAUUAGCUCAAUCAACCCCUUUUUAUUUUCUUGAAGAGAUUCUGAUUAAUUUGAUAUAUAAUUUGGUAUUUAUUGACAAAAAGGCGAAAAAUUGAUAUAUAUUGAGUUAAAAAAUAAUCUUUGCUGUGGCUAAUUUUUCCUCGUUUGAUUCAUUUCUACGAGAAUUAAUUAGCCCAAUAAACCCCUUUUCAUUUUCUUGAAGAAAUUCUGAUUAAAUCGAUAUAUAAUUUGCUAUUUAUUGUGAAAAAAGGCAAAAAAAAUAAAAAUUAAAGAAUUUAGUUUUUUUUUUUUUUGAUAUAAAUAGAUAGUCCAAUCAACCCCGUUAUCAUUUUCUUGAAGUAAUUCUGGUUAAAUCGAUAUAUAAUUUGCUAUUUUUCGCGAAAAAAAUUGCUAUAUAUUGAAGGAUUUUUGGGGUUUUUGAUAUAAAGAGAUAUGAUAGGUAGUGGAUUACAAUUUAAUAGGAGCUUUAAUGGUGAAGAUCAUAGAUUUUAUAGUGCUGCUAAGGCUCGUAGGAAUGUUAAUAGGAGCCUUAAUGAUGAGGAUGGUAAUUACAUACGUAGAGCUAAGAGUGAUGUUGCUGUUAGUAAUGUGAAGAUGAAAGUGAAGGUUGUUGAUGAGGAGUUGCCAGUUGCUGGUGUGAUGGCAAAGGAAGCUUUGCCUAUUUGUAAUCUACAGAGGUUUUUGAGAGCUGUUACUCCUUCAGUUCCAGCUCAAUAUCUAUCUAAGGUGAAAAAAGAUUGUGGCUUUUAGUCUUUUUUUUAUGGGUUUUGAUUGAAGGUUUUAUUUGUUUUUUGUUGUUGUGGAUGUUGGUUUUGAUUGGAAAUGAUUGUAGUUAGGUUAGUGAUGAGUUGUUUUAAGUGUUUAAUUGAUUGGAUUAGUACAAAAAGUUUGAGACUUCAGUAGUUAUUGCUGAAAAUUUUAUAACUGUUGUUUAAGCAUCCAAGGGUGUGGCUUCAUGGUUAAUGAGGUCUGUUGAGAACCAUGAGGUUUCAGGUUCAGCCCCGGAGACAAUAGUACUAGGUGAUUUCUUCCUAUAUGUCCUAGUCUUGAUCGACGGAGGUACCUGGUACCUAUUGCUGUUGGGAGGUAGCAGGCAAAGUGACAGAAUUACCAGGUGCCAUUGUCAAUAGGAGGGUGGUAGGUAUCCUAACUUUGGUGGACAUAGUUACUUGGUACUUCUUGUCGGUGGGAGGCGGUAGGUAUCCCGUGAAAUUAGUUGAGGUGCUGGUGGGAGGUGGAAGGUAUCCUAGCCUUGGUGGUUAGCGUUAUCUGGUACUUCUUGUCGGUGGGAGGUCUUGUCGGUGGGAGGUCGCAGGUAUCUUGUGAAAUUAGUCGAGGUGAUACAGUUAACUUGUACUUGCUGCCGGUGGGAGGUGUGGCAGGUAUCUUUUAGAAUUAGUGCAGGUGCACAAAAGCUGCUCCGGACACCACGGUUAUCAAGAAAUAAAAUAAAAUGUAACUGUUGUUUAUAGGUUAUAGGACAGUUGACUGAAAAUGGUUGUAUUGGCUUAAAUAUAUCAUCUUUUGCUGGAGUUUGGUUGGAAUGGAAGUUUAACUGUUGUUCAUUGUUAAGAUUAUAGGUUUUGAUUGAAAAAAUGGUUAAUAUUGAGAUAAAUAUUUAAUCUUUUACUGGUUAUGAUUGAUAAUUCUACUGCAGUCUAUUGGUUGUGGUUGGAAGUUUAACUGUUAAAGAAAAUUAGCUCUUGUUUGUUGUUAAGAUUAUAGGUUUUGAGUGAACAGUGGUUGUGUUUGUUACAGACAACUAUGAGGGGUUGGAGGACGUGUAAUGUGGAGUUUCAGCCGUACUAUGUGCUUGGCGACUUAUGGGAGUCUUUUAAAGAAUGGAGUGCAUACGGAGCUGGAGUUCCAUUGGUGUUGCAUGAAGGUGAUAGUGCAGUUCAGUACUAUGUGCCCUAUUUGUCAGGUAUUCAGUUGUAUGGUGACUCUACGAAUGCUUCAGUCAAAACAAGGUAUAUAUUUGCACUUUCUUUUCCUUCCAUCUUUAGCCUAAAGUUAGUUCUUGUUACUCGUGGCGCAGCCAGUGUUUCUGGCCUUAUGAAUUGUUAGUCUCAAUACUACACACUGAAGGUGCUUGUUUUUGCAUUAGCUUUGGUUUUCUGUAUACUCGUUUAUGCUUAUAUCAGCUCCACGAUUAAUUUUGGGUAUAUUUAGGUAAGCAAUGAUCAUCCGCUUUUUUACAUGAAGUGUGGAUACAGUGUAGUUGUGGCAUUGAUUUAAAUUUGUGUAUAAUACUCUCGGUGUACAUUAACAGAGACUCAGCAAGUAGAAAGUUUUUGCUUUGAUAUUUUAUUUAUGUGUAUUUCCUUUUCCUCUUUGUUAUUACUGCGUGAUGUUUUUUGGGGGAAAGUUAUAUAAAGAAGUGGAAAGCAAAGAGUUCUCAUGACAUACAGAUAGAGUCUAGAAGACACCUGCUUCAUUCCGCUUUGUAAUGUCAUAAACUUCCUGAAUUUGGAAUGAGCUUUUGUGUGGAUGUGUGGGUGAUUUUCUAUAAGCCAAAUUGGUACCCACUUCUGAGACGUGGCUCUCUAACCAAGUACCCACUUAUGUUCUAACAAAUUACAAAUUGUGUUCUUGCUCUUAUGUGUAGCAGAUCAGCUAUAUUUGAAGAAAAUUUAGUGCUUGCUUUUAUUAAUGAUGUUUCAGGGUUCCCAUAAUAUGGACCUAAACUAUGUUGCUCGGAUUCUUCAAACGUCCUGACGGAUGUGUGUCGGAUCCUCCAAAUUAUAGUACAUUUUUAGAGGAUCCGACAUGAGUGUGGCGUCAUUAUUGGAGAGUCCGACCAACAUAAGACCUAAAGAAGUAAGUUUGAUUAGCUGUGCGUUUUAGGUUUGGCAGAAAACAGCAUUUUUGGUCCUUCCUGGAACUGAAUGCAUUCUAUAUAGAUCUUUUUAUAGGUAAACCAGGCUUCACAUGCCGAUACAAUACAUGAAUCAAAACCUGAGGUUGCUAACUUUUCUGAGGAUCUUCUCUGAUAACCUGUCAGCGAUACUUGUAAAUGUUUCAACUGAUUUCGUAAUUUAGGGAUUAGAUGCUUUGCUUUUUCUCCCCUCCUCCCCACUUGCGAAUAAGAGAACCUCUAGUGUUACAUUCUUAAAAAUUUCCAACUUUAUAUAUGUCUAUACACUCAUUCAUUACAUAAAUAAUUUUAAAAUAUAUACGUAUAGACCUAUUAUAAUGAUCGAAUUGCACAACCAUUUUGAUUAUCUUGAUGUUAGCUUAUACUUGUUAGUCGGUAUGGUCUUCCAGCUGGCCGAACACUUCCAUCUCACCAGAAAGCCCCAAAACUGAAUUCUAAGAUUAUUAAAUGCUGUUUCUUUUUCUUUCCAUCUGUGUUAUUGGUAAGAACUGAGCAAAAAUUCUCAGUUGCACUUCACUUUGUUCUCUUUUUCUCUCUCCCACUUCUCGAGCCUUUUUUCGCUAUUCACUAUAUGCUUUUUCUGCUUUCCAAAAUGGGAACGGAAUGUUGUCACAACAAGGUUAUCAAAUUUGCUAUUUGCAGUUCUGUCUUCUGCAUCCAUUUCUCCGUCUGGUGUAUCGUUUAUAUCAUUCUGCGAUUUCCUGAAUAUUGUUAAUUUCACUUUCUGUGCACUUUAGCUAGUGUAUAGGUGGGCAUGUGGCAUAUAGCUAGAUCUCAUGUAUGCCAAGUGUGUUUCUGUUGUAAAUGUACAUGAUUGUAUCUCAAUGCUUUUCCCGCUCACCUCCUCUUUUUUUGAAAGGCUCUGAAUCUUGAAUGGUGCUGUCUACAUUUUGAAUGAGUAGGUUUAAGAAACGUGUGAUAUUGACUUGGCAUUUUCUGACACAGUAGGCUACCAGGUGAAGAAAGUGAUAGUGACUAUUUUCGGGAUUCUAGUAGUGAUGGUAGCAGUGACUCUGAACACGAGAGACGUUUCUUGAAUUAUACAAGGGAGCAACGUAUGUAUCAUAGCCAAACAAGUGAAAGCUCCCUUAGUAUCGAUGGUUUGUCAUUAAGAGACAGGAAUGCUACCUUUCAGGAAGGCUUUUCAAGCGAUGAGAGUGAAUCUGGGUCUUCUCAAGGUGCCUUAUUGUUUGAGUAUCUGGCGCGCGAUCAGCCUUACGGUCGUGAACCUUUGGCAGACAAGGUUGGUCUUUUAUUUUUUGUUGAUAAGUAAAGAUAGUUGGUCCCUUUCCUCCCUCUCUCUUAAAGUAGUCAUCUUUUGUUUCUUUUAUUGAUAGAGAGUAAUGGAUAAGUUACUCGUCUCGUCUUUUUGUUAUAUCUCAUAUUCUCAUUGUGUUUCUUGUUCUGUAGAUAUCUGAUCUUGCUAAACACUUUCCUGAAUUAAAAACAAUGAGAAGUUGCGAUCUCCUCCCGUCCAGUUGGAUUUCUGUAGCCUGGUAUUUUUGCUUUUCUUGCGCAUUUAAUAUCAAGAUAUAUACGCUCUAUUUUUUUCCUGAAUUUUAAUGUUCUGACGUCUCUCUUGCAGGUAUCCAAUUUACCGGAUACCCACGGGACCUACUUUAAAAGCUCUUGACGCUUGCUUUCUGACCUUUCAUUCUCUUCAUACACCAAUGACAGGUAUCUGGCUGUUUCCACUCUAAAUUGCCUUUGUUCUUUCUUUCGGUUGAAUAUUAAAAACUGCAGCUUCUUCUGUUCCCUUUUGUAUUUUUCUGUGCUUAUUCUUUUCAUAAUGUGAUGUGGUUUUUGAUAUUUGCCUUUGUAUAUUCAUCCGUACUAGUAUGUUGAUAUUCAUAUAUUUCCUUAAUGUAUUUGAAAAAAAAAAACAAGAGAAUUAAUCGCUGUCAAACAAACAAUGAUUGAAUGCAUCAAUUUCUUAGUCAAUAUAUUUAACUCAUUUCACAUCGAAAUAAGGACUUAAGAAGCUUCCAAAAUAGUUCUAUAAAACAAACAUAAGCAUAACCAUGUGGAAGUUGUGUAGCGAAGUUUCCUCUUCCCUUCUUUUGGACAGAAAAAUACGUCUGGGCCAACUCUUACGACCCAUUGCAGCCUUCGAAAAUCGGGGAUAAUGGACCUGUUCCUCUACCGUUCUCCACUUAAAUACCGUGCAUAGUCUGCAAGGUGGCUUGAACUUCUGACCCAAGUCACAAGUCCCUCAAAUCUUUGCCAUUUGAACUAAGCCCCGGGUUUGUCUCAUUGCUUUUUAAUAGGAAUAAGAAGCUAAUUUAUUCUUUGAACACUUCGUUGUUUAUCUUGAAAGAAAUUAUCUGAAAGGAAUAGAACGGCAAAAAAUUGGAGUGGUGUCAUCAAAAGUGAAGUUAGCAAAAGACUUGGUUUGUGUCAUGCAGUGUUGUUUGGCUUGAAUGACUUGUGCAGCCUUAAAUCUGAUUUCCUCCAAAUUUUCAACUUUGCCUUCUGUUGAUUUUUGCAUGUUGUCCCAGACUCCGGAUUAACUAGGGCGUGUUAAUCUGGUAAAAAUAGUUCGUUGUGAAAAAAGUUCUCCACCCUUAGUUCAUCAACUCUUUGCUUAUUUGAAAGUCAAUCUUUUCUUGAAUAUAUAUGAACAGUGUAUAUUACGAUAGCUUAAUACAAGUUACUUUUAGUUUUAACUAAAUUGUUCUGUUGCGAAUGCAUUGUUGAAAGUUUAGUGGAUUUUUUGCAGCUGCGGUUGUAACAUGUCCGACUGAUACAGAUGUAGCCCCUAAGAUCCCCUUACCUGCUUUUGGCCUUGCUUCAUACAAGUUUAAACCGUCACUUUGGACACCGAAUGGUGGACCUGGAAGACAGUUAAUGAGCUCGCUCUUACAGGCUGCAGAUAACUGGCUAAAGCUGCUUCAGGUCAAUCACCCAGAUUUCAGUUUCUUCUGCCAAAGGUGAAAACUAGAUAUUCUCUUCGCCCCGUGUUGAGUGGACCGAACCACUCCGUGCUUGAUGCAGCUGUUGUUUUGUGACGAGAAAUGGGUUAAGGUUUCGCUCUAACCUUAAGUUACUACGCUGUUGUCUAUACCGUGAGACAAUGAAAUAUGAAAAAAAAUAAAUUCAAAAACAAAAAAGCAAAAAAAAAACCAGCCAUCUGGCGAAGGCUGAAUACUGGUGGGGAAGGAAGCGGAAAAAUAGUAUCGGAGUAAAAGUUUCCGAGGGAAGUUAUGAAUAAAAGAUCGAUAACAGAUGGGUAACAAUGCCCUAUACAGUGAUGAAAAGACUGAAAGAAAAGCGAGUAUAAUAUUACGAUGGCACCGUAAUGCUCCUCAUUUUCGCAUUGUAGUAGAGAGAGAGCAGGCUGUGUGUUUUACUGCCUUGAACUUGUAGGUGUGUUUAUUUUAUACUAGAAUUCUACUUAGAGCUACUAUGGUGGUGAAAUAUAAAGCUUCCCCAUGUAAUGUACAUUACUUUUUUUUAUUUGACUUUAUUUAGUAAUAAUAGACUUAAUGGACUUAUUUAGGUAUAAUUCCGUCCCAUGUUUAUUUUUUCUUUUUUCUUUAAUGUCUUUUUGUUAUCUGUUAUUGCAUUUUGUUGUGUAGCUUGAUAUUUUACUAUCUUUUCUUUUUCUUCCUGCAACCCUUUUCUGUGCGUGUGGUCCGGGGAAGGGCCUCAUAUGCAGCCCCACUUUUUUCCGAAUAACUUUACUUUUUGAGCCGAGGGUCUAUGGGAAAUAGCCUCUCUACCCUCCACAUGCAUCUUACCUCUUCCGGACUCCACUUGUGGGAUUAAACCGAGUAUGGUGUUGUUUUUGCUUCACUUUUUGAGCCGAGGGUCUAUUGGAAGUAGCCUCUCUACCCUCCACAUACAUCUUACCUCUUCCGGACUUUACUUGUGGGAUUACACCGCGUAUGGUGUUGUUGUUGUUGCUUAUUCUUUUUCGUUUUACUGGUAGUUCUAUAUUUCUGAUCUCGUGUAUCAAUUUGAAAAUGAAUGCCAGAUUAACGACUGCACUUGUGUCGAAUUCUAGUACUAGUUUUGAUCCAAUAUUUUUGAAGAGUCUGAGCAACGUAGUUAUAGUUGUCAAUGAAAGUGAGUUCUCAUGAAUUUUCUAUAUGGAAAUGGUAGUAUUUCACAAAAAUGAGUUCAACUAUAUAUUUUCUAUGUGCAAGUGAUAGGGCCUUACACUGUUCGAAUCUGGAUUAGUCGGGGUUUUAAUGUGGAUACUGGCCUUACGCUCAUGAUUGACGUUAUUUUUGUUUUAAUUUUUUGAGUUUUGGAGAACCCAAGAUACAAAAUUAUGAUUAUCGAAGCUUUUGGUGUGUGUUAGCACAAGAAUUUUUCAAACAAUUAUCGUCUGUCUUUAUAAAGGAAAAAAUGUAUCUUAUCAUUAGAUGUAUCGGGAGCUAAUUGUGUAUUUUAACAGACCCAAAAUCAAGAUUUUCAAUAAUUAUGUAAGUCAAGAUUUUCCUAUAAUUAAGCUUCAAAUUAUCGCGAUUUAUGUUGUUUAUAAUUAAACUUCAAGAGUUAAAGUCUUAUUCCUGACGAGAAGUACCCUCUUCUUUCAAAGAAAGGAGAAACUAUUGAACAAGUAGAUACAUGAGUCGUAUAUAUGACAUAAUAUGCGUCCUAGCUACAUGAUACAAAACAAAUCCGUUCUAGUGUAUCUCAUACAAGUUGUCACAGAUAACUAGUCUUAUUUUUAAAAUCGUAAAUCUACCUUAUGAAGGUUAUAUAUAUAUAUAUAAAUUUUUCAAGUACUUUGGUAUAUACUAAUAUAAUUUUUUUGUAUUAUCGAUGUAUAUAACUUAUUACACCUUAGUUAUACACUUGCCAAUCAGCAAAAACAAAACAAAGUUGAUUUCAUGGCAUAAUUAAACAUGGAGUGACAUUUUGUUAAAAAAAUUAAUCAAUGAUACAUUGUAGAAAAGGGCAGUCCGGUGCACUUAAACUCCCGCUAUGCACGGGGUUCAAGAAAGAACCGAAUCACAAGACAUUUCUGCGAGAGAUCCCGUUUCCACGACUUAAAACACAUGACCUCCUGGUCACGCGACAACAACUUUACCAGUUACUCCGAUGCUCUCCAUGUAAUAAUUCAAGCUAACUCCAUGUCAUUGAACUUGUUGUCUAAAGCCUCAGAACAAAGUUGUCCCAUUUUAUGAUAAAAUCCAGUCAUAUCUGAGAGUUGUUCAAUUGACAUUUUUGCAAGAAUAGCUCUAGCCAUUCUUUCUCUUUCUUCAUUCAUCUUCAAUCUGUUCAUGUAUGUCGAUGCAUUCCUCACUGUUGCUCCCAUUUGCUUCAACCUAUUCUCUUGUUGCACACUCAAUGCUGUGUUUGCCUACAUGUCAUUGCAUGAAACUGUUCAGGAUCUAGAGUCGGUGAGUUCAGCUACAUUCUUCGAAAUGAGUGUAGUUGUAUUAUGUGUAAUCGAAAACAAUGUGUUCAGUUGAACCAACAGAAUCCGCCUUGAUUCAUCUCUAGCAUUGACAAAUAAAAGAGUUACAUAUUAUAAACCUAGUCCUGAGCCGGGGGUCUAUUGAUCGGAAACAACCUCUCUACUUCAUCUGAGGUAGUGGUAUGGACUGCAUAUGCUGGGUAUGUUGUUGUUGUUUACAUAUUUCAACCUAGUCAGGUGCACAAAGCAUCCAUUGUUAGCAGGGUUCGGGGAAGGGCUACACCCCAAAGAGGUGUUAUGCAGACAUUUCUAUCCUAAUGCAAACAUUAGCGACUACUUACACUGCUCGAACCGGUGACUAUAGGUUACACGAAGACAACUUUAUCGUUGCUCCAAGAAAUAAUACAGUUAUAUAUUUCAACCUAGUCAGGUGCACACAACAUUCAGUUUUAGCAGGGUUCGGGGAAGGGCUACGCCCAAGAGGUGUUAUGUAGGCAUUUCUAUCCUAACACAAACAUUAGUGACUACUUACACUGCUCGAACCGGUGACAAUAGGUUACACGAAGACAACUUUAUCGUUGCUCCAAGAAAUAAAAGAGUUACAUAUUUCAACCUAGUCAGGUGCACAAAACAUCCAGUGUUAGCAGGGUUCGAGGAAGGCCUACACCCUAAGAGGUUACCCUCACGCAAACAUUAGAGACUACUCACUCUGCUUGAACCAGUGACUACCAGUUACACAAAGACAACUUUACCGUUGCUCCAAGUAAUUUUGAGAAUAUUAUUUUUCAAAAAAAAAAAAGAUAUAAAAAAAAAUUUGUACCUCAAGAAAUUCAGCUCCAGGUUCAAGUUCAGAUAUUUUUUCUGAAAUUCUUCCAAGUCCAUUGCUAUACAUAUUUUUUGCAAUUGAAAAACUUCUAAUAAUGCUUUUUCUUUUGCUUUCCAAUUCACGGUUUAAUUUCACACCUCUUGGUAUAUUUUCACAACCAUUAAGCUUCUUCUCAUAUGCAAUUACUGCUUUAACAAAUUCCUACAAAAUCAAUCAAAUAAAUUUAAAACGUAGUUAAGUUCUGUGCACUGACAGUGUAAAAUACGUAUAAAAAACAUUAGUAUCAAGCAAUAUGUUUGCUCAGAAGGCGUGGUGGAAUGAUAAAGGUUCCUUCCGGCUCCACUCUUAAUCAGGAGUCUCGGGUUUAAGUCGGGAAUUGAGUCCUCUUUUAUAUGUAGGACUAAAACCCCUUAUACGUGGUGAGUUGUUACGGCAUAAAUUUGAAUUAAUCGAGCCAAUGAAUUCCGGAUAUCAAAUAGUCUCACAUUAUUAUAAUUUUUUUAUGGUUAAAGUUGAUUUGACACAUUUGACUAUUUGUUGUAUGUAAUAUGAAAAAACUUAUGUAUUUCUCUAAAUUAUUAUAAUAUACAUAAAAUAUCCAUACUAUCUUUUCAUUAAUUUUUCACAUACUUUAUGGUUUGAUCAAUCACAUGAUUUCAUAGACAAUUGGUAAAGGAAAUAGACAAGUGGCCAAUAUAAUAUUAAACUUUAAAAUCUCUUUUUUAUUUUAACUUGUUAUUGUAUCAUCAUCUGGUUUUCGAUAUCUACUGGUCUGACUAUUCAUAUUUAACCCUCGUAAGAUCUAUUACAAACCUCAUUGAUUUGAUCCUCGAGCCACGCCAUCUUUGACCCUACGAUUCAAGCUCAUGACACAUACUAUCUGCUUUGACCAACAGACCUCACAAUUUAUCCCUUGAGCUACACCAUCGUCGAACCCAAAAAUGCGCAUACCAAAAUUUUGGAUCAUGAGAGAAUGUAAAGGGCAGCUCGGUACACUAAAGCUUCCGCUAUGCGCAGGGUCUAAGGAAGGAACCCCCGACCAAGGACGCAUUGCCCGCAGCCUUACCUUGCAUCUCUGCCAGAGGCUGUUUCUCAGGCUUGAACCCGUGACCUCCUGAUCACAUGGGAGCGACUUUACCAGUUACUUUAAGGUUCCCCUUCAACUUUGACCCCAAAAGCAAGUACAUAUUUGUCACGAUCCAAGCUCAUGACAUAUACUAUCCGCUUUGACCAACGUACCUCACAGCAGGCUACACCAUCGCCGAACACAAAAACGUGCAUAUCAAAAUACACCAUCGUCGAACACAAAAACGCGCAUACCAAAAUUUUGGAUCAUGAGAGAAUGUAAAGGGCAGCUCGGUGCACUAAAACUCCCGCUAUGCGCAGGGUCCCAGAAAGGACCCCCACGACCAAGGGUGUAUUCAGUAUUGUACGCAGCCUUACCUUGCAUUUCUGCCAGAGGCUGUUUCCAAGAAUUGAACCCGUGACCUCCUCGUCACACGCCAGCAACUUGAACCCGUGACCUCCUCGUCACACGCCAGCAACUUUACCAGUUACUCUAAGGAUUGCAAAAAGAACGUCCGAUCGAAAAUUUCUCCAUUUAAAGGACUCGAACUCGAGACAUCUGAACACGAUAAAAAUUAAUUAGCAAGUUUGAGAAUUUAAUUACCUGGUAAGCCAUAGCACAUCCUGGAUAAUCAAAAUCACCAUUAUCUUGUCCACGCAUACGUUCAGGAUGAAAUUGUAAUCCCAUAAUAAAUUUACCUUCAACAGGAUUAUAUGUAUCUGGAUCAUAAAAACCUUCAAUUAAUCCAUCAUUAGCAAAUGCCAUUGGCACAAAUCUUUGUGCUAAUUUCUUAACACCUUGAUGAUGAUAACUAUUAACCCAAAUCUCCAUUUUGUUAUCAUCUUCUUCUAAUAAUGAAUCUUUAAACCAUUUGUGUAAUGGUGUAUUUUCAACUAUUUUCACCACAUGUCUAUGUCCAUCAUAGUUGUCAUAGUUCAUGUGCACAACUUUCUCAUAGUUUUGUCCUAUCUCGCUCUGAUUCUUCAAAACUGUCGAUGGAUGCAUGUCGGAUGAGCUGAUCGGCUGACACAGGCGCGACGACAUUUCUGGAGAGUCGGAGUGCGAUAGGGAUUGGCAAUUCUUGGUCAAUUCUUUCGGACUAUGACUCUUCAAAACUGUCGAUGGAUGCAUGUCAGAUGAUACACCGACCGGCUGACACAGGUGCGACAACGUUGUCGGAGGGUCAGAGCGUGAUAGCGAUUGGCAAUUCUUGGUCAAUUCUUUCUCUAAAUCUUGAUAAAGGGUGCAGCUCCGACUCUUCAAAACUGUCGAUGGAUGCACCUCAGAUGAUCCACCGACCGGCCGACACAGGUGCGACAACAUUUCUGGAGAGUCAGAGCGGGACAGGGAUUGACCAUUCUUGGACAAUUCUUUCGAACUUUGACUCUUCAAAACUGCCGAUGGAUGCAUGUCAGACGAUACACCAAUCGACUGCCAUAGGUGCGACAGCAUUUCUGGAGACUCAGAGCGCGAUAGAUAAUUCUUGGACAAUUCUUUCUCCAAAUCUUGAUAAAGGGUGCCACCACAAGCAACAUUGAGAACUUGUGAACCUCUACAAAUUCCCAAAUAAGGUAUGUUCCUUUCAAGACAUAAUUUUGCAAGAGCUAAUUCAAUUGAAUCUUUUUCUCUAUCAAUUGUUGUAUCACUUGAAUGUAUCUUCUUGAUUUCAUCAAGUUCUUCUUUUGAUAAUCCUGAUAAUUCAGCAUCAUAUAAUGAUGGAUCAAUGUCUUCUCCUUCACAUAAAAGAACUCCAUGAAUUGGUUGAAAACUUUCUAGUAACAUGUGUACACCAUUAACCCGCGGCACUAUAACAGGCGCUGCUCCAUAACUCACGAUGAGAUCUAAGUGAUAUUCACCUGCAUACGUUGAAGAUAUAAUUAAGUAAAUAAAAACGUACACCUUCACAUAAUUAACUCAAUGAUGAUAAUAGAGCAAACAGAAGCCCUAUAUUGCCAAAUGACCAUUUUAUGUUUUUAGAUAAAUUCAAGAAUUAAAUUCAUCAAAAAAACAACAAUAUAUUCACUAGAAUUUUAAGCAAAAAAAAUAAAUAAAAAAGUGAAAUAUUGAAUUUUAUUUUUUUUAUGAAAAUUUUUUCAAAGAUGUCAUACUUAUUAUUAUUAUUUUUUUUUGACAUAAAACAUCUAAAUUUAUAUGCCUCUUUUAUCACCAAUCCACUUCCUCCACCAACAGGAACCUCAGUUAGAUUCCGGCAUGCUAUACUUUUUAGUUAUCAAACUUUCUCCAAUUCAAAAAACAUCUUUCUCACUACUAAAAAAAAAACAGGAAAUAACGACGAAAAAUAAAAUAUAACUUACCAACAAAAUCAACAAACUUGUUCUUACGAACAGUUCUUCGAGAUACAAUAAGAACCCUAGGAAGAAUCAUUGAUAGAUCUGGAGCCAUCUUUUUUAAAUACUUCAAAUCCAAGAAAUAAUUAAAUUAAAUAUGGAAAAAAAAUUAAUUCCACAAAGAUUGUAAAUAUAUAUAUAUAUAUAUAUAAAAGAUUUUUGUAGGUUUAAAUUUUUCAAAGUUUUGUGUGUUAUAUAUAUAGGAGUGUAUAUAUAACCUAUGGUCAUGCAAAAAUAGAUAAAGUAAAAUUAAUUAGGGGAUAAACGUAGUCGAGUUGCCACAUAAAAUAAUAUAUGGUGGUUUGAUUGGUCUUUGGUGAGAUUAUAGGGGCAGAGCUACAGUUCUGCUUAUACGGUUUAGUAAAAAACGGCUGUAAGAUUUAAACUUUAUGAAUUUCGUUCUUUUAGGUUUCGAUUAUAUAAUUAUUGCAAUUUUAAUGAAGAUUUAUAUAUAAAUUUAUGCUUGCCAUUAGAAGUAUUGGAUUCAAGUAAACCUAAUAUUGCGACUUUGUGUAUAUCACCUUUUGAUUUGACGAAAUUCAAUUAUUUUGGCAUAUAUUUGUUAGUUGUACCACUACAUGAAUAGACGCUUAGUGAGUACGUAAGGGUUUGCAGUGGUCCAGUUAAGCAAAUAGAUGUCAUAGAAAUACGGUAAAAAAUAAUUUGGGGGGAGGGGGGCAUAAGACCCUCGCAAAGUUGAAACGUGUUAUAGUAAAUUUUGUCUAAGUUUAGGUAUAUUUUGAACGUUUUUCCUUUAAAUAAAUUCACUAAAUAUGGAUUAUUUAGAAUCUAUAAACUCAAAAUUCUAAUUUCGACUAAUAUUAGUAUUUUAUAUUUCAAUAUUGUAAAUUAUACUAGCAUUAUCCUAAGAUUAAGCUAGAAGUCAAAAGCUUUGAUUGUAUUGGUGACGUGCUCAUGAGUGUAUAAAAACUUUAAUGGAUCUUGACGAAUAUGUCAUCUGGAUUUUAGAAGGACUAUUUUUUUAUUUUAUUUUAUUUAUAUUUUUGAUUUUCUUGGUGUUCGAUUUUCACAUUGGAGCCUGACGAAUCUGAAUCCGUACCUCGUAGGGCCCAUUCGAGGAAGUACUCUCUGACUAAGGAAGGAAACAACUCUAUCCGCUACACCACAUCCUUUGCUAGUUUGAAUUAUUCUACGUAGCGUUUGUUCAACGGUAUAAUAUCAUUUACUUUUUGGUUUCUUCGGUGUUCAGUUCCCACAUUAGAGCCCGAUUAAUUCGAAUUCGUGCCUCGUUGGGCCCAUUCGAGGAAGUACUCUCUGAUUAAGACAGGGAGCAACCCCAUCCGCUGCACCAUAUCCUUUAGUGGUUUGAAUUAUUCUACUUAGCAUUUGUUCAACGUGUAGAUUGUAGUAUGAUGAUCAAUGAAGUGAAAUGAAAACUAUCGUAUUUUUUUUUUAAAAUAAAGAUUUAUUGCAACCGAUAAGUGUUACACAAAUUUAUCAUAUAGCCCAAUCUCAAAUUCGCUUGUGAAUGUCAUUUGUAUCUUCAAACUACGAUUUGUUUCAAUUGACUACGUUUUAACAUAUGAUGAAGUGUUUUUGUAGGCCAUUUUUUGUUUAAAUUUAGAUUUGUCAUUAUUGCGGAUGUUUUUAGAUGUUGAUUACGUAGAUGUGUCACUUCCUUUAAGUACACGACUUAGUCUUAAUAAGCCGUAAAAUCUCAGGCAUGUUCCAAUUGAGGAUGAUGUGUAUAAUAAAUGAUGUCAUAUUUUAAGUGGUUAACUUAUCUACGUAAUCGACACUUGAGAUUAAAAUUCAGAAAAAAUUUCUAAAUUUGAAGCAAAAGUGUAUUAUUCAAUUGAAAAAUUAAAUGCAACCACCUUCGUUGACACAACUACUAAUAUAUUAAUUUCUUAAUAGUUAGCCAUUUAUCAUAUAUUGUUAAUCAAUAAGUGCUUUGCAUGUAGCCAUAUUCUAAUUUGACAUAAUCACAUUUUGAAAAUUAAAGAUAACAUAAAAUUUUCUUUAUUUCUUUGUUUGGUUACAAGAUAUAAUUAAUUAAUAUAGUUAAACGUCAAUCAAGAUAUGGUUCUUAAUGUUAUAAAAUUUAAGUUGUGGAUUAGAUCAUGAUGUAUAGAGUUAUGCCCUAUUAUCUUGAACUUAAUUAAGAAGUGAUUUAAUAAUUAUUGACAAGUAAUACUAAUCUACUUAUUAUUUUAUGGAUUUGUAUUGAAAAUAAAAUAAUAACAAGCAAUAAAUAAAAUUUGUCCAAUCCCCAACAUUAGUAUAUUUUUUUUAAUUGAUUUUCCAUUUAAUGUUCGAUACUCAUAUUCGGACUACGGAUAUGCAAAUAGACUAAAAGAGUUACAUAUUUCAACAUAGUCAGGUGCACAACGCAUUCAGUGUUAGAAUGGUUCGGGGAAGGCCUACACCCUAAGAGGUUACCCUAACGCAAACACUAGAGACUAUUUACACCGCUCGAACCAGUGACCACCAGCUACACAAAGACAACUUUACCGUUGCUCCAAGUAAUUUCGAGAAUAUUAUUUUUCAAAAAAAAAAAAAAAAAAAAAAUUUGUACCUCAAGAAAUUCAGCUCCAGGUUCAAGUUCAGAUAUUUUUUCUGAAAUUCUUCCAAGUCCAUUGCCAUACAUAUUUUUUGCAAUUGAAAAACUUCUAAUAAUGCUUUUUCUUUUGCUUUUCCAAUUCAUGGUUGAAUUUGACACCUCUUGGUAUAUUUUCACAACCAUUAAGCUUCUUCUCAUAUGCAAUUACUGCUUUAACAAAUUCCUACAAAACCAAUCAAAUACAUUUAAAACGUCGUUAAGUUCUGUGCACUGACAGUGUAAAAUACGUAUAAAAGAAACAUUAGUAUCAAGCAAUAUGUUUGUUCAGAAGACGUGGUGGAAUGAUAAAGGUUCUUUCCGGCUCCAGUUGAGUCUCGAGUUUAAGUCGGCAACUGAGUCUUCUUUCAUAUGAAGGACUAAAAUCCUUCAUAUGUAAUGAGUUGUUAUGGAAUGAAUUCAAAUUAAUCGAGCCAAUGAAUUCCGAAUAUCAAAUAGUCCCACAUUAUUAUAUAAUUUUUGUGGUUAAGUUGAUUUGACUAUUUGUUGUAUGUAAUAUGAAAAAACUUGUCAUGUAUUUCUCUAAAUCAUAAUAUACACAUAAUAUUGUUUUUCCGUACUAUCUUUUCAUUAAAAUUUCACAUACUUUAUGGUUUGAUCAAUCACAUGAUUUUCAUAGACAAGUGGUAAAGGACAUAAACAAGUGGCCAAUAUAAUAUUAAAGGCAUAAUUCAUAAAUAUGACCCCUAAACUUGUACCAAAUUAUAACUUUGAUCUGAUAUUUUGAUAGUGCACAAAUAGGACAUUUAACUAUUCAAAAUCUGAACAAAUAUGAUCUCCGAUUUUGCAACCCCAUGCGUGAGUUUCACUCGCGCCUGCGUGGAAAGCUCACACAAUCACACGGUGUCACGUCGUUAAAAGGAAUGACUUGGAGGGAGGUCAUAUUUGUGCAGUUUUAAAUAGUUAAAGGUCCUAUUUGUGCACUAUCAAAGUUUAAGGUCAAAGUUAUAAUUUAGUGUCAAGUUUAGGGUCAUAUUUAUAUAUUAUGCCAAAAAAAAAAAAAACAAUUAGGUGUAGACACGUGAUUUUUUAUCCUUCUCGAAUUUUAAUUUAUUUUUUAUAUUAAAUAUUUAUAUUUGGUAUAAUAUUAUUUAAUUUCGUAUUUUAUUUUAAUUUUAAUAAAGUUUUACUUAAAAAAAUCAAUAAUUAAAUAAAUUUAGUUUUGAGAUAUUUUUAUUUUUAUUUUUUAAUCCUAAUUUUAAAAAUAAUACAAAAAUUCAAAAAAAAUAAUAUUAAUAUAUAUAUAUACACAUACUAUUUAUUCUAAAUUUAAAUAAAUUGUCUAUUUAUAAAUUGUUAUUAUGUUUUGAUUAAUAUAAAAUUAAUUAAUUAUUAUAUUUAUUGUUAUUAUUAUUUUAUUGUCUUCAAUUAAAAAAAAAGAAAAUUUUUUUUUUUUCAAAAUUCAAAAAAUCCAAUCCUAAUAGAUUACUACUCUCCCCAUUCCCCCCCCCCAACCCAAAAUCCCUUCUACUUGACUCCCACCCCAAAAAGAGGAUUCGACGUACUUGGGACAUUAGAAAAGACAGAGAGAAUCAGAAAGAGAAUUGAGAGAGAAAAGAAAAUUGAAGAAAAAACAAAACAAAAAAAAAACUUGAGUGAAAACAAAAGAAGAGACAUGCAAUAUAUAUAUAUAUAUAUAUAUGCAUGUAUUACAGGAAGCGAACAACAUUUUGGUGAAAAAAAAAAAAUGGACAGAACAAAGAAACAAAAAAAAAAAGUAAAAAGCAAAAGAACAAGCCAAGAGAAAUUGAGUGAGAAAAGAAAAAAAAGUAUUCAUAAACGUUGGUGAAUUAGUGUUUGAGUUCGGCCUCCAUUUUGAGUUUCUGGUGACGAUGUUUUUGUCUCAAUAUUCAAUCUAAUUUGUCACACAGGUUCUUUUUCGAUCUUGUACUAUUUUUAUAAGUUUUUAUUGUAAACAAAGCAUGAAUUGCAUGUGUUAUUGAAUGAGUUUGUGUAUUAUUCAAUAGGCUGGGCUGAUUGCUUAUGUGAGUUUAUUUUCUUAUCGUUACAAGUUGCAUGUUUAUUUAUCCGAACACUUCUACGUUAUGCGUGGACUUGGUAUUAAAAUAAUAUUAGUAAUUAGUUGUACUGGUUUGUUCUCGGAUUAUUUUGAAAUGAAGUUUCAGUUGAGUAUAAUAUGUUUAAGGGAAAAUUUCAGAAAUAGCAACUCUGUAGCUUUAAUUAUAACUUUUAUAGCAACAGUUUCAUAAUUACGAAAAAUAGCAAAUUAUAUUUGUAUUUAAGUAAAAUGUUGCUAUAUAAAUACAUAUACAAAUAUAUAUGUAUUACUCAUAAAUACAUAUGCACAACUGAAAAAUACAUAUUCUUCUAUUACUAUGAAGUGGAUAAAAUAUUACUACUUUUGCUAUAAGUUAUAAUUUUGAAAAAAUAUUGCUAUUUAUUGUAAUUACAGUCUUAAGGAUGAUAGUUUCUCUAAUUUUUCCUAUCUUUUAACGUGUUGUGGAUCUAUAUCUCUACCGAUGAUAAUGCCUCACUGAUCUUAAUAUUUAAUAUACUGUAUUAUUUUUAAGUUUAGAGACAAAAGAAUUAGAUAAACAAAACAAAGAGCAGGGAUGGACAGAAACAUAUUAAAUAGGAAUAAAGCAUUUUCAUAUAAACACAAUACAUGCAAAAGAUAGAAACAUAGAGAUAUAAAAAAAAAAAAAAAAGGAAAGAAAGAUUAAUUUUGGUUAAGUUGGAUAUUAAAAAAUACAUCUCGUGCAUGAUCUAUAUAUCUGUAGUUUAUAGGAUGUUUGUUGUAAGAUAAGAAUUUAUUUAAUAAUUAUUUAAAUUUAAUUUAAAAUUAUUUGAAUAAACAAGGUUGAUUUUUAUAAUAUUAUUUUUAUAAACAAGGUUGGGACGAUCCCCAACCUCCCUAGCACGCCCUGAUCGAUUUUUAACCUACGACACCCCUGAACCCCGGGCUCACUUCCGAAACCGUGGGCUAUAGCACACCGAUUUAGCGCGAAAAUGCCCCGUUUCGCCGUUUUGUCCGUUUGACAACUCAAACGGACCACUCUGGGAUGAUACCCAACCUCCUUGGCAUGCCCCGGUCAAUUUUCAGCUCACGACACCCCAGACCCUUAGCCCACCCCCAAAAUUGUGGGCUAUAGAACACCGAUUUGGCCAAAAAAUGACCCGUUCGCGCUAUUUCGCCCGUUUGACCACCCAAAUGGCCUCGAAUAAAUAAACGGACCACACUGAGACGAUUCACAACAUCUUUGGCAUACCUCAGUCAAUUUUUGGCCCACGAAACCCCCGGACCCCGGGCCCACCCUCAUAAUUGUGGGCUAUAGCAUAUCGAUUUGGCCUAAAAAUGCCCCGUUCGCGCCAUUUCGCCUGUUUGACCACCUAAAUAGGCUUGAAUAAAUAAACGGAUCACACUGUGAAGAUCCCCAACCUCCCUGACAUGCCUCGAUCGAUUUUUGGCCUUCGACACCCCUGGAACCUGGGCUCACCCCCAAAAUCGUGGGCUAUAGAAAACUGAUUUGGACAAAAAAUGUCCUGUUCGCGCCGUUUCGCCCGUUUGACCAUCCAAAUGGCCCCGCCCACCCAAACGGCCCACAUUGGGACGAUCCCCAACCUCCCUGACAUACCUCAGUCGAUUUUCAGCCCAUAGCUCUGCCGGACCCCAGGUCCACCCCAAAAUCGUGGGCUAUAGCAUACUGAUUUGGCUCGAAAAUGCCCCGUUUGCGCUGUUUCGCCCGUUUAACCACCCAAAUGGCCUCGAAUAAAUAAACGGACCACACUGGGAUAAUACCCAACCUCCCUGGCAUGCUCGAUGGAUUUUUGGCCCACGAUACCCCAGAUCCCGGGGCUACCUCCAAAACCGUGGACUACAGCACACCGAUUUUGCCCCAAAAAGUCCCAUUCGCACCAUUUCACUCGUUUGACAAACUAAAUAGCCACGCCCAACCAAAAUACCCACGCUGGGAUGAUCCCCAACCUUCCUGGCACGCCCCGAUCAAUUUUCGGCCUAUGACACCCCCGGACCCUGGGCCCACCCUAGAAAUCGUGGGCUAUAGCAUACCAAUUUAGCCCAAAAAUACCUCGUUUGCGCUGGUUUGUUCGUUUGACCAUCCAUAUCGCCUUGAAUAAAUAAACGAACCACAUUGGGACGAUCCCCAACCUCCUUGGCACACCUCAGUCACUUUUCAGCCCACGACACCCUCGGACCCGGGGGAUAACCCCUGAAAUCGUGGGCUAUAGAAAACUGAUUUGCCUAAAAAAUAACUUGUUCACGCCGUUUCACUCGUUCGACCCCUCAAAUGACCCCGCCCACCCGAACGACCCACACUGUGAUGAUCCCCAACCUUCCUAGCGUGCCACGGUCGAUUUUUGGCCCACUGCACCCUCGGGCCCACCCCUAAAACCAUGGGCUAUAACAUACUGAUUUGACUUAAAAAUACCCUGUUUGCACCAUUUCGCCCGUUUGACCACCCAAAUGACCUACCGAAACAAUUCUCAACUUCCCUGGCACACCACAAUCGAUUUUCGACCCGCGACACCGCCAGACCCCGGGGGUGGGCUAUAGCACAUUGAUUUGGCCCAAAAAUGCCCCAAUCGCACCGUUUUGCCCAUUUGACACUAGGACAAUCCCCAACCUCGAAUAAAUAAAUGGAUCACACUGGGAUGAUUCUCAGCCUCCCUGGCAUGCCCCGAUCGAUUUUUAGCCCACCACAUGGCCGAACCCCGAGCCACCCCAAAACCAUGGGCUAUAGCACACCAAUUUGUCUAAAAAAUGCCCCAUUGGCAUUGUCCUGCAUGUUUGACAACCCAAAUGGCUCCGCCUAUCCAAACGGCCUACAAUGGGAUAAUCCCCAUCCUCCCAGGCACGCCCCGGUCGAUUUUCGGCCUAUGGUACCUGUUACACCCCUUUUUUCGCACUCCAAAAAGAUUCAUUUUAAGGUUCGAAAGAGUUUUUAUUAUUAAGUGACAAAAGAUGAAAAAUUUGUUUUCGAAAAGGAUUCAUUUUAUUCAAAACUCAGAGUCGCCACUUGGCAUAGUCCGGUGUGCCAAGUCACCUUUGAAAAAUCCUUUUCAAAACGAUUUUGACUCUGUAAAACUGAUCCGCGAACAGAGAUUUCGACUAAGGAAUUCUGUUGAUCGAGGGGAAGGUGUUAGGCACCCCUCGGUCUCGUGAUUUGACCACGGUCGCUUGGUGGAGUGUAUCGGCUAUUUUGACAUUACGAAUGUAUAAACCACACAAAAAAACAUAGAACAAUCAAUCAAACACACAAAUCAAAACAAAUCCAAAAUAUAGUAUCCGGUCCAAUUAUACAAUCCAAAAAUAGAAAAAAAUGCGAAAAUAUAAAUCCUAUUCUAAGCUAAUGCUAGACUAAGCUCCAACCCAUUGCUUUCUCCACCCGACGUUUCAGGCCUUGAUCGUGCGUCAUCUUCAAGUACAUGGUAACUUUAGGGCAUUUCCCGGAUAAAUCAAUACAAAUCCCUCGGGACAUUCCCCGGCCAAAUGAGUACAAUUUUUUAAUGUGAGAAAACCAAACCAUUCACCCAAAUUUUCAACAUUCAAUAAAAUUUUAAACAUUCAACAAAACCACAAAUUCUAAACUUUGCCUACCCAACCUACGUUUGCCUAUCCAAUUCGUUGACAUGAUACUACCACGUUUAACAUUCACGUUUUUACUCCAAAAUAAGCAACGGCCAUAAAUCAGAACUAAACGAUAUUCAUUUAUUUUUCAAUUCCUACCAUUCAACCCCAAAUUUUUUUUAACACUAAAUUUUCCACAAUUCAAGAGUAACGAUCCACAACCACUAUGAACUCAAUAUUCGUCAUUCAAAUCACAUAUAAUUCGUACCCAACAGAAUCAACAACCAAUCAACACAAACAAUCAUUCAUCACCAGCGAAGAUCAAAACCACAUGAAUAUUCGAUUCGAAGCACGAAAUAUCAUAAAUGUUGAAAUAAAAGAGAGAAAGAGUAGAAUUGACCUUCUCGUUGAUUUUAUUCCAAACAAUCAGUGAUGGAUCAAAAUUCACGGAGCAACGAAACCUCAACCCAACUGGACCCUCAACGUCGAACCCCAACUUGAAGAAACCAACAAAAAUUUAAAUUGAACCGAAUGAACCAACUGACUCGUUUGAUUUUUUUGAUCGCUGUCAGAUGGGAGUUGGUUGGAAUAGAAUGAAACAGCUCCGAUUGCGUCACCUCGAUUGCGGAUUCACUAUUUCCGGCUAGAUUCAUCUGGAAACCAAUGGAAAACGGAGAAAAUUUUUGGGGAUUUCGAACUAAACUCGUUGAACAAAUGAACUGUACCCCCGAUGGUGCCGAUUCCGGCGCAAAUAUCGACGGAAAAAAAACACGAAAAAGAACCGGUCUCUCAAUGUUUUUUGGUUUCUCCGUCGGAUUUCAGUCAAACACCACCCCCGUUGUUUUCUCCUCUUUCCAUUCUCUUUCUCCCGAUCUCUUUCUCCCUUUUGUGUGUGUGGUGACCAAGAAAAGAAAAAAAAGCCCCUCUUCUCCUUUUUCAGUGUGUAUAUCCUCUUGAAGAGGAUGAACUAGGAUCCCCCCUUCCUGGAAGGUUACCUUUGCUUUUAAAGGAAUUUUGGUAUCAUUCUUUUUGUGAGGUGUACCCGUGGGGACCCCUUCUUUAUUUUUGUUGUGAUUUGGUUAAAAGGAAUCCAAAAAAAUGUGAGGGGGUGGGGUCACAUGGGUAUAGGGAUGUGGGGUGUAGGGGUAUGGGGUAGGGAGGUGUCAUCUUUUAAUUGGAGAGGUUGUUAGAAUAAGAUAAAAUUAGUUAGGAGUUGUUAUUAUUUUUUUUCUUUUGUUUGUAGGGUAUAAUUACAUGGGUGAGGGUACAUGGUAGGAUAAGGUAAAAAUGAAUGAAAAUAAUAUCGGGGAGGGACAAAAUUAGGUUUCUACAGCACCAUCGAGCCAUGGGCCCACCCCCAACACUGAGGGUUAUAGCAUACCAAUUUGGCCCAAAAAUACCCCGUUAGCGCUGUUUCACCCGUUUGACCACUCAAAUGGCCUCGAAUAAAAAAACGGACCCUACUAGGAUGAUCCCCAACCUUCCUGGCAUGCCUUGGUCGAUUUUUGGCCAACGACCCCCUGGACCUAAGGCCCACCCCCGAAACCAUGGGUUAUAUCACACCGAUUUAGCCCGAAAAUGCACCGUUCGUGUCGUUUCGCCCGUUUGACCACCCAAAUAUCUACGAAUAAAUAAACGGACCAAACUGGGAUGAUCCCCAACCUCUCUGGCAUGGCUUAGUCGAUUUUUAGCCUACUCAUCAUCGGACCCCGAGCGAACCCCCGAAAUCAUGGGCUAUUGCACACCGAUUUUGCCAAAAAAUGCCCUGUUUGCCUCAUUUCGCCCUUUUGACCACCCAAAUGGAAUCCAAUAAAUAAAUGAACCACACUGGGAUGAUCCGCAACCUCCUUGGCAUGCCUCGAUCGAUUUUUCACCCAUAAAACCUUGAACCCCGGGCCUACCCCCAUAAUCGUGGGCUAUACCACACAUCGAUUUGGCCCCAAAAUUCUCUAUUUGCGUUGUUUCACCCAUUUUGACAACCCAAAUGGCCUUAAAUUAAUAAACGGACCAUACUGGGAUGAUCCUUAUCAUCUCUGGCAUGCCCCAAUCAACUUUCGACCAACGACAAUCCUGAACUCUGGGAUCAUCCAUGAAAACGUGUGUUAUAGCACACUAAUUUGGCUUGAAAAUGCCCCAUUCGUGUUGUUUUCCCUGUUUGACCACCGAAAUAGUCUCGAAUAAAUUAAUGAAUCACAUUGGGAUGAUCCCCAACCUCCCUGGCAUGACUCAAUUGAUUUUCAGCCCACGACACCCCAGACUCCAGGUCCACCCCUGAAACUAUUGGUUAGAGCACACCGAUUUGGCUCGAAAAUGCCCCAUUCACGCCGUUUCGCCCGUUUGACCACCCAAAGGGCCUCGAAUAAAUAAACGGACCAAAUUGGAACAAUCCAAAACCUCCCUAGCAUGCCUCGAUUGAUUUUUAUCCUACGACACCCCUAGACCAGGACCCACCCCCAAAAUCGUGGGCUAUAGCACACUGAUUUGGCUAGAAAAUGCCCCGUUUAUGUUGUUUCACCCGUUUGACCACUCAAAUAGCCUCGAAUAAAUAAACAGACCAAACCAGGACAAUCCCCAACCGCUCUGGCACUCAUCGGUAAAUUUUUGACCCACGAUAGGCCUAGACCUAGGCCCACCCACUAAACCAUGGGCUAUAGCACACUGAUUUAGCCAAAAAAUUCCCAAUUAGCAUCGUUUUGCCCAUUUGACCACUGAAAUUGCUUUGAAUAAAUAAACGGACCAUACUGCAAUGAUCUCUAACCUCCCUGGCAUGCCCCAAUCAAUUUUUGAUCCACAACACAAUUGGACCUCGGGCCCACCCAGAAAUCAUGGGUAAAACACAUCGAUUUGGCACAAAAAUGCCCCAUUCUUCAUCGUUUUGCCCGUUUGACCACCCAAAUGAUCUCGAAUAUAUAAACAGACAACACUAUGAUGAUCUCCAACCUCCCUGGCAGGCCUCGAUCAAUUUUAGGCCUACAGCAUACCCGGUUCCACCCCUAAAACCGCGGGUCGUAGCACACAAAUUUGGCUAAAAAUGCUCUGUUCGCGCCGUUUCGCCUGUUUGACCACCCAAAUGGCCCAACCCACCCAAACGGCUUACACUAGACGAUCCCAACAUCCCUGGCAUACUACGGUUGAUUUUAGGCCCACGGAACCCCCGGUCCCUGGGCCUACCCCUAAAAUCGUGGGCUAUAGCACAACGAUUUGGCCCAAAAAUGCCCUGUUUACGCCGUGUCACCCGUUUGACCACCCAAAUGGCAUUGAAUAAAUAAACGAACCAUAGUUGGACGAUCCCCAAUCUCUCUGGAAUGCCUCAGUCAAUUUUUGGCCCAUGGCACCCCGGACCUCGGGCCCACCCCAGAAAUCGUGGGUUAUAGUACACUGAUUUGGCCCAAAAAUGCUCCGUUCGUGCUGUUUCUCCUAUUUGACCACCCAAAUGGCCUCGAAAAAAUAUAUGGACCAUACUGGGAUGAUCCCUAACCUCCCUGUCACGCCUCGAUCAAUUUUUGGCCCAUGAAACCCCCGAACAUCGGGCCCACCCCCAAAAUUGAGGGUUAUAGAACAUCGAUUUGGCUCGAAAAUGCCCCAUUUGUACUCUUUUGCCUGUUUUACCACCCAAAUGACUUCGACUAAAUAAACGGACUACACUGGGGCGAUCCCCAAACGCCUUGGUUUUCCCCGAUUGAUUUUUUGCCCACGGCACCCCCAGACCCCUGGUCUACCCCCAAAACCGUGGGUUAUAGCAUACCGAUUUGGCCUGAAAAUGCUCCAUUCGCGUUGUUUCACCCUUUUGACCACCCAAAUGGCCUCGAAUAAAUAAACAGACCACAUUAGGACGAUCCUCAACCUCCCUGGCAUACCUGAGUCAAUUUUAGUUGCACGGCACCCCCGAACCCCAUCCCACACUCAAAACCAUGGGCUAUAACACAUCGAUUUGGCUUGAAAAUGCAACGUUCGUGCUGUUUUGCCCGUUUGACCAACUUAAUGAAUUCAAAUAAAUUAAUAGACCAAACUGGGAUGAUCCCCAACCUCCUUUACACACCCCGAUCGAUUUUUGGCCUACGGCACCUCCGGACCCUGGUCCUACAUAGCACACCAAUUUUCCCCUAAAAUGCCCUGUUUGGGCUUUUUUGCCCGUUUAAUCACCUAAAUAGCCUCGAAUAAAUAUACAGACCAUACUGGGAUGAUCCCCAACCUCCCUGGCAUACCUCGAUCAAUUUUUGGCCAACGACACUCUCGUACCCCAGGCCCACCCCUAAAAUUGUGGCCUAUAGCACACUAAUUUGGCCUAAAAAUGCCCAGUUCACGCUGUUUCGCCUGUUUAACCACCCAAAUGGCAUUGAAUAAAUAAACGAUUGACAUUAGGACGAUUCCCAACCUCCUUGGCACGCCCUGAUUGAUUUUUGGCCAUGGCACCCUGGGACCUCGGUCCCAUCCAUAAAAUCAUGGGCUAUAGCACACCGAUUUAGCUCGAAAAUGCCUCAUUCGCGCUGUUUCACUCGUUUGACCAUCCAAAUGGCCUCAAAUAAAUAAACAGACCAUACUAGGAUGAUCCUGCACCUCCCUGACAUACCUUAGUUGAUUUCGGCUCACGACACCUUCGGACCUCGAGCCCACCCCCAAAACCGUGGGUUGUAGAGUACUGAUUUAGCCCAAUAGUGCCUCGUUCGCUCUGUUUCGCUCGUUUGACCACCCAAAUGGACUCGAAUAAAUAAACGAACCACACUAGGAUUAUUCCCAACCUCCUUGGCAUGCCUCGAUCGAUUUUUGACCUACGGCACCACCGAACCCCGAUCUCACCCCCAAAACUGUGGGCUAUAACACACCCAUUUAGCCUGAAAACACCCCGUUUGCGCUGUUUUGCCUGUUUGACCAUCCAAAUGGCCUCGAAUAAAUAAACGGACUACACUAGGAUGAUCCUCAACUUCCCUGACAUGGCCUGAUUAAUUUUGGGCCUACGACACCUUUGGAACCUGAGUCCAUCCCCAAAAUCAUGGGCUAUAGCAUACUGAUUCAUCUUGAAAUUGUCUUGUUUGCACUGUUUCGCAUGUUUGACCAGCCAAAUGGCCUUAAAUAAAUAAAAGAACCAUACUAGGAUGAUCCACAACCUCCCUAGCAUGCCUCAGUCAAUUUUCGGUCCACAGCACCCUCGGACCCGCCUACCCCCAAAAUCGUGGGCUAGCACACUGAUUUGGCCAAAAAAUAUCCCAUUCAUGUCGUUUAGCCCGUUUGACCACCCAAAUAACCUCAAAUAAAUAAACAGACAACACUGGGAUGAUCCCCAACGUCACUGGCAAGCCUCGAUCGAAUUUUUGCCAACGACAACUCCAGAUCCCGAGGCCACCCCUGAAACUGUGGGCUAUUACACAUCAAUUUUUCCCAAAAAUGCCUCGUUCGUGCCAUUUUGCCCGUUUGACAAUCCAAAUGGCCUCAAAUAAAUAAAUGGACCACACUGGGACGAUCUUCAACCUCCCUAGCACGCCCUGGUAGAUUUUUGGCCCAGGCACUGUAACACCCCAUAUUCAAGUACGUGUAUUGGCGAAUUCAAGUACGUAUAUUGGUCUUAUUUAUAUGGAAUUUAUUUUAUUUUAUUUUAUUUAUACUGGAAUUUGCCCGUCGAUGGUUCUAUAUGAAGGUUAUUGAAUAAGCUUUCCAAUGAUAUAAAGAUUUCCAAAAACGGAUAGGUUUUGGAUAUAAUCGAGCACGUUCGAAACUAUAAAACGAUGGCCGGGAUAUUUGGGAAACGGUGGCCGGGAUGUGAACAGUAAAAUGUGCAGGAAACUACUGAGGCCUGCCAGUUUUUUGGGUCAACUUUGAACGAUCAUAACUCCCUCAAUAUAAUGAACUGGUUGAGCUACCAUAUAUCAAAAGAAAGAUCUUUGAGUCUUCUUUCCAAUGAAAUUGGUUUCAUCCAAAUCCAACAUCUGAGUAAGGAGUUAUACUCGUUUUACUUCAGCCUCUCAAAACAGAUUUUUAGGGUCAACUUCAAACGAUCAUAACUACUUGUACAGGACGAACUGGGUGGAUUAAUUUAUAUUAAAUGAAAUACCUUUGAAUUAUCUUUCUAACGAUACCAAUUUCACCCAAAUCCGAUAUCGGAGCAAAGAGUUAUGGCCGAUUUACUUUAGCCUAUCAAAACAGUCCACCAUGGACAGAUUCGGAUUUACUUAAAUUUUUAAGGGCAAUAUGGUCAUUUUCCAUCACCUCAUGGACGAAAAUUGGUCAUUAUAUACAUAUACUUAGCCUUAUAUCCACCAUUUAUCAUCCAAAUCAUUGAAGAAUAAGAAACCCUAGCCUAAGUUCAACUCCAAUUAUCUUGUGAUUCAACCGUAGAAAAUCCAAAUUGAUUCCGUAGUUGUGUUCACCGUCUCAAGGGCUUCGAGAAGCACCCCUUAUUUGUGCCAACAGGACUUCGAAAUCAAAAGGGCCAUUUUUUUUGGUAAGGAUGUAAAUUAUGUUGGUGUUAUUUAUAUGGAUAUGUAUAUAUAUAUAUAUAUGCAUGUGAGCAUAAGAAGUAUGUUAUUUGAUUGUUGUUGAAAGAUGAUUGGAAAUGAUGUUGGAUUAUUCUUGUGCAUGGUUGGAUUAUGUUAAAUUGUGAAGGAAUUUGGGGUGAUGAUGUGGUAUUGAUGAUGUGGUAUUGAGAUGAUGAUUAUAUACAUAUACACACAUAAACCUAUUGUUCAAGUUGGUUUUUGGAAUGUUUUGCAAAUAUUGGUAGUAUGGAAUUAUGGAAGAGAAUUGUGGUGUUGGGUUGCUAAUACUAGAUGCCAAACAUUUCAUUGUAGAUAAGUGAUUUGUAAAGGCGGGAAGUUGUGUUGAAUUGGUAGCUGAAUCUACAACGAGGUAUGUAAAGCAUACUCUAACAAUGUUCUUUGGCAUGAAAACACCAAUGUUCCAUCAAGUAAGAUUCCGAGGUUGUCCAAAAACAUGUAUUGUUCUACGUUACCAACGAAGUUGUUUCCAUCCUAUAAAGUGUCAAAAUGUUCAUUGAUAUACCAAAAGGCUCUUAUUUCAUUGUUGUGAUAUUGAUGAUUCUGAAACAUAUUGUUGAUGUACCAAUGAGUCCUUAUUACAUCGUUAUUGUAUAGAAGGUCUAUUACUUGGUUCCUAUUGAUGUAUCAUUGUUUCAAGGUAUCAAAAAUGUGGUGACGACCGAAAUAACAAUCUCAAAGAUUAAUUGAACUAAGUGAUGAAAGUUCUCUCUUAUCGGGUGGUAUCCCAGGGGCAUAAGCCUAGCAUGGGUCGAUCCCUAUUUCAUGUGUUUAUGGGUGGUAUCCCAGGGGCAUAAGCCUAGCAUGGGUCGAUCCCAGUUGAUAUGUACUGGAGGCAUCCUAAUGGUCACAGUACAGUACAGUAAUGAUUACAAAGACGAUAAGAACGAAGGUAAAGUGAUUGAAUAAAUACAAUGUACAGGUUGUCACAAGUUCUAGUAAGUGUGGUCCACUCCUAUUACGACUUAUUCACUUGUUUCUGAUUUCUAUUGAGCUCCUAUAUCAUAUGUGAUUAUUUACAGCUUUACAUACUCAGUACAUAUUUCGUACUGACGUCCCUCACGGGGGACCUGCAUUUCAUGCUGCAGGCACAGGUACCUCAACUCAUACACCGCACAAGUAGGAGCCAGGUCAUACAGCUAUUGUUGGUGAGCUCCAGUUUGCUUCGGAGCUUUCCGAGUCGGUUCCUUAUGUUUUGUUAUUGUACAUGAGUCACGUGUGGGCGGGGGUUUGUCCCGACCCUAGUUAUGUCAUGUAUAUCCUAGAGGCUUUGUAGACAUAAGGAAGGGUAAAGUCAUGGAAGUUUAUAUAGUAACGUUAUAUUUGUAUAUGUGGUGGCCCCGACGGCCAAGUAUUAUAUAUAUAUAUUUGUGCGUGUUGUGCUGAUACAGGUAAUUAGACCUUUCUAUAUGCAACGAAGUGCUGUCCAAUUUUUUUGGUGACAUGUAAGUGAAAGUACAGGUAUUUGAACGGGUUCUCCCGGGCCUUCUCGGCUUCGGGUGCCAGUCCGGCCCGAUGGGAUUUUGGGGCGUGACAAAAGUGGUAUCAGAGAGGUUCGUCCUAGUGAGUCUACAAAGCCGUGUCUACGUAGGGUCUUGUUUAUCGGUGUGUUGUGCACCACAUCUAUAAACAGGAGGCUAUGGACAUUUAGGAAUUGUUUCUUUUCUUCAUGUCUUAGAUCGUGCGAUAGAGCUUAUAUUGUAUAUGAAGUCAUAGUUGACCACUGAAUCAGUUUGUUUCUCUUAUUAUAGUAAUGAUGCCGGUUACCAGAAGCAAGAAUACCGGUAAGCAAGUAGAUGUGGCUGCCGGAGAGGGGACUAGUAAGUCACCCACUAUACCAGCUAAUCAAAGUGAGGCUCCAGCUGAGCAUGCAUCAGAAACUUCCUCCAGUCCGGAAGAAAUAAGGGGGAGGAGAACUAUAUCCGCAGAGCCACCUAUUAAUGUUGUUGAUCAAGAUCUUAGAAAUGCAGUGCAACUUUUGACUCGUAUAGUUGCUGGGCAAGCUCAAGGGCAAGCCAUUCCUACUGCAGGUCCUAGUGGUAUAGAUAGGGCGGCUAGCCUUCGAACACAGGAUUUUCUUAAGAUGGAUCCUCCCACUUUUACUGGAUCAGAUCUUAACGAGGACCCACAGGACUUUAUCGAUCAAAUUCAAAGGGCCUUGGAUGUUAUGCAUGUAACGGGUAGAGAGACAGUGGAGUUAGCGGCGUAUAGAUUUAAAGGGGAGGCUAUAUAUUGGUAUGAGGACUGGAAACGAUCUAGGGGUAUUGAUGCACCCCCAGCUACUUGGAAGGAGUUCAAAGAGGCAUUUCUUGAUCAUUAUCUUCCAUUCGAGAUUCGUCAGGCCCGUGCAGAUCAGUUUUUAAAUCUUCGUCAGGGGAAUAUGAGCGUGAGGGAGUACAGUCUUCGAUUUAAUUCCUUGUCGAGAUAUGCUCCUAAUGUUGUAGCUACUAUGGUUGACAGAGUUCAUCAAUAUGUGGAUAGGCUAGAUCCAUAUCUGGUUAGAGAUUGUACUAUUGCUGCUUUGAACAAAGAUAUGGACAUAGCGAGAAUCCAAGCUUUUGCACAAAAAAUGGAAGAUCAGAGGCAGAGGAGAAGAACACAGGAAUCAGAAAGAGGAUAUUCCAAGAGGGCCAGAUCUACAGGGCAGUUCAUGGCAUUCGAAAGAGGGUUCAGACCACAGUUUUCUGCUAGACCACCUAGGCCAUUAUCCUCUUAUUCUACAGCUAGUGCCCCACCACAGUUCCAAGGGUUCAGAGGAAAUCAAUUUGGGCACAGAAGUGAGAGUCAGAGUUCGCGGACAGUGGGGUACCAAGGUCAAGGGAAUAUGAGCCAAUCAAGACCUCCUCGAGAGCCAUGCAAUAAAUGUGGAAGGUAUCAUUUGGGCGCAUGUCGGCUGGGGACCAAUGUUUGCUUUUGGUGCGGUAUGUCGGGGCAUAUGAUGAGGGAAUGCCCACGAAGGGACAUAGGGGGUAUGGCACGACCUACGGGGUCAUUUGUUGCAUCAUCAUCAUCGAUGCCUUAUUCAGGAAGGGGUGCACAGCCAAUGGGUCGUGUUAGAGGUGAUAGAGGAGCCACGAGUUCUAGCGGGGCUCAAAAUCGUACGUAUGCUCUAGCAGAUCGACAGAAUUUAGAGGCUUCUCCAGAUGUGGUUACGGGUAUGUUGGCUAUAUUUUCAUUCAAUUUAUAUGCCUUAAUUGAUCCCGGUUCUACAUUAUCUUAUGUUACUCCAUUGGUUGCUGGAAAGUUCGAAAGAAUACCCGAACUGUUAGUUAAGCCAUUUGAAGUGUCCACACCGGUCGGGGAAUCUAUUAUAGCUAGAAGGGUUUAUCGAAACUGCAUAGUAACUGUUUGUGGUCGUGAUACGAUGGCUGAUCUUGUGGAGUUAGAAAUGGUAGAUUUUGAUGUUAUAAUGGGUAUGGACUGGUUGGCGUCUUGUUAUGCCACAAUUGAUUGCUGCACGAAAAAGGUAUAUUUCCAUUUUCCAAAUGAAUCAGUCCUUGAAUGGAAAGGUGAAAUUAGCGUGCCAAGAGGUAGAUUUAUUUCUUAUUUUAAGGCGAGAAGAAUGAUUUCCAAGGGAUAUAUAUAUCAUUUAGUUAGAGUAAGGGAUACAGAAGCGGAGCCACCAACUCUUCACGCUGUUCCGGUGGUAAAUGAAUUUUCUGAUGUAUUUCCUGAAGAUCUUCCAGGUUUGCCUCCUGAACGAGAAGUAGAGUUUGGUAUUGAUGUAAUACCAGGCACCCAACCAAUCUCCAUUCCUCCGUAUAGAAUGGCCCCAGCAGAAUUACGAGAAUUGAAAGAGCAAUUGAAAGAUUUGCUAGAAAAGGGGUUCAUUAGGCCUAGUAUUUCCCCUUGGGGAGCACCAGUGUUAUUUGUACGCAAAAAGGAUGGCUCCCUGAGGAUGUGUAUUGAUUAUCGGCCAUUGAAUAAGGUGACUAUUAAGAAUAAAUAUCCUCUCCCAAGAAUUGAUGAUUUAUUUGAUCAGUUACAGGGCGCCAAGUGCUUUUCUAAGAUUGAUUUGAGGUCAGGUUAACACCAAGUGAGGGUCAAAGAGAAGGACAAACCUAAGACAGCUUUCCGAACACGGUAUAGUCACUAUGAGUUUCUAGUUAUGUCAUUUGGGCUAACAAAUGCACCCGCAGCUUUUAUGGAUUUGAUGAAUAGGGUUUUUAAGCCAUUCCUGGAUGUAUUUGUGAUAGUUUUUAUAGAUGAUAUUCUAGUUUAUUCUAGAUCAGAAGAGGACCAUGCCAAUCACUGACGAUAGGCAUUGCAGACUCUUCGUGAUUGUAAGCUUUAUGCAAAGUUCUCUAAAUGUGAGUUUUGGUUAAAGUCGGUGGCAUUUUUGGGUCAUAUUGUAUCUAGUGAAGGGAUAAAGGUUGAUGCUCAAAAGAUAGAAGCUGUGAAGAACUGGCCAAGGCCCACAACGCCUACGGAGAUUCGUAGUUUUCUUGGGUUGGCCGGUUAUUAUAGAAGGUUUGUCAAAGACUUUUCUUCCAUUUCAGCACCCUUAACCAAGCUAACCCAUAAAGCAUCCAAAUUCCAAUGGAAUGAUGCCUGUGAGAAGAGUUUUCAAGAUUUAAAGAACAAGUUGAUUUCUACACCCGUGUUGGUACUACCAGAAGGCACCGAAGGGUAUACAGUGUAUUGUGAUGCUUCCAGAAUUGGUUUAGGAUGUGUAUUGAUGCAGCAUGGUAAGGUAAUAGCAUAUGCUUCUAGACAAUUACGGCCACAUGAGAAAAAUUAUCCUACACACGAUCUUGAGCUGGCAGCGGUUAUUUUUGCUUUAAAGAUAUGGCGCCACUACUUAUAUGGGGUUCACGUUGAUAUAUAUACUGACCAUAAGAGCUUGCAAUAUAUUUUUAAUCAGAAGGAUCUAAAUUUAAGGCAGCGGAGAUGGCUUGAACUAUUAAAGGACUAUGAUGUUGAUAUCUUGUACCAUCCAGGGAAAGCAAAUGUGGUAGCUGAUGCGUUAAGUCGUAAGGCUAUGAUGGCGCCUAUAGAAAGGCAAGGGAUGGUUAAAGAUCUUCACCAGUUAGCUAGUUUGGGAGUUCGCCUUCUUGAAACUCCGAAUAAAGAGCUUAUCGUACAUAAUGCUGCGGAAUCUUCAUUAGUAGCUGAAGUGAAAGAGAAGCAAUAUGCAAACCCUAUUUUAUUACAGCUUAAGGAGAACGUUCAGAGUGGUGCGACCAAGGCAUUUGAGCUUACGCGAGAAGGAGUACUUCAGUGCCAAAACCGAUUGUGUGUGCCGGAUAUAGACGGGCUAAGAAAGAAGAUUAUGACAGAGGCACAUUUUUCAAGGUAUUCCAUUCAUCCAGGAUCAACCAAAAUGUAUCAAGAUUUGAAAGAUAUGUAUUGGUGGAAUGACAUGAAGAAGAGCAUUGCAGAAUUUGUAGCUGAAUGUCCAAAUUGUCAAAGAGUUAAAGUUGAGCACCAAAAACCCGGAGGCUAUAUGCAAUGCAUAGAUCUUCCAAUUUGGAAGUGGGACAUGAUCAACAUGGAUUUUGUUACAGGUUUGCCUCGUACAGCUCGAAAAUUUGAUUCUAUAUGGGUGAUUGUGGAUAGGCUUACUAAAUCCGCACAUUUCUUACCCGUUAAGACCACUUACACAGUUGAAGAAUAUUCGAAGCUGUAUGUUAAAGAAAUAGUCCGAUUACAUGGAGUGCCAACUUCUAUUAUAUCGGAUCGGGGAACUCAAUUUACUGCAAACUUUUGGAAGUCUUUCCAACGGGGUUUGGGAACACAAGUGAAUCUGAGUACAGCUUUUCACCCUCAGACGGAUGGACAAGCAGAGCGCACCAUUCAAACACUUGAAGAUAUGCUACGAGCAUGUGUUAUAGAUUUUAAAGGCAGCUGGGAUGAUCAUUUACCUCUUAUUGAGUUUGCCUACAAUAAUAGCUAUCAUUCAAGUAUCAAAAUGGCACCAUAUGAAGCUUUAUAUGGGAGAAAGUGUAGAUCACCAAUAGGAUGGUUCGAAGCGGGUGAAACUCUUAUGUUCGGACCGGAUCUUGUGUAUCAAGCCAUAGAAAAAGUCAAGGUGAUUCAGCAACGGUUGAAAACAGCCCAAAGUCGACACAAGUCAUAUGCGGAUAGUAGAAGAAGAGGGCUAGAAUUUUCGUUAGGCGAUUGGGUAUUUUUGAAGGUAUCGCCAAUGAAAGGGGUGAUGAGAUUUGGCAAGAAAGGAAAGUUGAGUCCACGAUAUAUAGGCCCGUAUAAAAUUAUUCGAAGAUGUGGGCAAGUUGCUUAUGAAUUAGAUCUACCCCAGGAACUAUCAUCAGUGCAUCCAGUAUUUCAUGUAUCGAUGCUUCGAAAGUGCAUCGGAGAUCCGUCCCUUAUUACUUCUACUGAAGAUGUGCAAGUAACAGCAGAUCUUACCUAUGAGGAGAUGCCUAUUGCUAUAUUAGAUCGACAAGUUAAGAAGAUGAGAAAUAAAGAAGUAGCAUCGGUGAAAGUACUUUGGAGAAAUCAACAAAGGGAAGAGAUUACAUGGGAAGCUGAGGAAGCAAUGAAAUCUAAGUACCCUCAUUUGUUCAAAGAUGAAGAGGAAGUUCAAGAAACGGAGUUAGAACAUUAACAAGUAAGUUUUUGUUUAUAUAUGCAUAGUAUUUAUGUGAUGAUGUGAAUGUUAAUGGUGGACUUGAACUUGUUUCGGCUAAAUAACUACAUUCACAUUCGAGGACGAAUGUCCUUAAGGGGGGAAGGAUGUAACACCCCGUACUUAAUUACGUGCAUUAGUCAUUGUUAUAUGUGUUGGAGUAUAUGUAUUGAUCCUAAGUUAGGUAUAUAUGAGUUUAAGUAUGAGUAUUGAUUAUUUUGAGAUGGUUUCAAGUGUAUAGUUUGAUUAUAGGUGUAUAGGAAUCGACUUUAUUUAUAUCGGAAUUUUCCCGUCGAUGGUUCCAUACGAAGGUUAUUGAAUAAGCUUUCCAACGAUAUAAAGAUUUCCAAAAACGGAUAAGUUUCGGAUAUAAGCGAGCUCGUUCGAAACUUUAAAACGGUGGCCGGGAUGUGAACAGUAAAAUGUGCAGGAAACUACUGAGGCCUGCCAGUUUUUUGGGUCAACUUUGAACGAUCAUAACUCCCUCAAUAUAAUGAACUGGUUGAGCUACCAUAUAUCAAAAGAAAGAUCUUUGAGUCUUCUUUCCAAUGAAAUUGGUUUCAUCCAAAUCCAACAUCUGAGUAAGGAGUUAUACUCGUUUUACUUCAGCCUCUCAAAACAGAUUUUUAGGGUCAACUUCAAACGAUCAUAACUACUUGUACAGGACGAACUGGGUGGAUUAAUUUAUAUUAAAUGAAAGACCUUUGAAUUAUCUUUCUAACGAUACCAAUUUCACCCAAAUCCGAUAUCGGAGCAAAGAGUUAUGGCCGAUUUACUUUAGCCUAUCAAAACAGUCCACCAUGGACAGAUUCGGAUUUACUUAAAUUUUUAAGGGCAAUAUGGUCAUUUUCCAUCACCUCAUGGACGAAAAUUGGUCAUUAUAUACAUAUACUUAGCCUUAUAUCCACCAUUUAUCAUCCAAAUCAUUGAAGAAUAAGAAACCCUAGCCUAAGUUCAACUCCAAUUAUCUUGUGAUUCAACCGUAGAAAAUCCAAAUUGAUUCCGUAGUUGUGUUCACCGUCUCAAGGGCUUCGAGAAGCACCCCUUAUUUGUGCCAACAGGACUUCGAAAUCAAAAGGGCCAUUUUUUUUGGUAAGGAUGUAAAUUAUGUUGGUGUUAUUUAUAUGGAUAUGUAUAUAUAUAUAUAUAUGCAUGUGAGCAUAAGAAGUAUGUUAUUUGAUUGUUGUUGAAAGAUGAUUGGAAAUGAUGUUGGAUUAUUCUUGUGCAUGGUUGGAUUAUGUUAAAUUGUGAAGGAAUUUGGGGUGAUGAUGUGGUAUUGAUGAUGUGGUAUUGAGAUGAUGAUUAUAUACAUAUACACACAUAAACCUAUUGUUCAAGUUGGUUUUUGGAAUGUUUUGCAAAUAUUGGUAGUAUGGAAUUAUGGAAGAGAAUUGUGGUGUUGGGUUGCUAAUACUAGAUGCCAAACAUUUCAUUGUAGAUAAGUGAUUUGUAAAGGCGGGAAGUUGUGUUGAAUUGGUAUCUGAAUCUACAACGAGGUAUGUAAAGCAUACUCUAACAAUGUUCUUUGGCAUGAAAACACCAAUGUUCCAUCAAGUAAGAUUCCGAGGUUGUCCAAAAACAUGUAUUGUUCUACGUUACCAACGAAGUUGUUUCCAUCCUAUAAAGUGUCAAAAUGUUCAUUGAUAUACCAAAAGGCUCUUAUUUCAUUGUUGUGAUAUUGAUGAUUCUGAAACAUAUUGUUGAUGUACCAAUGAGUCCUUAUUACAUCGUUAUUGUAUAGAAGGUCUAUUACUUGGUUCCUAUUGAUGUAUCAUUGUUUCAAGGUAUCAAAAAUGUGGUGACGACCGAAAUAACAAUCUCAAAGAUUAAUUGAACUAAGUGAUGAAAGUUCUCUCUUAUCGGGUGGUAUCCCAGGGGCAUAAGCCUAGCAUGGGUCGAUCCCUAUUUCAUGUGUUUAUGGGUGGUAUCCCAGGGGCAUAAGCCUAGCAUGGGUCGAUCCCAGUUGAUAUGUACUGGAGGCAUCCUAAUGGUCACAGUACAGUACAGUAAUGAUUACAAAGACGAUAAGAACGAAGGUAAAGUGAUUGAAUAAAUACAAUGUACAGGUUGUCACAAGUUCUAGUAAGUGUGGUCCACUCCUAUUACGACUUAUUCACUUGUUUCUGAUUUCUAUUGAGCUCCUAUAUCAUAUGUGAUUAUCUACAGCUUUACAUACUCAGUACAUAUUUCGUACUGACGUCCCCCACGGGGGACCUGCAUUUCAUGCUACAGGCACAGGUACCUCAGCUCAUACACCGCACAAGUAGGAGUCAGGAUACCCAGCUGCUUUUGGUGAGCUCCAGUUUGCUUCGGGGCUUUCCGUGUCAUAUCCAGUCACUUUUGGUAUUGUAUAGAAGUAAGUUAUAUGGCGGGGUGUGUUCCCACCUUAGUUAAACUCUGUGUAUUGUCUAGAGGCUUUGUACACCUAUUGUACAGUCAAGGUGGUGUUUUGUUAAUAGACGUGAUGGCUCCAACGGCCAAGUAUUGUAUAUACAUAUAUAUGUGUGCUCGAGCUUGUAUAGGUGAUUAUUUCCUUUUAUAUGUGACGUGAUGCUGUCCGAAUUUUGGGUUGUCAUAGAGGUAUGCAUGGGAAGUAUAAGGUUAUGAACUGGUUCUCCCGGGCCUCCUCGGUUACGGGUGCCAGUCCGCCCCAAUAGGAUUUGAGGCGUGACAGGCACCCCCGUACCCCUGGCCCACCCCUCAAAUCGUGGUCUAUAGCACACCAAUUUGGUCUAAAAAUGCCCCGUUCGCGCCGUUUAUCCCGUCUAACCACCCAAAUGGCCUCGAAAAAAUAUACAGACUAUACUGGGAUGAUCCCCAAUCUCCCUGGCAUACCUCGGUCGAUUGUUUGCCCACGGAACUCCCAAAACCCGAGCCCAUCCCUUAAAUCAUGGGCUAUAGCACACCGAUUUGGACCAAAAAUGCCCCGCUCGCAUCGUUUCUCCCGUUUGACCACACAAAUAACCUCGAAUAAAUAAACAAACCAUACUGAGAUAAUCUCCAACCUCCUUGGCACGCCAUGAUUGAUUUUUGACCUACAACACCCCUGGAUCCUAGGUCCACCCGCAAAACCGUGGGUUAUAGCAGACCUAUUUGGCCCCAAAAUACCCCGUUCACGUUGUUUCGCCCAUUUUACCAUCCAAAUGGCCUCGAAUAAAUAAAUGAACCAUACUGGGAUGAUUUCCAACUUUCCUGGCAUGCCUCGGUCAAUUUUCGGCUCACUAUACCCCUGGACCCUUGGCCCACCCCUAAAAUUAUGGGCUAUAGCACUACGAUUUAUCCCGAAAAUGCACGAUCCGCUCCGUUCGCUCGUUUGAUUAUCCAAAUAGCCUUGACUAAAUAAAAGAAUUACACUGGGAUGAUCCCCAACCUCUCUGACAUGCCCCGGUUGAUUUUUGGCCCACGACUCCCCAAAUUUCGAGCCCAUCCCCAAAACCGUAGGCUAUAUAGCACACUGUUUUGGCCUAAAAAUACCCUAUUUAUGCUGUUUCACCCGUUUGGCCACUCAAAUGGCCUCGAAUAAAUAAACGAACCACACUGUGUAGAUCCUCAACCUCCCCAGCAUGACUCAGUCUAUUUUUGGCACACGACACCUCGGACCCCAGGCCCACCCCUAUAUCAUGAAAAUACCUUGUUUGCACCGUUUCGCCUGUUUGACUACCCAAAUUUGCCUCGAAUGAAUAAAUGAACCAUAGUGGGAUUUUUUCUAACCUCCCUGGCAUGCCUCGAUUCAUUGUUGGCCUAUUACACGCCCGAACCCACCAUCGAAAUCGUGGGCUAUCGCAUAUUGAUUUGACUUAAAAUUGCCCUGUUCGUGCCGUUUUGCCCUUUUGACCACCAAAAUAUCCCCAAAUAAAUAAACGAACCACACUGGGAUGAUACCCAACCUCCUUGGCAUGCCCUGAUCAAUUUUUAGCCCACGGCACCCCCAAACCUCGGGCCCACCCCCAAAACCGUAGACUAUAGCAUAUCGAUUAGGCCUGAAAAUGCCCCGUUAGCAUUAUUUCGCCCGUUUUACCACCCAAAUGGCCUCGAAUAAAUAAACAAACCAUACUAGGAUGAUCCCCAACCUUUCCGGCACACCUCGAUCAAUUUUUGACCCACGACACCCCUAGACCCCAGGCCCACUCCAGAAAUUAUGGGCUAUAACACACCGAUUUAUCCCCAAAAUGCCCUAUUCACGUUGUUUUGCUUGUUUGACCAUUUAAAUGGAUUCGAAUAAAUUAAUAAACCAGACUAAGAUGAUCAAUAACCUCCCUGGCAUGUCCCGAUCGACUUUUGGCCAACCGCACCACCAGAACCUGGGCCCACUCCCGAAAUUGUGGACAAUAACACAUCGAUUUGUCUAAAAAAUUCCCCAUUCACGUCGUUUAGCCUAUUUGACCAUCCAAAUGGACUUGAAUAAAUAAACGAACAACACUGGGACGAUUCACAACCUCCCUAGCAUGCCUCGAUCUAUUUCCGAAACACGACACCCCCGGACCCCGGGCCCACCCCCAAAAUCGUGCACUAUAGCACACUAAUUUUGCCCAAAAAUAAUUGCUUUGCGUUGUUUCACCUGUUUGACCAUCCAAAUGGCCUCGAAUAAAUAAACGGACCACACUGAAUGAUCCCCAACCUCCCUGGCAUGCCUCAACCAAUUUUUGACCCACGACACCCCCGAACCCCGGGACCACUACCAAAACUGUGAGCUAUAACACACCAAUUUGGCCUGAAAAUGCCCCGUUUAUGCCGUUUUACCCAUUUGACUACCCAAAAUAUCCUUGAAUAAAUAAAAAAAACCACACUGCGACGAUCCCCAACCUCUCUGGCAUACCCCGGUUGAUUUUUGGCCCACGUCACCCCCAAACCCUAGGCUACCCCCGAAGUCGUAGGCUUUAGCUUGAAUACACCCGUUUGCAUCGUUUGACCACCCAAAUGGCCUCGAAUAAAUAAACGAACCCUGGCAUCCUCAGUCAAUUCUUCACCCACGACACCUAUUUUGCGGAGAAAUUUUGACUUUUUGAGAAGAGUUACCACUUAAUUUUAAAAAAAAAUUAAGAAACCUGUAAAGAGUUACUUCAAACGAUCUAAAACCAAAAAAUCAUUUAAGUUAAGAGAUUCUGAAUAAGCGGUUCUUAUUAACGUUUUAGGAAGGUGUUAGGCACCUAAAAUGUCUUCGAUUAACUUCUGAAAUUUGAUUCAUUGAAAAAUGGUUGGUUUGCAAAAAAUUAAGUUUUAGCAAAUUCAUUAGGGGAUUUAACUAGGUUCGUAAAAGGCAUGCAAAACAAAUAAUCAAAAAGAAAGGGGAAGAGAGGAGAAGUAAUGAUUUAGGAUUUGAAGCCCAAACUAUUAAGCCUGUCCUAAUCUAGUUGGGUUUUCAACCUAUUUUUCCUCUCACCUGUCCUAUUUCUAUGUUUUCUGGCCCUUUGGCUCGAGUUUUCACUUUACCUGUAUUAAAUACAACUUUGGCUUCGAGGCCCAAAUGAAUGAAAAAUGAAUAAACAAAAUAAAAUAAAUAAUAAAUAAUAAAAAAACAACAACACUAAUUAAACAAAAUGAAAUAAUAAAUGAGACUUUUGUCACUUAGCCGCUUCAAAUACGGGACUUUAACCCGUUCCUUUUCUUUCGACUCUUUGUAUUUGCGCGCUAUUUAUCCGGCUUUGGGCUCUUUUUCUGGAUUGACCCAACAAGAUGGGCCUCACUGGCCCAUGAUGAAUGUGCAAGAGGGAGAGAGUUCAUGUAGGACUCAGUCGAAAGUAGGAGAGAUUAAUGUGCAGGCCCGAAGCGCAGUACACCAUACAGAUAUCCAACACAACAAAUCAAUAACAAAAGACAUGGAAUUAUUGUAAUUUUAAACAACAUAGCAAAUAGUAUGCAAAAGUAUAGAAAGUAAAAGAAACGCAAUUAUGGCUAGCACCAAUAUAUAAAUGAAACAUUUAAGACUACAUUUGUAAGAAUACUCAUAAACAGGAAUAAGCAAAUAAGGAGACGUACAAUAGAAUUGGGAAUUUAAAAUAAAUCUCUUAAGCGACCUAUUCAUAACACUAGUUGGGGAAAGAGCCAUUCUUUUCAGAGAGAUAAACCAGAGCCCCUCCCUGUACAAUUUCUUCAAAAAGGAUACAACUCCUAAACAUACCAUACCAAAAAUCGGAUAGCUUGGAACAGCGAACAACGAAAUACAAUAAUGACUUACUUAAGAAAGAGUGAAUGAAACUUGACAUAAGAGUUGUUCAAACAAGCCAAGACUCAAUAAGUUUGGAAGUUGAAGAAUAAGCAUAUUUGCACUACAGUGAGCAAGUAAGUAGCAGACCCCUGAGCAGCUAAGAAGGUCUUAAUAAUUAUCAAUCGAAUCGAAACAUGAAACUUUAAUCGCAGAAGACAGAUAAAAAAAAUUUUUGAACAGCCUGAAACUUCAAAAAAAACAUGAAACUUUAAACACGAAACCAACUUCAGUAGGAUACUAGCGAUCCGAAACAGAUCGAAGAACCUAAGACCUUAGCUAACAAACCCGCGUUAACAAGAUACUAGUUAUUCCAAACAACAAUCAGAAGCACGAACUUCACAAAAAUGUAUGGUCCUUAAGACCUCAACAACAAACAAAGCCAGCAACCAUGAUUAUACACAACAUAGCUAUACGGCUAAAAUGCUACAGCAGCAUCGCUUAGAAGAAUAAAGAAAAAGAAGAACGCAUUUUGAAACCAAAAGAGAUGAAGGGUUACCUGCUUCGGGGCAGCAAAACAGGACUCCCAAGCUAAUAUUAGACUCCAACACCACCGAAAAUCGGACCCUCUAGAAUGAUGAGUAAUUGACAACUCGAAAUAAACUUAUUGGAAAAUCAAAGUUUUACUGCGUUUUCUUCUUCCCCUCCCAGACCCUAAAGAAACAUGUUUCCAACCUAGAUUUAAACAGUAACCCCUUUCCCAAAGAAAGAUCUCCCCAAGCUUCUAACUCCAGAAACUUUUAUUCAAAUUUUCGAACCGUCGCCUCUUCGAGAAAAGAACCCCCAGAAAACCUCUCCAAAUCCCUUACUUUGAAUCAAAAUCGACCCAAACCCUAAAUUUCUCCACUCUUAGAACCUUAGAGCUCCCAGAAAAAUCCUCCUCUUCAGACCCUAAAGAGAGCUAUUUAUAGAAGGGGGGGUUGAGGGUUCGUUUUGAAUCCUCACAAAUCGCACCCCUAUUGUUCUUCUUGAACGGAUUUUCAACAGAUGGCCAACAACCAUUGGGGCAAAAUGAACGAAUGAAAAUUUGCCGAACAGGUAUGAAUCCGAAAAUCACGGAAUUCGGACGUUGGGGGUAACACCUCACUCUCUUUCUAGAAGAUUUCGUACCAAAAUCAUGUGGGAAAGCACGCGACUGUGAAGAGGAAGCAGAAAACGGGUUGAGAUAAGGGGAAUCGGGGGGGAAAUAGGUUGGGGUUUUGCAUGGUUGUUUUCGCAUUGCUGUUGGUGUAGCUUGUACGCGGUUUUUGUCGUGGCUGUUGUUUGUUUUUGGUGAGCUAUAAGCAGCUUUUGCUUAUUGAAGAAGAAAGGAUUAAAUGGUGUGGGCCGGGUAGGUUUUGUAGAUGUUUGUGCUGUUGAAAUUCGGGGCUAAUUUGGCAAAGUCAAAAGGAAAUUGGGCUUGGGCUUGUUAAUUUGAAGAGUGGCUUGGCAAUUUAAAAACUGAAAUUGAGGUUAUUAUAACACACCAAUUUGGCCUGAAAAUGCCCCGUUUAUGCCGUUUUACCCAUUUGACUACCCAAAAUAUCCUUGAAUAAAUAAAAAAAACCACACUGCGACGAUCCCCAACCUCUCUGGCAUACCCCGGUUGAUUUUUGGCCCACGUCACCCCCAAACCCUAGGCUACCCCCGAAGUCGUAGGCUUUAGCUUGAAUACACCCGUUUGCAUCGUUUGACCACCCAAAUGGCCUCGAAUAAAUAAACGAACCCUGGCAUCCUCAGUCAAUUCUUCACCCACGACACCUAUUUUGCGGAGAAAUUUUGACUUUUUGAGAAGAGUUACCACUUAAUUUUAAAAAAAAAUUAAGAAACCUGUAAAGAGUUACUUCAAACGAUCUAAAACCAAAAAAUCAUUUAAGUUAAGAGAUUCUGAAUAAGCGGUUCUUAUUAACGUUUUAGGAAGGUGUUAGGCACCUAAAAUGUCUUCGAUUAACUUCUGAAAUUUGAUUCAUUGAAAAAUGGUUGGUUUGCAAAAAAUUAAGUUUUAGCAAAUUCAUUAGGGGAUUUAACUAGGUUCGUAAAAGGCAUGCAAAACAAAUAAUCAAAAAGAAAGGGGAAGAGAGGAGAAGUAAUGAUUUAGGAUUUGAAGCCCAAACUAUUAAGCCUGUCCUAAUCUAGUUGGGUUUUCAACCUAUUUUUCCUCUCACCUGUCCUAUUUCUAUGUUUUCUGGCCCUUUGGCUCGAGUUUUCACUUUACCUGUAUUAAAUACAACUUUGGCUUCGAGGCCCAAAUGAAUGAAAAAUGAAUAAACAAAAUAAAAUAAAUAAUAAAUAAUAAAAAAACAACAACACUAAUUAAACAAAAUGAAAUAAUAAAUGAGACUUUUGUCACUUAGCCGCUUCAAAUACGGGACUUUAACCCGUUCCUUUUCUUUCGACUCUUUGUAUUUGCGCGCUAUUUAUCCGGCUUUGGGCUCUUUUUCUGGAUUGACCCAACAAGAUGGGCCUCACUGGCCCAUGAUGAAUGUGCAAGAGGGAGAGAGUUCAUGUAGGACUCAGUCGAAAGUAGGAGAGAUUAAUGUGCAGGCCCGAAGCGCAGUACACCAUACAGAUAUCCAACACAACAAAUCAAUAACAAAAGACAUGGAAUUAUUGUAAUUUUAAACAACAUAGCAAAUAGUAUGCAAAAGUAUAGAAAGUAAAAGAAACGCAAUUAUGGCUAGCACCAAUAUAUAAAUGAAACAUUUAAGACUACAUUUGUAAGAAUACUCAUAAACAGGAAUAAGCAAAUAAGGAGACGUACAAUAGAAUUGGGAAUUUAAAAUAAAUCUCUUAAGCGACCUAUUCAUAACACUAGUUGGGGAAAGAGCCAUUCUUUUCAGAGAGAUAAACCAGAGCCCCUCCCUGUACAAUUUCUUCAAAAAGGAUACAACUCCUAAACAUACCAUACCAAAAAUCGGAUAGCUUGGAACAGCGAACAACGAAAUACAAUAAUGACUUACUUAAGAAAGAGUGAAUGAAACUUGACAUAAGAGUUGUUCAAACAAGCCAAGACUCAAUAAGUUUGGAAGUUGAAGAAUAAGCAUAUUUGCACUACAGUGAGCAAGUAAGUAGCAGACCCCUGAGCAGCUAAGAAGGUCUUAAUAAUUAUCAAUCGAAUCGAAACAUGAAACUUUAAUCACAAAAGUCAGGUAAAAAAAAAUAAUUCCAACAGCCUGAAACUUUAAACACGAAACCAACUUCAGUAGGAUACUAGCGAUCCGAAACAGAUCGAAGAACCUAAGACCUUAGCUAACAAACCCGCGUUAACAAGAUACCAGUUAUUCCAAACAACAAUCAGAAGCACGAACUUCACAAAAAUGUAUGGUCUUUAAGACCUCAACAACCAACAACGCCAGCAACCACGAUUAUACACAACAUAGCUAUACGGCUAAAAUGCUACAGCAGCAUCGCUUAGAAGAAUAAAGAAAAAGAAGAACGCAUUUUGAAACCAAAAGAGAUGAAGGGUUACCUGCUUCGGGGCAGCAAAACAGGACUCCCAAGCUAAUAUUAGACUCCAACACCACCGAAAAUCGGACCCUCUAGAAUGAUGAGUAAUUGACAACUCGAAAUAAACUUAUUGGAAAAUCAAAGUUUUACUGCGUUUUCUUCUUCCCCUCCCAGACCCUAAAGAAACAUGUUUCCAACCUAGAUUUAAACAGUAACCCCUUUCCCAAAGAAAGAUCUCCCCAAGCUUCUAACUCCAGAAACUUUUAUUCAAAUUUUCGAACCGUCGCCUCUUCGAGAAAAGAACCCCCAGAAAACCUCUCCAAAUCCCUUACUUUGAAUCAAAAUCGACCCAAACCCUAAAUUUCUCCACUCUUAGAACCUUAGAGCUCCCAGAAAAAUCCUCCUCUUCAGACCCUAAAGAGAGCUAUUUAUAGAAGGGGGGGUUGAGGGUUCGUUUUGAAUCCUCACAAAUCGCACCCCUAUUGUUCUUCUUGAACGGAUUUUCAACAGAUGGCCAACAACCAUUGGGGCAAAAUGAACGAAUGAAAAUUUGCCGAACAGGUAUGAAUCCGAAAAUCACGGAAUUCGGACGUUGGGGGUAACACCUCACUCUCUUUCUAGAAGAUUUCGUACCAAAAUCAUGUGGGAAAGCACGCGACUGUGAAGAGGAAGCAGAAAACGGGUUGAGAUAAGGGGAAUCGGGGGGGAAAUAGGUUGGGGUUUUGCAUGGUUGUUUUCGCAUUGCUGUUGGUGUAGCUUGUACGCGGUUUUUGUCGUGGCUGUUGUUUGUUUUUGGUGAGCUAUAAGCAGCUUUUGCUUAUUGAAGAAGAAAGGAUUAAAUGGUGUGGGCCGGGUAGGUUUUGUAGAUGUUUGUGCUGUUGAAAUUCGGGGCUAAUUUGGCAAAGUCAAAAGGAAAUUGGGCUUGGGCUUGUUAAUUUGAAGAGUGGCUUGGCAAUUUAAAAACUGAAAUUGAGGUUAUUUAAUUGAUAACCUCAAUCAAAUUAAGAAUUAGUCAAAUCCAUUUAAAUUUUAACCAAAUUGAAGUCAAUUGGCCAAUUGCAUUGCAAUUGAAGUCAAUUUUAUUUCAAUUAUAGUCACUUUAAUAGAUUGACCAAAUUAAACCGAAACCCGAUACAAAUUAAUACCUCACUUAAUCUCGAGCUUCUUGGUUUAACAAAAUCAAAUGCAUAUUUAUCCAAAUAAAAUUAUUUUGAGAAUAAAUUACGUUUAAAUCAAGAUUAUAAUUAUUUAUUUAUUUUUCAAAUAAUCCUUAAUUUAAAGCCUAAUUUGAUGAAAAUGUUCAUUUAAAUGACAUCAUUUUUACAAUCUCGUAUAUGCAAAUACGAAAAUAUAUAACUACCACUUAAAUGAUAAAAUUAGCCCAAAUACCUAUUUUAAAAUGUAUUUAUUUGGAAAAAUAAUUGUUGUGAUUUUAUUUGAAAAUCGAAGAAGCUCGAGAUUAAACGUAGUUGUGGAGGGAAAAAAUUAGGUGUCAACAACUGCCCCAUCCCUUUGAGUAGGAUGGAUGCAAGUAAUCCUAGGCAAAGGGAGGUUGACAUUCCUAAUUUUUGUCCGACCAUAGAUUCAAAUAUGAAAGAGGCUGAUUUUUCGCACGAGUUUCAUGGAAUUAUGGCCGAACCUCGGUAUCAAGUUUCUUACAUAUCUCAGGUUUCAUGAGAAUUCAGGGCACUUGUAGUUCAUAAAGCUUGAUUUUGAGCAUGAUUUUCAAAAAAUUCACAAGUUAUCUCGAUUUUAGAGUUUUUGAUAAAACCGAGAAACUGGGGAAUAAAGGAAUUAUGGGGGAGGUUGGAAUGCAGUCGAGUUUUCUACACAGAGCCCAGCCUACAUAUCCCUUAUACUCAGAGAAUCAGACGGUUUCAGGGGUGGGCCCAAGGUCCGAGCAUGCUGCAUGCCAAAAAUUGAUUGGGACAUGCCAGGGAGGUUGGGUAUCAUCCUAGUUAGAUCCGUUUAAUUUUUUGUGGCCAUUUUAAUGGACAAACGGGCGAUACAGUGUGAAUGGGGCAUUUUCGAGCCAAAUCAGUAUGCUAUAGCCCACGGCUUCGGGGUUGGCCCUGGGGUCCGAGCGUGCUGUGGGUCAAAAAUUAAUCGGGUCGUGCUAGAGAGGUUAGGGAUCGUCCCAGUGAGGUCUGUUUAAUUUUUUAUGGCCAUUUGGGUGGUCAAACGGGCAAAACGGUGCGAACGGGGCAUUUUCGGAGCAAAUCGGUGAUCUAUAGCCCAUGGUUUUAGGGGUGGACCCAGGAUCCGGGCAUGCUGUGGGCCAAAAAUUGAUCGGGGCAUUCCAGGAAGGUUGAAGAUCAUCCCAAUGUUGUCCAUUUAAUUUUUCAUGGCUAUUUGGGUGGACAAACGAGCGAAACGGUGCGAACGAAGCAUUUUCAUGCCAAAUCGAUGUGCUAUAGCCCACGGUUUCAGUGGUUGUCCCAGGUUCAGGGUGUGCGGUCAGCCAAAAAUCAAUCGGGGCGUGUUAGAGAGGUUGGGGAUUAUCCCAGUAUGGUCCGUUUAAUUUUCCAUUACCAUUUGGGUGGACAAACAGAUGAAACGGGGUGAACAGGACAUAUUCGGGCCAAAUCGGCGUGCUAUAGCCCACGAUUUUGGGGGUGGGCCUGGGGUUCGGGCGUGCUGUGGGCUGAAAAUCAAACGGCUUAUGUCAGGAAGGUUAGGGAUUGUCCCAGUGUGGUUCGUUUAAUUUUUCAUGGUCAUUUGGGUGGACAAACGAGUGAGACGGCGCAAACUGGGCAUUUUCGAGCCAAAUGGGUGUGCUAUAGCCCACAGUUUUGGGGGUGGGCCAAGGGUCCAGGCGUAUUGUGGGCAAAAAAUCGAUCGGGGCAUGCCCGGGAGGCUGGGGAACAUUCUAGCAUGGUCCGUUUAAAUUUUCAUGGCCAUUUGAUUGGACAAACGGGUGAAACGGUACGAAAGGGGCAUUUUCAAGUCAAAUCAGUGUGCUAUAGCCCACGAUUUUGUGGGUAGGCCCGGGGUCCGGACGUACUGUGGGUUGAUAAUUGACUGAGGCGUGUCAGAGAGGUUGGGGAUCAUCCCAGUAUGGUCCGUUUAAAUUUUUGUAGAUAUUUGGGUGGAAAAACGGGCGAAACGGUGCGCACGGGGCAUUUUUGCACAAAAUUGGUGUCCUAUACCCCACGGUUUCAGGGAUAGGCCUGGGGUCCGGGCGUACUAUGUGCCAAAAAUUGACAGGGGCGUGCCAUGGAGGUUGGGGAUAAUCCCAGUAUGGUCCGUUUAAUUUUCUGUAGCCAUUUGAGUGGACAAACGGAUGAAACAUCAUGAACGGGGCAUUUUCUGGCCAAAUCGGUGUGCUAUAGCCUAUAGUUUCUAGGGUGAGCUUGGGCUCCGGGCGUGCUGUGGGCCGAAAAUUGACCGGGGCAUGCCAGGGAGGUUGAGGAUCAUCCCAGUGUGGUCCGUUUAAUUUUCUGUGGCCAUUUGAGUGGACAAACGGAUAAAACGGUGCGAACGGGGCAUUUUAGGAAAAUCGGUGUGCUAUAGCUUACGGUUUCGGAGGUGCGCCCAGGGUCUGGGCGUGCUGUGAGCUGAAAAUCGACUGGGUGUGCCAGGGAGGUUGGGGAGCAUUCUAGUGUGGUCCAUUUAAUUUUUCGUGGCUAUUUUUGUGGACAAACAGGAGAAACGGCGGGAACAGGGCAUUUUCGAGCCAAAUUGGUGUGCUAUGGCCUACGGUUUUGAGGGUGAGCCUGGGGUCCAGGCGUGUUGUGGGCCAAAAAUUGACCGAGGCAUGCCAAGGGGUUGGGGAUCAUCCCAGUAUGGUCCGUUUAAUUUUUUAUGGCCAUCUGGAUGGACAAACGGGCAAAACGGCGCAAAUGGUGCAUUUUCAGGCCAAAUCGGUGUGCUAUAGGCCACAGUUUUAGGGGUGGGCUCGAGGUUCGAUAGACCAGGGCGCUCCAGGGAGGUUGGGGAUCAUCCCAAUGUGGUCCAUUUAAAUUUUUGUGGCUAUUUGAUUAGACAAAUGGUUGAAGCGGCGUGAACGGAGCAUUUUCUAGCGUGCUAUAGCCCACGGUUUUGGGGGUGGGCCCUGGGUCCGGGCGUGCUGUGGGUCAAAAAUUGAUCGGUCCAUGUUUUGUGGCUAUUUUAGUGGACAAACGAGCAAAACGGCACAAACUAGGCAUUUUCGAGCCAUGCAAUAGCCUACGAUUUUAGGGGUUGGCCCGGGGAGUGGGCGUGCUGUGGGACAAAAAUUAACUGGGGCAUUACAAGUAGGUUGGUGAUCAUUCCAGUGUGGUUCAUUUAAUUUUUCAUGGCCAUUUGGGUGGACAAACGGGUGAAACGGUAUGAAUAGGGCAUUUUUGAGCCAAAUCAGUGUGCUAUAACCCACGAUUUUAGAGGUUGGCCCGGGGUCCAAGCAUGCUGUGGGUUGAAAAUUGAUCGAGGCAUGCCAGAGAGGUUGGGGAGUAUCUCAGUAAGGUCUGUUUAAAUUUUCAUGGACAUUUGGGUGGAUAAACGGGCGAAACGGCGCGAAGGGGGCAUUAUUGGGCCAAAUCGAUGUGCUAUAACCCACAGUUUUGGGGGUGGGUCUUGCUUUUGGGCGUGUUGUGGGCUAAAAAUUGACUGGAACAUGACAGGGAGGUUGUGGAUCGUCCUAGUAUAGUCCGUUUAACUUUUCAUGUCUAUUUGGGUUGACAAAUGGGUGAAACAGAGCAAACGGGGCAUUUUCGGGCCAAAUCGGUGUGCUAUAGCCUAUAGUUUUGGGGGUGGGGCUGGGGUAUGGGUGUACUCUGGACCAAAAAUCGACUGGGGCAUGUCAGGGAGGUCGGGGAUUGUCCUAGUAUGGUCCCUUCAAUUUUUUAUGGCUAUUUGGGUGGACAAACGGGCGAAACGGCCUGAACGGGGCAUUUUCGGCCCAAAUCGGUGUGCAAUAGACUAUGGUUUUGCAGUGGGCCCAAGGUCCGGGCGUGCAGUGUGUCAAAAAUCGACCGGGGUGUGCCAGGGAGAUUGGGGAUCGUCCCAGUGUGGUCCGUUUAAAUUUUCAUGGCAAUUUGGGUGGACAAACGGACAAAAUGAUGCGGACGGGGCAUUUUUGGGCUAAAUCAGUGUGCUAUAGCCCACGAUUUUGGGGGUGCGCCAGGGGUUCGGGCGUGCUGUAAGCAGAAAAUCGAUCGGGGCAUGCCAGGGAUGUUGGGUAUCAUCCUAGUGUGGUCCAUUUAAUUUUUCGUGGCCAUUUGGGUGGACAAAGUGGAGAAAUAAUGCAAACGGGAUAUUUUUAGGCCAAAUUAGAGUGUUAUACACCACGGUUUUGGGGGUGGGCCUGGGGUCUAGGUGUUGUGGGCGGAAAAUCGACCGAGGCGUACCAUGGAGGUUGGGGAUCAUCCCAGUGUGGUCCGUUUAACUUUUCAUGGCCAUUUGGAUGGACAAACGGGCAAAAUAGUGCUAGUGGGGCAUUUUCGGGCCAAAUCGGUGUGUUGUAUCCCACUGUUUUGGGUCAAGGCCAGUAGUUCGGGCGUGCUGUGGGCCGAAAAUCGAGUUGGGUGUGCCAGGGAGGUUAGGGAUCAUCCCAGUAAGGUCCGUUUAAUUUUUUGUGGCCAGUUGGGUCGACUGACGGGAGAAACAACGCGAAUAGGGCAUUUUCGGGCCAAAUCGAUAUGCUAUAGCCCAUGGUUUCGGUGGUUGGCUCGGGGUCUGAGCGUACUGUCGGCCAAAAAUUGAUCGAGGCCUGCCAAGGAGGUUGGGUAUCAUCCCAAUGUGGUCCGAUUAAUUUUUUGUUGCCAUUUAGGUCGACAAACGAGCAAAACGGGGCAAAUGGGGCAUUUUUGGGCUAAAUUGGUAUGCUAUAGGCCACAGUUUUAGGGGUGGGCCCAGGAUCCGGGCGUGCUGUGGUCCGAUAAUUUACCAGGGCAUGCCAAGAAGGUUGGGUAUCAUCCCAGUAUGGUCUGUUUAAAUUUUUGUGGCCAUUUGAUUGGACAAACGAGUGAAACGACAUGAAUGGGCCAUUUCUGAGCCAAAUUGGUGUGCUAUAGCCGACGAUUUCGUUGGUGGGCUCAGUAUUCGGGUGUGCUGUGGGCCAAAAAUUGCCCCGGGCAAGCCAGGAAAGUUGGGGAUCGUCCUAGUAUGGUCCAUUUAUAUUUUAGUGGAUAUUUGGGUGGAAAAACGGGCGAUAUUGCGCGAAUGGGGCAUUUUUGGGCCAAAUCGGUGUGCUAUAGACGACGGUUUCAUGGGUGGACCUGGGGUUCGGGCAUGCUGUGGGCCGAAAAUCAAUCGGAGCGUGCCAGGGAAGUUGGAGAUCGUCCCAAUAUGGUCCAUUUAAUUUUUUAUGGCCAUUUGGGUAGACAAACGGGUGAAACGGCACGAAUGGGGUAUUUUCGGGCCAAAUCAGUGUGCUAUUGCUAAUGGUUUUGGGGGUUGGCCCGGGAUCUGGGCGUGCUAUAGGUCAAAAAUCAACUGGGCCGUGCUAGGGAGGUUGGGGAUCGUCCCAGUGUGGUCCGUUUAAUUUUUCGUGGCCAUUUGGGUGGACAAACGGACGAAACAAUGUGAACUGGGUAUUUUCGGGCCAAAUUGAUAUGCUAUUGCCCAUGAUUUCAGGGGUGGGCUCGAGGUCCGGGCCUGCUGUAUGACAAAAAUUGAUUGGGGCAUGCCAGGGAGGUUGGGGAUCAUCCCAAUAUGGUCCGUUUAAUUUUUCGUGGCUAUUUGGGUGGAAAAAUAGGCAAAACGGCAUGAACGGAGCAUUUUUGGGCCAAAUCGGUGUGCUAUAGCCCAUGAUUUUGGGGGUGGGCCCGGGGUAUGGUGUGUUAUAGGCCAAAAAUUUAUCGGGGCAUGCUAGGGAGGUUUGGGAUCGUGUCACGCCCCAAAAUCCCAUCGGGCCGGACUGGCACCCGAAGCCGAGAAGGCCCGGGAGAACCCGUUCAAAUACCUGUACUUUCACUUACAUGUCACCAAAAAAAAAUUGGACAGCACGUCGUUGCAUAUAGAAAGGUCUAAUUACCUGUAUCAGCACAACACACACAAAUAUAUAUAUAUAAUACUUGGCCGUCGGGGCCACCACAUAUACAAAUAUAACGUUACUAUAUAAACUUCCAUGACUUUACCCUUCCUUAUGUCUACAAAGCCUCUAGGAUAUACAUGACAUAACUAGGGUCGGGACAAACCCCCGCCCACACGUGACUCAUGUACAAUAACAAAACAUAAGGAACCGACUCGGAAAGCUCCGAAGCAAACUGGAGCUCACCAACAAUAGCUGUAUGACCUGGCUCCUACUUGUGCGGUGUAUGAGUUGAGGUACCUGUGCCUGCAGCAUGAAAUGCAGGUCCCCCGUGAGGGACGUCAGUACGAAAUAUGUACUGAGUAUGUAAAGCUGUAAAUAAUCACAUAUGAUAUAGGAGCUCAAUAGAAAUCAGAAACAAGUGAAUAAGUCGUAAUAGGAGUGGACCACACUUACUAGAACUUGUGACAACCUGUACAUUGUAUUUAUUCAAUCACUUUACCUUCGUUCUUAUCGUCUUUGUAAUCAUUACUGUACUGUACUGUGACCAUUAGGAUGCCUCCAGUACAUAUCAACUGGGAUCGACCCAUGCUAGGCUUAUGCCCCUGGGAUACCACCCAUAAACACAUGAAAUAGGGAUCGACCCAUGCUAGGCUUAUGCCCCUGGGAUACCACCCGAUAAGAGAGAACUUUCAUCACUUAGUUCAAUUAAUCUUUGAGAUUGUUAUUUCGGUCGUCACCACAUUUUUGAUACCUUGAAACAAUGAUACAUCAAUAGGAACCAAGUAAUAGACCUUCUAUACAAUAACGAUGUAAUAAGGACUCAUUGGUACAUCAACAAUAUGUUUCAGAAUCAUCAAUAUCACAACAAUGAAAUAAGAGCCUUUUGGUAUAUCAAUGAACAUUUUGACACUUUAUAGGAUGGAAACAACUUCGUUGGUAACGUAGAACAAUACAUGUUUUUGGACAACCUCGGAAUCUUACUUGAUGGAACAUUGGUGUUUUCAUGCCAAAGAACAUUGUUAGAGUAUGCUUUACAUACCUCGUUGUAGAUUCAGAUACCAAUUCAACACAACUUCCCGCCUUUACAAAUCACUUAUCUACAAUGAAAUGUUUGGCAUCUAGUAUUAGCAACCCAACACCACAAUUCUCUUCCAUAAUUCCAUACUACCAAUAUUUGCAAAACAUUCCAAAAACCAACUUGAACAAUAGGUUUAUGUGUGUAUAUGUAUAUAAUCAUCAUCUCAAUACCACAUCAUCAAUACCACAUCAUCACCCCAAAUUCCUUCACAAUUUAACAUAAUCCAACCAUGCACAAGAAUAAUCCAACAUCAUUUCCAAUCAUCUUUCAACAACAAUCAAAUAACAUACUUCUUAUGCUCACAUGCAUAUAUAUAUAUAUAUACAUAUCCAUAUAAAUAACACCAACAUAAUUUACAUCCUUACCAAAAAAAAUGGCCCUUUUGAUUUCGAAGUCCUGUUGGCACAAAUAAGGGGUGCUUCUCGAAGCCCUUGAGACGGUGAACACAACUACGGAAUCAAUUUGGAUUUUCUACGGUUGAAUCACAAGAUAAUUGGAGUUGAACUUAGGCUAGGGUUUCUUAUUCUUCAAUGAUUUGGAUGAUAAAUGGUGGAUAUAAGGCUAAGUAUAUGUAUAUAAUGACCAAUUUUCGUCCAUGAGGUGAUGGAAAAUGACCAUAUUGCCCUUAAAAAUUUAAGUAAAUCCGAAUCUGUCCAUGGUGGACUGUUUUGAUAGGCUAAAGUAAAUCGGCCAUAACUCUUUGCUCCGAUAUCGGAUUUGGGUGAAAUUGGUAUCGUUAGAAAGAUAAUUCAAAGGUAUUUCAUUUAAUAUAAAUUAAUCCACCCAGUUCGUCCUGUACAAGUAGUUAUGAUCGUUUGAAGUUGACCCUAAAAAUCUGUUUUGAGAGGCUGAAGUAAAACGAGUAUAACUCCUUACUCAGAUGUUGGAUUUGGAUGAAACCAAUUUCAUUGGAAAGAAGACUCAAAGAUCUUUCUUUUGAUAUAUGGUAGCUCAACCAGUUCAUUAUAUUGAGGGAGUUAUGAUCGUUCAAAGUUGACCCAAAAAACUGGCAGGCCUCAGUAGUUUCCUGCACAUUUUACUGUUCACAUCCCGGCCACCGUUUUAAAGUUUCGAACGAGCUCGCUUAUAUCCGAAACUUAUCCGUUUUUGGAAAUCUUUAUAUCGUUGGAAAGCUUAUUCAAUAACCUUCGUAUGGAACCAUCGACGGGAAAAUUCCGAUAUAAAUAAAGUCGAUUCCUAUACACCUAUAAUCAAACUAUACACUUGAAACCAUCUCAAAAUAAUCAAUACUCAUACUUAAACUCAUAUAUACCUAACUUAGGAUCAAUACAUAUACCCCAACACAUAUAACAAUGACUAAUGCACGUAAUUAAGUACGGGGUGUUACAGAUAGUCCCAAUGUGGUCAGUUUAAUUUUUCGUGGCCAUUUGGGUGGACAAAUGAGCGAAACGGCACGAACGGGGCAUUUUUAGGCCAAAUCGGUAUGCUAUAGCUUAUGAUUUUAGGGGUGGGACCGAGGUUCGGGCGUGUUGUGGGUCGAAAAUCAACAGUAGCGUGCCAAGGAGGUUGGAGAUUAUCCCAAUAAGGUCCGUUAAUUUUUGGUGGCCAUUUGGGUGGACAAACAAUCAAAACGGCGAGAACGAGGUAUAUUCGGGACAAAUCAGUUUGUUAUAGCCCACGGUUUCAGGGGUGGGCCCGGGGUCCGGGCAUGCAGUGGGCCAAAAAUUGACUGGAUCAUGGUAGGGAGGUUGGGAUUGUCCCAUUGUGGCCCGUUUAAUUUUUUGUGGCAAUUUGGGUGGACAAAUGGGUGAAACGGCUCGAACGGGGCAUUUUCAGGCCAAAUCGAGGUGCUAUAGCCCACGGCUUUGGGGGUGAACCCGGGGUCCGGGCAUGCUGUGGGUCAAAAAUCAACCAGGUGAUGCUAGGAAGUUUGGGAUCGUCCUGGUGUGGUCCGUUUAAUUUUUACUGGAUAUUUUGGUGGAAAAACGGGCAAAACGGCAUGAAUGGGGCAUUUUCAGGCCAUAUCGGUGUGCUAUAGCUCACGAUUUAGAGGGCUUGCCCGGGUUCUGGGCGUGCUGUGGGCCAAAAAUCGACCGGGGCAUUCCAGGGAUGUUGGAGAUCGUUAUGGUCCAUUUAAUUUUUUGUGGCUAUUUGGGUGGACAAACGGGCGAAAUGGUGCGAACGGGGCAUUUGUGGGCCAAAUUAGUGUGUUAUAGCCCACGAUUGCAGGGGUUGGCCUGACGUUCAGGUGUGAUAUAGGUCAAAAAUCAACUGUGGUAUGCCAGGGAGAUUGGGGAUCAUCCCAAUGUGGUCCGUUUAAUUUUUUGUUGCCAUUUGGGUGAACGGACAAAACAGUACGAAUAGGGCAUUUUCGAACCAAAUUAGUGUGCUAUCGCCCACGGCUUUGGGGGUGCACCCGAGAUCCGGGCGUGCUUGAGCUGAAAAUCAAUCGAGGGGUGCCAAGAAGGUCGGGGAUCAUCUCAGUGUGGUCCAUUUAAUACUUUGUGGCCACUUGGGUGGACAAACAGGCGAAACGGCACGAAUAGGGCAUUUUAGGGCCAAAUCAGUGUGCUAUAUAACCUAUAGUUUUUGGGGUGGGCCCAAGGUCCGAGCGUGCUGUGGACCAAAAAUUGAUUGACACGUGCCAGGGAAGUUAGGGAUCGGGCCAGUAUGGCUCUUUAAUUUUUCGGGGCCGUUUGGGUGGGCAAACGGGCGAAACAGCAGCAACGUGGCAUUUUUCGACCAAAUCGUUGUGCAAUAGCACACGGUUUCAGGGGUAGGCCAGGGGUCCGACCGUGCUGUGUGCCAAAAAUCUAUCAGGACGUGUCAGGGAGGUUGGCGAUCAUCCUAGUGUGGUCCAUUUAAUUCUCUAUGGCAAUUUUGGUGGAUAAACGGGCGAAACGGCACGAACGAGGCAUUUUUAGGCCAAAUCGAUGUACUAUAGCCCACAAUUUUAGGGGUGGGCCCGGGGUUCGAGCGUGCUGUGGGCCAAAAAUUGAUCGGGCCGUGCCAGGGAGGUUGGGGAUUAUCCCAGUGUGGUCCGUUUAAUUUUUCGUGCCCAUUUGGGUGGACAAACAGGCGAACGGUGCAAACGGGGCAUUUCAAGCCAAAUCGUUGUGCUAUAGCACACAAUUUUUGGGGUAGUCCCGGGGUUCGAGCGUGCUGUGUUCCAAAAAUCAACCAGUACAUGCCAGGGAGGUUGGGAAUCCUCCUAAUGUCGUUAAUUUAAUUUUUUGUGGCUAUUUUGGUGGACAAACGGGCGAAACGGCAUAAACUAGGCAUUUUCGAGCUAAAUCGAUAUGCUAUAGCCCAUAGUUUUGGGGGUGGACACAGGGUAUGGGCAUGUUGUGGGUCAAAAAUCGAUUGGGUCAUGCCAGGGAGGUUGGGGAUCAUCCCAGUAUGGUCUGUUUAAUGUUUUGUGGCCAUUUGGGUGGACAAACGGAUGAAACGGCACAAAUGGGGCAUUUUUUUGGCUAAUUUAGUGUGCUAUAGCCCACGGUUUCGGGGGUACGCCCGAGGUCCAGGUAUGCCGUGAGCUAAAAAUUGACCGAGGUAUGGCGGGGAGGUUGGAGAUCAUCCCAGUAUGAUCUAUUUAAUUUUUCAUGGCCAUUUGGGUGGACAAAUGAGAGAAACGACACAAAUGAGGCAUUUUAGGGCCAAAUCGGUGUGCUAUAACCUAAGGUUUCGGGGAGUGGGCCCAGGGUCCAGGCGUGCUGUGGACAAAAAAUCAACCGUGGCAUGCCAGGAAGGUUGGGGAUCGUCCCAGUGUGGUCCGUUUAAUUUUUUGUAGCCAUUUGAGUGGACAAAUGGGUAAAACAGCAUGAACGGGGCAUUUUCGAGCCAAAUCGGUGUGCUAUAGCCCAUGGUUUUGUGGGUGGGCCUGGGGUCCGGGCGUGCUAUGCACCGGAAAUCGACCGGGGCAUGCCAGAGAGGUUGGGGAUCAUCCCAAUAAGUUCCGUUUAAAUAUUCAUGGAGAAUUGGGUGGACAAACGGGCAAAACGAUGCGAACGGGGCAUUUUCAAGCCAAAUCGAUGUGCUAUAAACCAUGGUUUUAGGGGUGGGCUCGGGGUCUGGGUGUGCUGUGGGCCAAAAAUCUAUUGGGGCAUGCCACGUAGGUUGGGGAUCAUCCCAAUGUGGUUCGUUUAAUUUUUCGUGGCCAUUUGGGUGGACAAACGGGUAAAACAGCGUGCACGGGGCAUUUUUAGGCUAAAUUAGUGUGUUAUUCCCCUGGUUUCGAGGGUGGGCCCGAGGUUCGAGCGUGAUGAGGGCCAAAAAUCGAUCGGGCCAUGCCAGGGAGGUUGGAGAUCAUUCCUGUGUGGUCUGUUUAAUUUUUCGUGGCCAUUUGGAUUGACAAACGGGCGAAACAACGCGAACGGGGCAUUUUCGAGCCAAAUUGAUGUGCAAUCGCCCACGAUUUCAGGGGUGGACUCAGGGUCCGGGCGUGCUGUGUGACAAAAAUUGACCGAGGCAUGCCAGGGAGGUUGGGGAUCAUCCCAGUAUGGCUUGUUUAAUUUUUCGUGGCCACUUGGAUGGAAAAAUGAGCGAAACGGCAUGAACGGGACAAUUUUGGGCUAAAUCGGUGUGCUAUAGCCCACAGUUUUGGUGGUGUGCCGGGUCUGGCAUGCUAUAGGCUAAAAUUAGACCACCGCAUGCCAGGGAUGUUUAGGAUCGUCACAACGUGGUCCGUUUCAUUUUUCAUCAUCAUUUGGGUGGACAAACAGGCGAAACGGCGGGAACGACGCAUUUUCAGGCCAAAUCGGUGUGCUAUAGCUCACGAUUUUGGGGUUGGGCUAGGGUUCUGGGCGUGCUGUGGGCUAAAAAUAGAUCGGAGCAUUCCAGGGAUGUUGGAGAUCAUUCCAGUAUGGUCCAUUUAAUUUUUUGUGGCUAUUUGGGUGGACAAACAGGCGAAAUGGUAUGAACGGGGCAUUUGCGGGCCAAAUUGGUGUGUUAUAGCCCACGAUUGUAGAGUUGGCCCGACGUUCGGGCGUGAUGUGGGUCAAAAAUCAACCGUGGUAUGCCAGGGAGGUUGGGAUCGUCCCAGUGUGGUCCGUUUAAUUUUUUGUUGCCAUUUGGGUGAACGGACAAAACAGCACGAAUGGGGCAUUUUCGAACCAAAUCGGUCUGCUAUUGCCCACGGUUUUGGGGUUGCACCUGAGAUCCGGGCGUGCUUGAGCUGAAAAUCGAUUGGGGCAUGCCAAGUAGGUCGGAGAUCAUCCCAGUGUGGUCCAUUUAAUAUUUCGUGGCCACUUGGGUGGACAAACGGGCGAAACGGCACAAAUGGGGCAUUUUAGGGCCAAAUCAGUGUGCUAUAACCCAUAGUUUUUGGGGUGUGCCCGAGGUUCGGGCGUACCGUGGAUCAAAAAUUGAUCGAGGCGUGCCACGAAAGUUGGGGAUCGGCCCAGUGUGGUUCGUUUAAUUUUUCGUGGCUAUUUGGGUGGGCAAACGGGCGAAACAGCACCAACGGGGCAUUUUUGGGCCAAAUUGUUGUGCAAUAGCACACGGUUUCAGGGGUCCGAGCGUGUUGUGUGCCGAAAAUCUAUCAGGACCUGCCAGGGAGAUUGGGGAUCAUCCUAGUGUGGUCCGUUUAAUUUUUUAUGGCAAUUUGGGUGGAUAAACGGGCAAAACAGCAUGAACGGGGCAUUUUCGGGCCAAAUCGAUGUGCUAUAGCCCACGAUUUUGGGGGUGGGCUCGGGGUCCGAGCAUGCUGUGAGUCAAAAAUUGAUCGGGCCGUACUGGGGAGGUUGGGAUCGUCCCAGUGUGGUGCGUUUAAUUUUUCGUAGCCAUUUGGUUGGACAAACGGACAACACAGCGUGAACGAGGUAUUUUUGGGCCAAAUUGGUGUGCUCUAUAACCCAAGGUUAUGGAGGUGCGCCCAGGGUCCGGGCGUGCUGUGAGCUGAAAAUUCACUGAAGCGUGUCAGGGAGUUUGGGGAUCAUCCUAGUGUGGUCUGUUUAAUUUUUUGUGGCCAUUUGGGUGGACAAACAGGCGAAAUGACUUAAACAGGGCAUUUUUAGGCCAAAUCGAAGUGUAAUAGCCCAUGGUUUUGGUGGUGGGCCUGGGGGCCAGGUGUGUUGGACCAAAAAUUGAUCGGGGCAUGCCAUGGAGGUUGGGGAUCAUCCCAGUAUGGUCCAUUUAAUUUUUUGUGGCUAUUUGGGUGGAGAAACGGACAAAAUAGCACGAAUGGGGCAUUUUCGGGCCAAAUCGGUGUGCUGUAGCCCACAGUUUUGGGUGUGGGCCCGGAGUCCGGGCGUGCUGUGGGACGAAAAUCGACCGGGGUGUGCCAGGGAGGUUGGGGAUCAUCCCAGUAUGGUCUGUUUAAUUUUUCGUGGCUAGUUUGGUAGACCAGCGGGCAAAACGACGCGAACGAGGCAUUUUCAAGCCAAAUCAAUAUGCUAUAGCCCAUGGUUUUGGGGAUGGGCCCGGGGUCUGAGCGUGCUGUGGGCCAAAAAUUGACUGAGGCAUGACAAGCAGGUUGGGGAUCAUCCCAGUGAGGUUCGUUUAAUUUUUUGUGGCCAUUUAGGUGGACAAACGGGAAAAACGGCACGAACGGGGCAUUUUUGGGCUAAAUCGAUAUGCUAUAACCCACGAUUUUGGGGGUGGGCCUGGGGUCUGAGCGUGCUGUGGGCCAAAAAUCUACCAGGGCAUGCCAGGGAGGUUGGGAAUCGUCCCAGUGUGGUCCGUUUAAAUUUUUGUGGCCAUUUGAUUGGACAAACGGGUGAAACGGCACGAACGGAGCAUUUUCGAGCCAAAUCAGUGUGCUAUAGCCCACGGUUUCAUUGAUGGGCCCGAUAUCCGGGCGUGCUGUAGGCUAAAAAUCAAUCAGGGCAUGCCAGGGAAGUUAGGGACUGUCCCAGUAUGGUCCGUUUAUAGUUUCGUGGAUAUUUGAGAGGAAAAACAGGCGAAACGAUGCGAACAGGGCAUUUUCAGGCCAAAUUGAUAUGCUAUAAACCAUGGUUUCAGGGGUGGGCUCGGGGUCUGGGUGUGCUGUGGGCAAAAAAUCUAUCGGGGUGUGCCAGGGAGGUUGGAGAUCAUCCCAAUGUGGUCCGUUUAAUUUUUCGUGGCCAUUUGGGUGAACAAACGGGUAAAACGGCGUGCACGGGGCAUUUUCGGGCUAAAUUAGUGUGCUAUUGCCCAUGGUUUUGGGGGUGGGCCCGAGGUCCGAGCGUGAUGUGGGCCGAAAAUCGACUAGGCUAUGCCAGGGAGGUUGGGGAUCAUCCCUGUGUGGUCCAUUUAAUUUUCCGUAGCCAUUUGGGUAGACAAACGGGCGAAACAGCGCGAAUGAUGCAUUUUUGGGCCAAAUCGAUGUGAUAUCGCCCACGAUUUCAGCAGUGGGCCUGGGGUCCGGGCGUACUGUGUGAUGAAAAUUGAUCGGGGCAUGCCAGGGAGGUGUGGGAUCAUCCCAAUAUAGUCUUUUUAAUUUUUCGUAGUCAUUUGGGUGGGAAAAUAGGCGAAACGGCAUGAAAGGGGCAUUUUUGGGACAAUUCAGUGUGUUAUAGCACACGGUUUCGGGGGUGGACUCGGGGUCCGGCGUGCUGUAGGCCAAAAAUUGACCAAGGCAUGCCAAGGAGGUUUGGGAUCAUCCCAACAUGGUCCAUUUAAUUUUUUGUGGCCAUUUAGGUGGACAAACGUGCAAAACGACACAAACGGUGUAUUUUCAAGCCAAAUUAGUGUGCUAUUGUCCAUAGUUUCGAGGGUGGGCCCGAGGUCCAGGCAUGCUAUGGGAUACAAAUCGACUGGGCCGUGCCAGGGAGGUUAGAGAUCAUCCAAGUGUGGUCCGUUUAAUUUUUCAUGGCCAUUUGGAUUGACAAACGGGCGAAACGGCGCGAACGGGGCAUUUAUUAGCCAAAUUGAUGUGCUAUCGCCCACAAUUUCAGGGGUGGGCUUAGGGUCUGGGCGUGCUGUGUGACAAAAAUUGACCGGGGCAUGCUAGAGAGGUUGGGGAUCAUCCCAAUAUGACUUGUUUAAUUUUUUGUGGCCACUUGGGUUGAAAAAUGGGCGAAACGGCAUGAACGGGGCAAUUUUAGGCUAAAUCGAUGUGCUAUAGCCCACGGUUUUGGGGGUGCGCAGGGGUCUGGCGUGCUGUAGGCCGAAAUUAGACCGGCGCAUGCCAGGGAGGUUUAGGAUCGUCCCAACGUGGUCCGUUUAAUUUUUCAUUGUCAUUUGGGUGGACAAACGGGCGAAACGUUGCGAACGAGGCAUUUUCAGGCCAAAUCAAUGUGCUAUAGCUCACGAUUUUAGGGGUGGGCUAGGGUUUCGGGAGUGCUGUGGGCCAAAAAUUGAUCGGGGCAUUCCAGGGAUGUUGGAAAUCAUCUCAGUAUGGUCCAUUUAAUUUUUUGUGGCUAUUUGGGUGGACAAACGGGCGAAAUGGUGCGAACGGGGCAUUUACGGGAUAAAUCAGUGUGUUAUAGCCCACGAUUGCAGGGGUUGGCCCGACGUUCGGGCAUGAUGUAGGUCAAAAAUCAACCGUGGUAUCCAAGGGAGGUUGGGGAUCGUCCCAGUGUGGUCCAUUUAGUUUUUUGUUGCCAUUUGGGUGAACGGACAAAACAGCACGAAUGGAGCAUUUUCGAACCAAAUCAGGCUAUCGCCCACGAUUUUGGGGGUGCACCCGGGAUUCGGGCGUGCUUGCGCUGAAAAUCAAUCGGGGCAUGCCAAAAAGAUCGGGGAUCGUCCCAGUAUGGUCCAUUUAAUAUUUUGUGGCCACUUGGGUGGACAAACGGGCGAAACGACACGAAUGGGGCAUUUUAGGGCCAAAUCAGCGUGCUAUAACCCAUAGUUUUUGGGGUGGGCCCGAGGUCCGGGCGUGCUGUAGACCAAAAAUCGAUCGAGGCGUGCCAGGAAAGUUGGGGAUCGGCCCAGUGUGGUCCGUUUAAUUUGUCGUGGCCAUUUGGGUGGGCAAACGAGCGAAACAGCGCCAACGGGGCAAUUUUUGGCCAAAUCGUUGUGCAAUAGCACACGGUUUCAGGGGUAGGCCAGGGGUCCGAGCGUGCUGUGCACCAAAAAUCUAUCAGGACGUGCUAGGGAGGUUGGGGAUCAUUCCAGUGUGGUCCAUUUAAUUUUUUGUUGCCAUUUAGGUGAACGGACAAAACAGCAUGAAUGGGGCAUUUUUGAACCAAAUCGAUGUGCUAUCACCCACGAUUUUGGGGGUGCACCCGGGAUCCGGGCGUGCUUGAGCUGAAAAUUGAUCGUGGCGUGCCAAGAAGGUCGGGGAUCAUCCCAGUGUGGUCCAUUUAAUAUUUUAUGGCCAGUUGGGUGGACAAGCGGGCGAAACGACACGAAUGGUUCAUUUUAGGGCCAAAUCAGUGUGCUAUAACCCAUAGUUUUUAGGGUGGGCCUGAGGUCCGGGCGUGCUGUGGACCAAAAGUCGAUCGAGGUAUGCCAGGAAAGUUGGGGAUCGGCCCAGUGUGGUCCGUUUAAUUUUUCGUGUCCAUUUGGGUGGGCAACCUAGCAAAAUAGCACCAACGGGGCAAUUUUUUGCCAAAUCGUUGUGCAGUAGCACACGGUUUCAGGGGUAGGCCAGGGGUCCGAGCGUGUUGUGCACCAAAAAUUAAUCAGGACGUGCUAGGGAGGUUGGGGAUCAUCCUAGUGUUGUCCGUUUAGUUUUUUAUGGCAAUUUUGGUGGAUAAACGAGCGAAACGGCACGAACGGGGCAUUUUUGGGCCAAAUCGAUGUGCUAUAGCCCAUGAUUUUGGGGUUGGGCCCGGGGUCCGAGUAUGCUGUGAGUCAAAAAUUGAUCGGGCCAUGCUGGGGAGGUUGGGGAUCGUCCCAGUGUGGUCCGUUUAAUUUUACAUGGCUAUUUGGGUGGACAAACGGGCAAAACAGCUCGAACGGGGCAUUUUUGAGCCAAAUCGGUGUACUAUAGCCCACGGUUUCGAGGUUGGCCCCGAGGUCUGAGCGUGUUGUGGGCCAAAAAUUGAUCGACCCGUGCUAGGGAGAUUGGUGAUUGUCCCAGUGUGGUUCGUUUAAUUUUCCAUGCCCAUUUGGGUGGACAAACAGGCGAACGGCGCGAACGGGGCAUUUCAAGCCAAAUCGUUGUGCUAUAGCUCACAAUUUUUGGGGUGGGCCCGGGGUUCGAGCGUGAUGUGUUCCAAAAAUCAACCAGUACAUGCCAGGGAGGUUGGCAAUCCUCCUAGUGUGGUUAAUUUAAUUUUUUGUGGCUAUUUUGGUGGACAAACGGGCGAAACGGCAUGAACUGGGUAUUUUCGAGCUAAAUCGAUAUGCUAUAGCCCACGGUUUUGGGGGUGGACACAGGGUAUGGGCAUGCUGUCGGUCAAAAAUCGAUUGGGUCAUGCCAGGAAGGUUGGGAUCGUCCCAGUAUGGUCUGUUUAAUUUUUUGUGGCCAUUUGGGUGGACAAACGGAUGAAACGGCACAAAUAGGGCAUUUUUUGGCUAAAUCGGUGUGCUAUAGCCUACGGUUUUGGGGGUACGCUCGGGGUCCAAGCAUGCUGUGAGCUGAAAAUUGAUCAAGGUAUGCUAGGGAAGUUGGGGAUCAUCCCAGUGUGGUCUAUUUAAUUUUUCAAGGCCAUUUGGGUAGACAAACGAGAGAAACGAUGCAAAUGGGACAUUUUAGGGCCAAAUCGGUGUGCUAUAACCUAUGGUUUUGGGGGGUGGACACGAGGUCUAGGCGUGCUGUGGGCGAAAAAUCCACCGGGGCAUGCCAGGGAGGUUGGGGAUCAGCCCAAUGUGGUCCGUUUAAUUUUUUGUGGCCAUUUGGGUGGACAAAUGGGCAAACCAGCAUGAACGGGACAUUUUCGAGCCAAAUCGGUGUGCUGUAGCCCACGGUUUUAUGGGUGGGCCCGGGGUCCGAGCGUGCUGUGCAUCAAAAAUCAACCGAGGCAUGCCAGAGAGAUUGGGUAUCAUCUGAAUAAGUUCCGUUUAAAUAUUAAUGGACAUUUGGGUGGACAAACGGGCAAAACGGUGCGAACGAGGCAUUUUUGGGCCAAAUCGUUGUGCUAUAGCCUACAAUUUUGGGGGUGGGCCUGGGGUUUGGGUGGGCUGCAGGCCUACAAUUCUCCCAGUGUGGUCUGUUUAAUUUUUCGUGGCCAUUUAAGUGGACAAACGGGCGAAAUAACACAAACGGGGCAUAUUAGGGCGAAAUCAGUGUGCUAUAGCCUACAGUUUUAAGGGUGGGCCCGGGGUUUGGGCAUGCUAUAGACUGAAAAUCAACCGUGGUAUAUCAGGGAGGUUGGGGAUCAUCCAGUAGUUCGUUUAAUAUUUUGUGGCCAUUUGGAUGGACAAAUGGCCAAAAUAGCUCGAAUGAAGCAUUUUCGGGCCAAACCAAUGUCCAAUAGCCCACGGUUUUAGGGUGGGCCUGAGGUCCGGGUGUGCUGUGGGCCGAAAAUCAUUUGGGGCAUGCCAGGGAGGUUGGAGAUCGUCCUAGUGUGGUUCGUUUAAUUUUUAGCGGCCAUUUGGUUGGACAAACGGACAACACAGCGCGAACGGGGCAUUUUUGAACCAAAUUGGUGUGCUCUACAGCCCAAGGUUAUGGGGGUGCGCCCGGGGUCCGAGCGUACUGUGAGCUAAAAAUUGACUAGAGCAUGUCAGGGAGUUUGAGGAUCAACCUAGUGUGGUCCGUUUAAUUUUUUAUGGCCAUUUGGGUGGACAAACAGGCGAAACGACAUGAACAGGGCAUUUUUAGGCCAAAUCGAAAUGUUAUAGCCCAUGGUUUUGGUGGUGGGCCUGGGGGCCAGGUGUCUUGUAGGCCAAAAAUUGAUCGGGGCGAGCCAUGGAGGUUGGGGAUCAUCCCAGCAUGAUCCAUUUAAUUUUUCGUUGCUAUUUGGGUGGAGAAACGGGCAAAAUAGCGCGAAUGGGGCAUUUUUGGGCCAAAUUGGUGUGUUGUAGCCCACAGUUUUGGGUGUGAGCCCAGAGUCCAGGCGUGCUGUGGGACGAAAAUUGACCGGGGUGUGCCAGGGAGGUUUGGGAUCAUCCCAGUAUGGUCUGUUUAAUUUUUCGUGGCUAGUUCGGUAGACCAACGGGUAAAACGCUGCGAAUGAGGCAUUUUCAAGCCAAAUCGAUAUGCUAUAACCCAUGGUUUUGGGGAUGGGCCCGGGGUCCGAGCGUGCUGUGGGCCAAAAAUUGACUGAGGCAUGCCAAGCAAGUUGGGGAUCAUCCCAGUAAGGUCCAUUUAAUUUUUCAUGGCCAUUUGGGUGGACAAACGGGAAAAACAGUGCGAACGGGGAAUUUUCGGGCUAAAUCGAUAUGCUAUAGCCCACGAUUUUGGGGGUGGGCCUGGGGUCCGAGCGUGCUGUGGGACAAAAAUCUACCAGGGCGUGCCAGGGAGGUUGGGAAUCGUCCCAGUAUGGUCCGCUUACAUUUUUGUGGCCAUUUGAUUGGACAAACGGGUGAAACGGCACGAAUGGGGCAUUUUCGAGCCAAAUCAGUGUGCUGUAGCCCACGAUUUCAUUGGUGGGCCCCGUAUCCGGGCGUGCUGUAGACUAAAAAUCAAUCGGGGCAUGCCAGGGAAGUUGGGAAUCAUCCCAGUAUGGUCCGUUUAUAUUUUCGUGGAUAUUUGGGAGGAAAAAUGGGCGAAACGAUGCGAACGGGGCAUUUUCAGGCCAAAUCGAUGUGCUAUAAACCAUGAUUUCAGGGGUGGGCUUGGGGUCUGGAUGUGUUGUGGGCUAAAAAUCUAACGGGGCAUGCCAGGGAGAUUGGGUAUCAUCCCAAUGUGGUCCGUUUAAUUUUUCGUGGCGAUUAGGGUGGACAAACGGGUAAAACAGCGUGCAUGGGGCAGAUUUUCUCCGAAAGGAAUUAAAACCUAAGGAGAUACGUCUCUUCCCUGAAGAGAUGGUGUUCGAUAAAGAAAGAUUGCCCAUGGUUUUGGGGGUAGGCCCGAGGUCCGGGCGUGAUGUGGGCCAAAAAUCGACCGGCCCAUACCAGGGAGGUUGGGGAUCAUCCCUGUGUGGUCCGUUUAAUUUUUCGUAGCUAUUUGGGUAGACAAACGGGCGAAACGGUGCGAAUGGCACAUUUUUAGGCCAAAUCGAUGUGAUAUCGCCCACGAUUUCAGGAGUGGGCCUGGGGUCCGGGCGUGCUGUGUGAUGAAAAUUGAUCGGGGCAUGCCAGGGAGGUGUAGGAUCAUCCCAAUAUAGUCUGUUUAAUUUUUUGUAGCCAUUUGGGUGGAAAAAUAGGCGAAAAGGCAUGAAAAGGGAAUUUUUGGGAUAAUUUGGUGUGUUAUGGCACACGGUUUCGGGGGUAGACUCGGGGUCCGGCGUGCUGUAGUCCGAAAAUUGACCAAGGCAUGCCAAGGAGGUUUGGAUCAUCCCAACAUGGUCCGUUUAAUUUUUCGUGGCCAUUUAGGUGGACAAACAUGCAAAACGGCAUAAACGGGGUAUUUUCAGGCUAAAUUAGUGUGCUAUUACCCAUGGUUUUGGGGGUGGGCCCAAGGUAUGGGCAUGCUAUGGGCCAAAAAUUGACUGGGCCAUCCUAGAGAGGUUAGAGAUCAUCCCAAUGUGGUCCGUUUAAUUUUUCGUGGCCAUUUGGAUUGACAAAUUGGCAAAACGGCGCGAAAGGGGCAUUUUUGAGCCAAAUUGAUGUGCUAUCGCCCACGAUUUCAGGGGUGGGCUCAGGGUCCGGGCGUGCUGUGUGACAAAAAUUGACCGGGGCAUGCCAAGGAGGUUGGAGAUCAUCCCAGUAUGGCUCAUUUAAUUUUUUGUGGCCACUUGGGUGGAAAAAUGGGCGAAAUGGCAAGAACGGGGCAAUUUUGGGCUAAAUCGAUGAGCUCUAGCCCACGAUUUUGGGGGUGCACGGGGGGUAUGGCAUGCUGUAGGCCAAAAUUAGAUCGGCGCAUGCCAGGGAGGUUUAGGAUUGUCCCAACGUGGUCCGUUUAAUUUUUCAUUGUCAUUUGGGUGGACAAACGGGCAAAACGACGCAGAUGAGGCAUUUGCAGGCCAAAUUAGUGUUCUAUAUCCCACGGUUUUGGGGGUGGGUCCGGGAGUACUGUAUGGGAUAUAGCACACCGAUUUGGCCCAAAAAUGCCCCGUUCGCGCCGUUACGCCAGUUUGUCAACCCAAAUGGCCACAAAAAAUUAAAUGGACCAUAGUGACACAAUCCACAACUUCCCUGGCACGCCCCAGUUGAUUUUUGGGCCACAGCACCCCAGGACCCCGGGCUCACUCUCAAAACCGUGGGCUAUAGCACACCAAUUUGGCCCAAAAAUGCCCCUUUUGCGCCGUUUCACCUGUUUGUUCACCCAAGUGGCCACGAAAAAUUAAACGGACCACAGUGAAAUGAUCCCCAACCUCCCUGGCAUGCCCCGGUCGAUUUUUAGCCCACAACACGCCCGACCCCGGGACCACCCUCGAAACCAUGGGCUAUAGCACACCAAUUCGGCCUAAAAUGCCCCAUUCGUAGGGUUUCGCCCGUUUGUCCUCCCAAAUGUCCAUAAAAAAUCAAAUGGACUACACUGAGAUGAUCCCCAACCUCCAUGGCACACCCUGAUUGAUUUUUGGCCCACAACAUGCUCGGACCCUGGGCCCAUCCCUGAAACCAUGGGCUAUAUCACACCUAUUUAGCUCAAAAAUGCCUCGUUCGCACUGUAUUGCCCGUUUGUCCACCCAAAUGGCCACAAAAAAUUAUACAUAUCACAUUGGAUGAUCCCAAACCUCCUUGGCAUGCCCCGGUCGAUUUUUGGCCCACAGCACGCCUGGACCCCGGGCCCACCCUCAAAACCAUAGGCUAUAGCACACUCAUUUAGCCCAACAAUGCCCCGCUCACGUUGUUUCGCUCGUUUGUCAACCCAAAUGGCCACGAAAAAUUAAAUGACCCAUACUGGGACAAUCCUCAACCUCCCUGGCAUAUCCCGAUAGAUUUUUGGCCUACAGCAUGCACGGACCAUGGGCCCACCCCCAAAAUCAUGGGCUAUAGCACACCGAUUUGGCCCGAAAAUGCUCCGUUCGUGCCGUUUUGCCCGUUUGUCAAUUGAAAAGGCCACGAAUAAUUAAACGGACCACACUGGACUGAUCCCUAACCUUAUUGGCAUGCCUCGGUUAAUUUUUGGACCACAACAAACUCGGACCCCAGGACCAUCCCUGAAAUAAUAGGCUAUAGCACACCGAUUUGGUCUGAAAAUACCCCGUUCGUGCCGUUUUGCCCCUUUGUCCACCUAAAAAGCCAUGAAAAAUUAAACGAACCAUACUAGGACGAUCCCCAAGCUACGUGGCACGCCCCGAUCAAUUUUUGGCCUACAGCACGCCCGGACCCCGAGGCCACCCCGAAACUGUGGGUUAUAGCACAUCGAUUUGGCUCAAAAAUGCCCCGUUUGUGCCGUUUUACCCGUUUGUACACCCAAAUGGGCAUGAAAAAAUAAACAGACCAUAUUGGGACAAUUCCCAACAUCCCUGGCACCCCUCGGUUGUUUUUUGGCCCACAGCACACCCGGACCCAGGGCCUACCUCCAAAACCGUGAUUAUAGCACACUAAUUUGGUCUAAAACAAUCCUGUUCGAUCUAUUUUGCACGUUUUACCACACAAAUGGCCUACAAUAAAUAAACGGACCACAAUGGGAUGAUCCCCAACCUCUCUGACAUGCCUCGGUCAAUUUUUAAACCAUGACAUUCUGAACCCUGGGCCCACCCCAAAAAUCGUGGGCAAUAGCACCAAUUUUGAUCGAAAAUGCCCAAUUCACGCUGUUUCGCCCGUUUGACAACCCUAAUGGCCUUGAAUAAAUAAACGAAUCACACUAGGAUAAUCCCCAACCUUCCUAGCACACCUAGAUCAAUUUUCAGCCUACAGCACCCUUGGACCAGGGCCCACCCCCAAAAUCGUGGGCUAUAGCACACUAUUUUGGCCAAAAAAUACCCCAUUCACGUUGUUUCAUCCAUUUGACCACCCAAAUGGCCUCGAACAAAUAAAUGGACUAUAUUGUGAUGAUUCCCAACCUCCCUAGCAUGCCUCGAUCGAUUUUUAGCCCACGACACCCCCGUACAUCGAGGCCACCCUCAAAAUUGUGGGCUACAGCACAUCGAUUUAACCUGAAAAUGCCUCGUUCGCACCGAUUCGCUCGUUUAACCACCAUAAUAGCCUCAGAUAAAUAAACGUACCACACUAGGAUGAUCCCCAGCCUCCCUUGCACGUCCCAAUCAAUAUUUGGCCAACGACACAACUGGAACCCGGGCCCACCCCCAAAAUCGUGGGCUAUAACACACCAAUUUAACCUAAAAAUGCUCCGUUUGUAUCGUUUCGCUCGUUUGACCACCCAAAUGUCCUCGUAUAAAGAAAUAGACGACACUGAGAUGAUCCCUUACCGCCCUAACAUGCUUCGAUUGAUUUUUGGCCCACGACACCCCUAGACCACGGGCCCACCCCUGAAACCGUGGGCUAUAGCACAUCGAUUUAGCCUGAAAAGGCCUCGUUCGCUCCAUUUUGCCUGUUUUACCACCCAAAUGGCCUAGAAUAAAUAAACAGAUCACACUGGGACGAUCCCCAACCUCCCUGGCACGUUUCAAUAGAUUAUUGGCCCAUGGUACCCCUGGACCCCAUGCCUACCUCCGAAACUAUGGGCCAUAGCACAUCGAUUUGGCCUGAAAAUACCCCAUUUGUGAUGUUUCGCCCGUUUGACCAUCCAAAUAGCCUCGAAUAAAUAAACGGGCCCUACUGGGAUGAUCCCCAAUCUCCAUGGCGUACCUCAAUUGAUUUUAGGACCACGGCACCCCCAGAUCCAAGGCGCACCCCUAAAAUCGUGGGCUAUAGCACACCGAUUUGGCCCAAAAAUGCUCCGUUCACGUUGUUUCACCCAUUUUACCAGCCAAAUAGGCUCGAAUAAAUAAACAGAUCAUACUGGGACUAUCCCUAACAUCCCUGGCAUGUUCUAAUAGAUUUUUGAUCAACGACACCUAUGAACCUCGGGUCCACCCCCAGAACCGUGGGCAAUAGCACACUGAUUUGGCCCAAAAAUGGUCCAUUUGCGCCAUUUGACCUUUUUGACAUCCCAAAUGGCCUCGAAUAAAUAAAUGGAAAACACUGGGAUGAUCCCCAACCCCCCUGGUGCACCCCGAUCAGAUUUUAGCCUACAACACCCCCGACCCUGGGCCCACCACAAAACCGUGGCCUAUAGCACACCAAUAUAGCCCAAAAAAUGCCCCAUUCGUGCCGUUCUGCCCGUUUGACCACCCAAAUGGCCUCGAAUAAAUAAACGAAGCAAUAGAGGACGAUCCCCAACUUCCCUAACAUGCCCCGGUUGAUUUUCAGCCCACGGCACCCCCGGAUCCCUAGCCCACCUCCGAAACCAUAGGCUAUAGCACACCAAUUUGGCCUAAAAAAGCCUCGUUCACGCUGUUUCGCCCGUUUGACCAGCCAAAUGGCCUCGAAUAAAUAAACAGACUACACUGGGAUGAUCACCAACCUCCAGGGCAUACCUCAGUCAAUUUUCAGCCUACGACAGGCCUAGAUCCUAGGCCCACCCUCGAAAAUAUGGGCUAUUGUACACCGAUUUGGCUCAAAAAUGCCUCAUUUGCACGGUUUUGCCCAUUUGACCACUCAAAUGGCUUCGAAUAAAUAAAUGGACCAUAUUAGGAUGAACCACAGCCUCCUUGGUAUGCCCUGAUCAAUUUUCAGCCUACGGCUCCCCCAGACCUCAGGCGCACGCCCGAAAUUGUGGGCUAUAGCACAUCGAUUUGUCCCGAAAAUGCCCCGUUCACGUUGUUUUGCACAUUUGACCACCCUAUUUGCUUCGAAUAAAUAAAUAAACCACACUGGGAUGAUUUACAAUCUACCUGGCAUGCCUCGAUUGAUUUUUUACCCACGACACCACCAAACACUGGGCCCACCCCCAAAAUUGUGGACUAUGGCUCACCGAUUUGGCCCUAAAAUACCCUAUUUUUGCUGUUUCACCCGUUUGAUCACCCAAAUAGCCUCGGAUAAAUAAGCAGACUAUACUGGGAUGAUCCUCAACCUCUCUGACAUGCCUCGGUUGAUUUUUAGCCCACGACACCCUCGGACCCCGAGACCACCCACGAAAUCGUGGGCUAUAGCACACCAAUUUCGCUAAAAAAUGCCACAUUUGUGUCUUUUCAUGAUUUUGACCACCCAAAUGGCCUAUAAUAAAUAAACGGAACACAUUGGGAUGAUCCCCAAUCUCCCUAGCAUACCCCGAUCGAUUUUAAGCCCAUGGCACCCGCGAACCCUGGGCCUGCCCCCGGAAUCAUGGGCUAUAGCACAUCAUUUGGCUCAAAAAUUCCCCGUUCGCAUCGUUUUGCCCGUUUAACCACCCAAAUGACCUUGAAUAAAUAAACGGACCACACUGGGAUGGUCCCCAAUCUCCCUGGCACGCCCUGAUCAAUUUUUGGCCCACAGCACCCCCAAGCCUCGGGUCCAAACUGGAAAACGAGGGCUAAAGCACACUAAUUUAGCCUAAAAAUGCCCCUUUCACGCCGGUUUGCUUGUUUGACCACCCUAAGGGCCUCGAAUAAAUAAAUGAACUACACUAGGACGAUCCCUAACCUCCCUAGCAUGCCUCGAUCAAUUUUCGACCCACUACACCCCCAGACCCUGGGCCCACCCCCAAAAUCGUAGACUAUAGCACACUGAUUUGGCCUAAAAAUGCCACGUUCAUGACGUUUCGCCCGUUUGACAACCUAAAUAGCCUCGAAUAAAUAAAUAGAUCAUACUAAGAUGAUCCCCAACCUUCUUGGCACACGUCGGUCGAUUUUUAGCCUACGACACCUCUGGACACCGGGCCCAUCCCUGAAAUCAUAAGCUAGAGCACACCGAUUUUGCUCGAAAAUGAACCGUUCAGGCCGUUUCGCCCGUUUGACCUCCAAAUGGUCUCGAAUAAAUAAACGAACCACACUAGGAUGAUCCCAAACUUCCUUGGCAUGCCUCUGCUGAUUUUCGUCCCAUGGUACCCCCGGACCCUUGGCCCAACCCCGAAAUUGUGGGCUACAGCACAUCGAUUUGGCAUAAAAAUGUCCCGUUCAUGCUGUUUCGCCUGUUUGACCACCCAAAUGGCCUCGAAUAAAUAAAUGGACCAUACUGGGAUGAUGCCCAACCUCAAUAGCACGCCCCGAUUGAUUUUUGACCCACGGCACCUCCGGACCCCUAGCCCACCCGCAAAAUCGUGGGCUAUAGCACACCGAUUUGACUCGAAAAUGCCCCGUUCGCUCUGUUUUGCCCGUUUGACCACCCAAAUGGUCUUGAAUAAAUAAACAAACCACACCUGGACGAUCCCCAAUCUCUAGGGCAUGGCUCAGUAGAUUUUCAGCCCACGAUAGGCCCAUACCCCGGGCCCACCCCCAAAACUGUAGGCUAUAGCACAUCGAUUUGGCCCGAAAAUGCCUCGAUCGCGCCAUUUCGCUCGUUUGACCACCCAAAUGGCUUCGAAUAAAUAAAUGGAUCACAUUAGGAUGAACCCGAACCUCCCUGGUACGCCUCAAUCAAUUUUCAGCCUACGACACCCUCGGACCACGGGCCAACCCCCGAAACUGUGGGCUAUAGCACACCAAUUUAGCCCAAAAAUGCUCUGUUCACGUCAUUUAGCUCAUUUGACCACCCUAUUUUAAUCAAAAAAAUAAAUGAACCACACUGGGAUGAGCCACAACCUCCCUGGCAUGCCUCGAUUGAUUUUCUACCCAUGGCACACCCGAGCACUGUGCCCACCCCUAAAAUCAUUGGCUAUAGCAAACCGAUUUGGCCCUAAAAUAUCCCAUUUCGCCCGUUUGACCUCCCAAAUGGCCUCGAAUAAAUAAGCAGACCACACUGGGAUGAUCCCCAACCUCCCUGGCAUGCCUCGGUUGAUUUUCAGCCCACAGCACCCUCAGACCAUGAGAUCGCCCCUGAAAUUGUGGGCUAUAGCACACCAAUUUCGCCCAAAAAUGCCAUAAUUGCGUUGUUUUAUGCGUUUGACCACGCAAAUGGCCUCGAAUAAAUAAAUGGACCACACCGGGAUAAUCAACAACCUUCUCGAUAUGCCUCGAUCAAUUUUUGGCCCACGACACCCUCGAGCCUCGGGCCCACCCAAUAUAUCAUGGGCUAUAGCACACCAAUUUGGCUCGAAAAUGCCCUGUUCGCGCCGUUUUGCUUGUUUGACUACCCAAAUAGCCUCGAAUAAAUAAACUAACCACACUAAGACGAUCCCCAACCUCCCUGGCAUGCCUCGGUUGAUUUUUGGACUACAAAACCCCCAGACCCCGGGCCCACCCCUAAAAUCGUAGGCUUACACACCAUUUGUCCUGAAAAUUCCAUGUUCGUACCGUUUUCCCCAUUUGACCACUCAAAUAGCCUCGAAUAAAUAAAUGGACCACACUGGGACCAUUCCUAAUCUUUCGGGCUUACCUCAAUCAAUUUUUGGCCCAUGACACCUCCGAACCUCAGGCUCACCCUUAAAAUUGUGGGCCAUAGCACACCGAUUUAGCCCAAAAAUGCCCUAUUCAUGCUGUUUCACCCAUUUGACCACCCAAAUAUCCUUGAAUAUAUAAAAAGACCACAUUGGGACGACCCCCAACCUCCCUGUCAUGCCCCAGUCAAUUUUUGACCCACGGCACCCCCGAAACCUGGGCCAACCCUCGAAACCAUGGGCUAUAGCACACCGAUUUAGCCCAAAAAUACCCCAUUCGCGCAUUUCGCUCGUUUGACAACCCAAAUGGCCUCGGCUAAAUAAACGAACCAUACUGAGACAAUUCUCAAACUCCUUGGCACGCCCCGGUUGAUUUUUGGCCCACAACACCCCCUUAACCUAGGGCCCACCCCCAAAACAGUGGGCAAUAGCACACCGACUAGUCUCGAAAAUGCCCCGUAUGCGUUGUUUCACCCGUUUGACAACCAAAGUGGCCUCGAAUAAAUAAAUGAAUCAUACUGGGAUGAUCCCCAACCUCCCUAGCAUACCUUGGUCGAUUUUCAGCCCACGGCACCCCUGGACACCGGGUCCACCCCCAAAAUCGUGGACUAUAGCACACUGAUUUGGCCUGAAAAUGCCCCAUUCGGGCUAUUUUCCCCAUUUAACCACCCAAAUAGCCUCGAAUAAAUAAAUAGACCACAUUGGGACGAUCUUCAACCUCUUUGGCACGCCUCAACCAAUUUUCAGCCCACGACACCCCCGGACCCCGAGCCCGACCCCGAAAUCGUGGGCUAUAGCACACCGAUUUGGCCCGAAAAUGCCCCGUUUGCGCCGUUUCGCCUGUUUGAUCAUCCAAAUAGCCUCGAAUAAAUAAAUGGACCACACUGGGAUGAUCCCUAACCUUCCUGUCAAACCUCAGUCGAUUUUUGACCGAUGGCACCCCAGACCCCUAGCCCAUCCCAGAAACCAUGGGAUAUAGCACAACAAUUUAGCCCAAAAAUGCUCAGUUCGCGCCAUUUCGCCCGUUUGACCACCCAAAUGGCCUCGGAUAAAUAAACAGACCACACUGGUUUGAUCCUCAACCCUCUAACAUACCUCGGUCAAUUUUUGGCCCACGACACCUCCGGACCCCCAGCCCAUCCCCAAAACUGUAGGCUAUAGCACAUCGAUUUGGCCUAAAAAUGCCCCAUUCGUGCUGUUUUGCCCGUUUGACCACCCAAAUAGCCUGGAAUAAAUAAACGGACCACACUAGGAUGAUCCCCAACCUCCAGGGUUUGCCUCGAUAGAUUUUUAUCCAACGGCAGGCCCGGACCCUGGGCCCAUCCAUAAAAUCGUGGGCUAUAGCACACCGAUUUGGCCUAAAAAUGCCCCGACCGCGCUGUUUCGCCCGUUUGACCACCCAAAUGGCUUUGAAUAAAUAAACAGACCACAUUGGGAUGAACCCCAACCUCCCUACCACGCCCCGAUCAAUUUUUAGCCCAUGGCACCCCCGGACCUCAAACCCACCCCUAAAAUCGUGGGCUAUAGCACGCUGUUUUAUCCUGAAAAUUCCUCGUUCAUGUCGUUUUGCUCGUUUGACCACCCUAUUUGUUUUGAAUAAAUAACUGAACCACACUGGAACAAUCCACAACCUCCCUGGCAUGCCUCGAUUGAUUUUCGACCCACGGCACCCCCGGACACCAGGCCCACCCCCAAAAUCGUAGGCUUUGGCUCACCGAUUUGGCCCUAAAAUGCUCCAUUCGUGCUGUUUUGCCCGUUUGACCACCCAAAUGGCCUCGAAUAAAUAAGCGAACCACACUGGGACGAUCCCCAACCUCCUUGGCACGCCCCGAUCGAUUUUCGGCCCACGGCACCCCCGGACAUAGGGCCCACCCCCAAAACCGUGGGCAAUAGCACACUGACUUGGCCCGAAAAUGCCUCGUUCAUGCUGUUUUGCCUGUUUGACCACCCAAAUAGCCUCAAAUAAAUAAAUGGAUCAGACUAGGAUGAUCCCCAACCUCCUUGGUAUGCCUCGGUGGAUUUUUGGCCCACGACCCCCCUGAACACCAGGCCCACCCUCGAAAUCAUGGGCUAUGCACACCAAUUUGGCCCGAAAAUGACCCGUUCGGGCCGUUUCGCCCGUUUGACCACCCAAAAUUUUCUCGAAUAAAUAAACAGAUGACACUGGGAUGAUCCCUAACCUCCUCGGCAUGCCUCAGUUAAUUUUCGGUCCACGGCACCCCUGGACCCCAGGCCCACCACUAAAACUGUGGGCUAUAGCAUACUGAUUUGACCCAAAAAUGCCUCGUUUGUGCCGUUUCACCCGUUUGACUACCCAAAUGGCCUCGAAUAAAUAAACAGACCACACUGGGAUGAUCACCAACCUCCCUGGCCCGCCCUGAUCUAUUUUUGGCCAACGGCACCCCCGGACCCUUGGCCCACCCCCAAAAUCAUGGGCUAUAACACACUGAAUUAGCUCGAAAAUGCCCCGUUCGUGGUGUUUCACCCAUUUGACCACCCUAAUGGCUUUGAAUAGAUAAACGAACCAUACUGGGAUGAUUCCAAACCUCCUUGGCAUACCUCAAUCAAUUUUCAGCCCACGGCACCCCCAAACCCCAGGCCCACUCCCGAAAUCGUGGGCUAUAGCACACCGGUUUGGCCUAAAAAUAUUCCAUUCGCGCUGUUUCUCCCGUUUGACCAGCUUAAUGGCCUCGGAUAAAUAAAUAAACCAUACUGGGAUGAACCUCAACCUCUCUAUCAUGCCUCGAACGAUUUUCGGCCCACGACACCUUUGAACCUGGGCCCACCCUUGAAAUUGUGGGUUAUAGCUAGGGGUGGGCGUUCGGUCGAUUCGAUCUGAUUGUUUCAUAUCAGUUUCGAUUUAUCGGUUUCUGGAUUGUCAAAAAUGGCAACCAUAACCAAACCGAAAUAAAAUCAGUUUGGUUCAGUUUCUACAAAUUCGGUUCGGUUAUUUCAGUUUUUUAUUUCGAUUUCAACAUAAAUGAAAUGAAAUGAAAUAAUCAUAAUACAUAAAGUCAUUUUGUUGUAGAGUUGUCGUAGACCGUGCACGACCUAAACUUAUCAACACAACAAACUAGCAUUGGAUUUAGCUUAGGAGAUAAUCAUAGAACAAGAAUGGUAAAGAUCACCUGCUCACCAGCAGAAUAAAAAGCAGCACUAACUUAAACCAAAUAACACUGAAAGAGAUUAAGAGAACCUUACUUUUGACUAAAACAAAACGUCAAAAGGAGAGUCAUUGAGAAUAUGUAAACCUAGAGUGCAAAAUAUUACAUCAAUUCAACUAAAGUUAAUGUAAAGUACCAUUCUUCUAAAGAAAGGGAAAAUGUACUGCUUACAUUAAACAUAGAAUGAGUUGUGUCGCUGUCAAUGGUAAAACAAAGAUUGAUAACCAUGUAGCAGAACACUGUAAAACCAGAAUAAACCAUGCAAUUAAGGUAGGUGAUACUCCUUUCCCUUGUUGACAUUGCUGCACCCAAGAUAACUCCGAUGCCAAGUGUUGAACCUACCAAAAGGUUGGGAACAAACCUGGAGAGCAAAAAUGGAUCGAAUGCUUUCUCAAGUAAGAUAUUGUUGUUCAAAAUAUCUGAAUACUCUUCAAAUAAACAACAGAGAGAGAACAACAAGGCUUAAUCAACUACACAUACACUUCAAAUAAAGAACAGAGAACAACAUGGGUUAAUCUGCAGGACGUUAAUUACCAGAAUAAGAGGGGUAAAAAAUGUUGGACAUUUCACUUUAACUAACCAAGUGCAAGAAUAAUACAAAAUAACAAUAUCCAUCCACUUCAAAUUGUCAUUCUAAUUGAAGAUGGAAAACAAUAGUUUCUACAAGGAUUCCAAUUUUUUCCAGUUAGGAUUUCGAGUAGAUCCAACGAUUAUUAAGCAUAGAGAGAUCACAAGUAUAUAUAUAUAUAUAUAUAUAUACCAAUCAACAACAAGCCUUUCUGAGUACACAAUUGAAGAGGGACUAUAAAAAUCAGGUUCCAGGUAGUAUAAUAUGACAAGAAAGCAGUAAAAGAAACCAUAUAAAACUUUUCAAAGUGCAAGUUGGUUAAAGUUGAACCUAAAAUUAUUUGCCCACAGAUUAUCUGCCCCUAUAAGGUCUCAGGAAUAUGGUAACACUAGAAAAUCAUUCAAACAGCUCAGCUUGGGUCCAUGCUAUGUCAACUCUACCCAUGGUAAGUGCAUUUAUAAAUGUCUUCCAAACUUUAAAUGGAGAAAUCAGUACCACAAUUAAAACUGGACCUUUGAUUAAACUGUAAAGAUAGCAAAACAAGUUAAGAGAUGAUGAUUGGUCACUACCCCAUUUCCAUUCCAAUUUGUCAAAUUUCCCGUCAGGAAGAUGAGCUUAGGAAUACUUCAUCCGUCAACCACACCACUUGACCAAAUCAUAAUACAAGAAAACAUAUGCUCUGAGUAAGAAUAACAUCAAGUCCAACAGGUUCACCAACAUCUAUCCCUUUCAACUUUACUCAUAGAAACCUUUGUAACCACAAAUGAAAUAAUGACCCCAUUUGUGAUUCUUCAAGUCAAUCUCCUAGAGAGGAUCAGCAGGAUAAGCACACAUAGAGUACUUGUUACUAUUCAUAUUAGUAAUUUGAAUACAGUUUGAUGAACAAGGUUCACACCCCAGCCAGACGUCUUGUUAAAUUUUAUCUCCAUGCUUGGAGAACAAAAUCCCUAGCUAAACAGGCAAGUGCUACCAAAGCCUGUGUCUCAGGAUUAGCUUUGGUUUUUAUUCCAAAAACUGCUUAAUAGUUUCCCAAAUAUAAAAUAAAGCAAAUACAAUAAACUACCAUGUUAAAUAGAAAAUACCAUAAACUCACCUGAAUACUCCUCUUUAGACACAAUCCAUUUCCCAUCGAACACUUCAUCAAACGACUCGUAAAAAUUCUACAGAUAGGCAAAACACAAUACAAUACAUUACAGACCAUCCACAUCCUAAGAAGUGUACAACUGAGAGAAAAAAACCUAUAGACCAUAACUUAUUAAAUCAAGAAAAUAGUAGAAGUAGUAGAAGAAGAACUCAAAAACAAACUUACUUACAAUGCACAUUUGCUUAUUGACAACUACACAUCAACAAUGCUAGAAUCAGUGCCGCUACAAGCCAUUUCUGAAAAAAUAUAAGACAUUUGUUAGUUGAUGUGCAAUAUAACUAAGAUUUUUUUUUUAAUAUAAUGAAUAGAAAAUUAUAAAAUUCUUACCAACUUCAAGUUGCUCAAGAUUCUCUAUAUCUUCCUCGAUAUUAAUUGGAGUAGAUUCACUUCUAAGCCAAUCUUGAAGACAAAUAAGAGAUUGCACUAGUUUAGGAGUUAAUGAACUCCUAAAGGGAUCAAUAACCCGACCUCCCGUGCUAAAUGCACAUUCAGAUGCGACACUGGAAAUGGGAAUGGCUAACACAUCACGAGCCAUCUCGGCGAGAAUGGAAACUCUAGGCUCAUUAACUUUCCACCAACAUAAUAUAUCAAAUUAUUCCGAAUCUGGCUCAAUUACUUCAACAAGAUAUUUUCCCAACUCAGAUUUAUUGCUUGAACCUCCACUAAUUUCUUUAUGCUUCUCAAAUUGUUAUUUUGUUCUCAUUAUUUCUCUUCUUUGAAAGUUUCCAUAACCACUUAUAGAUGAAGAAUUCCUAGAAUAAGAAGAAAAUGAUGAAGAUGAAGAGUUUUUUUAUUUCUUAACAUAAUGCCCAAAAAAGGCUUUCAUGUAUACUCCACUGAAUCGGACAACUUGUCCCCAAUUUCUUUUUCAAACAUGUCCACAAUUGCAAAAGGAACAUAUUCAAGUUAGUUGCGGGGAUCCAACACAGAUGAAAUAAAGAUCAUUUUGUUCAUUUUCUCUGGAGUACCCCAAUACUUUCUAAACUUUUUCCUCAUAUUUGAUGCCAUUUUUUUCAAAUUAGAAUCUUCAUUUUCUAUCAUCUCUUUCAAAAUCAGAUCAAGCUCAACAAUUUCCACAAAGUGUACAUUUGUAGUAACAUAUUUUGAACCAGAAACUUUCAAAGUAAGAUCAUAAAAAGUUUUCAAAAAUUUUACCAUUGUCCUCACAUUUUCCCAGUCCUCACUUACAAAGGCGCCUGCCUUGCUUCCAUCUUCACAAGGACAGGUACGGAGAUAAUCCAAGAAACCAUUAUCAUAGAAACUAUAUCUUUCAAAUGCAAGCUCAAAAUAUUGUGUUGUUUCAAGCAUCAAGAAUGUAGAGUUCCAUUGAGUAGGAACAUCUAAACAUAAAGAUUUCUUACAAGUUAUCAAUUGAGAUUCACAACAUUCUUUGAACUUUUUAACUCGCGCGGCAGAUUGUUUAACAUACUUCAUAGCUUGUCAAUUUCCUUCAACCCAUCUUGCACAAUAAGAUUAAGAAUAUGUGCCAUACAUCUCAUAUGAAGAUGUUGACCCUCCACUAUGUUAGUUCCCCAGUUACUUAAUUGUUUAGAUAUUUCUAUCAUUGUAACAUCAUUGGAACUAGCAUUAUCAACUGUAAUACUAAAAACAGUAACCAAACCCCAUUCAAGCAAAUAAUUAGUAAUGGAAGCAGCCAUAUCAACACUUUUAUGACUAGAAAUUGGAUAGAAAUUUAUCACUAUUUUAUGCAAUUUCCAAUUUGUAUCUAUAAAGUGAGCUGUUAGGCACAUGUAGUUAAUCUUUUGUAUAGACGUCCAAGUAUCGGUCGUAAGACAAACUUUUGGACGUACUUCUUUGAAAAUCUUUUUCAAAACUUCUUCAUUGUAGAACUGAUAACAAUCUCUUGUCAAGGUUCUAUGAGAAGGAAUAUAAAAGUACGGGGUUGUGACUCUCAUGAAAUUUCUAAAACCUUUUUUUUCAACAAAACUAAACGGCAACUCAUCAACAACUUCGUCCUUGAUCAAAUGUCCAAGUACCCAAUGCCCCUCCCUUUUCAUCCGUAAAAGAUGGUAGAAAAGCUAAUUUUGUUUGACUAUCUUUCUCUUUCACACCAACAUUAGGGCAAUUAGGGCGGUAAGGACAUAAUUUUAACAUGUGAUUAUUCAUCGUUGAAGUACCACUAGCACUUGAAGCAACAACAUAAAUUUUUUCACAAUACUUACAUUUUUCUUUCUGAGCUCCGGUUUUUCCAUCAAUAAUUUUGUCAAACCACUACCAACAUUUUGCCCUUGGUUCCAUGAACUUUCUUUUUUUCGAUUGUUCAUCUUCAACUGUAGUUUCAACUUCAUUUGGAGAUGAAAUUGAGAUAUUUUCAUUAGAUGUUCUAUCUUCACUUACCCUACUUCCAAUUUGCGAAAACAAAAUAAUUUGUUUAUUAGCUCUAAGCCUAUAACCUUAAAGUAUCAAGUUAAAUGAAAAUAAUCAAUAAAAAACAUACGAACAUUAGACAUAUUUGAAGGCUGACAAAUCGCCGAAAUAAAUAAUCGAAAAAAGGGUCUGAUUGCCGGAAUAUCGCCUGCCCCCGGUCGAUAUUUUGAAGAACCCAGCUAGUCAGUCACCGACUCACUGGUUACAAAACACAAACACCAGUUGCACCCGUCAUAGAUCGCCGCCUCCAGUGUCGUAGACUCGUCGUAAAGAAAGAGAGUCUUCGUCGUUGUUGUCAGCGGCGGUCUAUCGCCCGCCUCCGGUGUCCUUGAGUCCUUGACUGAUUGGCGAUUGCAAUUUGUAAAGAAAAAUAGGUUUAGAAACGGCUGCUGUGAAGAACUGAAGAAUGAAGAUAUAUCUGAUAUGUUUUAGGUUUAGAAAAUUAGGGUUAUGAAAAAACUAUUAUAUAUUUAUUAAUUUAUUAUUUAUAUAUUAAAUAUAUUAUAUUAUAUUAUAUUAUAUUAAAAAUAAAUUAAUAAUAUAUAUAUGUUAUUAAUAUAAUUUCGAAUUUCGGAUUUUCGGUUUAACCGAAUUUUAUUUUUCAAAAAACCAAAACUGAACCAUAAAACCAAAAUUUAUAAAUUAAAAACCGAAACCGAACCGAAAACCCGAAAAACCGAAAUCAAAUUUAAAUUUCGGUUUGAUUUUUCGGUUUUAACCAAAAUAUGUCCAGCCCUAGCUAUAGCACACCGAUUUUGUUGAAAAAUGUCAAUUCGCGUCGUUUCGCCCGUUUGACCACCUCAUAGUGGGAUCUCCAACAUAAAUUCAAAUUAGUCAAACUCUAAUAUAGAUACCAGACACCCCUGGACACCGGGCCCACCCUCGAAAUCGUGGGUCAUAGCACACCAAUUUGGCCCGAAAAUGCCCCGUUCGGAUCGUUUCGCCCGUUUGACUACCCAAAUAGCCUCGAAUAAAUAAACAGACCACACUGGGACGAUCCCCAAUCUCCUCGGCAAGCCUCAGUCGAUUUUCGGCCCAUGGAACCCUCGGACCCCGGGCCCACCACUGAAACCGUGGGCUAUAACACACCGAUUUGGCCUGAAAAUGCCCCGUUCACGCCGUUUCGCCCGUUUGACCACCCAAAUAGCCUCGAAUAAAUAAACGGACCACACUGGGACGAUCACCAACCUCCCUGGCACGCUCUGAUCGAUUUUCGGCCAACGGCACCCUCGGACCAUGGGCCCACCCUGAAAUUGUGGGUUAUAAUACAUUGAUUUGGCCCAAAAAUGCCCCGUUCAUGGUGUUUCGCCCGUUUGACCACCCUAAUGGCCUCGAAUAGAUAAACGAACCAUACUGGGACGAUCCCCAACCUCCUUGGAACACAUCAGUCAAUUUUCAGCCCACGACACCCCGGACCCCGAGCCUACCCCCGAAACCGUGGGCUAUAGCACACAGUUUUGGACCGAAAAUAUCCCGUUCGUGCUGUUUCGCCCGUUUGACAACCCUAAUGGCCUCGGAUAACUAAAUGAACCACAUUGGGACGAUCCCCAACCUCCCUAGCACGCCUCGGACGAUUUUCGGCCCACGGCACCCCCGAACCCCAGGCCCAACCCUGAAAUUGUGGGCUAUAGCACAUCAAUUUUGUCCAAAAAUGUUAAUUCGCGUCGUUUCGCCCGUUUGACCAUCUCAUAGUGGAAUCUCCGACAUAAAUUCAAAUUAGUCAAACUCUAAUAUAGAUACCAGACAUCGAAUGAAUAACCAAAGAAACAUUUUAGAGGUCUCAAUUUUAAAUUUUAAAUAUAGAGUCGAUUUUGCUUGAAAGCGCUAUAUUCUGACAACGGAGCCUUCAAUGCGAAUUCAAAUUAAUCUAAAUCCAAACAAAACAAAUGAAUUAACAAAAAUUAAACACACUUCCACUAUAAAACAAAGAUCUAUAAAGGAGGAUAGAGGACCCUACCAUACAUUUCCACUAUUUGAUUAAUCAUUUUCACUCUUUACACUACUUCUUUUUUGGUCAUAAAGCAACAAAAAUGAUAUACACUUCUUAGUACCCCAAACCUUCAAAAAAACAGCUGUUAAGUGCUAAAUAUAUUCCAAUAUAAAGUAAAAUAAAAGCCCCCAACUUUUCUUUUUUGUUAAAGAAAGUGUAGUGUAAGUGAAGAAUCACUUUUGCAGUUUGGGGUGCAGUAAUGGGGGUUUCAAUACCAGUUCUUGUAAUUGUAAUUGCUCUUCAUCUCAUUGCUUUUGUUCUUGCUGUAGGUGCUGAACGACGUCGUAGCACGGUACCUCAUUUCACUUUAACUUAUAUUUUUUAUGUGUUUUUAGCUUCUUGGUAUAGUUAGAGAUUGGUUGUUUUGUUGUUGUUUGUUUCUUGUUUUGCUAAAGAUUGAAUUUUGUUUUGUGUGCCUGGUGUUUCUGGAUGGAGUUAAAGAUUUUUUUCUUUUUUUUUGUGUUAAUGUGUGUGUUUGUUUUUUUGGAUGUAGUUAAAAAUUGAGUUGUCUUGGCGUUUUUAGUUUCUGUGUUGCUAAAGAUUGAUUCUUUGGGUUGGUAUUUCUGGAUGGAGUUAAAGAUUGUUUUUUUUUUUUGUUAAUGUGUUAAGAGUGUGUGUGUGUGUUUGUUUGGAUGUAGUUAAUGAUUGAGUUGUCUUGGUGUUUUUAGUUUCUUGUGUUGCUAAAGAUUGAUUAUUUGGGUGGGUAUUUCUGGAUGGAGUUAAAGAUUGUUUUUUUUUGUUAAUGUGUGUGUGUGUGUGUAUUUGGAUGUAGUUAAAGUUUGAGUCGUCUUGGUGUUUUAGUUUUCUUGUGUUGCUCAAGAUUGAUUUUUUUGGGUGUUGGGUGUCUCUGGAUGGAGUUAAAGAUUGUUUUUUGUGUGUUAUUGUGUUAGUGUUAGGGUGUGUGUGUGUGUGUUUGGAUGUAGUUAAAGAUUGAGUUGUCUUGGUGUUUUUAGUUUCUUUUGUUGCUAAAGAUUGAUUCUUUUGGGUGUUGGGUGUUUCUGGAUGGAGUUAAAGAUUGUUUUUUGUGUGUUAAUGUGUUAGUGUGUGUGUGUUUGGGUGUAGUUAAAGCUUGAGUUGUCUUAGUGUUUUUAGUUUCUUGUGUUGCUAAAGAUUGUUUUUUUUUGGGUGUUGGCUGUUUCUGGAUGGAGUUAAAGAUUCUUUUUUUUGUGUUAAUGUGUUAGUGUGUGUGUUUGGAUGUAGUUAAAGAUUGAGUUGUCUUGGUGUUUUAAGUUUCUUGUGUUGCUAAAGAUUAAUUUUUUUGGGUGUAUGGUGUUUCUGGAUGGAGUUAAAGAUUGUUUUUUUUUUUGGUUCUUUGUUUCUGGAGAUAUGUUAAUGAGAACAUGAUCUUAGAUGGAAGGGUAUGGAGGGCAUGUGUUAGAGUAAAGGUUAGUCGGGUAGGAGUAUUGUCUUGAUUUUUGAUGGUUUAGGCUUGUUGGAGUUUGUCGUGUACUAGCUGUAGUAUGGUAGUUUAGUGUUUAGCCAUAGAUGUUGAGGUGGAGCUGAUCCUUGCUUGUGGUAUCUAUCAUAGUCUGUCAUCUAUUGUGUUUCGACUAUUGCAGUAUUUUGUUGUUGUUAUUGUUAUUGUUUCAUUCUUGUAGGCUUUGCACUGUUCUCUUAUUAGUUGCUAUAUUUUAUCCACUGUUUCCUUCUUCUUUGUACCUGAAUUUACUGCACUUGAGUCGAGGGUCUUGCGGAAACAGGCUCGCCGCCUCCCCGAGGUAGUGGUAAGGUCUGUGUACACUCUACCCUCCCCAGACCUCACAUGUGGGAUUUCACUAGGUAUGUUGUUGUUGUUGUUCCUGGAGAUGGGUAAAGACUGAUUUUUUGGGUUAGUGUAUGUGUUUGUUUCUAGAUGUAGUUAAAGAUUGGAUUGUGUUGGAUGCUUUUGGUUUCUUGUGUUGCUAAAGAUCGACUUAUGGGUAUUUGGUGUUUCCGGAUGGAGUUGAAUAGUUGGACACUGAGUUGUUUGGGUGUUUUUUGGUUUCUGGGUAUAGUUAAAGAUCUGAACUUCUUUUGAUUCAUAUCCCAAAACUUCAUAUAAUCCGCCCCAACUUGCUUGGGAUUGAGGCAUAGCAAUUGUUGUUGUUUUUCGAGUUAGGAUUGAGGCAUAGUGGUAGUAGUAGUAGUAGUAGCUAAGUUGCGCGGACUCUUCAUUUUUGAUGCCGCACCCGUGUCGGAUUGUCAAAAAUACACUAAUUUCAGCGAAUCCGACACGCACUCAUUGACAUUUUUGACGAGUCCGAGCAACAUAGAGUAGUAGUAGUAAUUUUUGUUUUUGUGUGUAAUUAAUUCCCUUAUUAGUUAUUUGGGGUUUUCUUUGUUUCUGCGGCGUUAAAUGGGUUAUGCCUAGUUCAACGCUGGAACUUCUUAGGAGCUGGAGGAGUGUUGAGGAAAAGAUGUAUUGAAGAAGAUCGGUGACAGGUCAUCCCUACUUGUAUAUGGUGGGUGGUUUGGAAAGAGCGGAAUUCAAGGAUACUAGCAAUUCUAUCCAGAAAAUUUGGUUGAAUUGUCUUAGUUUGUUCUUUUUUUGCUGUAAACAGAAUAUAUGGGGGAUAUAGGAUACUUGGAAGAGUUAAUCGGCAAUGUAUAAGUUCUCAGUUUUUUGAAUAGGGGUUUUUGUUUCUGUUGUAAGUAUGGUUUGUAAAGUUCUUAACUUAGCCUGUUUUAGGUGCUAAGUUACGACUUAAUUCAAUUGGUUAUCUUUAUCUCAAAUUUUCUUUUUGGAAUUUUGAAUGUUGUUUUGCGUUUGUGAAGGCGAAAGUUGUACCGGAUAAGUAUGAUGAAAGGACGUACUGUGUUUAUGGAGCGGAUGCUUCUACAGCCUAUGGUUUGGGUGCGUUUGGGUUGCUUCUGAUUAGCCAAACGUUGGUUAACGGUGUUACCAAGUGCUUGUGUUUUGGAAGAGGAAUGACGGGUGGUAGUUCUACUACUUGUGCCAUUUUCUUCUUUGUCUUCUCCUGGUAAGAAUAUGGUUACUCUUUUCUCUCUUACUUUCGUUCUUUUGUCUGGUUUUAGUUCAUUUACCCCUAGAGUUUAUGAAAUAUUCACGCGAUUUAGGCAAUAAAAUUGUAUUUGUUUAUUGGGCUUAAUUCUCGGUGUUUGUAUUGGAUGGAUGGUGGAGCACUAUCUGUUAAGGUGUUGCUGUUGUUCAGUGACUUUGCAUAUACCUAUGUGUUUCUCCACUUAUUGAAUAGUACCGAAGUGCCUAUACGACCUAUUCCGUUUGGUUAGGUUAUUUAGCCUUUGUCUGAUGUUACGUUACUCAAUUAGGCAUUGCAAAUGUUUGACCUCUUCUCACUCUUGUCUAUAUGACCCCGUCCCAUCUGUUUGUACCAUUUUGAUGAAGUUCUGUACCCCUUUAUUAGUCACCGUAAUCUUCCCGUCUGUUUACACCAUUUUGGUGAAGCUCUGUACCCCAUUCUCUCAUGGUUUAGAUUCUUUUCUUUCGAGACAAAACCGUGUCACUAGAUAAAUUCUUCUAUCCUUUUAUACCGUGCACCAAGUGCAAUCGGUAAACAAAUGCUCAAAACCCGUAUAAUUACCCGUAUAAUUUUUUCACCAAGGAAAUUGAUUCGUUAAGUUGUUUGUGAGUAGUUGUGACACCUCUAACAGGUGCAAACCCAUGAUGGAUCUUUGACUUGCCACUUGAUGUUUGCCCCAAUCUUAUCGGCAAUAAGUGGUUGAAUAGAUAGAGAUAAUGAAAAUAUUUCGGAGUUCCGCUGAAGUGAGUUUUUGACUUUUUUUUUGGGUGCAACAGUUUGUCCUGUUAUCUCAUGACGUAUUAGCCUUAGCAAAUGUUGCACGUAUACACAAGUUAAUUAGGAAGAAACAUGAAAUGUAGUUUCCGUAUAUGUCGUAACUGAAUUUGAAAGGGGACACUUCAACAAUCUGUGAUAGUUUUUGCCUUUCGGAAGUAUACAUAUGUAACUCUCAGCCAGUUCUGGUUUGUGUUUGCUUCACUUUCUCAAUCAGUUAGAAUGUGCUAAAUUAGGAGAGAGAUAACAGGAGGUAGAAAUAUGAGCAGUAAAUUCUACCACUAGUUUGAUGGAGUUAGCGCGCAAAUGAUUUAGGCUCGAAUAAAGCAGAAUGGUAACACGAUUCAUACAACCGGCCCCUACUUUGUUUGUGAUCAAGGUAUAGUUUAAAAGACUAUGAUGUAAGAGCAAAUUCAACUUUGUUCCCUCGAAAAUGUAAAAAGCGGGAGGGAGCCGGGGAGGGGGGAGUGAGAAUGCUAGCAAAUCUCGGAGAUACUUUCAUUACUUUGACAUCUUUUCUCUAUCACAUUCGUUUACUUUUCGGUUCACAUUCUAUGGACGCCAUCAUGAUAGUUACUUGAUGGAAGUAAAAUUACAUAAAGCUAGUGCUUACGUCCUCUUUUGAAUGACAAACAGGGUUAGUUUCUUAGGAGCAGAAGCGUGCUUAUUGGCAGGAUCGGCAAAGAAUGCAUAUCACACAAAGUAUCGCGCUGUUUUCCAAGUUGAAAACCUGUCAUGUGCCACCCUCCGAAAAGGUGUAUUUGCUGCUGGCGCUGCUCUGACGUUACUAUCAAUGAUCGGAUCCGUUUUCUACUACUGGAUACACUCAAAGGCUGAUACCGGUGGAUGGCAAAAGCACCAAAACGAAGGACUUGGUAUGGCGACAUCUAACUACAGCGAAUCUACUGAAAGAAAGGGCUGAAAUAUCGUUACAUUAAAGGCAUAUCGUUGAGGAACUUAAGCAUGAAGAGUUCUCGGUUUGGUUUUUGUACCACCCGUAGUUACAUACAUAAUAUAGUUAUAUAUGAACGUAGUCCAUAGUAUCUGCCGCGUCUACAGUUAUAUAUGAACGUAGUCCAUAGUAUCUGCCGCAUCUACGUCCUGUCUGUAAUAGCUUUACUUUGAUUGUCAACUGUAUGCAUAUGUACAAUGUAAGCCUUCAUUGUUGUGAAGGUUAUUUUAGAUUAUGAUCUCUAUGAUUUUCACUUGGAAAAGAGUACAAUUUUAUAUUCUGAAUCAAUUUUCUGCAGUUUACUUCUAUAUAAGUAGCAAACUAUGAAAUGAAAGAUGAUUAUUCACGUUCGGGAAUCUUAGUAGCUCAGUCUGUCGGUCGGUCGGUUAUCUGAACUUUCCCCUUGUUGGUGAGGUUCGAUUCUCCCCUUUGUAACCCCCUUCUCUAUUUCCAAAAAAUCCCUACCCCCUGUUUCGUCGAAAAAAAGAAUGGUAUUCACUUUCCUUAGUUCAACUCGGGCCUGUAUGAGCUUGCUCACAUUUGUCAGUCUCAAGUUCCAAAAAAGGAGGAAGGUUGCGAUAGGCUGACAGUCCGCAUAAAACUUUUUUUUUUUUUUGAUAAUCGUGGUGUCCAGAUCAACUUUCGCGCACCUCGACUAAAUCCACGGAAUACCUGCCGCCUCCCACCAGCAACGGAUACCAGGUAACUCUGUCCACCAAGUCUGACAGAUGGGAAGAGUUGCAUUUCUUUGCACUUGCUUUUGCCUUGCCAAUUACUUUUUGAGUUCAUAGGUGUGUAAUGUGUUAUUCAUGGGAAAAAAGCUUCUUAUUUCUCAAAAUUUUUUAAGUGGAUUGAUUUAUCAAGUAAAUGUGUCCAAGUAACUUUGCUAAUUGUGGAUGUAUAAGAUACUUUCGCUCUUAAUCAGAGUUCUCGGGUUCAAGUUUCGAAAAUUGAAGGGAAUGGAGGAGCCCCCAGCGUGAUACGAAUCUAGAAGUUUCGAAAAUUGAAGGGAUUGGAGGAGCCCCCAGCGUGAUACGAAUCUAGAUUAGUCAGGCCAGAAAAAAUUGGAGGAGAUACAUAAAGGCAUAACACAUAAAUAUGACCCUAAACUUGACACCAAAUUAUAACAUUAACCUUAAACUUUAACAUUGCACAAAUAGGACCUUUAACUAUUCAAAACCUGAACAAAUAGACACCUCGAUCCUAUGUGGUAAAACUCAUGUUAUACAUGCAAAACAGCGUGCGUCCGAGUUGGAAUUGAAGGUUUUUUUGGUUCAGCUUUUGUAUAGCUACAGGGCCUAUUUGUGCACCGACAAAGCUAAAGGUCGUACUUAUAAUGUGUUUUUUUAUUAGGUGGCACUAUAUGAGUGGAUUAGUAAUUCACGUCAGAGCAAGUGAGGUACACGCGUGCAGUUGCAAAAUCGGAGUGUCUUCUUGUUUAGGUUUUGAAUAAUUAAAGGGUCUACUUGUGCACUAUCAAAGUUUAAGGUCAAUGUUAUAAUUUGGUGUCAAAUUUAGGGUUAUCUUUAUGUAUUAUGCCAUACAUAAAAUUAUCCUUUCUUUAUGUUGAACUCAUUAUUGUAAUUUGUACUACUAAUCAUGGGUUAACAAAGCUUCAAUUGCUUGGUUAGAGGCAGAAAAAUGAAUUAAAUAAUUAACUCCCAACAUUAAUACCAAUACCGUAGUACCAUUGAAUAACAACUUUAAGGAUAUAACAUCUUAGACAUAAAAACUAAUUAUAGAAUACAACAACAAUUACAUAGGCCUCAGUCCCAAACAAGUCGGGAUCAGCUAUAUGACUCCUCACUGACCAUAUUACUCCAUAUAAAAUCAUCGAUUAUUGAGAACAACAAACAACCACAACAUAGACAAGUCGGGGCCGGUUGUAUGACUCCUCACUGAUCGUACCAUGUUACAACUCCAUAUAAACUCGUCUUAGGCCAGUAUAUUAAAAGUUAAUAAUACAGAACAACAAACGACUACUAUACGUAGACAGGUGGAACGUAAACAAGUAAGGGUUGGCUGUAUGACUCCUCACUGAUCGUACCAUGUUACAACUCCAUAUAAACUCGUCUUAGGCCAAUAUAUUAAAAGGCUAAUAAUAUAGAACAACAAACGACUGCUAUACGUAGACAGGUGGAACGUAAACAAGUCAGGGUUGGCUGUAUGACUUCUCACUGAUCGUACCAUAUUACUCCUCCAUAUAAACUCAUCUUAGGCCAAUAUUAAAAGGCUAAUAAUACAUAACAACAAACUAGUACAUAGACAGGUGGAACGUAAACAAACAAGGGUUGGUUGUAUGACUCCUCACUGAUCGUACCAUGUUACAACUCCAUAUAAACUCGUCUUAGGCCAAUAUUAAAAGGCUAAUAACAUAGAACAACAAACAACUACUAUACGUAGAAAGGUAGGAUGUAAACAAGUAAGGAUCGGCUGUAUGACUCCUCGCUGAUCGUACCAUGUUAUCUUAGCAUCUUGGGAAAGGUGAACCACAAGUAGUAGCAACUUUCUUUGCAUUAGGAGAAGAAAUCAUCUUUUGAAGUCUUGGAUCCUUCAUGUAUUUGCAAAGACAUGGCCUUUGUUCUUUCAACUUUGAACAACAAAUUGCACUUGGUGUUGUUGAUGAUGUUAUGGCAUUUGCACAAGGACUUAGUUGCAAUGGGUUGCAAUUCACAGCUCCAUUUGUUACCUUAGUUUCUUGAACAAGAACAAACAAAAGUACAAUUGCAAGAAGAGCCACAAAUUUCAUUGCCAUUUUGUGUUAUCAAGUGUGUGUGUGUAAGAGAGAGUUGUUUGUAAGUGAUGAGAGUACUAUGUUGUUGUUGUGGUUUUUGUGUGUGUUGUGUUGAAUGUAUUGGCAUGUAGGCUCUAUUUAUAGAAGGGGAAUGUCAGAAGCGGAUUCAGAAUUUAAACUUAACGAGUUCACCUUUUAAGGAUUUACGUACAAAUGAAAUAUAGUAUUUUUGGAAUUAAAGGUUCAGAAUUUUCUAUUUGUCGCAACUUUUUGCCCCGACUAAUCCGGAUCACGCAUUGCAGGGCCCAUUUUGGGGGUGACGCUCCCAACAAAAUUUUCUGCAUAUUCGGGGCUCGAACCUGAGACCUCUGAUUAAGGGUGGGGUAAUCUCACCUCUGAUUAGUCGCACCUUUAAUGAUUUAUCAUACAUAUAUCUAUGUUUUAUGGCGAAAAUACUGAUUUCAGUUAAACACAUUAUACAAAUAUUGCAAAGUUAAAUAUAUACUAAAUAAAGAAGAUUUUCUUUUUCUCCCCUCUACUUUUAUUCCCUUCAUAAAGUUUUAGGUUAAAGUAAAAUAAGGAUUUUUUUAAAUACAAAUAGAAAGAGAUCUAAAGUAUUUUUCACAAAUCAUUUAUUUGAAAGAUUGUAAUCUUUCCACUUUUUUAUGAAACUACACAGAAAUGACUUUGUCAUGUUACAUGUUUUAUUAUUUAAAUGAAAAAAAACACUUUAGUCUUGUUACCUGUGGUUGAACAGAGAGGCGGAGUCAGAAUUUUCACUAAUAGAGUUUAAAAUUUGAAAAAAAACUAAUCGAAGGGGUUCAAAUCUAUAAUAUAUACAUAAAAUAUAAUUUUAGUCAUAUAUAAAUAGUAUAUUUUUUGCUGAAGGUAGCUCGGAUGAAUCCCCAUGCCAAAGGCUGGCUUCGCCCCUGGUUGAACAAUGGUAUACAAUUUCCACGGAACUGCCAUGGAGGACACGUGUGUUUAGAUAAUGGUAUACAAUUUACGAUCGCAAUUUUUUAGAUGCGCGUUGAAUAAAUCUACUCUCGUGCCAGAAUUUAUCAAUUACACGAGAUAUGUAAAUUAUACUAGAUAAAUUCAAUGCGAUGAACUCGACUGAAAAGGAUAAUAGAUGGAGGAUUUAAAGUUAUUCAUGCAUUAUUAGUAAUAAUUUAGGCAUGCUUACCAUUAGUUGAUGCAAUCAUAACAAUCAUGAGUGUCAUGAGCAAAUAUUAUGAAUCCAUAAAAGUUUUUGUUUUAAUUUAUUUAUUUUCAAGUGGUCCUAUUCUUUGACUAAACAAAAUUCGAGAUAGCUUUAAGAUUUACAAUUAGUGAAUUUUAGAUUAAAGUUAUUGAAUUUUAAAUUUGUACAUAUUUAAAGAAAAUGCCAAUACAUUAUUUGAACUAUAAAUAUUAUACAUAUAAAGCAGAUAAUAUUUUAGUCAUUUGCAUCAAGCUCAAACAUUCUUCUUGUAUGCACGCCCAUAAUAAGAAGUAAAAUUUGAUUGACAGCGUGUUCAAUCAAAUGGGUGAUUUGCUUUGACGAUUCACUAUUUGAAAGACGAGAGAACAAACAAUAUCAACGUAAAAUCUUAAGGGAUAAAUUAUCCUAAAAAUAACAUGACUAUAAUUAAAUUCCAGUCAAACAUAAGAUAAACUCAUCUUAAAACUAAUCUUAAGAUAAGUUUAUAACCAACAUGGAUUGUGGUGCAGUGGGACUGCUCCACCCUUAACCAAAGGUCUCGGGUUCGAGCCCUGCAACACGUGAUCCGAAUUAAUUGGGGCUCUAAUGCGGACACCGAAUAUCGAAUGGAAAACAAAAAAAAACAGGUUUAUAAGUUAUUAUCAUUCAUCCCUCACACCGAACAAACCCUAAAAGUCUGAUUGGUAUUAUAAUUUUAUUAUUCAUAUAAUAUAAAUAUCGAGUGCAAAUAAAUAUUUAACUUAAAAAUAAUGUCUCCUAAUCAUGAAGGAGUCAUUCUUUUCGGUGAUGUGAUCCAAUCCAUCAACUUUUGGGCAUGGCAUGCGCCUACUAUAUAGUAUAAUAUCACACUUUAUUGUUGUCCUAUUUUUUUUAUUUUUUUUUUAUUAUAAGUCAAGGUGAAAUAUAAUUUCAUCAUUAUAACUUAUAAGAAAGGGCCCAACCUUGGCAUGCAUCACGUACAAAAAAAAAUUUCAAACAUCAAGAAUAUACUAUAUAUAGUGUAUACGACUUAGGUUGAUCUCGCUUGCUGUCAAAAGCGCAUUUUGUGAAGUGUUCUCCUGCCUCUGUCACCUGAGAUAAAGUCAAUCAUGGGUGGACCUAGGUUUAAAAAUAUGUUGCUUCGGCACCCGUAAAACCCCACGCAGAAUAUGUAUAAUUAUAUAAGAAAUGUAUAGAAAUUGAUAUAAGAUGAAAAAAAAAAAAAAAAAACACUCAUGAAACCAAGAAGAUAGCUAAGUACUUUGAUUUUCAGAAGGAACCUUAAAGCUUUCAGUGUUAAUAUGUGUGUUUGAACAUCCCGAGCAGUGGCGGAGCCAGAAUUUUCACUAAGGGGGUUCAUAAGUGAAUAUAAAAACUAAUCAGAAGGGGUUCAACAUCUACUAUAUAUACAUAAAAAAUAAUUUUAACCAUGUAUAUAUAUAACAUAAUUUUUUGUCGAACGGGGUUCGGAUGAACUCCCUAAACCAAAUGUAGCUCCGCCCCUAAUCCCGAGCACCCACGACCCUUAAAUCCUAGGUCCGCCACUGGUUAGUCAACUGAAAAUCGUGAUUGGAGUCGUAGUUCGAAGACCAAUUUGAGUUUUACUCACAUUUUCUGACCCCCGGUCGGAAUGGUUUGUGGAAGUGUACAAAGUAUCUUAUGUUCACGUAGAAUGAGGAAAGGUCGCAUUCUCUCUAAGAGGUGUAAUGUUAGACAGUCUUAUCGUAAAGCAAGCAUCGUCAUUAGCUAAUUCCACAAUUUGAACUUGGAACCUACGGAUACGUUACAGGAGUACGGCUUUAUCAUUGUUGUAACGCUCCCCUUCGAUAAGCCUUAAUUAAUAAAGAAAUUUGCGAUAAAGAAAACUUUUACCUUUAUAGGGCUUUACACAACACGAAUCUAAAUUAACAAGCUUUCGAAUAAUAAAACUUUUCUCACUUCAAAAAACUUUUCUUGCAUUUUCUUUUCUCCGAGAUUUAUAUUUCUAAAUAAGAAACCAAAAUAAAAAUAAAAAAAUUUAAUAAAAAAAUUGAAAAUGUUGAAAACAAAUUAAAGUGGAAUGGGUAUUAUUCUGUCUGGGUUGAAAUUCAAUGAAUAAACAAAUGCUUUUACUUAAUUUUGACAAUGAUUAGUCUAUACAUAAUUUUUUCCAGGACCUAAAUAUACUAUAAAUAAUUAGUGUCACUAAUGAUUGCUCCAUUUUAGAAAUUUGAUACCCUAUAGAGCUAACGUUAAUUAUUAUUUUUUAUUUUUUUAAAAAUAUAAUGUAAAACUCUUCGAUACAACAACAAUAAACCCAUUAAUUUUAUAAGUGGAGUCGUCAGAAGAUAAAGUGUAAAGCAGAUUUUAUCUCUAUCUUUUAAGAGAUACAAAAUUAUUAUUUAUGAUAAAUCCUCAGUUAAACAAUUAAUUAAAUCAAGGUAAAAUAAUCUUUUUUGUUAAGACAAGUUAGUGGUCAAAGAUCUUAUCUAAUCUUUGAUUAUGUUAAAAAGCCAAAUAAUAUGGAAACUUUUAUUGCAAAAAGUUGACAUUUAAGUCUAAAUGUUUAGAUUGCAAUAAAUUGGAAAAUGACAUGACAUUGAUAUGUCUUUGACCCAGUUACUUUAAAUUUUACCAACAAAAUAUAUAAAUAAAUCUAACAUAAUGUUUAUUAAUUUAUUUACAACCUAAUACAAUUUUAACAAAACACAAUUUACUGGUUAAUGACACAAAUUUAGUUUGAAAACUUAUAUACAUUUAUUGGAUCAAAUUUGUCUUAAAAUUGAGAUUAUUUUAUUAUUUUAUUUUCUUAUGAGUAAGGACCAAUUUCUAAGAUAAUCUAAAAAUUAGAUAUAGUAUUAAGUCUUGAGAUAAAUAACUGCUUUUAAGAUUGUCAUUUAAAAUAUAAUCGAAUUUUAUUGUGGAUAUAAUAUUUAUGCUGUCAAAUUCUAACAAUUUUUGAGGCUAACUAAUGCAAUUUCGACCUGGUGUGAUUAGGGCUGGGCAUUCGGUUUGUUCGGUUUGAUAGUUUAAUAUCGGUUUGGUUUUUCGAUUUUCGGAUUGACAAAACUGAUAACCGUAAUCAAACCGAAAUAAAUUCGGUUUGGUUCGGUUCGAUUAUUUCGGAUUUUUAUUUCGAUUUUGAAGAUUAAAGUAGUGAACUUCUCUCUGUUAUGACUGGACAUUUAAAAUUAAUGAUUUUUUUAAAAAAAAAAUUCGAACUUAUUUUUCAUUUCUAGAUAUAAAUAACUCAACAUGGAUGAAACUAAAUGAUAUAACCAUAAGUUUAACAUAAUAUAUAAUUUCAUUAUGCAUAAGUUUGCAUAAACAGUAGGAACUCGAAAGAGUGGUCGGUGCCGGAAAGACCACAGUCGGCACUGCAGGCUGCAACCCACAAUGGUCGUCUGGUCGCCGGCACUGAUGUUGUUGUACAGACGACGAUCUCGCCGGCGGUUUAUGGUUCGAUCAAUUUUUCGACUAUUGGAUUGAUGUAUGUUGUUAGUUGUAUGUGACGUGCUAUUACUUAUUAGUUAUUAGGGUUGCUAUUAUAUAUUUAUAUUAUAUUAUUAUAUAUUAAAUAUUAAGAAAAAGAUAUCGUUUUCACCCCAAACUAUAGUCGAAAAGUCAAAUCAACACCUAAACUAUAUAAGUGACCUAUUUCACACCUUAACUAUAAGAAAGUGAUACUUUUUACACCCUGUCAGACAUUACACCAAUUGCAUGUGGUGUGGUGUUUUACACGUGCUGUCACGUCAGCACCACGUCAGCAUAAUCAAAAAAAAUAAGGAAAAAGGCAUCAUUUCCACCCCAAACUAUAGUCGAAAAGUUGAAUCCACACCUAAACUAUAUAAGUGACUUAUUACACACCUUAACUAUAAAAAAGUGAUACUUUUUACACCCUGUCAGGCCUUACACCACUUGUGUGGUGUUUUACACGCGCUGCCACGUCAGCAUAAUCCGAAAAAAUAAUAAAUUUAUUAUUUUCAUAAUUUUCAUAAUUUUUUCAAUUUUCAUAAUUUUUUCUUUUUUCUUUUUAAUUUAAUUUUUUUCCCUUCUUCUUCAAUGUCUAAAACCUCCAUUGUUGUCAAUGUCCAAAACCUCCAUUACACCAUAUUCACCACCAUAAACUUUAUCUCACCAACAAAAUUACUAUAACAAUUAAUUUCUUCUAAUAUUGUUCUUCACCCGUAACCCAUUGUUUUUUCUUAAAAUAAAAAAUAAAAAAAUUCUCAGCUAUAAUGGUCAUUAUUGUUUCAAAAAAUGGUCACUCGACUGCUGGCCUCUAUGUUUUAAAUGGUAAUGACCAACACCUUUCCGUACUUUUUCUAUUUGUUUUUCAUCUAUAAUAAUAAUAAAAAAAAAAAAACUAAUAUGGUAGCAAGCUACAUUUUUGAAUGGAUUAAUAAUUAACAGACAGAGAGGAGAAAGUCGACGAUGAAUCUGACUUUUCCGACGAGAAUUCACCGAAAAACAUCCUUGCUACAAAAUUUUAUAAUUUUUUUUCAUAAAAUUUGAUUUUACCCGUUUAAACAUCAAAUACAAUUUGAUUUUGUUCAUUGUGAAAUUGACAUUGAUUCGAUGAAGGUGGAGGAUGAAUUGUAUUAUUUGGGGAUGGGGUUGGAAUUUGGAGAUGGGGUGAUGAAGAAAUUGUGUUGGUUGAGGUGGGGGUGAUGAAGAAGAAGAUGGUUUGGGGUUGGGGUUAGGGUUGGAGUUGGGGGAAGAGUAUUUUAAUUUUUUUAAUUUUUUUUUGCAUUAAUUUUUAAUUUAAACGCGUCAAUUUUUAUUUAAAUAAUUAUGUAUUUUCCACGUUAGAUCUAGGUAGUAAAAAGUAUCACUUUUUUAUAGUUAAGGUGUGUAAUGGGUCACUUAUAUAGUUUAGGUGUGGAUUCGACUUUUCAACUAUAGUUUGGGAUGGAAAUGAUGACUUUUUCCUUAACGUUUUUAGCCGUUUACUUUUGUUAUUUAAUAGGAUGGACGCGCCUAAAAUUAGUGUAACAUACGCGCCUUAGAAUGGGGGUCGCGGGGAGGUAAUAAUAUCACUUUUAUAUAGUGAAGGUGUGUAAUAGGUCACUUAUAUAGUUUAUGUGUUGCUUCGAUUUUUCUUGUAUAGGGUGGAAAUGAUGUUUUAUCAAUUAUUUAUAGAAUUUCGGUUUAUCGGAAUUAUUUUUUUGAAAAACAGAAUACCAAACCGUUUAACCGAAUUUCAAAAAUUGAAAACCGAAAUCGAUUCGAAAGAUCAAAAGACUAAAAUCGAAAUUAAAAUUUCGAUUUAAUUUUUUGAUUUUUUCAGUUUAAACCAAAAUAUGCCCAGUCCUAGGUAUGAUCCAUUGAUUCUAACUGGGCCUUCAAAAUAUAUUGGACCCAGUUAAUUACUUCACGAAAUAGUGAGAGUUUCAUAAAUAUUAUAGUUCAUAGCAAAAGUUGAUUUUAUUACUUUAAAGAUUUGAGUAGCUUAAAUUAAAGUAUUAAAAUAUUUCUAUUGAACGAGGAUCGUUUUUUUAAUUUAUAUAUUGAUUUUAUAUUUUUUCUCAAAAACUAUAUUCAAUGCAGUGGCGGGCUCAGGAUUUAGGAGUUGUGGGUGUCCGGGAGAUCAGAACACACAUAUUGACGCUCAAAGCUUUAAAGUGAUGCCUGAAAACAAAAGCACCCAUCUAUCUUCUUGCUUUACUGGGUACUUUUCUAUGUCUUAUACCAAUUUUAAUACAUUUUUUUAUAUGACUAUACCUAAUCAACAUUGGAUUUAACGGGUUCUCGAGCAUCCCGAAAUCAACCUUAGGUCCGCCUAAUUCAAUGUCGUCAAAAAGAAAACAAAAUCACAAACUUAACAAUAGAAGAUUUGAGGCCUCAAAAUUUUGAAAGCUUAACGUAAAGACUUUACUAGCCUCAUCGUUGAGCCACCCUGUACCUUCCUCAUUAAAAAUCGUCCCCCAAAUAAAAAAGAAGAUUGAAUUAAUAUAAUGAUAUAACAACAAAGAAGCUAGCUAGCUAGAUAGGUUUUCAUAGUUGUGAAGCAAAACUUCAAUGCCAUGCUAAAGCUAUUCUUUACUUUGCUUGUAUUGUAUGUUUAUAUACUUUUUACUCCUAAAUUUAUAAUUACAUCUACCUAUAAAUAAAAUUAUAACCCCACUGUUGUAUUAUAUUCAAACUCCAAGAAAUCAUCAAACAAUAUUAUUACUCAUAAUAAUUUCAUAAGCAAAAAUGCCAAUUUAUUCAUCUGAUUCUGAUGAUCCACGUCCUUCUUCAUCUUCAAUACGUCCAAGAAAUUUUUUGGCUCAUGAUAGACCCAUGCAUGCAAUUCUUGGAGGUGGAAAAGGUACUUUCUUUUAAUGCGGUUCAACUGAAUUCAUUAUUUUCGAUCUGAACUAUGAAAUGUAAAAAGACAUCUCGAUGUACGAAGUAUACAUGAGUUUACGUACAAGAAUAUAUAGACUUAUCAUGCAUGAUUGAUGCAAUCAUCAGUUGCUGAUUCCAUGGUUCGAAUCCCUAAAGUACUUAUACGUUAAUUACCCAAAGACAAUUUUACUAUUGAUCCAAAAUUCCCCUUCAAAUUCGUUAUUUUCGAUUUGAACUAUGUAAUAUAAAAGGACAUUUGGAUGUACGAAGUAUACAUGAGUUCACGUGCGAGAAUAUAUAAAUAGCCUAGGCCUAUCAUGCAUGAUUGACGCAACCAUCAGUUGCUGAUUCCGUGGUUCAAACUCAUAAACUACUUAUAAGCAGGGGCGGAGCUAUCCUUAGGCCAGGAGCUCAUCCGAAUCCCCUUCAGUGAAAAAUUGUACUAUUUAUAUAUAGUUAAAAUUAUUUUUUUCCGUAUAUAUAGUAGAUGUUGAACUCCCUUCAUUAGUUUGUAUGUAAACUUCUGAACCCCCUUAAUGAAAAUUCUAGCUCCGCCACUGCUUAUAAGCAAGGGCGAAGCUAGCAUACAAUGAGGAGAUUCAUCCGAACCUUCUUCGGUGAAAAAUUAUACAGUACUAUUUAUAAAUGGUUAAAAUUGUUUUAUAUAUAUANNNNNNNNNNAUAGAUGUUGAACCCCUACAGCUAGUUCGUGUACGCACUUUGAACCCCCCUCAAUAAAAAUCAUGACUCCGUCACUACUUAUAAGUUACCCAAAGACAAUUUUACUAUUUUGACGAUUGACGAACCUACAUUAAUAUUGUGUACGUGUGAUAAUUUCUUAUUUACGGUAAAUCUGCAUGAUUUUCUCCCAAAAGUUUAUAUUCGUACACUUUAUAUAUAUAGCUUAGUUUUUCUUUUUUUUCAUCAAUUUUCAAUGUGAGACUUUUGUUAGCGCAUUAUAUUGCAUUUUGAACUCCAUGGAAAUAACUUUUUUUUUUCGGUGCAGUUGCUGAUAUAUUAUUAUGGAGAGACAAAACAUUAACAGGAUCAAUUUUAAUUGGAUUUACAGUAAUUUGGUCCCUUUUUGAAAUUAUGGAUUAUAAUUUUGUGACAUUUUUGUGUCACAUUUCCAUGACCGUGAUGUUAAUUCUCUUCAUUUGGUCCAUGGGAGCUGGAUUUAUUGAUUGGUAAAUUUUCAUUAUAUAUUCUCUAAUUUAAUUUAUAUACAUCGAUAGUAUACAAAAUUGUUACCUUGGUUUGACCUGUUGUAACAUAUCGACAACUUGUCCUAUUAUCAUAAAAUCACUAAUUUCUGAUAAACAUAUUCUAUCAGAAUUCGACUUGUGAUAAGGGGUUUCUGACGAGCCAAAAUCCGAUGGAUUAUGUCGGAAAUUCCAAAUGGAAUGUUAAUUUUCAAGAUUUUUUUGUGAAGGUCGAUUUGAUGAUCUGAUAGUGCAAAAAAUUCUAAAAUUUUCAGGAAUCCUCUCGAUAAAUUUUGACUUAUAUUCUCGAAUUUAACUUAUUUACAUCUAUAGUAUAAAAAAUUGUUGCAUUGGUUUGACCUGUUGUAACAUAUCGAUGACUUGUCCUAUUACCACAAAAUCACUAAUUUCUGACAGAUAUCCUAUCAGAAUUCAACUUUUGGUAAGGGGUUUCUGACGAGCCAUGGAUUAUGUCGGAAAUUCCGCAGAAUGUUAAUUUUCUAGAUUACAAAUCGUACUUUUAUGAAGGUCGAUUUGAUGAUCUGAUAGUGCAAAAAUAUUUAAAAUUUUCAAGAAUCCUCCCGAUAAAUUUUCACUUAUAUUCUCGAAUUUAAUUUAUAUAUAUCGAUAGUAUACAAAAUUAUUACGUUGGUUUGACCUGAUGUAACAUAUCGAUAGCUUGUCCUAUUACCACAAAAUAACUAAUUUCUGACAGACAUCCUAUCACAAUUCGACUUGUGGUUAAGGGGUUUUUGACGAACCAAAAUCUGAUGAAUUACGUCGGAAAAUCCGAUUGGAAUGUUAAUUUUCAAGAUUUUUUUGUGAAGGUCGAUUUGAUGAUCUGAUAGUGCAAAAAAAUCUAAAAUUUUCAGGAAUCCGCCUGAUUUUCGAGCAUUUAUGAUAUCAGAUUCAACAUUUAGAUGGUUAUGUGGAAAAUUGAACUAUAUGUUAGUGAAAUUCUAUGAAAUUUCAUCUGGAAAAGAUUUCAGAACUUUUUUUCUGGUAAUUUUUUUUAAUCAUAAUUUAUGUGCAAUUUAAUUCAUUAAUUUUUUGCUUUUAUUUUCUAUUUAUUUUUUGUUUAACUCUAAUUUUUUAUUUUUUAUUUUGUACCUUAGGCAAUCACUUCUCUAUGGAUAUUGUCAAUUAUUGGAAAUUACUUUAGCUCUCUGAAUUUGUUGUACCUAGGUAAUGUUAUAAAAUUUGGACAUUUUAUUUUAUUUAUAAUAAUAUUCCCUCUUCAUUUUAUUAUGACGUUUUUGUUUUUGUGACUAUAAAUCAUGUCAUCAACGAUUAAAAUGAGAAAAGUUGGAUCGUUUUCAAAUAUAGGUAUGUGUUACUCUUUAUAGAACGAACCAAAAAUGACACAUUAUCGGAAAAAAAAAUUAAAUCUAAAAUUCUCAUUUCACCCUUAAUGACACAAUUUAACAGCUGUAAAAUGGCAUGGCAUAUCUGUAACCACAAAUUUCAAAACUCGUCUUUUUCUUUUCACUUAAAUUUCGUGUUCAAUCAAACACGACUACACGAAAAUCAUAACUGUUCGAAGAUAGUGGGCGAGACUCAAACUCGUGACAUUAUGAUUCGAAUUAUGACAUUUAUUUUCUUCUGUUCAUUUUGUAAACGGUCAAGAGAUCUUAAUUCCUCGAUUUAUUUUGAAUUGGUUUUGUAGGGUUUGUUUGUUUGGCAACAUUACCAGCUUUAUAUGAAAGGUAUCAAAAUGAAGUGGAUUAUUUAGUAAAGCAAGGUAAUCAAGAUAUGAAAAAACUUUAUAAUAAAUUUGAUACUGAAGUUCUCAACAAGAUUCCAAGAGGACCUGUCAAGCAAAAGAAAAAGUUUUGAGUGUUUCAACGAGAACAUCGAAAAAACCUAAUUCAGCUCGACAUAAGAUAGUCAAAAUAUGAUUGAGCAGGGGAGAGGGGGGGGAGGGGGGGCAGUUCAAGAAAAUUGGCUGUGGAUUCUGUAUAUAUAAUGAAAAAUGUAAUUGUAAUUUUUAUGCUUAAUAUGAUGAAGAAAUUGUGUUGUUAUUGCUGUAAUUAUUAUUUGUAAUUUUUAGUACAUUAUUCUAUUGAAGUAAUUAGAAAUUCGUUACUCCAUGUCCAUGAUUGAACUUCAUAUUUAGUUAUUUUUUUAAUCAUCGUGACGUUCGAAUUAGCUUUCGUAAAUUUCUCAUAUUUAAACUUAGAUAUAUUAUUCAGUGCAAAGAAAGAUGAAAUAAUAUAUAAUAGUUAAAAAUUAUUAGUUCACCCUUUACAUAAUUACUUAUCCCUUCAAUGUAACAAAGAGACAAUUCUUCCACUAACAUUUUCAACAAAACAAAAAACUCUAGAAUAUCAAUGACUUUGGGGAAACUAAAAGAAUCAGGCUACAAACUUAAAUUGAGAAUUUUUUUUUUUUUAUCUGGUAUUUAAUAUCUGCUUAAAUAAGGUUCAACUAAUUUAAAUUCAUACCAAAAAUCUCACUUGGGACAAAAAGCCAUCUAUCAAAAUCGAUUCAUAGCCCGCAAGGGCAUGGUUGUGCAGUUGGAAGGUGGGUCUCGACCUGGGAUCGAAUCCAGUCGUCGUCUAUCACAUAGGGUUUGCCUAGGGCAGUUUGAGAUAUUACACGAUGAGCAGACUAUUCAGUUCACAGAAUAUUCAUCUGAACAACAGAGACUAUGACAGAAAUUGUGAAUUUUCUAAACAUUUCAAACAAAAAGCGAUUUAAUUUUUUGAACUCAAAAUCUCUGAUUAAGAAUCUAUGUCCACUUACUUACCCACACCGCCACAAUCAUGAUGCACAUAUGUAUAUAUAUAUAUAUAUAUAUAUAUUUACUUUUUUAUGAUUGCACAAAAUAAAUUAGAUUCCAUGCACUAUGCAUAUUAAGGUUCAUGACCAAUUAACUAGUGUCAAGGUGUCAUCUAUAUUCAUUAUUACAACAAAGACAUCAUCAUCAACAUAUAUUCAAGAAUGUGAAAAUCUAGAAGUUUCUAUGGAGUUAUUACAUCUUUAGCAUGCCAGUGGUUACAAUUUAAACCACGUGUCCACAUGGCAUUGGUCUUUCUAUUUUUGUUGUAAACUAUAGGUGUCAAACGGGCCGGUCUGGGCCAACCCGGAACCGACCCUUCCAUUUUAAUCGGGUUGAGGGUCGGUUAAGGACUAGUUUUGACGUUAGUCGGGCCGGGCCGGGCCAAACAGUAAAAAAAUUAAAACCCAUCCUAACCCGACCCACUUAACCCAACCCGAUCAAACCCACCAAAACCCGGUCAAAUCCGGUUAAAAACCGGUCAAAUCCGUUUAAAUAAUAAAUAAAUAAUCCAAUAUACACUAUACACUCCAAUAUACAAUAUAUAUAACAAUUACACAUAUAUACGUACCAUUCAAUAUAUAAUUAUAUAUGACUAUACGUACUAUUUUAAAUAAAACAUAUGCUAUAAUAGUAUUAUAUAUAUAUAUAUAUAUAUAUAUACACACACACACACACUACAAUAAUUUAUAAAAUAUAUACACAUGUAUACGUUAAAUAUAUACUACUUUAGAAGAUAUAUACACAUAUAUAUGCACCAUUCAAUAUAUAUGUACUACUUUAAAUAAAAUAUAUACUACAAUAUACAUAUAUAUAUACAACAAUAUUUAUAUAUAUCUAGUUACAUACUAAUUUAUAAAAUAUAUACACUUGUAUACUUUGAAGAUAUACGUCUAUAGAAGAUAUAUACACAUAUAUGCGCACCAUUCAAUAUGUAUGUACUACUUUAAAUAAAAUAUAUACUACAAGAUACAUAUAUAUGUAUUACAAUGUAUAGAUGGUUAUAACUAAUUUAUAAAACAUAUACACUUGUAUACGUAUAAUAUAUACAUCUAUAUAAGAUAUAUACACAUAUAUACGCACCAAUCAAUGUAUAUGUACUACUUAAAAUAAAAUAUAUACUACAAUAUACAUGGAUUACAAUACAUAGAUAGUUAUAUGAUACUAAUUUAUUAAACAUAUACACUUGUAUACGUUUAAUAUAUAUACAUCUAUAUAAGAUAUAUACACGUGUAUACGCACCAUUCAAUGUAUAUAUACUACUACUUAUAAAAUAUACUACAUUAUAUAUACAUUACAAUAUAUAUAGAUAUACUUAUAUACUAAUUUAUAAAACAUAUACACNNNNNNNNNNNNNNNNNNNNNNNNNNNNNNNNNNNNNNNNNNNNNNNNNNNNNNNNNNNNNNNNNNNNNNNNNNNNNNNNNNNNNNNNNNNNNNNNNNNNNNNNNNNNNNNNNNNNNNNNNNNNNNNNNNNNNNNNNNNNNNNNNNNNNNNNNNNNNNNNNNNNNNNNNNNNNNNNNNNNNNNNNNNNNNNNNNNNNNNNNNNNNNNNNNNNNNNNNNNNNNNNNNNNNNNNNNNNNNNNNNNNNNNNNNNNNNNNNNNNNNNNNNNNNNNNNNNNNNNNNNNNNNNNNNNNNNNNNNNNNNNNNNNNNNNNNNNNNNNNNNNNNNNNNNNNNNNNNNNNNNNNNNNNNNNNNNNNNNNNNNNNNNNNNNNNNNNNNNNNNNNNNNNNNNNNNNNNNNNNNNNNNNNNNNNNNNNNNNNNNNNNNNNNNNNNNNNNNNNNNNNNNNNNNNNNNNNNNNNNNNNNNNNNNNNNNNNNNNNNNNNNNNNNNNNNNNNNNNNNNNNNNNNNNNNNNNNNNNNNNNNNNNNNNNNNNNNNNNNNNNNNNNNNNNNNNNNNNNNNNNNNNNNNNNNNNNNNNNNNNNNNNNNNNNNNNNNNNNNNNNNNNNNNNNNNNNNNNNNNNNNNNNNNNNNNNNNNNNNNNNNNNNNNNNNNNNNNNNNNNNNNNNNNNNNNNNNNNNNNNNNNNNNNNNNNNNNNNNNNNNNNNNNNNNNNNNNNNNNNNNNNNNNNNNNNNNNNNNNNNNNNNNNNNNNNNNNNNNNNNNNNNNNNNNNNNNNNNNNNNNNNNNNNNNNNNNNNNNNNNNNNNNNNNNNNNNNNNNNNNNNNNNNNNNNNNNNNNNNNNNNNNNNNNNNNNNNNNNNNNNNNNNNNNNNNNNNNNNNNNNNNNNNNNNNNNNNNNNNNNNNNNNNNNNNNNNNNNNNNNNNNNNNNNNNNNNNNNNNNNNNNNNNNNNNNNNNNNNNNNNNNNNNNNNNNNNNNNNNNNNNNNNNNNNNNNNNNNNNNNNNNNNNNNNNNNNNNNNNNNNNNNNNNNNNNNNNNNNNNNNNNNNNNNNNNNNNNNNNNNNNNNNNNNNNNNNNNNNNNNNNNNNNNNNNNNNNNNNNNNNNNNNNNNNNNNNNNNNNNNNNNNNNNNNNNNNNNNNNNNNNNNNNNNNNNNNNNNNNNNNNNNNNNNNNNNNNNNNNNNNNNNNNNNNNNNNNNNNNNNNNNNNNNNNNNNNNNNNNNNNNNNNNNNNNNNNNNNNNNNNNNNNNNNNNNNNNNNNNNNNNNNNNNNNNNNNNNNNNNNNNNNNNNNNNNNNNNNNNNNNNNNNNNNNNNNNNNNNNNNNNNNNNNNNNNNNNNNNNNNNNNNNNNNNNNNNNNNNNNNNNNNNNNNNNNNNNNNNNNNNNNNNNNNNNNNNNNNNNNNNNNNNNNNNNNNNNNNNNNNNNNNNNNNNNNNNNNNNNNNNNNNNNNNNNNNNNNNNNNNNNNNNNNNNNNNNNNNNNNNNNNNNNNNNNNNNNNNNNNNNNNNNNNNNNNNNNNNNNNNNNNNNNNNNNNNNNNNNNNNNNNNNNNNNNNNNNNNNNNNNNNNNNNNNNNNNNNNNNNNNNNNNNNNNNNNNNNNNNNNNNNNNNNNNNNNNNNNNNNNNNNNNNNNNNNNNNNNNNNNNNNNNNNNNNNNNNNNNNNNNNNNNNNNNNNNNNNNNNNNNNNNNNNNNNNNNNNNNNNNNNNNNNNNNNNNNNNNNNNNNNNNNNNNNNNNNNNNNNNNNNNNNNNNNNNNNNNNNNNNNNNNNNNNNNNNNNNNNNNNNNNNNNNNNNNNNNNNNNNNNNNNNNNNNNNNNNNNNNNNNNNNNNNNNNNNNNNNNNNNNNNNNNNNNNNNNNNNNNNNNNNNNNNNNNNNNNNNNNNNNNNNNNNNNNNNNNNNNNNNNNNNNNNNNNNNNNNNNNNNNNNNNNNNNNNNNNNNNNNNNNNNNNNNNNNNNNNNNNNNNNNNNNNNNNNNNNNNNNNNNNNNNNNNNNNNNNNNNNNNNNNNNNNNNNNNNNNNNNNNNNNNNNNNNNNNNNNNNNNNNNNNNNNNNNNNNNNNNNNNNNNNNNNNNNNNNNNNNNNNNNNNNNNNNNNNNNNNNNNNNNNNNNNNNNNNNNNNNNNNNNNNNNNNNNNNNNNNNNNNNNNNNNNNNNNNNNNNNNNNNNNNNNNNNNNNNNNNNNNNNNNNNNNNNNNNNNNNNNNNNNNNNNNNNNNNNNNNNNNNNNNNNNNNNNNNNNNNNNNNNNNNNNNNNNNNNNNNNNNNNNNNNNNNNNNNNNNNNNNNNNNNNNNNNNNNNNNNNNNNNNNNNNNNNNNNNNNNNNNNNNNNNNNNNNNNNNNNNNNNNNNNNNNNNNNNNNNNNNNNNNNNNNNNNNNNNNNNNNNNNNNNNNNNNNNNNNNNNNNNNNNNNNNNNNNNNNNNNNNNNNNNNNNNNNNNNNNNNNNNNNNNNNNNNNNNNNNNNNNNNNNNNNNNNNNNNNNNNNNNNNNNNNNNNNNNNNNNNNNNNNNNNNNNNNNNNNNNNNNNNNNNNNNNNNNNNNNNNNNNNNNNNNNNNNNNNNNNNNNNNNNNNNNNNNNNNNNNNNNNNNNNNNNNNNNNNNNNNNNNNNNNNNNNNNNNNNNNNNNNNNNNNNNNNNNNNNNNNNNNNNNNNNNNNNNNNNNNNNNNNNNNNNNNNNNNNNNNNNNNNNNNNNNNNNNNNNNNNNNNNNNNNNNNNNNNNNNNNNNNNNNNNNNNNNNNNNNNNNNNNNNNNNNNNNNNNNNNNNNNNNNNNNNNNNNNNNNNNNNNNNNNNNNNNNNNNNNNNNNNNNNNNNNNNNNNNNNNNNNNNNNNNNNNNNNNNNNNNNNNNNNNNNNNNNNNNNNNNNNNNNNNNNNNNNNNNNNNNNNNNNNNNNNNNNNNNNNNNNNNNNNNNNNNNNNNNNNNNNNNNNNNNNNNNNNNNNNNNNNNNNNNNNNNNNNNNNNNNNNNNNNNNNNNNNNNNNNNNNNNNNNNNNNNNNNNNNNNNNNNNNNNNNNNNNNNNNNNNNNNNNNNNNNNNNNNNNNNNNNNNNNNNNNNNNNNNNNNNNNNNNNNNNNNNNNNNNNNNNNNNNNNNNNNNNNNNNNNNNNNNNNNNNNNNNNNNNNNNNNNNNNNNNNNNNNNNNNNNNNNNNNNNNNNNNNNNNNNNNNNNNNNNNNNNNNNNNNGGUGUAUAGUGGUGGGGCCAAGGGCUAUUUUGGCCCAAAAUUUUUUUUUUAAAAAAAAAAAAAAAAAAAGCUUGACGGGCCUGGACCGAACUUGGUCCGAGCCGGGUUAGCCGGGCCCAUUUUAAGAAAAUAACCGGCCCGGGAUCCGAAACCCUAAAGCCCUAGGGAUUACCGGGCCGGGUCAAACCAGGUUGGGUUACUUACAAGGGCUGAGUCAGGCCGGCCCACUUGACACCCCUAUUGUAAACCCAACUGAUGACCUAUCGGAAACAGUCUUUUUACCUUGUACAACUUAUGUAUAUAUGUUACAUAUGAAUUUACUUCACAUAUAUGUUAAAUCUUUGAAUACUAUUAACGAAAUUUCUGACUUUAUCCAUUAGUAUAUAUCAACCAACUCACUCAAAUUUGCAAACAAGUUGCUAAUAAAUAACUUGUCAAAGGUGAAUAAAUAAAUUCAAUACAAGUGUGAUGGCAGUUGAGUAAUUUUAUUUUUAGAAAAAAGAUGAUGUCAAAUGCUAUGGAUUUUUUGGAGGCAAUGACCUAACUAAAGCUAUUAAUAGAUAAGCCCCAAGAGUAUUUAAAAUCAAGUAGAAGAACCUCUUAGGUUUUAUGAAGGGUCAAUUAAUAAAGUAAAUAUGGUGGAUAAUCCCAUGAAAAUAUGAAUGCUGAUUCGUCAAAAAGAAGAUUAAAAAAAUCUCAAUGGCUUCCUAUCUUUAGGUAGCUUUGGCAACCGGUAAAGUUGUUGUCAUGUGAUCAAAAAAUAGUCGGUUUAAAUCGUCGAAACAGCCUCUUGUAGAAAAGCAAGGUAAGGUUGUUGCCAUGUGAAUAGGAUUAUUACAGGUUCAAGCCGCGGAAACUACAUCUUGUAUAGGUUGCGCACAGUGGAGCUUAGGCGUAACCGGUUAAGUUGUUGUCAUGUAACCAGAAGGUCGCCGGUUCAAGCCGUGGAAACAGCCUCUUGUAGAAAUGACGGGUAAGGCUGUUGCCAUGUGAUCAGGAUAUUACAGGUUCAAGCCGCGGAAACAACAUAUCUUGUAGGAAUACGGGGUAAGGUUGCGAACAUAGACCCUUAUAUAUGUUGUGGCCCUUUCUCAGACACCGUGCGUAGCAAGAGCUUUAAUGCUUCUCUACUUUACUUAGCUUUCCUAUGAAGUUCAACAACUUUUUGCAAUUGUGUGAAUUACAAACAAGAAUUUGUUCACACUACAAUUAGCCAUGUGCCCAAGUAUUCUACCAUUUGGAUAAGCAUUGCCAAUAAAAAGUCAUAAGCCUUUACCUAAAACACAAGGUAGUUUAUUUUGACCACUCAUUAUCAAGUCUCAACCAUCUUUAUAAACCAAUCCACUUGAUAAGAGAAACUCAACUUUAGUGAUAAGAAAGUUUGCCAGACUGCUCUUAUCAUAACACCCUUAAAAUAUCUCCCCCUUAUAAACCACUUUAGACAAAAUAUGGUUAGGGAACUGAGAGCAACAGUUGGAACCAACUGGGAAGGAAUAAGAGGUGUUGGAGAUGUAACAAAUGGUAGCUUUAGGGGUAUGUGGUUGAUGGUUUUGGUUUGCUUGUGUAUCAUUUCAACAAUCAUCUUCUCUUGUGCAGAUGGUGUUUCUAAAGAGAAAGAUGCAGCAACUCAUACCGACAACUAUGCUGCCGGAUGUGGUACAGGUUGUGGCGCUGCCUGUGGCGCCUGACUAGUGAGAACCAAAUCCACGCCUAUUACGUGGAAGAUGGAUCUCACUCCCACUGAUACCACUAGAUUAUUAAGUCUUGCUCAGAAAUUUCUUUCCUUCUGUGUAUGUUCUACUUGUAAUGGAGCUGGGGUUCUUUAAGUAGGUUGGUUGGGGGCUAUGUUGAUCGGACUCUUCAAAAAUGUCAAUGGGUACGUGUCGGAUUCUCCAAAAGUUGUGUAUUUGUGGAGAAUCCGACAAGAGUGUGACAUCAAAAGUGAAGAGUCAGGGCAUCUUAGGUUGGGGGUGGGGGAGUAGGCGAUAACUCGAUUACAUUUCAUUGUAAUACUUGGGUGGCAAUGUUCAAUUGUACAAUUCUCAAUAAGCUAUUUUCUCUGAGUAGAAUGUAAGAAAAAACUCAGCAAACGUCUUAAUGAAGAAAAGGAAUAGCUUAUGUAAACAAUGUGGUCAUAAUAUCUUAAAACCAAGCAAUAAUUUAAUAUACAAAGGUUAGAAAGAGCAAACAAUGAAAAUGGAUAAAAGUUUUCUGUUCUUUUUCCUUUUUGGCACUUUAUUUUCGUGUUACAUAGAACGAACUGUUUAGACGACGCUAAGUAUCAAUACAGAUACCUGAGUGAAAGUGAUGCAAACAGCUUACAAGAGUCCUUGAGUCUUCCGAAUUUCGGUGGAGGAUAUAUCCAUCCGGAAUUUCUCAGCUGGUAUAGGCACAAACAUGUCUUUUAGUUCUGCUGGAAUGUCGAAAUCCUCAAGAACCUGGAGAAAUGGACAUGAUAUAAAUUUAUAAGAGUUUCGAAAAACUAAAGUGCUAAAAUACAUGAAGGCCGUAGAGAGUUCGUUAGUGUACCUUGAAAGUUCCAUUAACAUUUCGACCACCAACUAGAAAAGUACAUCCCGUGUUUUUACAUCCCAGAAGUAUCUCCAACAUCUUUCCAUAGUCAUCACCAUAGUACUUUGGCUGGAAAAAGCAACUUGUAAAGAUCACUACAUACACUUUUGGGAACAUUCCUAUUGAUAACAGGUUAUUGCCCCAUUUAUCAGCAAAAGUUGAUUACACAAGAAUCAGAACUUAAUCACAAACAAGGACCACUUUGAUACUUCCGAAUACACAUCUUUGUUUCAUCUCCUUCGUACUUAAUCUUAUAUUUGAGUGGUUGCGUUUCUAUACAUAAAUAGAUUUUUGCAUCAGGUGCUAGGUCAGCAGAUACUUUUAGAAACCACCGAGAUAGCUGGAUUCUUUCACAAAAUUUGACACAAGUUCUCUUCCUCCCAAUAAUUGUAUUCCCAAACUAAGUAAACAAAACCGUUAACUGUAAUAGAGAAAACAUACUGGGUUGCCCAUGGGUUGAUAACCUUUUUUUAAAAAAAAAAAAAAACUCAAAAGCUAGCUCGUGGGUUACCCUAAGUUGAUGGAAGAAGACAACAACUCAUCCCUCAACCAAUAUUAGACAAUUUAACACCAAAACAUAGCAUGUGGUCGAACAUUAGGUAAACCAAGAACUGGGAUAGGUCUGGCUCUAAUACCACGUGAAAGAAAAUAAACUUUUGGGCCUAACUUUCCAAAAGCUAGCUCAUGAGGUGAAAAUUUCUCACAACCGUAUAAGAUUACAACCAUCUAUUUCAUCUACCGAUGUGGGACACUUCACGAAAAUAUGUGAAAUAAGAUAGAUGGCUUAGAAUGGAGUGCAGAUUAGUGAAGAGACCAGUAUAACAUUCUGGUUCUCCAAGAAAGUAGUGAGAACACGGACAAUUCUUGGAGACAAAUGUUUGCCAUUCAGAAAAAGAUUGGAGCUUUAUCCAAUUUACUAAAUUCUUGAUUUCAUGUAAUCUCAAUCUUUUAGAAGCAAAUGAAAGAGCCUUACAUGUACAAGUCUCGCUACUGUGUCUGCACCAAUGACAAAAGCACUCCCAGGAAAAAGUUCUGCUUUCUUGUAAAAAUAUGGCUGGUUAGACACUAUGACCGUUUUUCCUGCAUUUCAAAGGCCGAAACCACUCAAACAGCAGCAUAUUUUGAAUAUGAAAAUAGGGUAAGAAUCUAAUGAUACCGAGAUAUGAAACUAGUGUGGAUAAACUGUAGUGAAAGCAUUUACUUCUCUCAAGUUUAUUUUUCUUGUAUUCCAUCCUACUUUUAUUGCAUCAAAGAUGGAGAAGCGCUUUACAGAUCAGUUUUGGCAGGAAAUAACCUUAAAAGUAUAGUUCAACAGUCUAAACCUUUGAGAAGCUUGACAAAGAAUUUAAAAACCAGGUCAAUGUAGUCGUUUCUCAACCCUUACUAUCUGUGAGCUCACAAUUUGAUUUCAGGAAAAGAUAAAGCUCGUUCCGUUGGUAUCAAGGAUAUGUCUGAAAGUAAAAUAGAGUUUCUAACUCUGAAUAAUAGAACAAGAGGCAAGUACGACCACCAUGCAUUCUACUAUCAACUUACUCUGCUAUAGUUUUCUAUUCUACUAUCAACUUACUCUGCUAUAGUUUUCUUUUCUCCUUUUUCUUCUAUCAAGACUUAGAUGACAUCAAGCUCGGAAUUUUUUCAUCCAGUAAACGGAUCUGAGGUUUGACUGAUCAAGCUAAAUUUUUUCACUACCUUAAACUUGGUUUUCCAUUAGAUAUAUCAGUUACGAUACCUAAAAAAGGGCAGCCCGAUGCACUAAAGCUCCUGCUAUGCACAGAGUCCGGGGAAGGGCCCCACCACAAUGGCGUAUUGUACGCAGCCUUACCUUGCAUUUCUGCCAGAGGCUGUUUCCAAGAGUUACGAUACCUAAAGAUUAAUAAUAUUAGGAUGUGCAUAAAAGCAUCAUACAUUAGGAUCUUACCAGCUUUUUCAAAUUGCUUAACACGAUCUUUGAUUUGAGAUAUUUCCAAUGGAGGUUUGUCUGCAUUGACAGCUGACAACUCAAAGCAUGGAUAUCCACCACCACAAAUGCUGCAUGAAUAAAUAAAUGAAGUGAAUGACCUUCCAAUAAAAAUAUGAUAUUUCUCUGUACAAGUAAAGCCCCUUAAAAUUCAAAGUUCUACAAUAUGCUACACAUCUUCUCCUCUUUUAUUGUGAAAUUUGAAGGAAAAAAGUUUUGGCAUUCUGCAGAAAGAUGUAAUUCCUUAAGAGAUGAACAGAUCUUUUCUUGAUGCGUACAAGAAAUCAGUCUUGUCAACAGUUGAAAAUCAUGUUUGAUGUUAUAGAUGUGUACCUAGUUGCAAUUUCCAAGAGCUUAAGGUGACCAUCAUGCAAUGGAUUAAAGGAACCAGACAGGAUUAUUUUCCUUUCUGCAUUAGAUGUAUCUGCAAAAUUCCAGCAUCAACAUAUGAAGUAAAUCUUUGGCUUCUGAAUGGGACUAUGCUGAUUGCAUUAACACAUACCACUUGAGAAAGGAUACACUUUGAAGCAUAUAGUCCCACUGAGAAGUUGCUUUAGCUCUUCGUCUUCAUCAAACUGCUUUUCAUGUUCAUCUGGAACUUCUGAUUCAGUCAAGUCUGGAACAAAAGUUCCUGGAACCUUACUAGCAUUAGCAAUUACCUGAACCAGAAGACAGUAGCUAAGAUAAUACUCUAAAGGGAUAGAUUUAAUAAAAGAUAGAGCAUAGAAGGAUUAGCUAGUACUACUGCAUAAUGAGUUAAACUAGAUAUACAGAAAAUUUCAACUACAAACAGAGGCAUUUUAGGUAUCUGCAAACCCACACUCGAACUAAAACUCUACUUGUUAUAUAGCAUUGGCUUUGAAAAUAGGGAAAAUAAGUAGCAUCUGGCAUUGGCUUUGAGAAUAGGGAAAUAGCAAAAGAGCAGAAUUGGAACCUCUGAGUUCCCAAAUUGGCCAUGCACUUACACAUUUCGUUCACCGUUAUGUACAUUUAGUUGAUUAAACCAGUGCAAGUUGUAUGUUGAACUUGUAUAAUACCCACAUGGGAAUAUGAAAUGUUCUAAUUCUUCUUAUCGAAAUUCUCUCAAAAUUCUAUACACACCUUGAUUAAGUAUUGACUCGAGACUGCAUCUUCCUGUUCACGAGUUCGCAGGCCCUGUAUACAUUCAAUUUAAGCAAAAAAAAAAAUACUUCAGUCAUUGCUUUCCAAAGAUCCUAUUUAAAUAAGGAAAGGAUGACUAAAGGAGAAACUUGCAUGAAUAUUACCUUAGUUAAAGUAACAGUCGAGGUCCAAAACCGGUCAGAUGUUCUCGUUGACACGUGAAACCUACUCAUAAAGCACUAAUAAGGUUCAGAAAGAGAUGCAAAUUUUGAAGUACAAAUGAAAGAGUGAUACGUUCACAACUCAAAAUGUCAACCAAAGAGUAAAGGCAUCUUUGCAGAGAUCCGAACAUGGUCCACAUGCGUCUUCGAAGGGAUGCAGAUCUUUCAAACUUAAUUAUAGCGACAAAGUUUGGUGCUUUUAUUCUUUCCUUUAGGGGGUACAACUGACACUGAGAUGAAAUAAUUCCAAUAUGAACACAACUGAACUACAUUUUCCGAAAGAAAAAUCCCUGUGUGUUCUUAACGUCUAUUUUUUUUUUUGAUAAGGUAGAAAUUUUAUUGAAAGGUACCAAGAUGGUACAGAGAAAGGAACAGAAACAUCAAUAAAAACAAGAGAAAAAAAAACAGCCUCCUAUUAUCUUUUUUCUAGCAUAUCCACUAAAUCCAUAUGAUGGUUCAAACUCUCUAUUAGGCUGCCUUUACUCCAAAAAUACAAAUUAUGUAAGCAUCUAACCUUAAUUCUAGAAAUGUGUGUUCGCUGCCCCUAAAAGCAAGCUUUGUUCCUCUCUAACCAAAUUGUCCAUAAGAUGCACAACGGAAUAGUUCUCCAUAUCUGUUUAAUCUCUUUUGGUAUCGCCUGUUCUUGCCAUCCUUCCAACAAAUCUUUCACUUUUUGAGGCAUCACCCAAUUAAUAACACGAAGAUUUAGGAAUAACCCCCAACAUUCUCUAGAAAUUUUACAAUGGAGAAAAAGGUGCUCCACAGUUUCUUGGUCUUCUUGACACAGGAAGCAUCUGUUACAUAGGUUAAAACCUCUUUUCUGCAAGUUAUUUUGAGUUAAGCAUGCUUCCCAAGUUGUAACCCAUCCAAAACAUGCUACUUUAACUGGAGCUUUUGUCUUCCAUAUCAUCUUCCAAGGCCAAGAAUUAUCCCAGUGACCUGACUGUUUUAUCAACACACUAUAACAAUUUUUAACCGUAAAUUUCUUGUCUUUACUUGCCCACCAAAUUAUAGAAUCCACCUUAUUCUGAUCAAUGCUUCCCAAGUUGUAACGUCUAUACAUAUAAGAUGUCAACAAAGUUUGUGCUUUAUUGAUACCAAUUUAUAGAAUAGGAUGUGCAUGAAAUAUUAACAUAAGUUCCAUCAACCACAGAAAAAAUAUACCAUUCCUGACUGCAGAAUCUUUUGUCAUGUCUCCAAAGAAAAGCAGUUAUUUUCGUCAUGGUAAAGAUCAAGGAGGAAAGUGCUGUCUUUAAUAUUAUCUUGCGCUUGGAUGACUACCCUUUAGUCGACCAGCUCCACUUUUCAAAGAGGAACAAACAAAUACAUCUAAGCAUAUAUUAUGUUUUUCUUUUAAUCUGGUCCAUUUCAUUUUCUCAUAAAAGUGAAUAGUAAUCAGGAUAGUCAACUCCUCCUAGAGAAUCUAGGAACAUAAAACAAAAAUGGCAAUUCCUGAAUGCAACUCCUACGGGAAUAAGAAUCCGAGAAGAUAUAUCAGGAAAAACUGGCUGAUGCAACAAGAAUACCUAUGAUCUCCGCGUUUUGGACGUGCACUAGCCAAGGCACCAGUAAAACCCACACCUAGAACUGGUGAACCUGUACAAUCAAACAAAUAAGAAUCAUGCCAUUUAAAUAAAACAAGACAUAUCAAGGAACAAAAUGCUACUAAACAACAAAUGGUGAAACUUUGUAAUACACAUCUAGGUGUAAAAUAGUCAGAUGACUUUUCUCAAAGUGACCGCAUUAAUUUUUCGACCAUGCACACAAUCCAAUAUAAAUGAGGAAGAACGAUAAAUUCCGGGUGUCUCCUUUUCAUGAAAACGAUCAGCUAUAAAGAGUAAUAAUAAACCUAUGCUGCUAAACCAACUAACUAAAGGGUAGUACUUUCUUUGGCUUCUUGGCUGUACAUAUUGCCCUUAAACAUCUUAAGUAGCAAGCGCACACUAGAAUAUCUAUUAUAUCUUGCUAUAAUAGGAAAACUGUAAACCUUCUUCAUUUAGCCAUGGCAUACAAAUUAUUACAUAUGUGUAUAUCAAAUAGACCACUCAUGUUAAAUGACAGAGUCAUCUAGGAUAUGAGCCGCCUGUUCAAUGUCUUCCAAUCACUUCAAUUUGACACAAGAAAGUUUUAUCUUCUAAAUCAAUUCUCAACGUGUUUAACUACCAAUGAACUAACAGCUAUCCUAAACUAUUAGAUUCAGCAAAAGAUGCAACACGAGGAAUCUCCAAGAAGUCACACAUCCUAGUACUACGCUCGUCCAUGAACACUUAGCUUCCAAGUCCUGAUGUGAUCCAUCGCAUUAUUGUUGGUAUGGUCACAUCAUUCACAUAUUCAGUCUAUUUGCCCGCCUCCUUUAUGCUUGGCGCUGGCUAUACUUUGCAAGCUCACAUAGACAGUUUUUUCUCAAAACUCAGAAGUUUUCUAGAAAUGUGUGGGCCAAAUUCAUUUAGCUAAGAUAUACCAUAUCAUAUACAUGUAAAAGCUAAAACUGUAAAAUCCAUAAUCAAAUGACGAAAUUCCACCAGAUUCAAAAUCAAAACCUGGCUUAGAAAGCUUUAAUGCUCUAUUAUAUGCCAAUAAUGCCAUUUCCUCAGCCGUUUGCGAACUAGCUGCUUGAGCAGGAACCUGUUCCUUCCACACACAAAAAAAAAAAAACACAAAUUUUUAAUAGUGAAUUCGCGAUAAUUUCAAAAUCAAGCAGUAAAAAAUCAACGAAAAAUGAAUGAUUAAACUUGAGAAUUAAAUGACCUUGCCAAGUAAUUGAAUCAUAGACAUUCUGGAAUAAGUAACUACUGAUUCAAGCACAGUAUUCGAUGCUCCCGGAACUGACAUCAACCACCCUAGUGCCUGUACAAAUUCGCCACAUUUCAUCAAAAAAUAAAAAGUUCCUACCAAUCAGUUGAUAACAUAAAGUGAUGUGAACAGUAAAAUUUACCUAAAACAACAAACUGAUCACAAAAAAUCUAAUACAGUCGAAAUUUUGAGAUUCAAAAAUCUAAACUUUAACCGUGAAUUCGAACAUAGAAACUACAAAAAAAAAAUUAAAAUAAAUUUUAUAUAUUUGAAAACUACUACUCCCUCCCUUCUUUUUUAGUCACAUUUCGCUUUUCGAGAAUCAAUUUGACUAAUUUUCAAAGCUAAAUUAGAUUAGAUUAAUUCGAUACUGUAAGAUUAAAAUUUAAACAUUCAAAAAUUAUACGAAACGUACUAUAAAUUCCAAUUUUUCUCAUAUCAAUAUGAUUAAAAACUACAAUUUUAAUAUGCUGGACAAAGUUUAGAUCAUUUAACUCUUAAAAACAGAAACUAUAACAGCUAAAAAGGAACACAUAUAUGACAUACUUUUCUUAUUAGUCAGUCUCAACUAAAAAAGAAACAGAUAUAUGACAUACUUUCUUUUAUAAUCCGUCCUAAAAAGAAACAUUUUUAUAUUUAGUAACAAUUUAACUUUAAAUUAUCCGCUUUAUCCUUAAUAAAAUGAUUUAUAAACAAACAAGCAUCUAUAACUUAUUUUAAAGGGAAAAUUUUAGAAAUAGCAAUUCUGUAGCCUUAAUUAUAACUUUUAUAGUAACAGUUUCAUAAUUACGAAAAAUAGCAAAUUGUAUUUGUAUUUAAGUAAAAUAUUGGUAUAUAAAUAUAUAUACAAAUAUAUAUGUAUUACUCAUAAAUACAUAUGCACAACUGAAAAAUACAUAUUCUUCUAUUACUACGAAGUGGGUAAAAUAUUGUUACUUUUGCUAUAAGUUGUAAUUUUGAAAAAGUAUUGCUAUUUAUUAUAAUUAUAGUUUUAAGGAUGCUAAUUUCUAUAAUUUCUCCUAUUUAAACUACAAAUUUCAAAAGUCUUUUUCUUUCUUAAACUCCAUGGUAAGUCAAACUAAAUCACAGAAAUUGGUACCGGUGAAGUACUACAAAUUACAAUAAUUAACUUAUAAAUUAUACUAAUUAAUAAAUUAGAGCAUUUGAGAGGCGUAUAGAGAAAUUCACGAUCAAAAUUAAACUGCUUGACUGUCGAAAGACGAAGAGUACCUGUGAGGCACCGCCGGAGAGAAAAAUGACAGCUUGAGUUGGACAUGAAUGUAUUGCUUCUAUAACAGCUCGGAGACAAUUAUCCGUCAUCUUCGCCGUCGCCGUCGCCGUCGCCGUUAAUGGACCGAAUACGAUCAGUUAUGAAGUAGAUGAAACGACGUCGUCGGUUGUGCGUUAACAGAAAUUAGAAAGUUAAUUGUAAAAGUUCGUUAGGCUCAGUAAACGGGGAAGUGUUAAUUAAGGGUGCUUAACGUAAAGCUCGUAAUUAAUUAAUUGCAUUGUAAGGAGUAAGGACCUGUUUGGACAGGAAAAUUUAUUGUAUUUUUAUUUAUUUUUUUGAAUAAUUUUUAGUUUUUUUUUAAAUUAGUGUUUGUUUGUGAAAAUUUUAAAUCCAACUUGAUGUUAUAUUUUACUAAUUUAUAAAGACAAAAUAUAUAAAUGUAUUUUUAACUUGACUUGUGGUCAAAAUUGGAGAUGGUCGGACGUCAACUUCGAUGUCCAAAAAUCUUUUUUUUGUCUUAUCGAAUAUUAUGGAACACAGGGGCUCCAUGCAAUCUAACAAUCUCCUGAAUAUGCGACUUUGCAAUCAUCCUCAUAGGCUAGAAUUCGAGCUACGAUGGCCGAGGUAUUUGGAGCUAUGAAGGGUAUAACGAACAUAUCCUGUCCCCAUAUUGGAUCAAGAACAGGAUCAGAAGGAUCAAAAAUCAUUAAUUCAUAUAGGGCCAUCAAACCGGUCUAACUAGCAACUAGAGCUGUAUGCAUUAAAUGAACAGAAAGCAAUCGAUCGGGAUCAUUCAAUAUAACGGUAUGAACACGACACCAAGGCAAACCCAUGGAAAUACCCCUUAUAUUAGAGUAUUAUCACGACCCUUUGAUGAAAAACCUAACAACCACUUGUGUCUUUCUUGGAUAUGCUCAGUCCGGAUAUAUAUAUGCUAUGACGUAAAAUUCCAAAGAGUCGAUGUAUCCUUAACACUCUCUUGAAAUCUUAAACCAUUAUUAUAAAGUUGAACAAAUAGAUGCGUGCAUUCUACGCAUAGAACGCAUGUAUUUCAUCCGACUUGUCAUGCAGAACAUGUAUGUCUACUUAUUCAACUAUAUGAUAGCUCAAGUAUAUACUUAACUACUUAUACACAUCCAAAAUUAGAAGACAUACAUAGACGUAAGUAGUGAAUUGUGGUCAAGUUAAAACACAUGUAUAACUCAUUUUUUAACUCACUUUUUCACUUUUAACAUUAUAUUUAAAUACAACGACUACAAAUAUCAUUCAAAUAUUGAAGCUGAAAAAUGAAAAGGGCAAAAAAAAAUAAAAUGUAUCAACUAUUUAUAACUUCCAAAUAUUUAUGAUAAUAAUAAUAAUAGAAGAAUUUAUUUUGCUCAUUUAAGCAUAAGAUAGAAAUAUCAAUCAAUUAAUGACUAGGAAUUUAGGUUCUAUUUGACUCUCUCCCAUGACUCCUACUUUGAUCCCGCUAGAUUAAAGAAUAAUUCGACGUAUUAAAUUUUUAUUAUAUAAAAAAAUUCUAGAAAGAUCGAAUUUAAUAAAAUUUAUAUUUUUCAACAGUAACUUCAAACAUGUGGUUCAAAUUAACAUAUGAACAAUCAAAUGAAGUUGUAACUAUGAAUUCACUAUUUUGAACUUUAAUAAUAAGUUCAAUCCAAUUUAUGAACAUCAGCAAAAUAACGUUCAAAUUAUUUUCUAAAAAAUAGUAAAAUCAUUUUUUUUAUUUUUUUUCUUUAUUUUCUAUUCACAUUUUCAUUAGAAUCGAAUAUUACGUACAUAAAUUGAUUGAUUGAUUGAUAUUAUCCAAAUUUACUUAGAGAUUCUUUUCUUAUAAAGUGGACGUGGAAUCUAUUUUAUUGAAGCAAUAAUUAUGUGUAAUAUCAACUCAUAUAUAUAAUAGAGGCAAUGUGUUUAAAAUAAACCAAAGAAAAACAAAACAAUUCUUAGACAAAAUUAUUAAUUAUUGGAUCCACAUGUACUCUUUUGAUUUGUUUAUUUUACUUUAUAAUUUAUUUUAUCAUAUUGUUUUAGUUAAAUAUUAAAAUAAAAAGUUUUAAAACAAUUUGUGCAGAAAUGAUAUAUAACAACGAGUAGGAAGUUGUUUAACUAAUUGUGACUAACCAAUCAUUAUUGACUUGAGUAAAAACAAUUAUUUUAAUUUUCCAGAAAACAGCUCUACUUAAUAUGAGUAAAUUAUUUGUAAUUAUCUUUCAUUUAAAAUAGUAUACAUGAAAGUUAUUUUUAUACACGCUACGGAAGUUAAAUUCAUGUAAAAUAUUUUACUUAUAUAGAGGUCUAUCAAAAAUAAUUUCUCUUAAUAUUAGUAAAUUAUAUGUAAUUAUCUUUCAUGUAAAAUAGUAUACAUGAAAGUUACUAUAUACACGCUACGGAAGUUAAAUUCAUGUAAAAAUACUUUACUUGUAUCGGGAUCUAUCAAAAAUAAUUUCUCUUGAUAUGAGUAAAUUAUCUAUAGUUAUCUUUUAUGUAAAAUAUACGUGAAAAUUAUUUUUAUAUAUGUUACGAAAGUUAAAUUCAUGUAAAAAAUAUCUUACUUGUGUUUGGAUCUAUCAAAAAUAAUUUCUCUAUCUCCAUGGAACUGAGAUAAGAAAUGUGUAUAUUCUAUAUUUUUCAGAGUUCAGAGAGCAGCUCGAUGUACUAAAUCUUCUGUAACACACGAGAUUCGAAAAAUAAUCGGACCAUAAGAGUCUACUGUAUGCAUUCUUUCUCAGAAUUCAUCGACAAAAUAUAUUAGGUACGUUGUUAAUUACUAUAUGAAAGUUUAAUUUAUACUCCUUCCUCUCGUUCUUACUUGUCACUAUUUUGCUUUUUGAGGUCAAUCUGCAUGAACUUUGAUUAAAUUUUUUCUCAUAUUAAUAUGAUGAAAAAAAUGUAUCUUAAAAUGAUAAUGAUCAAAGUGACAAAUAAAAGCGAACUAAGGAGUAAUAAAAAGGUUUGGCCUUAGGGUGGUUUUUGGGUCAAAAAAUCAUGUGGAUUAAUUAAUUAGUCAGUCAAACUGCAUGCUUUUAUAGAAAUUUGUUAAUUAAUUUUUAAUUUACUAAUUAACAAUGGAUUAUCUUACUAUUUUUCCUCAAUUGUCCAACAAUAUAAAGACAAUCCUCUCUGUCAAAUGUGACCACUUUUUUUUUUUUUUUUUACCAACUUUAAAUCUUGGCCCUACAUCUCUUCUUGUAAUUCUAGCCACCCCAUAAUAAUAAUAAAAAGUGGUCCUUAAAUUUUGUUUAUUAUUACAAAAAUAGCUAUUUUGUACUUUUACAAAUUUCUUGAUAAGAUAAUAAAGUUACCCCAAGAUUGACUUGUUAUGAGUUGUCAUUUGACGAAUAUAUUUCCAAUUCUAGAAAGAAAAUAUAUAUAUUUUUUUUAAAAAAGAAGUAAUGUAAAGAUAAUUUGAUUAGAUAUAUAAAUUGAGAAAGUGAAAAAAUAAUUUAAAAUAUAUUUUUAAAAAUUACCAUGAAACUUCAAUGACUAUAAAAUAUCUGGGGUAAAACUUACACCCACCCGGUGUAAACAUCAAGCCAAUACAUGCACGACAUGUGUUUGGAUUUAAAGUUUAUGUUAAUUAAUCAUGAUUAAUCAAUAUGUAUUUUACUUAAUUUAAUUACAUAACCAUGGUAGAGAACAUUAAUUUGGUGUAUACACCGGGUGUGUGUAAGUUUUUACUAACUGUUAGAGUUGUGACCCGAAUUUUGUUGAUCCAGCUUUGACAGUUUUGUGGUGCUACCCAUGUUUGUGAUUUUCAGUGGGGUCUGUAGUGGUAGCGUAGGGAUCUGGCCGAUAGGCUCGAUUUCGGAGCCCACCACUGAUUUCGAUGGGGGUGCGGGGACGAAGCCCCGCGGUAUGGGCCUUUAUGUUUUGGGGCCUAGAACCUAUUUAUACGCGCGUAUUAGAUAAGUGCGAUUUAGUGGGUUGUUUCAGAUUAUUCAGAAAUACAUGAAAUUGAGACUAUCGUCUCCAACAUUGUACUCUCUCUUCAUUAUAGUGAAACCUCCUCUAUUUUUGUCCGUGGUUUUUUCCCGCAAGGAUUUUCACGUAAAUCUAUGUGUUCUUAUUUUUCCUUUUGCUUGUGAUUUGCUUAUUUUCUGCCUGAUCAUAACGCUAAUGGUGAAAGAGCUCCUGAAAUAACAAGUCGAUGACUCUCAAGAGCUCUUAUCAAUAGAGUCGUGGAUAGUUAGCUAGAAGAGUAAGUGUUGUAUCGAAACUGAUUAAAAAGAAAAAGAAAAAUUAGUUAAAUGGUGAUAAUUGUUCAAAUUUAUUUGAUAGAAUGGAUAAAUAGAAAAUAAUUUACAUUCUUUUGUAAUCGCAAUAUAUUAAGUUCUCACUACGCGUAGAAUUUAGAGAAAAUUGAAUUACAAGAUCUUAUUAUACGCAAUUUUAUUUUACAUUUUUAUAAAAAAAAAUGGUUUUCCAGCUUGAAUAGCGACUCUCCGAUCACAUACAUGCAAUAGCUUUAACAGUUACGUCAAUUUUUUUUUCUUUUCCUCAAGGUAUAUACACGCAGUUGGAAAAAAAAUCUGAUCACAAAUACGUAUUAUACACAAUCUUAUCAUGCAUUCUGCAAGAGGUUAUUUCCACAGUUUAAAUUCAUGAUUUUUUUUAGUCGCAUACCAACAACUUGACAGUUACGUUAAAACUUUUCUUCCCAGCCCUCGAACAAUGACAGAGUCAAAAUUUUCAUUGACGGAGUUCAAAAGUAAAUAUAUGAACUAGACGAAGGAGUUCAACAACUACUAUAUAUACAUAAAAAAAUAUUUUUAACCAUAUAAAAUUAAGAGUAAAUGCAUUUUUUCCACCCUGAACUAUAAACGAAAUUACUGAGACACCCAAACUUAAGGAGGGUCCUAUUACGGACUAAUUAAAAUUGUAUUUUUGAUAACCUUAGUACCUAUGUGAAUCAACACACUGAAGGUCCACGUAGGCACUAAGAUUGCCAAAAAUACGAUCUUAAUUAAUCCAUGAGAUAAUAAUACCCUCCUAAAAUUUGGAUGUGUCUCAAUAAUUUCGUAUAUAGUUUAGAAUGAAAAUAGUGUAUUUUCUAUAAAAAAAAAUACUUAUAAUUUUUUGUUGAAAGAGAUUCGAAUAUGAAUGGCAGGUGGCUCCGCCCCUACCCCUGAACUAUACGCAUGGAGUUUGAAAAUGACCUGAAUCAUAAAAAUCUAUUAUACAUAAUUAUAAUUUAUAUUUUUAUAAAAAAUUAACUUUUAUAAUUUAAAUAUAUAAAAUUUUAAUCACGUGAUAACAACUUUUAUCAGUUGGUUAGGCUCCCCAUCCUUUUCCCAAAGUUGCAUCAAAUAUAUAUUAAUCUAUUUUCCCAACGUCUUUCUUUUGGUUAGCUGAAAUCAACUUUACCAUUCUUCAAUAUACACACACAGACACACAGUAGACAGCAUUCCUUUCACUUUUUUUCCACUGUUCUCACUCUCAAAAGUCUAACCUUUCACACUCUCACUUUCUCUUAAGCUCCAUUACUUAGCUUUCUUGGUUUUCUGGUAAAGUCUUUGAGACUCCCUUUUUUUGAGUUUUUUUUUGCCUUUUCUUGGUUUUUUGUUUGUAAUAAUGCAAUCUUUUUUGUGUUUGUGUAGUUUGUGUUGAGCUCAAUUACUAGCUUUCUUGGUUUUUUGGUGUAUAAUAUAGACACCCUUCUUCAUUUUUUUUGGAGUUUCUUGGAUUUUUGUUUGUAAUAAUGCAAUCUUUUUUGUGUUUCUUGUGUUGAGCUCAAUUUACUAGCUUUCUUGGUUUUUUGGUUUACAAUAUAGCCACCCUUUUUCAUUUUUGGGAGUUUCUUGGUUUUUUGUUUGUAAAAAUUGAGUCUUUUUUUGUGUUUGUGUAUUUUGUGCUAAGCUCAAUUACUAGAUUUCUUGGUUUUUUUGGUGUACAUUAAGUCUUUGAGACAUCCUUUUGUGUUUUUUGGGUUUUCUUGGUUUGUUGGUGUACAAAGUUUAAGUCUUUGAGACACCCAUUUUGUGUUUUUGCAUUUUCUUUGUCUUUUGUUUGUAAAGAUGCAAUCUUUUUUGUGUUUGUGUAUGUUCUUGAUUCUAUGUAGUUAUUGUGUUUUAGUGAGUUCUUUGAAUGACGAAGGGAUAGCUCUUUGGUCAUUCAAAAAGGGUAUUGGACAAGACCCUGAAGGGUCAUUGAGAAAUUGGAAUUAUUCUGAUGAAACCCCAUGUUCUUGGAAUGGUGUUACAUGUAAAGACUUAAAAGUUGUAUCUGUUAGUAUACCGAAAAAGAAACUCACUGGGUUUCUUUCUGCUAGUCUUGGAUCUUUAACUGAGCUUAGGCAUGUUAAUUUGAGGAGUAAUUUGUUUUCUGGUAGUUUACCUGUCGAGCUUUUCGAAGUUCAAGGUUUACAAAGUUUGGUUCUUUAUGGAAAUUCCUUUUCUGGGGUUGUCCCUUUCGAGGUUGGAAAGUUAAGUUACCUUCAAACUUUGGAUUUAUCGCAAAAUUUCUUGAAUGGGUCUGUGCCUAUAACAUUGUUGAAUUGUAAGAGGUUGAAAUUUCUUGAUUUGAGUCAGAAUAAUUUUACUGGUUUGUUGCCCGAGGGGUUAGGGGGAAACUUGUCCGCGCUGGAGAAACUUGAUCUUGCAUUCAACAAAUUUGAUGGUCCUAUACCAAGUGAUUUGGGAAAUUUGUCGAAUUUGCAAGGAACUGUUGAUUUGAGUCAUAAUUUGUUUAAUGGUUCGAUUCCGCCUAGUCUUGGUAAUCUACCAGAGAAGGUGUAUAUCGAUUUAACUUAUAACAAUUUGAGUGGUCCAAUUCCACAAAAUGGUGCUUUGAUUAAUAGAGGACCUACUGCUUUUAUUGGAAAUCUUGGGCUUUGUGGACCUCCGUUGAAAAAUCCGUGUUCCUCCGAGGCGAGUUCACCGUCAUUGGAACCUUUCUUACCUAAUAACUUACCUCCCUUAGAUGGUGGUGGAGGAGAUGGGAAUGCUAGAGGUCUGAGUAGAGGUGCUGUAAUUGCGAUAAUCAUGGGGGAUGUGGUUGGAAUUUGCGUUAUUGGGUUGUUAUUCUCAUAUUGUUAUUCGAGAAUCUGUGCCUGUGGUAGGAAAAAGGAUGAGUCCGGCUUUGGUUUUCGGAAGGGGGGAGGGAAAGGAAGGUAAGAGUGUUUAUGUUUUAGGAAGGAUGAGUCUGAGACGUUAUCGGAAAAUGUUGAACAAUAUGAUCUAGUGGCACUUGAUAGUCAAGUGGCUUUUGAUCUCGAUGAACUUCUCAAGGCAUCUGCUUUUGUCCUUGGUAAAAGUGGUAUCGGCAUCGUGUACAAAGUUGUGCUUGAAGACGGGCUUAACUUGGCCGUGAGGAGACUAGGCGAGGGUGGUUCCCAAAGAUUUAAGGAAUUUCAGACAGAGGUCGAAGCAAUUGGAAAACUGAGACAUCAAAAUAUCGUGACUCUUCGUGCCUAUUAUUGGUCUGUCGAUGAGAAGCUACUGAUAUAUGACUUCAUUCCAAAUGGAAACCUUGCCACUGCAAUUCAUGGUAAGCUUCAAACUUCGACCGUUGCUUUCUUGUUUAUCGUUUUUUCUUUAAUUUCGCGAUUAUUAGUUUGUUAACUAGUCUUUUUCGUUUGUAUCAACCCUUAGGAAAACCUGGUAUGGUAUCGUUUACACCUCUUCCGUGGUCCAUUCGACUGAAAAUAAUGAAGGGAACUGCAAAAGGGCUGGUUUAUUUACACGAGUAUAGUCCCAAGAAAUAUGUUCAUGGUGAUCUAAAGCCAUCGAAUAUAUUACUUGGGCACGACAUGGAACCCAAAAUCUCCGACUUUGGACUUGGACGUCUUGCUAAUAUAGCUGGAGCAUACCCGGCACUGCAAUCCAACCACAUGACCACUGAGAAACCACAACAAAGUAAGCAAGGCAGUGCACCAUCGGAGUCGGGCACAGUUACGUCAACUACAACUUCUGGUUCUUGCUACCAAGCCCCCGAGGCGUUGAAAGUGGUUAAACCAUCACAGAAAUGGGAUGUUUACUCAUAUGGAGUGAUCUUGCUGGAAAUGAUAACGGGAAGAACCCCGAUUAUCCAAGUAGGCUCUACUGAAAUGGAUCUAGUGAACUGGAUUCACUGGUGCAUUGAAGAGAAGAAACCACUUUCGGAUGUAUUGGACCCGUAUUUAGCUCAAGAAGCUGAUAAAGAAGAGGAAAUGAUCGCGGUUUUGAAGAUUGCAAUGGCGUGUGUCCACAGUAGCCCGGAGAGGAGACCUGCAAUGAGACACAUAUCUGAUGCAUUAGAAAGACUGCCAGCUUCCUCUGAAUGAACUAUCGAACAAUGCCCCGUGUCACAUUCACAUUGCAGAGGGAUUGCAGCAUCUAAUCGAUAACUAUGGAAAACGUUCACUGAUUGGCGCGACGAGACUCUGCAGAAAUAUUUAUUGACUAGCAGUAGUAAUCUCCAUUUGUUUCUUGUUUGUUAAUGUUCAAGAAUAUUGGCUUCUUGCUCUAAUUGCAGCCUUUUUUGUUGUCUACUUAUUGUUCCUUGUAUUGAUCAAGAACAUAAAUUACUGUUCUGUCUUUAUUAAUACCCCUUCCGAAGGAUAGUCUCGGCAUAACUGGUAAAGUUACUGUCAUGCGACCAGGAGGUACAAUCUCUCGCAGAAAUGCAGGAUAAGGUUGCGUACACUAGAUCCUUGUGGUUCGGCUCUUCCUGGGCUCUUGUUAUUGCCAUGUGAUCAGGAGGAUAAGGUUGCGUACACUAGAUCCUUGUGGUUCGGCCCUUCUUGGGCUCUUGUUACUGUCAUGCGACCAGGAGGUACCAUCUCUUGCAGAAAUGCACGAUAAGGUUGCGUACGCUAGAUCCUUGUGGUUCGGCUCCUGCGUAUAGCGGGAGCUCUAGUCCACCGAGCUACUACAAUUCAUCUUUGCUUGUCAAAUGAGUAUGUAAAUAACAUUGAUUGUCAAAAGAAUAAAUAAAAUGGUUGUAAGCAAUAACCAUAUGUCUGUUGAGUCUCUGCAAGUCUUGGUACUAUUCUUUGUCAGUAAGUGAAAUUCUUUUAACUUCUAGUUCUAAUUAUAAAUUCAUCUUGUGACAACUGCAUGAUUUUUAUUUGUUUUUUACUUGAAACAACAGUUACAUAGUUUGUUUGCCUAUGGUAAUUUUGAACAGCUGUAAGUAGAUGGUACACUGUUAGUUUAUGAAUUUUUUACACCAUCAAGUCACUUGGGCUUUUUUUAUCGUAGUAGAUACCCUGUUUUAUUUUUAAGAUUACAAAUUUCACGUUAUAAGAAAAUUUGCUUGUAGGUGACCUUAAUAGUAAACUGUUUUAAAUUAUCAAGGACAAUCUUGAUGCACUAAGCUCUUCGUUAUGCAUGGAGUUCAACGAAGGGGCGGAUCAGCAUAUUGAAUCUUACUUUACCUUGUAUUUUUGUAACUGUGUCUUUUUCUAGUUUGAAACGUAACUCCUAAGCACAUGAUGUCAACUUUAACGUUACGCCACAACUCCCUUUCUUAUAAUAACUUCUAUAUUAAGAUGACAAGAUACAACUCUUUUUCGUGAUACAUAUGGCCGGCCCUUAGUGAGCUUAUUAAUUUGAUGCAUACAUCUACCAUAUAUUGUCGAUAUAAAUAAUAUUUGCACCAUCAGAUUAUUUUAAGAAUAACUAUAGAUAACCAUCCAUAAAAGUUCAAAAUCAAUAAUACCUACAAAAACACAUCAUUGCAAUAAAUUUUUUUUUGAUGCAUGCACCUAGGAUGCCAUCUAAAAAUAUUUCUUAUAAGGUAGAGCCGCCCAUUUGCAUAUUCGUGGUCAUAAUAUUAUAAAUCAUUUUAGAAUUUAGAAUUAAUGAGUUCGAAAUUAUAUAUCGAUAGAAUUUUCUAUGUACUUUUUUUCUUUUGUGCUCACAUAUUUAUUGAAAAAGCUCAGAGUGAUCGCCACACACAUGUUGUCACAAAACAAUGUCAGAUGUGACGCUCAUGACAAAGGGCUCGCCAAUGAGGACAAGUCAUGAAGAAGUACUGACAAUCUUUUGAAGAAGGAAUGCACAUGACAUCUUAAAUGAAUUCUACAUCGAAACAUGAGAGGAAAGGAACCUCUUUCCGAGUCAACUUGGUCAUCGACACUGCAAUAGUAGCAAAACUCUCAAUGAACCGCCUAUAGUAACUGGCCAAACCAAUGAAGCUACGAACUUACAGACGGAGAUUUAGGUCUGGCCCAAUCACAGAUAGCCUCAAUCUUCAUCGGGUCUACUAUAAUUCCAUCCUGAGACACCACGCGCCCAAUGAAUGACACCGACUAACCCAAAACUCACACUUAGAGAACUAGACAAAAAGCAUAUGAUCUCUUAAAGUCAGGAUCAUAAUCCUCAAAUGCUGCAUAUGCUCCUCUCUACUCCUUAAAUACACAAGGAUGUCAUCGAUGUACACAUUAUAAAAGAAUCCAAAUCCAAAUUCAUCAAAUCCAUAAAUGCGGCUGGGCGUUAGUCAAUUCAAAAGACUUCGCUAAGAACUCAUAAUAACCAUAAUAGGUCCUAAAGAUUGUCUUCGAGAUAUCCUAUGUCUCGCAUUGAUGAUUUAUUUGACCAGCUUUAGAAAGCAACAUAGAAAUCAAAAGGUCAUUAACUCAUGAAAUUUAAUUAUGAAUUUUUGUAUGCAUGUCCAUGGUCCAUAGAGAUGGGACCUCUUAUUGAUUCCAUAUAAUAAUCAAUUUCUUGGUGAUGACUAUAAAGCUAGCUAUAUAGAGUUAGCACAUGAACUUUGGCCAUAAGACAAUGUGUUACAUUUAGUAGGUAGCAAUGCAUAGAGACAUAAAAGUGUGACAACUUUUACAAGUAAUACUAGUAUAUUUUUAGGAUGUGUUUGGUAUGAAAAAAAAUAAUUUCUGAUUUUCUUAUGUUUGGUUAGUCAAAAUUUUUCGAAAAAUAUUUCUUUGGAAAAUGAUUUUACUGAUAAAAAUAAGAAAAAUAAAUUUCAUAAAUGACAUUUUAUACUGAUAUAUUGUCUUCUCACCUUCAAAACACUCCAUCCACCCACCACCUCAUCGUAGUGGCUUUCGUAGAUUAUAUAAGCAAUCGCAAAGCGAGUUCGGCAGUAUUCAGUAGCUUUGAUCUAGACUUUGUACUUUUGUGUUUGAAAGUCCAAUUAUUAUGUAUACAUAAUUUAUUCUACACUGAUAUAACUUUAUUUUUCAGAAUUCAUAAAUUCAAAAUCUUAACUUCGCCUUUGGUUAUAAAUAAAUAUUUUUGAAAUAAUAUAUUUUGUUUUACUUAUCAAAUACUAGAAAAUGAGUACGAAAAUUACUUUUGCGCGAAAAUAUUUUCUAAAAAGAAAAUAAAAAAUUCAUAAGAAAACAUUUUUCAUUUAUACCAAACAAAUCCUUAACCACUAUAUAUGUUUGAAGAUGAUUUAAGCAAAAAAUAAAAUAAAAUCUAAAGGUGUUUUAUUUUGGAUAUGAUUGGUCUUUUCAAUUAGUUGAAACUUUAUGACUGGACACCAUUAAUUAAAGGUGUAUGUAUAAAGCUUGACAUAUUCUUUUUUGAUUUCUUUUACUUAAAUUUCAUAAUAUUUUGACUUUAUAAAAAACUUUAUUGUUGGAAUGUAACUUGUCAAACUCAAAUGCACACUACCACGACUUCUAUUAUUUUUCUACUAUUAUUUCUUAUCAUAAUUGCACCAUUCAUGCCAAUUACAAUGGAGAAUUUUGUACCUACAUAUUGUGGAAUGUAUAUUUUGAAACAACAAUAUAUAAGUGAGAUCCGGGAGGGUAGAGUGUACGCAGAUUUUAUCGAUAUCUCGUGUAGAUAGAGAUACUGUUUUCGAAAGACUCUCGACUCAAGUAGUACAACAAAUUCAGGUACAAAGAAGAAGAAAAUAUAGCAAAUAACAAGGAACCAGAGCAAAGUCGAUGAGAAUAGAUUUUGGAAAAAAAAUAUUGAUUGAUAAUGAAGAUAACUAUUUCACCAUUUGAUUAAUUUAUUUUCAAAUUACCAUUUAUAAUACUUAGAUUGCCCUAAAGAGUUACAUGUUAUUGUAUAUCAAUAAUUAGACAUUUCUACUCUGGAUAACUGUGACUUUUAGAGUAUAUUUCCAAAUAAUAAUAUAUGCCACUCACCAAAAAUAAUCACAUUGAGUAGUUAUAAUGUGGCAUAUGUUUGUCCAGCUAGACCCUGUGGCGGAUCCACAUAGGGUCCAGGGGUUCAUCCGAAUCCCCUUCGUCGGAAAAUUAUACUAUUUUUACAUGAUAAAAUUAUUUUUUUUAUGUAUAAAUAGUAGAGGUUGAAUCCCCUUCAACUAGUCCGUAUAUGUACUACUGAACCCCCUCACUGAAAAUCCUAGAUCCGCCCCUGACUAGACCACUACGUAAAUACAUGUGUACUGGUGCGUAAGGAUCUGAAGUGGUCCAUCUGGAGAAAUAUAUGUCGCAAAAAUAUGAUAAUAAAUAGCCGAGAGAUCAUAGGAUUCCCCACAAAGUUAAAGCGUGUUACAACAAAUUUCGCUAAAAUUUAUGCAUAUCUUUUUACUUUUUUCUCUUUUGGUUACAUAGGGGAAAGUCCACAAAUAAUGGGCCAUAUUUCAAAAUGGACAAAUGUUUCUUCAAAAAGAAUCAAAGAAAGACUUUGGAAAAAGUGAAGAAAGAGAUACAUAUUACAGCUUGUUUCUCAUGGGCAUUGUCCUUUCUUGUUACUCCUUUAAUACACAAUAUUAGCUAUCAUAGUGAAAAUUAUCUAUUUAUUGAUCAUUGUUGACUAUUUUUUUUUGUUGUUGUUUUCCACUCACUGUCUGAUAUCCUUAUUGGAGUCUAGAUUAUUUUGGAUCACACGCAGUGCAGGACCCAUUCUGGAGGUAGGUAGCGCUUCCAGUAGGAUUUUCUCCAUAUUAAAGGCUCGAACCCGAGAUCUACAGUUAAGGAUGAAAUAGUCCCACUACUACACUACAACCUAUGUUGGUGAUCAUUAUUGACUUAAUGAUUGUAUACUUGAACAUUUUUCUUUUGGUACAAAUAGCCCUUUACAUCCUAAUGAUAAUGAUAUGCUAUCCACCAAGAUUUUAUUAAAGGGUGUCACAAUACAAUAAAAGUAGAUACAACAGAGGCGGAGCCAAAAUUUUAACUAAGGGGAUUUAAUAUUUGAAGAAAAUCUAGUCGAAGGAGGGUUGAACACCUACUAUAGAUGCAUAAAAAGAAAACCUAGUCGAAGGAGAUUCAACGCCUACUGUAGAUGCAUAAAAAGAAAACCUAGUCGAAGGGGGUUCAGAGCCUACUGUAGAUACAUAAAAUCAGCGCCUACUGUAGAUACAUAAAAAGAAAACCUAGUCGAAGGGGUUUCAACUCCUACUGUAGAUACAUAAAAAGAAAACCUAGUCGAAGGGGGUUCAAUGCCUACUAUAGAUACAUAAAAAGAAAACCUAAUCAAAGGAGGUUCAACACCUACUAUAAAUACAGAAAAAUAAUUUUAAUCGUGUAUAAAUGGUAUAUUUUUUCGUCGAACGGGGUUCGAACCCCUCGCCAAAGGCUGACUCUGCCCCUGGAUGUACGAAGAAAAUAAGGAGAGUCAACAUAUAGUAUAUAUAUACAUAAAACUAAAAUUCUGACCUAGCUAAUUAACACGACCCCUCUUAGCAUAAGGUGACUCCGUCACUGGUUGAGAUCCCUCUACCUUUAACUAGAGAUCUGAGGUUCGAAUCGAGAAAAUGAAAAAAAUUCAACGAAGAGCGCCGCAAAAAUACCAACACAAAUACGAUUGGGUUUAUGAAUUUUGAAUUUUAAAGAACGCAAUAUAUUGGAUUUUUGAUAAUUUAUUUAUACAUGUUAAGUAAAUUUUUAAACAUAAAUUUGAAUUCUUCUAUCGAAUUCGUAAGGAAAAUUCUAGCUUUGUCCUUGCAUAUAACACACAUUUUCAUCAUUUAUCUGUAAUUUAUUAUCGAAAGAGAUAUCAAGUAACUCUAUUCGAUGCCUCUAAAUAAAAUUUACUCUAAAUACAACACCACACAAACUAUUAAUUACCUACUUAAUAUAUGAUCACUCAAUUAACAGAAAUAUUAAUACAACUUAAAUAAGUCUAGAAAUUAUAAAUGUUACAUAAAUUGAUUAAUUUCAAUUGGGGAAAAAUGCUUCAUCUUUCCUCACAAUUCUUAGCCUCUUCACUUGAUCUGCAAAUUCACUAUAUUAAAAAAAAAAAAAAAAAAGUUCUAUGCAUUAACGAUAUAUAAAAAUUGUAAACAAUCAAGUCAUUUAUAAAAUAAAUACAGUUCAAAUUUUGUGAUAAUAAUAAAUCGGAAUUACUUGAUAACAAAUCUGCUAUCACAUGUUAAAUUAUGUAUUUUGAUAGAUUUAAAAUUGGGAUUUUCAGUAAUUAUGCAAAACAUCGGAAUUUUAUGUAAUUAAGCUCCAAACUAUCGGGAUUUGUGUUGUUUGAACAUAAACAUACAUUUUAAAUUAUCAUAUUUACAUAAAUCACCACCCUUAAAAAGUAAUUACAAAGAUCUCAACUUAUUAUGUAUCUUUAUUGGAUGUAUCAGGCGCUAAUUAUGUAUCUUUACAAAGGAAAAAAUGUAUCUUCAUUAGAUAUAUCGGGAGCUAAUUAUGUAUCUCGACAGAUUCAAAAUUGAAAUUUUCAAUAAUUAUGGAAAACAUCGAGCUAGAUUUUCUGUAAUUAAACUCCAAACUAUCGGGAUUUAUGUUGUUUGCACUUUAUUUAUCCAAAUAGUCUAACCUUUAAAUGGGUCGAAUUGAGCAAGCCAAAAUAGAUCGAAUGGAUAAAUGAAUGAGUUGUUAACUCGCUCAAAUUUAAACAGGUCGAACAAAUCAUAUUUUCAUAGGCUAAUUUUAUCGUUUCGAGUUGCAUAAAUUAAUAAUAUAUGGAAAAUAAAAACUCACUUCCAUGGAACAUCACCAACAGUCCUCCAUUGUUCAUUCAUGUCUUUGUAAAAUAGGGAAAACUCUGAACCAUCUUGGAAUAACCUUAGCCUAUCCAUACUUUGUUUUCCUACACCAAAACCAAAUUUAAUAUAAUAAAUUAAAUAAAUUAUUUUAAAAAAAGAAAAGAAAAGAAAAACAACAUAAACAUACACGUUAACUUAUCAUAUUUACACAAAUCUCCAUCUUUACAAAGUAACUACAAGAAUCUCAGUUAAUUAUGUAUCUUUGCUGGAUGUAUCGGGAGCUAAUUAUGUAUGUCGACAGACCCAAAAUCGAAAAAAAUGUAUCGAGAACUAAUCAUGUAUCUUUACAAAGGAAAAAAUGUAUCUUCGUUGGUUGUAUAUUAUGUAUCUCGAUAGACUCAAAAUCGAAAAAAAAUAUAUCGGAAGCUAAUUAUGUAUCUCGACAGAUCUAAAAUUGAAAUUUCAGUAAUUAUGUAAAAUGUUGAAAUUUUCUGUAAUUAAAUUCCAAACUUAAAAGUUGGAUGGGUUGAGCUAUCAUUAUAUAGCCCAUCUCAUACCAAUCUAUCUCAGCCCACGUUUCAUUUGGCCGGGUCGUUAAUCGACUUUUUCAUUAACUUAAUCCAUUUUGACACGCUCAAAUUCAGUCCAACCGACUUAUUUGAUACACUUCCCUACAAUUACAUUUUAAAUGACAUAAUAGAGUAACAAUAAGUAGGAAACUAACUUAAAUAGUCGACAGAUGUAAUCUCAGAAGUGAGUUUUGAGGAGGGUGUUGUAUAAACCUUACCCCUAUAUUGUGUAGGCAAAGAGACUGUUUCCAUUAGACCCUAGACUUAUAACUGACAGGUGUACAAUAUAUACAUAUAUAAAACAUGUCUCAACUUAUAACUAGCAUGUAAUAUAUACAUAUAUAAAACUAGUCUCGACUUAUAACUGGCAGACGUGUAAUAUAUACAUAUAUAAAACUAGUCUCGACUUAUAACUGGCAGACGUGUAAUAUAUAGAUAUAUAAAACUAGUCUCACCUUAUAACUGGCAGACGUGUAAUAUAUACAUAUAUAAAACUAGCCUCGACUUAUAACUGGCAGGUGUGUAUAUAUAUAUAUAUAUAUAUAUAGAGAGAGAGAGAGAGAGAGAUAGAUAGAUAGUCUCGACUUAUAACUGGCAGGCGUAUAAUAUAUACAUAUCUAAAACUAGUCUCGACUUAUAGCCGACAGGUACAUAUCUAAAACUAGUCUCGACUUAUAACCGACAGGUGUAUAAUAUAUACAUAUAUAAAACUAGUCUCGACUUAUAACCGACAGGUGUAUAAUUUAUACAUAUAUAAAAGUAGUGUAUAAUAUAUGUAUAUUGGAACAUACCAAACAUGUCUUCAAGUUGUAUUGCAAGGCUAGGAUAGUUUGAAUGUUGAAGAAUGCAAAUUUUCCUUCCAACAAUAACACCAUCCAUGUUAACUUUCACAUAUCCCCAACUAUUUUUGCUUUGAGCCCCUUCACCUUCAUCAAUAUGAUCAUAAUUUUCAACAAAAUUUGAAGGAUAUUCACUUCUUGAAUUAUUCCUUAGUUGUGGAUGCAAUUGUUGCCAAUCUAUAAGCUCAUCAUAGCCACCUGCAUGAAAUAGCACUUAACAAUAACUCCCUCAUUAAGUUCAAGGAUACAAGCGUUUUCAUGACUCUACCAUUCAGUAUUAAUUUCAAGGAUACAAGCGUUUUCACGACUCUACCAUCCAGUAUUAAUUUUAGGGAUACAAGCAUUUUCACGACUCUACCAUCCAGUAUUAAUUUCAAGGAGACAAGCGUUUUCACGGCUCUACCAUUUAGUAUUAAUUUCAAGGAUACGAGAGUUUUCACGACUCUACCAUCCAGUAUUAAUUUCAAGGAUACACGCGUUUUCACGACUUUACCAUCCAGUAUUAAUUUUAAAGAUACAAGUGUUUUCACAACCCUGCCGUCUAGUAUUAAUUUCAAGGAUACAAGCGUUUUCACGACCCUACCAUUUAGUAUUAAUUUCAAGGAUACAAGCGUUUUCACAACUCUGCCAUCCAGUAUUAAUUUUAGGGAUACAAGCAUUUUCACGACUCUACCAUCCAGUAUUAAUUUCAAGGAUACAAGCGUUUUCACGACCCUACCAUUUAGUAUUAAUUUCAAGGAUACAAGCGUUUUCACAACUCUGCCAUCCAGUAUUUUUCACAACUCUGCCAUCCAGUAUUAAUUUCAGGGAUACAAGCAUUUUCACGACUCUACCAUCCAGUAUUAAUUUCAAGGAUACAAGCGUUUUCACGACCCUACCAUUUAGUAUUAAUUUCAAGGAUACAAGUGUUUUCACGACUCUAUCAUACAAGUGAUUUCACGACUCUGCCAUCCAGUAUUAAUUUCAGGGAUACAAGCAUUUUCACGACUCUACCAUCCAGUAUUAAUUUCAAGGAUACAAGCGUUUUCACGACCCUACCAUUUAUUAUUAAUUUCAAGGAUACAAGUGUUUUCACGACUCUAUCAUACAAGUGAUUUCACGACUCUCCCAUCCAGUAUUAAUUUCAAGGAUACAAGCAUUUUUACGACUCUAUACCAUCCAGUAUUUACAAGAUUUUUCACGACUCCAUCAUCCAGUAUUAAUUUCAAGGAUACAAGCGUUCUCACGGCUCUACCAUUUGAUAUUUACAAGCUUUUUCACGACUCUACCAUUCAGUAUUAAUUUCAAAGAUACAAGCGUUUUUCACGACUCCACCAUAUAGUCAAUUCUAUUAGAUGUAAUUCUUUUUUCAUGGUCACAUAUUCUUUCCGGCGAAAUAGAAAAUCUUUCUUCUAUUACAUGAAUCCAUUGAAAUUUUCACUUCUUUCAAGAAAACCCAUAAUUUUUACCCAUUAAUACAAAUAUCGAACAGCAGGUGAGACAAAUCAAAGAAAAGACAUGAAAUUGGAAGAAAGGGGGGAAAUAUAAACAUACCAUGAGUUGUUGGAUAAUAGGACUCAGGUUGCAAAGCUCUUAGGCUAAGUCCCAAAUCAAUAAAGUUACCAUCCUCUUUAUUAUUGCUUUGAUAAUAAACAGAAGGAAGAGUUGCAUGAUUUAGAAGAUAUUCAGAAGAAUUAGAAUCCAUAUAUAUUUGACUCUUUCACAAAAAUAAAUAUUGCUAUGUCAAUGUAGAAAGAUAUAUGAUUGAAACAAUGAGACACAUAAGCUCUCUAUAUAUAGUAGUACUACUUGUUGUUUAGUGGCAAAUUCAGGAUUUAGAAGUUGAAUUUAAGUUUGGUGCAUCAUCGGUCUAGUUUUUUUUACGUAACUUUUACCUGCUGUGUAGGUCAUCCAUUUGUCAGGUAAAAAUAUAAAGAUGGAUGACCUGCUACAACAGGUAAAAAUCACCUGUUGGUGUAAAAAAAAAAACUACACCGUCGAUGCACCAAACUUAAAUUCGAAAAAGUUUCAGGUUGGAACUGUAAAAUCAAUUGUUGAUGCAUAUGUCAUGAUAGCUAGACUGCCUACAUCAGACUUUAUUGGGGUGCGUGCAGUGACGAAGUCAGAAUUUUUUAUUGAGGGGGUUCAGAAGUAUAUAUAUGAACUAGUCGAAGGGGGUUCAAUAUCUACCAUAUAUGCAUAAAAAAUAUUUUUAAUCAUGUGAAAAUAGUAUAAAAACAAUAUAAUUUUCCGUCGAAGGGAAUUCGGAUGAACACCCUGGAGCAAAGGUGGCUCCACCACUGGGUGCGUGUCUUUUAAUUUUCUGAACCCUGUAUGAAUGCAUUAUGCUUCGUACAUCGAAAUAUCUCUUAUUAUACGUGUACAAUUUAAAAAUAAUAAUAAUAAUGAGUUCAGUUGAAGUCACAUGACUCUUCAUGUCCAUGCAAAACAAAACACACUUCUUGCAAGAAAAGAAACAAAUCUAGCCAUAUGUUUGAAACAAAGAGACAUAUAAUUAAUCUCCAUAUCGUAAAAGUAUUUUACAGCAAUGAAUUCAGAAUUUAGACGUAUUGAGUACAUACAAAAUAAGUUUGGACCUAUUAAAUGUAUGCAUUAUUUUCAAACAUACAUGUACUAGUAAAGUUAUCUUUAGGUCAUCAAUAGGUUAGGAGUUCAAACUGCAAAAAUCAGUCAUUGACUCUUGCAUCGAGGUACAUAUAAGACUGCCUAUUUCGUUACACCCCUUGUGAAUCAGUCCUUCUCUAGACAUGUUAUAUAUUAAACAAAAAUAAUGAAUUUAGUUGAACUCACAGAACGCGUCCUGCCCGGUGGCGGAGCCACCUUUGCUCCAGGGGUUUAUCCGAAUCCUCAUUGACGAAAAAUUAUACUGUUUUUAUACGAUCUUUACAUGGUUAAAAAUGUUUUUUUAUGCAUAUAUAGUAAAUGUUGAACCCUCUUCGACUUAGGGGUGUGCAAAAAUCGAACCAACCGAUAAACCGAACUGAUAAAAAUGUUAUCGAUUUAUUAUUAUUGAGUUAAUGGUUUUAUCAAAAAAAAUUAUUGGGUUAUUGGUUCGGUUUGAUUUUUCUUAUUGGGUUAUUGGGUAAACCGAUAACCCAAUAAGAGUAUAUAUAUAUAUAUAUAUAUAUUAUAUUUUUCUUAAUUUCUCUUUAAUUUCUACCAAUUAACAAACCUAUUAUUUCAAUUAUACAAACUAUUAAUUUCUCCUAACAACAUUUAGUUCAAACUUAAAGAUUCUUGUAAAUUCAAACACAUUAUGUAGGAUUUUUAGUUGCAACUAAGAUUCGAUUUUUUUUUUCAUAUUAGUUACUGUUAUUUUUAUUUUAUGAGUAGUUUCUUAUCGGUUAAACCGAAAACCAAACUGUUAAGGACUAAAAAUCGAUAAACCUAAAAUCGAUAAAAAAUAUCUUAUUAAUUUGGUAAUUGGUUUAGCAUAUUUAAAAACCGACAAACAGAUAAACCGAUAAAACCGAACCAAACCAAUCGAUGCACACCCCUACUUCGACUAGUUCGUAUUGAUACUUCUGAACUCCCUCAAUGAAAAUCCUGACUCCGCCACCGAUCUUGCCUUGUACUUUUCAUGUCCAUGCAAGAAAAGAAAUAAAUCUAGCUAGGUUAAGAGAAAUGCAAACAUAGGUGGUGGACAUGAAAAGAGAAAGAACUUAUUUCCCAUAAUCAAUCAUUGUAUAUUGUUAGUUAUUUUUUUUUUCCUGACAUUUAUAACAUGGAAAAUCUCAAUGGAUAAUAGAAAAAAAAAAAAAAAAAAAAAAAAAACAAGAUAUGGGCACAAAAAAUCCAACAAAAGUAGGGUUCAUAUGUUGUAUACACUACAAAGAUCUUUGCCAUAUAUUCUUCUUUAGACCUUUAAAUCUUGGAUUUUUACAUUAGUUAAAUCUUUCGGGAAAAUGUUCGAAAUAUACCUAAAUUUUAACGAAAUUUAUUGUAGCACGCUUUAACUUUGCGGGGUCCUAUAGCCCUUCUCAACUAUUUAUUACCGUAUUUAUGUUGCAUAUAUUUGCCCAAUUGGACCACUAUGUGAAUACACGCGCACUGAGCGCGUAAGGGUCUGAAGUGGUCUAUUUGUACAAAUAUAUGUCACAGAAAUACGAUAAUAAAUAAUCGAGGGGGGUCGUAGGACCCCCACAAAGUUGAGGCGUGUUAAAACAAAUUUCGCUAAAGUUUAGGUAUAUUUCUGACAUACUCUUUUCCCUAAAUCUUUUUGUUGUCCUUGUUUAGAGGCGGAUUCAAAAUAUAAAUUAUUUGGAUUACCAUUAAACCUACCGAUGAUUGGCGGCGAAACCAUCUUUUAGUUUUCAUUCUUAUUUUGUUACUAAAAAGGAGGAGGAAACUCAGUACCAAAUGCUUGGCAAUCCUUGGUAGAGCUUAUUUAUGAUUUCGUGCUGAACCCGGUAAACGAACAAAUAGGUGGUCUUUCCGGAAAUGUUAAACAAAAGUUUUUUCACUGAAAAAUUAUACAGUGUAGAUAGGUUAAACUUUUUAAUGUAUAUAUAUUGUAUGCUAUAUCUUCUUGGAUUCUCGUACGUUUACUUUUUUUAUAUUCAUAACUUUGUUAUUGACGAUUUUAAUUAGAGGGGUCGAAAUUUAAUAUGCAUACACAUACUUAAUAAAUUUUUCUUAACAUGUGAUAUACAAGGUUUGAGUUAAAGCUGCUCGAUUCUGUCAAAUCCGUAGCUAAUACUCCUACUAUUUUAUUUAUCAAAAAUAUCAUUUCGAUUACAGAAUUCUUUUCUUAGAGAGCCAGUACGUACCUUAAGACAGACUCUAGUAGCAGCUGUCGCCUGCUUGAAAUAACAUUGUAAAUCCACCCCUAUCGUGUUCGAAAUAUUUUCUCUAUAGAGUCAAUACCUUAAGGCAAACUCUAAUAUCAGUUAUCGUCUGCUUUAACUAAUAUUGUAAAUUCGCUCCUGUUGUUGUUGUUUCUUUUUUAUCCUAGUUAUUAUAUUUAUCGUGUCUGUUUGUACUUUUUUCCCUUCAUUAUUUAUGGUGAAUAUAAUUUCUCUAUGUUAUUUUUUUCGACAUAUCUGACGCAACUAAAUACAUAUGUAUGUCCAUGGCUCAGCAGGAUUACAAAAUUCACUCAGAUAUGAUGCAGUAUUUCAGAAAAGGAUAAAAAAAAUUAAUUAAUUCCAGAAAUCUUCUGACUUUGGAUUUUUAUUUUCUCAUUUGUUUAUUUUUGGUAUAUAUUUAUUUAUUUAUUUAUUUAUUUUUCUACCUUUCAAACCUUGUUAGUUUCUUCUUAUCUUGUGAAUCCCAACCCAUAUUGUAAGACCAUUGAUUUAGUGACACGUCAUAGAUUGAUCCUAGAAGAUCGGAUACAGAUUCGCUUAAAUUCAAUAACUUUUGCUCAAAUAAUAUAUUUAUGUUAACAAAAAAAACUCAUUAAUUAUUAACUUUAGAACUUCGUUACUGCCUCUUGAAGUCAUCGUUAUAUAGGGCAGAAUCAAUGGUCUUUUAAUCAAACAAGAUUUUAUAUAUACAUACAACGAAACAUGUCAAGAUAUAUUUAUACGAGCUUGAAGUUAAAAGUUUGAUAGUUUAAAUUUCAGACAUAUGAGUUUAAAGUUUGAACUUCCAAAGCACAAACAAAAUGCCAAAUAAAUUCAAUUUAAAUUUGAUAAUUUCAAUUUUUUUUUUUAUAUAAAGUUUGAGUAUAUUUUAAAUAACUUACUACAAUGGGCUAUAUGUGCCAUUUGCAAAAUAGUUUGGACUUGAGAGGCCAUUUGCAUCAGGGGCCCAAAAUAUAGAUUAAUGGACUCUCCAAGCCCAUCCAUCUUCAUUCCCAAGGCCCAUUUCUCUUGAGUAUUAUAUCGAACGCUUUUACAUGGGCCUCGGUCAUCUGCAAUGUCCUCCUUUGAUACGCCUGAUUCUUAUCGUGAAUUUAAAAUGCGACUUUUCACUAAAUCGCGACUUAUAAAUCAAUUUUCCAUGAGCGUUUAGAUGAGUCAACCCUCGGUCCUGGGUACGGGUUAAUUGGCUUUUCCAUUCACGAACCAUUAGAAAUAAAUGAUUUUUGGCCCACGCUGAGCACGAUCCCAAUGUUCUAAUGGUAAAACAAAAAAAAAAAAAUUAGAAUAUAUAUAUAUUUAUGUGACACAGAAGAAAUUUUGAUAUUGUAUUGAAUUUAAGAUAAAAUUUUUAGAAAACAACCCUUUUGAUAUAUGAUUUGUGGAUUUAACCAUGCUCAAAUGAUAUUAGCUCAUAUAAAGGAGUGAAUGACCAAAAGUUAUUUGUUAUAAUCAUGAAUUCAACUCCAAAAUAGUAUUGAACAUUGACUAAAUUUAUCACACAUGUGACAGCACAAAAGUAAAAAUAUAUAGCCAAAAAAAAAAAAGCAACUCGAUACACAAAGCUCCUGCUAUACACAGAGUUCGAGGAAGGAUUGAAUUACAAGACUUUAUUAUACGCAAUUUUACUUUAUAUUUCUCCAAGAUGUUGUUUCCACAACUUGAACUGUAAUCUUCUAAUCACAUCACAACGGCUAUACUAAAAAUAUAUAAUGAUAGGUCAAUAUUUUUCCAUUCCCCCAUAAUUCAAAUUUACCAAAAAACAAAGUUACCAAUCAAGAGUUAGACAAAAUGUGUCUCAAAUAAUUAUUAGAAAAGGUAAAAGGCAAGGUGAAAAGUACAAAAGUAAUAUAUAUAAUUAUAUAUAUAAUAAAAGUACUUAAAUACAUUACUAUAAUAUAAUAAGACACCAAAGUAUUUUGUUUGCAAGUUAGAAACAACACAUAGAAAAAGACAGAAAACAACUGUGUUUUUAAAAAAAUCAAUAAUUUUGCCACCCUCGAAGAGAUCCAAAAUAUGAAAAAACAACUUUCAAUAAAAACCAACACUUAAAUAUAAUUACUCUUAUGUUUGAUUUUAUGUGACGGUGUUACUAUUUGCAAAGAUAAACUAUUUUUUUAGUUCAUGAUAUAAUAGUUUCUCAUAAUAUUUUUAAUUUGUUAUUGUCCAACGUCUACAAAAUUAGAGUUCACUAUAUAAGAAUUUUUCAUAAUAUUUUCAAUUUGCCGUCGUCUAACGUUUACAAAAUUAUAGUUCACUAUAUAAUAAUUUCUCAUAAUAUUUUUAAUUUGUUAUCGUCUAACAUCUACAAAAUUAUAGUUCACGAAAUAAUAGUUUCUCAUAAUAUUUUCAAUUUGUCGUCGUCUAACGUCUACAAAAUUAGAGUUCACUAUAUAAUAAUUUCUCAUAAUAUUUUCAAUUUACCGUCGUCUAGCGUCUAAAAAAUUAUAGUUCACGAUCUAAUAAUUUCUCAUAAUAUUUUCAAUUUACCGUCGUCUAACGUCUACAAAAUUAUAGUUCACGAAAUAACAGCUUCUCAUAAUAUUUUCAAUUUUCUCAAAAGAAAUUUUGCAAACCAUAGUCUAAAAAGUCCAAUGAGGGUCAUUCACUAAAUUAAAAUAUUUCAAAAGCAUAUACAAAUGAACAAAAAUAAUUCAUUUGUUCUCUUCUUCUUCUUUGUGAUCUCUCUAAACUCAUAAUAAUAAUAAUAAUAAUAAUAUCCCAAAACUCACAUUUCAUUUUUCAUUAACACAAUGUCAAUAUCAACAAUUGAUCAUAACUCAAGAUUCAAAAAAACAAAAAACAAUGGCUCAAAUGAAGCUAAAAAGAAGAAGAAAUUUAUGUUUGUAAGCUUUGGAGGGCUCGGAUGUAAGGGAAAGUUUAGUUCUCCGUUGGCGCCGUCGACGCCGGAAGUUAUUAGAUCAGCAGCAGCAUGGGAGAGUAGUAGUAGGCAAAUGAGGAAGAAUACAAAGAGAAUGAUAUCAACAUUGUCAAGAAGUAGUACUAGGAAUUCAAGUACUAAUGUUGUUUGCUGUGCUCCUCCUGGUAUUGGUUCUGCAUUUGAUGUUGCUCCUAGGACAAGAACAAGAUCAAAUAAUAGAGGGGUGAAGGUAAAUUAAAUGAUCCUUUAUUAUGGAUUUAGCUGGUUUAUAAUAUUACUCCGUGGCUGUUUUGUUUCCUUUAUUAUCUCGCGGUGUGAUAUCCCUUGUUGUUUGCUUUUAUGUUUUCUGUCUGUUAUAUUUGUGAGCCGGGGAUCUACCGGAAACAAUCUCUCUGCUUCAUCUGAGGUAGGUAGCGGUAUGGACUACGUACACUUUACCCUUCCAGACCCACUUUGUGGGAAUAUACUGGGUAUGUUGUUGUUGUUGUUGUUGUAUACUCAAUGAAAAUUUAUGUGUUAUAGUGGGUUACUUAACAGAAGGGGAGCCUUGGAGUAACUGGUAAAGUUGUUGUUUGUGUGACCAGGAGGCCACGGGUUCAAGCCUUGGAAACAGCCUCUUUGCAAAAAUGCAAGAUAAGGCUGCGUACAAUACACUCUUGUGGUGGAUUCCUUCCCCGGACCUGCGCGUAGCAGCACCGGAUUGUCCAUUUAGUAGGUUUCUUAAUACUGUGUCACAGGUUCAAGCCUUGGAAACAGCCUCUGGCAGAAAUGCAAGGUAAGGCUGCGUACAAUACCCUCUUGUGGCGGAGUCCUUCCUCGGACCUGCGCGUAGCAGCGGGAGCUUUAGUGCACCGGAUUGUCCAUUUAUUAGGUUUCUUAAUACUGUGUAAGUCUGGAGAAGUGUCCUCAGAGGCAGACCGGGCUCAAGUUAGAGAGCCUUGUUGUGCCGGGACUCUGUUGCACCGCGAGGUAUUGUUUACGAGUUUGGUUGUUUGGGAAUGCAGCCUAAAUCGAGGGGUGAAUUCCAUCCAAGGGUAAAAAUGGGAGAGAGACCGAUAGAGGGAGAAAUUCGACUUGUUUAAUAGAGUUAUUCGUAGUCACCUUUUAAAGAACCAGACCGUGUAGAUAUAUAUUGUUUGCAUCGUCAGUACAUAGAACUUACACUCGUUUAUUUCAAGAAAUGAGGAUGUCUCUCCCCGAUACUCAGGAUUUGAACUUUAUGAGUACGAGUUCAAAAGUUUAUCACAUUCCCUUUGAUAUGUUGGAAAAUCAACUAUAUGUGCUUGUUUUUGAAUUUUGUAACACAUAUAUAGGGUCUGAGUCAAAGCUACUAGCUUGGUUGAACCCAUGACCGAUACACUAAACUACGUCAUACGUAUCAGAUCCUUCAAAAAUACACUACUUUUGGAGAAUCUCGUGAUACUUUUGAAGACUCCGAGCAACAUAGCUUCCCAUUUUCUUUCCAGUAAGACCAUGUUGUGUUCUUUUCUGUCUACUUUUGUACCACAAACUUACUAAAAUUGUGUAUGUUUUGAAUUACUUCAUUCAAUAGCACUCUCGCAUCGCGAGGAGAACUGCGAAUGGUGAAGAGACAUCGAGGUUUCAUGCAUCAAACACAAGACAUCAAUGCCCUCGCGCUCAUCAUCGUCCUCCUGUAAGUAAAAAAAAGUUAACCGCACCCAGUGUUUACACCAAACCUGUCCUCAUUUUCGUUCGCGUAUUGCAGAUUAUGAUCCUCAGACAGAACUUGCAAUUUGCUAGAGACUUAGAAGGGGAUGAUGAUCAAUAUGGAUCAUGGAGACUAGAUGUAGAUGAUAUGUCAUACGAGGUUCGACUUUUAACUAAUAGUGUAAAAAUUCUUUACGCUGACGAUAUAUACAAGUUAAUUUAUCUUUAUAAUGUGCGUUGUUAUAUGCAAGAAUUGAAGUGAUUUGGUUAUUUUUUCGCAGCAAUUGGUUGAACUAAGUGAUAGGAUUGGAUAUGUGGGAACAGGUUUAGCAGAAGAGAAGAUAGUUCAAUGUAUAAGAAAGUUUAAGCUCUCAACAACUGAUUCCUAUUCAAUGCUCAUAUCUACUGAUAAAACUUGGAGGUGUACCAUAUGCCAAGUGAGUUCACUAUUCCAAAUUUUCUCUAUUUUUCGCGGAACGGUAAGAGUUGUCAGGAGGUAACAGGUUCGAGCUAUAGAAACAACCUCCUUGCAUAAGGUUGUGUACAAUAAUAUACCCAAUGUGGUCUGGCCCUUUCUUGGAUUCGUGCAUAGCGGAGGAAGCGUUGUGGAUCGGUUGCCUUCUUUUAGUUUUUUAUGCAAUGGUAAGAGUCGUCGUAGUGUGAUCAUAAGGUCACGGGUUCAAGACGUGGAAACAACCUCUUGCAGAUGCAUCAGUUGCCUUCUUUUAGUUUUUUAUGCAAUGGUAAGAGUUGUCAUAGUGUGAUCAUAAGGUCACAGGUUCAAGACGUCAAAACCACCUCUUGCAGAAAUGCAAAGUAAGGCUAUGUAUAGUUGACCCAAUGUGGUCCGGCCUUCUCCCAUGCACAUAGCAGGAACUUAGUACACCAGACUUUCCUUUUUUUAUAUACACCACUGGGAGGUCAUGGGUUCAAGGUGGAAAUAGUUUCUUAAAGAAAUGCAAGGUAAGGCAUGCAAUUGACCUAACGUGGUUCGACAUGUCCUAGAUCCUCAUUUAGCAAGGCCUUAGUGCACCGGGCUACCUUUUUAUUUUUUAUUUUUCACGCGAUGAUAAGAGUUGUCGUUGUAUGACCAGGAGAUUACGAGUUCAAGCCAUCGAUAUAGCUUCUUAUAGAAAUGUUGAGUACAAUAGCUCUGCAUACGACACGAACUUAGUGCAUCGAGCUGCCUUUUUUCUUGAAAAAGUGUAGCAUACAAUACUACUAAUAUUAACAUUCUCUCUUACAUUUAAUAUCACAUUUUGCAGGAAGGAUACAAAGUUGAUGAUGAAAUUGGCAAACUAGAAUGUGGACAUUACCAUCAUAUUGAAUGCAUAAAGAAAUGGCUUAUGCAGAAGAAUGCAUGUCCUAUUUGCAAAAUUGCAGCAAUCCAUGAAAUUGACUAAGAGGCAUAUAAUAGGCCUGACACAUAGCGGGAGCUUAGUGUACCGUACUGCUUCUUUUGGGGGGUUGUUUUUUCCUAUUGAUUUGUUUGGAGGGAGAUAGAGGAUAGUCCAACUGCGUGAGUGAAAGGCGAAAGUCAAGUUUACGUGCAACCAGGUGUAACGUGUCAAAGGUCACUGAGUUGUCGUUUGGAAAAUUGCAUUUGAUAAGUUUGUUAUCCUAAUUCCGCUUCUUUGAGACCAUUCAUUUUCAAGAUCAUUGAGUGUAAUUUCCCAAAAGAAGUAGGUGUGUGCCACUUCUUUAAAAUUUAUAACUAUUUUUCAAGAAUGGUUAUAUUCUAAAUAGCAAUCUUUAAAAGUGGUUAUAUAUGAAAAUCAUUCCAUCAAAAGCCAAGGGUCCAUAAAGAUUUUGGGCUUACAUACACCUCUCAAAAUUGGGCCUAUUGGGCUUUGAAAUAAGGUUAGUAAGCUCUACCGAUUUGGAUCCUAAGCCUUGGUGAGCAAAAUCUCCCGGCAUAUGUGUCAGUGGGAGGCAGUAAGUGACAGACAUGUAACUGUUGUUAUCAGGGUACAAGAUAUGUAUGUUUCAAUACAAACUUCAAUACUAAGUUCAAGAAUAUCUUUCAAAAACUACAAUUACGUUCAACACCUUCAAACACAAGUUUAAAUGAAGUGUUUAUCAACUUUUCAGAAAUAAAGAUGAAGCAGAAGGAUUAAAACCAAGUCCAUCGAUAUAUCUAUGUAUGUAUGUAUUGAAUUAACAUGAAAAUGUUGAAAUGUUAAAGGUACAAUUGAUGUUGACUCAACAUAGGUGCUUCUUGUGUUUUAUAUAUACAAACAACUCUAUGGACUGAAACCGAUAUGCAUUGUGGUGGAAUGAUUUGAACUCGUUUAUCCUUAAUUAGAGAAGGUUUUAGGUUUGAGUUCUCGAGGAUAUAUACAAACAACUCUAUGUAAGCGUCGCCGCCUAUAGAAAUGGGCUUUGCAAUGCGUGAAUUCAAAUUUAAUAGGCUUUAAUGCCAACAUCGCAUGAAAAAUAAAACAAAAAGAAACUCUAUAGUCAACGACUCUAAGUGAUUGUUGGGAUUCAUUUAUCUUUAAUCAAAGAUUUUGGGUUUGAGUCCUUGAAAAUGAAAAAAAUGUAGUAGACAACAUCGCCGCCUUUAGAAAUGAGCCUCACAACGGAGGAACUCAAAUUCAGUCGGCCUCAAAUGUGAGCAUCAGACACUGGAUGGAAAGCCAAAAAUUAAGAAACUCUUCUAUCGGUCGAUGCCUACAUGGGUUAUGAUUGGAUGGUUGUGAACUCUCUACCCUUAACUAGAGAUCCUGACUUCAAUCUGAUAUUGAAAAUAAAUUUGUUAAAAGCGUCCCUCCCAAAAAUCGAACCUUAAUUAAUAUAAAUACCGAACACCAAAAUGGGGAAAUCAAACAAAAAGAAAAACUCUAUGGGCUGAUUGAGUCAGAGUUACCAUAUGAUGAUUUGCAGUGGCAACAGUUGGGGAACAUUUAAUACAUACAUGACUAGUUCAAUUUUAACAUAAAAUAUAGUUUUCUCCAAAAGAGGAAUAACCAAAUAUAAGAAUAGUAUAAUCAGUGACGGACUCAGAAUUUAGAGACUGUAGGUGUUUGAAAGGUUUAAAUAUACAUAUUGACGUCGAAAACUUUAAAAUUUCGUCUGAACUAAAACACUCAUGUAUCUUCUUGAUUUAUCGGAUGUUUUUCUAAGUUUUAUACUAAUUUUAAUACAUUAUUUAUAUAAUUACCUAGUCUGCGUGGAUUUAACGAAUACUGGAGCAUCCAAAAAUUAGCAUUAGGUCAGCCCAUAUUUUAAGUUAAGAUCGAAGAUCUUAAUGAAAAAGAUUUAUAAUAUAAUGAAGUAAUAUACGAAGAAAUUAAGAGGAUUCAAUAUCGUUGAUUAGUUCAUAGACUAGUUAUGUUGAGAUUAUAAUGUUGGGAGAUUGUUUAUGGGGUGACAUAUAAUCAAUGGAUUGUUUUAGAGGUGAUUAAUGAUAGAAAAAUUUUCAUAAAUUUACUUAAUAUAUAUAAAUUAUAAAUUUAAAAUAUAGUAACUUUUAGAAGGUAGAAUUCAGAACGUAUAAACUUGAAUUUUUAGAUCCACUUCUGUCUAAAAUAAAAUAGGAAAAAAUACAUAGAUAUCUUAUAUUUUUCUCUAAAUAAUUAAAUCUCUACGUUAUUAAUACUAGUAUUCUCAUUUUACAAUAUAUUUUACAUAAAAUAAUAAUACAUAAAUUCUUGAAUAAUUUAAUACCUCCAACGUCCAAUCAUUGCAUUAGUGAUGAAUCAAUUAUUAUUUUCCAAUACAACCAAUUAAAUACUAUAUUGACUUAGAAUAAAUUUUAGGGAAAAGACCCAAAUAUGUCACUGAACUAUCAGAAAUAAUUCAUUUAUGUCAUCCGUUAAAAGUUGGGCUCAUUCAUGCCAUCACCAUUACAAAACUGGUUUAUCCAUGCCAUUACUGUUAACAGCCGAUUUUUAGAAAACAACUUUGCCAUGUGGCAGCAUAUUAAAGGUCCACGUUAUUUUAAAAAAAAAUAUUUUUUUUAUCCAUUAAAAAGAAUCCAUCCAACUUUUUGAUCUAUGACAAUUAGGUUAAUAGUAGAGUCAAAAUUUUCAUUAAAAGAUUUUAAAAUAACAUAAAAAUAUAUAUGAAGAAAUCAAUGAACAUAUAUAUAUANNNNNNNNNNNNNNNNNNNNNNNNNNNNNNNNNNNNNNNNNNNNNNNNNNNNNNNNNAUGUUAUCUAACUUAUCAAAAAUAUAUUGGAUUUACUUUUGUUUUUAUAUAUGUCAACUGGCCUUAGACUAUAUUAUACAAAUUCCAUGUCAUCUUCAUUUUAUUCUUUCUUCUUAGAUAUUUUAUUUCAUUAAAGAGAAAAGAACAAUAAAAUUUUGGAAUUAAUCUAUUCAUUGAAUGAAGUAUAUAAUGAAAUUAUAAAGACUAUACAUACAUAAUAAUUGUGAGUUGCAACUUGCAUGCAUGGCUUAUAUAUUGUUUUUAUUCAAUUUCUAAUUAGGAUUGGACCACUUAAAAUUAAUUAUAUAAGGAUAUAAAACUAUGAUGUCUCACCAAUUUUUAUGUAACUAUAUCAUUAAAUCAAAUUGUAAUUUAAGAAAAAACAUAAUUGUAAUUUAGAUAAAUAUUCUACCUUCAAUGAUUAAUGUUAAUUGUCAAAUAAUUAUCUUAAUAUAUGAUUGUGUCAAAACAUUAAACGACAUAUUAAAAAAGAUGAAGGAGCAGUAUAAUGAGUGUUUUAGAGAACAAUGUCCCACGUGAAAAGUAAAAAAGAAAUGAAAUUAUUUAUAAAAUGUCGGAUAUUUAAGGUCUCUUGAAAAAAAAAAUUCAAUUUGGUUCAAAGCGAAUGAUAUCAUACAAUAUUAAAAGUAUUUUAUGGUAAUUAAUAAACACAAUAAUUGAUAUCAACGUCACUGUACAAAAAUUUUUGCAGGAUGGGUAUGAGGAUGAUAGAGUGACGGCAUGAGACGUAUUGUCUUAUUAUCUUUACUUGUCUAUGGAUCAAUUUACUAUAUUUGAUCACAAUUUUAAGCCGCAUACAAUCAAAAAAAAAAGUCGAUGAGCUUGGUAACUAUAAAUACUCGGAUGAUAUGAGGCGAUACACAAAUAACUCAAAAUUAACUCAUUAACAGUAAUUAAUCAAGUAAAACUUAGUUCAAAGGGAGAUGAUCAUAUUAUUGAUCCGUAUUGUGAACAGAGUCACACGUGAAAGCCAAAAAAGGAAAAAAAAAAACUAUUGAUAAGGGGCAAUAUACAAAUAAUCUCAAAUUUUAAAAGCAUAGAUCAAACUAAUUUUUAAUGGAUCAAAAAGUUGGAUGGAUUCUUUUUAAUGCAUCAAAAAAAAAUGACGUGGAUCUCUAAUAUGCUGCCACGUGGCAAAGCUGUUUUCUAAAAAUCAGCUGUUAAAAGUAAUGACAUGGAUGAGCCAGUUUUGUAACGGCGAUGGCAUGAAUGAGCCCAACUUUUAACGAAUAACAUAAAUAAGUCAUUUCUAAUAGUUCAGUGGCAUAUUUGAGCCAUUUCCCUAAAUUUUAUAUUGAGAAGUAAAAUAAGAGAAAAGAAUUUCAAAAUGACAGCCAAAUUUUAAUAUUUAAUAUGAGUGUGAAAGAACAAAAAAAUAACAAGGAAAAAAGCUCAAUAUGUCACUGAACUAUCAGAAAUGACACAUUUAUGUCAUCGGUUAAAAGUUGGGCUCAUUUAUGCCAUCGUCGUUAUAAAAUCGAUCAUCCAUGCCAUUACUUUUUUACGGUGGUUUUCAAAAAAACUGUUUUGCCACGUGGCCUCUUAUUAGAGAUCCACGUCAUUUUAAAAAAUUUAUUAAUUUUUUUUUUUAAAAGUUUUGAUCCAUUAAGAAGAAUUCACCCACACCCACCCUAUCACCUUAACACACUUUAAUGUUACUCUUACUUUUAAUCCUAGAUUUAAAAAUAUAUAUAUAAUCAUUUAAUCUUCGAACAUGAAAUUUACACACUUGAAUACUACGUUUAAAAUAAUAUAGGUUAAAAUAAUUAAUAAUUUAAAAUGACAAAUGAAUAAAUUAUGAUUAAAAAAAUAAUUUAUUUUGACUCUAGAAAUUCGAGUAUCAUCACAUAAUUUAGGACGAAGAGAAUACCACAUACAUGAAGGACCACAACUUUUAAUUAGGAAGAAUACCUAAAAAUUCUUUCUAAAUUUGGAUUAUAAGUUAUAUAAUUGAAUUAUUGGUAGUUUUAAUUAUUUCGUAGACUUGGCUAUUUGGUAGCCUUUAUACUCUUUAGCGUAGACGAGACGUAGAGAAUAAUUUAUUUUUAGGCGUGUUAGAGUUUAAAAAUAUAUAAAAUAAAUAAAAGACCAUCAUCCAGGUGCGUAGGGUGUUUUCAGUCCACAUAUUUUUUAGUGUUGUUUGGUACCUACUCACGCGGACACUAUUUAUGUGUAUAUUAAUGAAUCUUUAAUGUGUAAAUUUAAGAAUCCACUCACGCGAACACUAUUUAUGUGUAUAUUAAUGAAUCUUUAAUGUGUAAAUUUAAGAAUCCACCCACGCAGAAAAAAGUUAUGUUCUACAUCCCGUCCACAUUAAAUAGUAUAAAAGCUACCAAAUAACCAAAUUCACGAAAUAAUUAAGACUACUAAUAAUUCAAUUAUAAAACUUAUAAUCCAAAUUUAGAAGGGAAUUUUAGGUAUUCUUUCUAAUUAAAAGUUGUGGUCCUUCAUUUAUGUGUAAUUCUCUUCGUCCUAAAUUAUGUGAUGAUGUUCGAUUUUGAGAGUCAAAAUAAAUUAAUUUUUAAUCACAAUUUAUUCAUUUGCCAUUUUAAAUUAUUAAUUAUUCUAACUUAUAUUAUUUUAAACGUAGUAUUCAAGUGUGUAAAUUUUAUGUUUGAAGACUAACAGCCUGUUUGGAUAGUGGUUUCCCAUGGUAUGGUAUGGUAUGUUACUAUUCCAUGGUUUGAUAACCAUGAAAUGAAGCAAUUUAUUGAACCACCAAAUUGGUGGUGUGCCAUGGUUUUCAUUUUUCUUUUUCAACUAUACCCUUAUAUAAUUUUCUUUAGUCCUAUUUUAUCCUUAUCAACAAAAUACAUGCUAAGACUACGCAUUUGUUAACAAGAUCGAAGAUUGCAAGGUUUCCUGUUAGCAAUAUAAAAAAUCAAAGAGUGAGAAAAAUGAUCACAGUUAUUUAGUAGUAAUAGUUUUUAAUGCCAAUAAAAACUCAAUUCGAUAAAAAAAAAAUUGAAAAUUGAAAUGGAGGGAAACAGAGUGAAUGCACAAAAAGCAUAUACAUGGGAAGUGAUUUUUGAACGCUAAGAUACAUACAUGUAUACCAAUUGUUUUAUUGAUUGGGAAGUACUUCCCGAUUGCAUUAAUUUGCGUUCGUCAAACCUUUGUUUAGCAAAUACCCUUGUGAAUUUGGCGUCUUAAAAGGAUCAUCGGGUAGCUAUGAGAAGCAUCAAGAAAAAAAGGACAACUGGUUACGCUAGCACUGAUAUGGAUAAAAAGUUGAUAUCUCAAAUGUAUUACAAUUAGGGGCAUUUUAGUAAAUUUAUCUGUUACCAUACCGUACCAUACCAUCAAACCAAACAAAAAAUCUAUUAUUAAACCGUAGUGAACGAUACAGUCCAUCCAAACAUGGUACUGUACCAUACCAUACUAUAACAUACCAUAUUACACCAUACCAUACAUUAUAAAACCAUGACAAAUCACCAUCCAAACAGGCUGUAAAUGAUUAUAUAUAUGUUUAAAUCUAGGGUCAAAAUUAAGAGUAAUAUUAAAGUGGGUUAAGGUGAUAGGUUGGGUGUGGAUGAAUUCUUCUUAAUAGAUCAAAACUAAAAAAAAAAAAAAUUAAAAAAAAAGACGUGGACCUCUAAUAAGAGGCCACGUGGCAAAGCAGUUUUUUAGAAAAUUACCGUUAAAAAGUAAUGGAAUGGAUGGGUCAGUUUUAUAACGGCGAUGACAUGAAUGAGUCCAACUUUUAACGGAUGACAUAAAUGAGUCAUUUUUAAUAGUUCAAUGACAUAUUUGAGCCUUUUCUCAAAUAACCAUAACCAAAGAUUUAGCCAUUUGUCCUGUUAGGCCAUUCAUAUAUAUAUAUAUAUAAUUAGUUCGAUUAAUUUAAAUUCAUAUUAAAUAAGUUUAUUAAAAAACAUUUUUUUAUUUAGAUUUUUUAUUUAUUGAUUUAAACACGAAUAAAAAAGGUAUUUUCUAUUGAGAUUUUCGUUUUCUAAUUUAAAUACAAUAUUUCUAUUUAAAGAUCGAUAUAUAUAUAUAUAUUAAAAAAUGAAUAUUUAAAAUAACUCUUUACGUCAUUCUGUCAUGAGAGAUUUGACUCGAAUCCUUAAUUCUCGAAUAUUAUUUUUAGUUCUCACUUUGCAGCAUAUUUUGAACAUUGAACUCUUCUUUUGGACCCUACUUAACCUCUCUGACUAUCUAAGAUCAUUUACACUUUUUUUAAAAAAUAAAAAAAAGACGAAUUCAAAAUUUGAAGUUAUUAGUAUGGAUAAUUCAUCUACCAGUUAUUUUUUUUAGAUUAAGGGUUAUAAUAUGCACAUGAAUAGUUAAGUAAUGAAAUGAUUUGCAGAUAGUGAUUGAGUCAGAAUUUAUGAAGAAGUAAAAGGAAAUUUAACGAUUACUAUAUAAAUCUAAAAAGUAAAUUUAUUAUUAUAUAUAUAAAAUAGUUUCUUUUAUGAACUCCUUACUUUCACUUGACUUAGAUCCUCUUUAUUAUUUUUCUCUUAUUUCUCAUUAGGUAUUUAAUAUUCAUAUUAUUACGACUCUAAUUAAUCUGAAUUUGUAAUAGGUAAGAUUCAUUAAAGGAAAAAAAUCGCUUCUUAAUAGAAUCUUUUUUAUAUUUAGUAUUCUAAUGUAAGAUUAAAUCUUUGAUUAAAGAUUGAAAAAUCAUAUUCAUCUCACUAUAAUUCUUAUCAAGUAUCUAUGUGAUAUAAAUAGAAAAAGCAAUAUAAAUUUCGAUAGUCUGAAGAUUAAUUAUAGAAACUUUUGACAUUUUGCAUAAUUACUGUGAAUCCCAAUUUUAGAUCUGUCGAGGUACAUGAUUAGCUCCCGAUAUAUCCAACGAAGAUAUAUUUUUCUUUGUAAAGAUACAUAAUUAACUCCCCAAUACAUUCUCUUUAAUUUUGGUUCCGUCGAGAUACAUAAUACAUCUAACAAAGAUAUAUUUUUUCUUGUAGAGAUAUAUAAUUAGCUUUCGAUAUAUAUUUUGAUUUAUAUCUAUAUUAUAUUAAGUAGAUUAUAGAUUUCGAUGUAUAUCUAUCAGAUCGUGACUUCAUGUAUACUAUCGAGAUACAUAAUUAGCUCUUUUAUACAUUCAAUAAAGAGACAUAAUUAGUUAAAUUUUUAAUAAUUAUUUUAUAAAAAUAAAAAUUGUAUAAAUAUAAUAAGUUUGACACUUAUAUUUAUGCUAUUUUUUGAUAUAGAUGUGCAAUAAAUUUUUACUAUUCUAGUUAUUAUAGUUCUAGUACACAAAGAAGCACCAUAAAUGAAGAUUCUGCCAACAAGUCAAAAUUGUUAUAAUUGCAGUAUCAAAAUGAGACAUAAACAUGUGCUGGCUAUGACAUGGCAAAGACUCAGCAACUAAACUACUUUCCAUAAAACUUCUACUUAAAAAUAAAAUUAAAAUUAAAAAAAUUGACAGCUUUUGAAACAACAUUGGGAAAGACAUUCAAAUCUUUGCAUAAAUUGAUUGGUACUAAUCAGACAAUUUUGUCAUAAAACCUCGUACCAUUUUAAGUAUAAUAUAGUCCUAAUUAACUAUGUAAUGACGAUUAAAGAAACAUUAAUAGGGUUUGUAGAAUCCAGCAUCACAUGAAAAUUAGUGAACGAAUGUUGUUUAUGCUUUCAUUUGGAGCAGGUUGUUUUGGUCACAUUGUUCUUGAUAACCGUGGUGUUUGAGUCAGCUUGCAUGCAUCUCGACUAAUUUCAUGGAAUACAUGUCAGCUUCGUCAACAAUAGUUAUCAGGUAACUUUGUCCACCAAAAUUGGUACAUGGUUUAAAACUGUGUGAGUGAUGAAUUCGUUCCUCUACCCUUCUCGACUUGAAUAUCAGGCUUUUAUGUGCGGCAAUGCUUGAAUCUAUGACUUUCGCUUAAUCCAUACAUCACAAUAAUGUGAAUUGAGAAUCAUAAAUGCUCGGUAUAAAAUUUUAAUGGGGACAAGAAAAUAUUAAGUAAUUUCUUUCCAUCUGUUCUAGCCUUGAUAGACAGAGUUACCUAGUACCUAUUGCUGGUGGGAGGUGACAAUUAAUUGAGGUGCGCUCAAGCUGACCCGAACACCAUGAUUAUCAAAAAAUAUUAGGUCCUUUCUUCCCAUUUGACUAGGUAUUGAGCGAUCGAGUGCUCCAUUACAUGUGCUUUCGAGAGAUAGCAAGUAUCCUACGAGGUUAGUCAAGGUACAUGCAAACUGACCGUGACACCACGGUUAUUAAAAAAUAAAAAAUAAACAAUGGCCCAUGUAGUGAUGAUUCCUUAGUCAUAAUUUUCCCUAUUUUCACAUCUCAAUCCCAACUAAACAAGGCAAGAACAUGUGAUUAAACAGAAAUUUAUGAUGCUAAUUUGGUUCUUACUGCCAAAAAAUUCAAAUCAGUUGAAUAGAAUAUUUAGAAAACCAAUUGCUAAAAAACCCAGAGGACUUUAAUAGCCCCAGGUUUCAUAUUCCAACUUUGAGAAAACAAUAGACUGGAAAUGAUGCUGCAAGAAUCACAAAUCUCGAGAAUCGAGAUAAUACAGUCAGACGUCUCUAUAACAACAUUUCACUGUAACGGCCAAGUUCUUGUAACAGAAUUUUACAUUAUAAUUUCCCAAUAUGAAGGGGAGCCUUGGAGUAACCGGUAAAGUUGUUGUCAUGUGACCAGGAGGUCACGGGUUCAAGCCUUGGAAACAGCUUCUGACAUAAAUGCAACGUAAGGCUGCAUACAGUACACCCUUGUGGUGGGGCACUUCCCCGAACACCGCACAUAGCGGUAGCUUUAGUGCACCGGGCUGCCCUUUAAUGUUCUCAAUAUGAGAACAUUUUGCUAUAGUAGCAAAAUAAUAUCAGGACGAGCAAUGUUCUUAUAGAGAGGUUUGACAGUAUAUUGUAAUACAAGUUAUGGCAUCCUACAUGAACAAAGAAACAACAAGUGGAGGCUUGCAGUCUACAACAACAUACCCAGUGUAAUCCGGUUUACGGAGGGUUAGAGUGUAUGGAGACCUUACCCCUACCUUUGGAGGUAGAGAGGUCGUUCUCGAUAGACCCUCGGCUCAAGGAAAACCAUAUCAAAGUAGAUCGACAUGAUGAAUCAUUCGAAAAAAGGAACACUAACUACACCAAAAUAGUGCGAUAAUCAAAGUAAGAGGGACAAUAGAUAGUAAUUGAAACUGAAGGACAAAAACUACAAAAGAAAUACUACGACUACUAUAUGUGCGGAAUAAGCGAGACAAAACUCUCCUCGAAUAUCUCAAGAAAUCCUUCAAAUCACUACUUUAUAUUUGCUCCGAAAACCAUACAUAGAACUGAGGAUGUACCAUAUCAGUUUGAAAUUUUACAGUAAACCUUGCACCAUUGUGCUUUCAUGGGUAAUAACAGCAUUACUUACAGAAGUAAAGGACAGAAAAACCCCGACUUUCUUAUUAUACCUAUAACUUGUACAUUCGACAAACCAAUCACACUAAGAAAUCAAACAUUUUAACGGAAAAAUCAAGACAAACACGAAUCAACAUUUCAAAAUUGCUUCUUUAUGAUCAACUCACAGUUUCACGCCUGCGAAGUUCUAAUUUGCUGCAUCGAAUUUUCCAUGGGGUGCUGAGAGGAAGUUUCGGUGAAGCUAACAGCAGGGGCGGAUGUCAUGGUUUGAUAUUGCGCUGCCAUUUGAGGAGCAAGAGGCUGACUGUAGUACACCUUAGCAUGUGUUGGAUCAGCAAAAUCGUAAGCGUAAUUGGCAGGAGUGGCUGAAGUAGGAGGAAUUGACUGAGAAGGAUGAUGAAUCUGAGGAAUCUGAGAGUAGUUCACGUAUUGUGGCUGAUGUUGGCCCGGAUUGAUCUGGACCAAUUGCGGAGCCACUGCAGCAGAACUAGAUGUCGGAGGAUUUCUAGCUGGAUUAUAAGCUGCUGCAUGAUUGACCAUAGUAGGAUGUGUUUGGGGACGAGUAGGAGGGGCUGUUUGGGCAGACUCGGAAUAAUUUGUUUGUUGCAAUGGCGAACUGUAAGCUUGGGGAGGUCUAGCAGGAAUAAAGUAAACGGGAUAUUGGUGCUCAAGAUUCGGGUGUUGCAUAUGAGUUUGGUGCUGUGAAGGGUACAUAGGGUAGUAGGACGUCAUCGGCACAGGCCCCGAUGGUGUAUGUUGUAUAUACUGCCCAGCAUGAACAUAUUGUUGGGGUUGGAGCAUUUGCGGGUGCUGAUCAUAUUGUACAGGCAACACAUAUCCACCACCACCAUCCUGAACUUGUUGUUUCACCUGAACCCUUCCGAUCGAAUCACUCAUACUUAGAUCAACUGAAUUACCCGAAAUCCUGCCACUCCCCGACUGGAAAUGGACCCCUGGUUCUUGAUAAAAGUAAUGUCUUUGCCUACCACUACCCUCACUGCACCAAAUUGAAUCAAGAUCUUAAACAGUCCAAAGCAAUCCCAAAAAAGAAGUAACAGAAGUACAAGAAACAACAAAUAAUAACAAAAACAUCAUCACAUAGUAACAGAACAAAAACAAUACCACAAUCGAAGCACAAGGAACAACAGAUAGUAACUGAUAUCGAAGGAAAUGAAACUAAAGCAGCAAUACAACGACUACUAAUAUGAACUGACAGCAAGACAUCACCCUACUUCCUACUAACUUUCUACUCUAAUCCGUAUCCUUCGUACCCUCUUAUCUACCUCUGAGGUAGGGGUAAAGUCUACGUACACUCUACCUCUCCCUAGAUAGUAACAGAAAUCAAAGGACAAGGAACUACAUGAGCAAUACUAAGACUACUCAUAUGACCAGACAGCAAGACAUCGCCCUACUUCCACUAAACUUCUACCUUAAUUCGUGUCCUCCACGCCCUCCAAAGUCCUAUCUACCUCUAAUAGUAAGAGUAAUGUCUGCGUACACUCUACUCUCCCAGACACUACACUGAGUAUGUUCUUGCACAAGUAAAUACACCAUUUCUCAAGCAAUUCAUAUGUUUCAACACACACAUAUGUACUUCCAUUCUUGCAAAAAAAUAUAUAUCUUUAGAGAAUACGAUAUAGAAACUACAACAAAACAAUAUGGUAAUCGAUAUACAACAAAAAGAUCUUUUUUUAAAGAGAAUUUUACCUUGAAACUGAAUCAGGUGAAGCCAAAUCAGAUGGAAUAACAGGCUUUGGCUGCAAUAGCUGUGGCUGCUGCUGCUGCUGUAGCUGUUGCUGUAGUUGCUGAUGUGUCUGUUGUUGUUGCUGUGUAUGCUCAACUACCGGCGUGCCGGAGACAACAACAGUAGCCGGUGCCGGCACAACCAGAGAAGCUUCAUUCUUCUGCUUAAUCCCAACAUUCAAUUGCGAAAAUUGCUCUUCAAUUCCACCACCUUUUCUACUCUCCUCCUCAACAUGAACCUUUAUACGCGGCAAAUUCACCAACGCCGGCAUAGACGAACCCGAACCAAAAGACGACGUCGUUUCAACCACCAUCGGAGAAUCCAGCACCUCCGGCGGCACCUCCGGCACUGACUGAACAUCAGCUUUCACAUCUACCUCCUUAAUAUCCGUAUUCACAACGUCAUCGUCUAAUCCCAGCAGACAAUUCACCGAAGAGGACUCUGAAAACACCUUGGUAGAAGGUGCAGAACCAGAAUUUCCUCCUCCUAUUCCGUUUAACACACUGACAAACCAAUCUUCCGAUUUCAUCAAUGAAUGAGUAGGAUUCCAAUAAUCAAUAUUACUGUUCGGAAACAGAAACAGACGAAGCCGGGAAUAUUUAGAAUUACUCAUACUCAUGCGAUCGUAUUCAUCGAUCAUGUUUUCCAAGUCCUCAUCUGAAGUUACUGAGAUAAGUGAAUCGAGGUCUUCGUUCUGAAGCUGAUACUUCAGGCAAAAUUCUCUGCCUCCGAGGAACGUUUUCGAUAGCCGAGCUGAAAGAUCAGACAACGGAAUAUUCCGAUCAGCUACGAAAAUGCGAGUGUCUCCACCGACGUAGCAGAGAGUCUUGUCGUGUGGGCGGGGGAAUAUGUGUCCGCCGUAGCUACACAUUAACCGGAGUUUUCCGCCGGUGACGGCGGCGGUGGUGGUGGAGGAGUGUGGCGGUGGUGGCUCGUCCCAGGUGUCGGUGUGUCGGGAUGCCGGUGAGGAAUCGGCGGAGUCGGGGUAAUUUACGGUGGUUGACGGUGAAGCCGCCGUGAUUGGGCCGCCGGAAAACGGUGGAGGGUCCAUGUAGGAAAGAGACUGGAAAAGGUAAAGAGAAAUAAAAAAGAUUGUUUUGCCAGUGAUGCUGUUUUUCUGCUUUAUAGUUCUCACAUACACAGCUGGUUUACUAAGGGUUUGUUUGGUACAUUUGGUUCGAGGAAUAAGGGAUAAUCGAUUUUGAGAUUAAUUUUUAAAUGAAUUUGUUUCGUAUUUGAUUGGGAUACAAUACGAGAUUAGUUAUCUCAAAAUUAAGUGGUAUUUUUAGUUUUGUAUUAGCAGGAGGUAAUUAUAUAUGACAUUAUGUAGUUACAACUUAAUGAGUACAUAAUUCUAAAUAGGAAGUUGUGAAGGGCGCAGAUUAAACAUAGAUUUAGCGGAUAAGGAAAGAGGGUUUUAUUUGUAUUUGUGUGUAUAGUCAAAGUGUUAUUUGUGUGUCUUUUAGUCCCUUUGUUAAAGAGUGUUUUAUUUGUAUUUGUGUGUAUAGUCAAAGUGUUAUUUGUGUGUCUUUUAGUCCCUUUGUUUUGGGAUGUUUGUGAUUUUCGAAUAGAUUAUGUAUAGCAUUACUUCGUAGGUGUCUUACUUCUUUUAUUAUCUAUCGAUGUGUUAUCUCAUUUUGUUAUUGUUUCUAUCUUUUCUAUUAUUGUUGUUUUUUUGAGUCGGGGACAUAUCAAAAACAAUCUUCUUUAUUUUAUUUGAGGUAGUGGUAUGAACUACGUACAUUUUAUCUUCUCACACCCCACGUUGUAUGAAUACAUUGUGUAUGUUGUUGUUGUAUUUCUAUCCCAUAUUAUAAAGUGCGAUAACUAAUCUCGAAAUAGGUAAUUUUGAGAUAACUUAUUCCUAAUCAAACAAUUCCUAAGUUUUUAAUCUUUUUUAUUCCUCAAAUUUAAUUAGAUUAACUUACUAGUUUUUUAAAAGUGAAAUUAGGAUACUAAAAGAUUAUAGAAUAAGUACUAUAAAUUGUAAUUUUCUCGCAUCAAUAUAAUAAAAAAUAUAUCUUAAAAUACUGAUCAAAGUUGAUAUUAAUCAACUCUAAGAAAGGAAAUUAUAACAAGUAAAAAGGAUUACAAAAAGAUUCUUACAUUAUUUUUAUUAGUAGGUGUAAUAAAUCAACAAAUUUCUUUCCAAUUGAGCAUGUUCCUAUUGGAUGCUUUUAAUUCAUAUUUUGAAAACAAAAAAAUGUGUAUUAAAUACAUAUUACGUAAAUAAAUUAAUCAUUUCAAAUAUAUAAUUUUUUUUAAUUAUACGUAUCAAUUUUAGUUAGCGUAAAAACUCAAGAUUGUUCCAAUCGAGACUGAUCUGUAUAAUUAAAAGAGAUAAUAUAUUUAUUAUUGUUAACUUAACUAUCUAAUAAACUUGAGAAUACGAGCAAGAGUAUUUUUUAAGUUCGAGUUUAAAGUGUCUAAUAUGAACAUUUUUUAACUAGUAGUCGUAUCUUCUAUUUUCUUGGUCUUCGAUUUCUGUUAACAUCUAGUGUUGCGUAUUUUAUUGUAGUAUUAUUCUGUUGUAGUAUUAUUCAACCACUAUUUAUUUUUUUAUAUUUGUCUAUUAUUUUUUAUACUUUCAUUACAUUUUUUUCUGAUCAAUUUUUAUUCCAAACAAGUCUAGGUCUAUUGAAAACAACCCCUUCAUCUCAUUUUUGAAAUAACAAUAUGAUCUAUAUACAUUCUAGCAUUUUCAAACUUUACAUUGUGGUAAUAUGCUAGGUAUAUUAUUAUUGUUAUAAUAUGAACUUUUUCUAAUAUAUUCAGAUGCUUAAUUAAAACAAAAUAUAAUUUUAUAUUAAAUAAAAUUUAUUGACAAUUUUUUAAAAAAAGGGUAAUAUAUGCCAAGCCAUUUUAGUACAUAUCCCUAUAAAUUUAGACAAAAACAUGUACCAUGUAGGUAUGUAUUGUGUUUUUUGUGGGCCCACCCACUCUCACAUUUUUCUCAUCGGCCCUACCAUGUGGGGCCUACUUUCUACUCUCUAAAUUAGCAGAAAGACAACUCGCAACUUGCUAUGUUUAGACUUGGGAAUGUACCUAUUAAUGGGAGUAUAAGUUUAUGGGUAUUUUUCUUUUCUCAAUUCGGUGUUGGAUACUCGCAUUAGAAUUCGAUUAAUUUAAAUUCGCGUUCCAUAGGACCCCAUUCGAAGGAAAAAACUCCCUACCAAUGAUUUUUAUAUACCCAGGACUCGAACCUGAAUCUCUGAUUAAGGGAGGAACAGUCUCAUCCGCUACACCACAUCCUUUGGUGAUAGGUUUAUAGAUAUUAAUUGUGCAAAAAUUAAUUUACCUUCUAAGUUGUGAUAGAAUACAUGAGCUUUUUUAUCUUUACUUAAAAGUCUCGAGUUAAUUUUAAAAAUAAAAAAACUUUCUAAAGAGUGUUAAAGGUUUUACAACACAAAAAUCUGAAUUAUAAUUCAUUUGACCAAUCUUUUAAAAUUAAUUUAUUUUUAAAAGUAAAAUUUUAUCGUAAGCAUUUUUGGAGAAAACAUAAUUGAAAAACAAUAAUUUAUGUUUGACUAGCCAAUUUAAAAAUCACAUUUCUCAAUAUUAAUGCAACAAUUUGUGAUUAAUUAUUCAAUUUUUUGAAAAAAAAUCUUCUUAUGACUAUGACUUUUUAAAAACAUUAAAAAUCUUGAAUUAAAAUACUUUUUAUGUGUUUUCUAAAAUAAUAAUGAGUCAAAUUUAACACUAAAAAUUACUUACUUUCUUUUAGGAAAAAAACAAAUUCAAUGUCGAUUUAGGCUCUUUCUUAAAGUUUAUAAAUAAAAUUGGGAUUAUCUUACCAAAAUUUUAUAAAUUUUAUUCCCUUUGGAUAAGAAAAUUUUGAGAUUUAUCUAAUCACAUUUCUAUGUACCAAACAUUUGUUCUCUCUUAGGAUAUCUCUUAAUGAUAUUAAGAAAAAUGAUAGAAUAAUCAUAUCUCAAUUUUAAAUAAGUUGAAAUCAGUUAUAUAAAAUUUGACCUUAUAAGUAAAUCAAGAAAAAUAUUAUAAAUUAAAUAAAAAAUACUAACUAACUUUCCACUAAAUUUAGAGUUUUUGUAUUUUUAGCUUCUUCAAAAGUUGGUUACCUAAAUAUCCAAACAAUUAUUUGGUGAGACUUAUAAAGAAUUUAACUUAUAUAUGCAUCAAUAAUAUUAAAAAUAUUGUACAUGUUAAAUGUAAUUUGACUGAGAAUUUCUUUAUUUUUUAUUUUGUAUAACGUUAUCCAUCAAUUUUUUGUUGAAAAAAGAUUUAAAUAUAUCGUCGAACUAUUAAAAAUAAGGGAAUAGGACACAAAUGGCCACUCGACCGAAAUGAAUUUCGCGAAAAUGGUCAUGGAAUUCAAAUUCCAUUUUCUAGCCAUUUUAAUUUUUUGGCUUGUUCUAUACAGUUUCUAUAUAUAUUCUAUACAGUUUCUAUACAUAUCUUAUACAUAUAAAUAUUCUAUAUGAAAAUUAUAUAGUUUCGAUACACAAUUUAUACAAUAAUUGUACAGUAUUUUUUACACGUUUUAUACACCAAUUAUAUAAUUUUUAUACACUUUCUAUAUAUUUUUCUUAUAUAUAUUUCAUACAUAUACACAUUUGAUAGAACUAUACAAUUUCUAUGCAUAUAUCUUAUAUAGAUACAUAUUCUAUAUAACAAUUAGACCGUUUUUAUACAGUUAUAUUUAAUUAUUAUUUUUAAACAACAUAAAAAAAAAAGAAUAUUUUUCAGUUUAAAAAUUUAUAGCCAAAAAAAAAUGAAAUAUUUUUCAAAAAGAGCUGAAUGAUCCAAGUUGGAAACUGUAUCAGUAUUGUAUAUGGAUUACAUCAUAUGAUAUAUAAAUGAUAUCUGAACAGAAUGGGUCAAAAUGACCUAAAUUAGAAAAUGACUAUAAUGUGAAAAUAAAAUAGCCAACUAGUUAUUUUUUGAUAAAAUAUCAAAUUUGAGCUAUUUAUUUUUAAAAUGGUCGUGUGAUGUCUUUUUUUCCUAAAAAUAACUCAUAUAUAUUGUUUUUAAUAUAGAAAUUUCAUUUUUUAUUUUAAUAUAGACAUUUUAUGUUGGAGGUUGGUAUGAGGCCCAUAUAGAUUAGACUUAAAAAGGGCAUCUGAAGAAGAAUCCAUUGUUGUAAUUGGACCCACUAUGAAUAAUAACUAACAUUAUUUAAUUUUGCUCCCAACUAACAUGUUUUUGAAGUAUAAUAUUCUUGUUAACAAACAUUUUUUUUUAAUAUAACACGUAGAAGAAUGUUAAAUGAGCGAGUUGAGUUGAAUUUGAACAGAUCAAAAUAGGUUAACAAAUGGACGGUUAGAGUUGUUAAUAUGGGUCAGGCCCGUUGGACCGACCCGACCUGACCUGUAAUUUGAUGGAGUUGGGCUUCAAUUUUUGCAGCUCAUUUAAGAACAGGACUUUUUAGCCCAGCCUGGAUAAGCCCGUGGUCCGUGGGGCUUGAGCAAUAUGGGUUGAGCUAGCCCUUGGGCCGUCCCGUAAGUCAAAUACGUACAACUAUUUAGAUUGCUUAUUAUUAUUUUUAUUUGGUUCGAAGGAUAUCAUGUCAAAAGUUAUUUAAUUUCGCUAUUAGGAGUAUUUUUUGGGUGUUGGAAACUCGAUCAACAAGUAUUAACACUAUAUUAUAUUGUCUGAUAGUAUUUAUGUUUAUUAACAUUCUAAAAUUAAAUUAUAAAAUAUUAUUUUUUUAAGGUGGGUCGCCCCAUAAGGCCCGCAGCCCACAGAGUAAUGGUGUGGGCUUGGUGUUUUUUGACCCAUCAUUUUAAUGGGUCAACCCAACCUGACCCAUCAAACUCAAAACGAAUGUGGGUAAGUCCGGAUGGGUUGGGCCGACCCGUACUAACAGCUGUAUGGAUGGUCAAUGUAAAAGUUACUUCAGUUGAAAUGAAUUCGACUAAAAUGGACUAAGACGUUAGUCAUAACCAUUUAUCGAUUCUUACUAAAUUUUAUUUUACUUGUUCUUCUAUAAUUUUCUAGGUAUGUAAUAAAGUUUUUAUUUCUUUAUUAUGACUACCUCAAAUAUAUUUAAAAAAUAUAUUUUUAUGAGAAUAUUUUGAUAAAAUUUCUCAUAAGUCAAUUCGAACUACAUAUCAACCUAUUUAUUUGUGAUUAUUGAUAAAAAAUAACGUGCAACAUACGUUCAUAUCGACUAGUUGUUAUUACUAUGAGCGUGUAUCCUGAGGCCUCUUUGUGGCCUCGAGCUCCUUGACAAUCAGUGGCGGAGUCAAUAUUUUAGGUACGAGUUUCUUAAAUGUUGUUUGAUAUGUAUGAAUAAUUUAUUCGGUAACCUAGUAAGCAAAAACGAAUUACGGUCAAACUCAAAGUCCAUGAUAUUCGAGUUGUGGAAACAGCCACUAACGUUUCCAAUAGAGUAAGACUGUCCACGAUAAACUCAACGCUGAUUAAACAAUUUCAGUAAUCAAAUAGGUUCCUAAAGCUAAAAAUACUUGAACAUACAACAAAAAGCAACCUUAAAUCAAAGACGGAUUUAGGAUUUUAAACUAGUGGGUUCCUGGUAAUAUAACCUAAAAAAAGGCAGCCCGAUGUACUAAAGCUACUACCGCUAUGCGCGGUGUUCGGGGAAAGGCCCCACCACAAGGGUGUAUCGUACACAGCCUUAUCUUGCAUUUCCAAAGCUUAAACCCAUGAUCUCCUGGUCACACGGCAGCAACUUUACCAGUUACUCCAAUAAUGUAAUAAUAAUAAAAAGAUAACCCCAUCUGAUGAACAUAAGCAAUUUAAGGGUCUCUUCUACGCCAUCAGGCCAGUCUUCAGUCUGUGUAUGGUUUCGAUUUAUAAAAUUUUAUUGACUUCUUCUGUUUUUUAAUAUAUUUACGGGAUCUACGAUUGCGGUUGAACACUUUGAACAAUGAUAAACAUAAGUUUACAGUGUCUUAUGAUGUCUCACAUUCUGCCAUACUCCACAUCCUCAAAAGGACUAGCAGUUGUAUGCUGAUUGAGUUGUCCAUCGGGACGUGCUACCUCUGAUUCUCCGCUAGCAGGUUGAACGCGUUGUAUGUUGCUACGAACCUCCUCCACUGCCUGGAAAUAUGCAUAUGGUCCCCAACCUGAGAACCGCGAAAGAAAGGAACAUAUCGGGUUAGUUUCAGUAUUCUGUCCAUUAUAGCAGUAAAGUCGCGUAAAAGAGAUUUUGUGCUAUGUCUUCGCGUAGAUGAUUAGCAACAAAAAGGAUCACGCUAAGAUCAUUGUAUGUUCUUAUGCGUUGAGAAAGGGAAGAUGUAUAGAACCUUUCAACGAGAUUGUGACUCAAAGUGGGAUAUAUAAGUUAAAUUUAAGAAAGAUCUUAUUUGUAACGAGUGGUUUUGUAGGCUGGUUAAUUGGUCACAUCGUAUUCAUGAACUGACUUAACUUGGUAACAACAACGACAUAUCCAGUGUAGUGUCGCAAAAUGAACGUACCUUCAGUAUGGUAUGGAGCUGGGAAGAACUGCAGGUAACAGAAUGUAGCAACGAAAAGGCCUGAAACGCGAAAGACAUAAGAGUUAGUAUUUUAUCAAAUGAAACGCAAUGUAGAAGUUCAAGACGAACCUAUCAGUCCUCCAGCGAAUACGUCUUGCCAAUGAUGCCAGUAGUCAUCCACACGAGAGACCCCGACAAGAGAUGCCAUUAGGAGAGGAAGAAAAACUAUGCAUAGUUUUGCUACAUGCCCUCGACGAUCAAAUGCUUUUAUCUUCCCUGCUAAAUACAACGAUAGAAACCCGAGACCAGCAAAUGACCCUGCAAAGAAGAAGCCAAAUCCUCAAGAAUAACCAACUCGGACACUAAAGAAAGAAAGUUUUCGCGAUAGUUCAGACCACUUGUAUGCCCGCUCGGGAAACUCUUAUGUCCUUCCUUAAUAUCGCUUUCUUUACCAUGGCAUUUCACGUCUCCCCACUGAUCGUACUCCUGUAAAGAGAACAACCGAAACAUAUCAAGAAAAGCGCUUUCACUAUCAGAUAAACGUACUGAUACUUCUAUCGAGUCAAACAGAAAUGCACUAAGAAGCUAAGUUUGCCAUGUCGAGGGCGAUACAUACUUCUUUACCAUCAGGAAAGCAACGCCAGAAAAAGUCUGGUCUUGGACGACCUACUCCAUUCUUGAUGGCUUCAGUGAUUACAGCCGUGAUCAGUAUGGCGAAUAAGAGGCCUGCAAUUUUUGAACAAGUCUGGGCGCAAUUAGUAAAGUUACUCCUCGAGCAAAAGGGAAAAACAGAGUUCACUUCUACUCGAUAUUCCAAUCCGUACCUAGAAUGCUGUGGUGCAGAUCAUAGACAUCCCUCCUCCGAAGAUAGAUGAAAACAAAGAUGAUAACAGGCAAUACAACUGCAUAUAGCUGUUCAGUAGAGAAAUCUGUUAAAAAAAAAAACACUAGAAACUCCUCGAUUUGAUUAGAAAAAUUUGUAACUUUUUUGAAAUUCGCAAGCACAGUAUAAUCAGCAUUCCGUCCACACUAUCGUAGAAUACUCACAGGAACAGACCACGCUGGGACUGUAUUAUCUUUCAUGGGAUAUUUCAGAUCAGUCAUCAUAUCCUUUCCAACAAACCGAUGAAAUGGACCGAUGACAUCAAGAACUAUGUAUAUAACUACAAGCAGCAGCAAUAUAAGCCAGUCAUGCAAGUGAAUUUUCGCAACUGACAAACCAUGAGACUUAAUAGUAUGUCCACAUCCGCGCUCAAUCUCAUUUCGAUUACCCUGUAUCAUUUGAAACCGAAAUAUUAAUGUGUCGUUGCAAAAUCAAGUUAACGUUCUAACAAGCAAAAGUAAUUUGAAGGUAGCAAAACCAGAACGAAUAAACAUCUACAACAACAACAACAUAUAUAUACAACAACAACAACAACAACAAACCCAGUGUAUUCCCACCUAGUGGGGUCUGGGGGGUAAGAUGUACGCAGUCCAUACCUCUACCUCUGAUGAAGUAGAAAGGCUGUUUCCGAUAGACCCCCGGCUCAAGGCACGAGAUACCACACAAACACAUAGUAAAGCACAGAAGCAGAUUACAUAACAUAAAUACGGCACCCAUAAGUAAUAUAAAACAGAGGAAAGCAGAGGAAAGCACACAGAUUCGUAAUAAAACAUGGAACACGGAACACGGAACACGGAAUCAUAACACGAAUAAAACCCCCACCAAGUAAUUCCUUACACUAGCGACCCAAACUGGCCCUAAUCCUCUGCUGAAAUUCGCGCCCUCCAGACCUUCCUAUCUAGGGUCAUGUCCUCGGUGAGCUGUAACUGUUCCAUGUCCCGCCUAAUCACCUCACCCCAGUACUUCUUCGGCCUACCCCUACCCCGCCUAAAACCAUCCAACGCUAGCCUCUCACACCUACGGACCGGGGCAUCCAUGCCCCUCCUCUUCACGUGUCCGAACCAUCUCAAUCGUGCUUCCCGCAUCUUGCACUCCACUGAAGUCACACCAACCUUCUCCCGGAUAGUCUCAUUCCGAUGUAGUCCAAUAAACUGAAGUCUCGGGAAGGUAGAAUGUAUGCAAACUUUACCCCUACCUCAGAGGUAGUGAGUUUGUUUUCGGUAGACCCUCAGCUCAAGGAACACAGUCCUAAGCAGUUCCGAAAAAGAAAUAGAUGAAGUACAAGAAACAUCAGAUAAGUACGCAGCAGAUAGUAACAAAACAGUACGAUAAUUGAGGUGCAACGAACAACAGAAACCGAAGGACAAGAAACGAAAAGAGCAAUACUACGACUACUAAUAUGAACAGAUAACAAGACCCUACAAAAUAAAAACAGAAAUAGUAAUAUGAGACAAGAAUAGUAAAUAAAGUCGUGAUAAAACAUGAGACAAGAUGAAAUAACAGAAAUACGACACCCACAAAGCAAGUACUAUAUACUACAACAACAGCAACGUGGGGUCCAGGGAGGGUAAAUAUCCCUACCACUACUAGCAAGGUUACCCCAAAGCACACCUAACUACAGGUUACGACUCACCCACUCGCACUAACCUUCUCCAUACCUUCCUAUCUAGGGUCAUGUCCUUAGUAAGCUGUAACCGCUCCAUGUCAUAUCUAAUAACCUCUUUCCAGCACUUCUUCGGCCUACCUCUGCCUCAUAUGAAACCCUCCAAGGCUAAUCUCUCACACCUCCAAACUGGGGCAUCCGUGCCCCUCCUAGUCACAUGGCCAAACCAUCUCAAGCAAAAGUACUUCGAAAUCAACAAAACCAGAAUGCAGCGCGACACAAUCAUCAAAAAUGGGAAUAGGAAUACAGCAACAACAAACAUCUACGCAUCAAAAUUAAGCAAGUUGGAGUGGGCUAUGAAUCCUCACUGUCCAUAUCGCUCCAUUUAAGCUCCACUUAGUCCAGUUUUACAUAGAAAUGGUUUAUUGCAGAUUGCUACCAAACAAGACACCAUAUGAGUAAAGAUCAUAUUAUUAUUAUUAUUACUUCUCCUACUAUCUUAUUCUUCAGUUUUAUUAUUACAUGUUGUUUCCUUUGCUUUGGCGAUCGUAUUAUUUAUUGUUUCUAUUGUUCCUUUUUUCCAUUAUUUUCUACUUGGCUUCUUCGCUACUGUAUUUCCUUUUCUUAUUAAUUUCGAUAUGUUCAACUUGAGCAAAAGUCUAUCGGAAACAAGCUCUCUACCUUCACAAGUUAGGCGUAAGGCUGUUGUUAGAGUUUGUGACCCGAAUUUUGUUGAUCCGGCCCUGAAAAGAUCACGGUGCGACCCAUGUUUGGGGUCUGUGGUGGUAGCGUAGGGAUGUUUUUGUGCUUAGAAUUUAUUUGUACGCACGUAUUAUAUAAGUGCGAUCUAGUGGGUUGUUUUCAGAGGCAGAGCCAGGAUUUCAACGAAGGGGGUUCCAUAUUCAAAGAGAACUUAGGAUUUCAACUAAGGAGAUUCCAUAUUCAAAGAAAACUUAGUCGAAGAGGGUUCAAGACCUACUAUAACCACAUAAAAAAUAAUUUUAAUCAUGUAUAAAUAGUAUAUUUUUCUGUCGAAGGGGGGGUCGGCCGAACCCCCGAACAGAAGGCUGGCUCCGCCCCUGGCUGUUUUUUGGCGGUUUUUAAUAUACGUCAUUGAGACUUUCGUCUCCUCCUUGUAUUCCUCUCCCUUAUAGUGAAUUUCCUCCUCUUCUGCCUAUGGUUUUUCCCGUCAAGGAUUUCCACGUAAAAUUUGUGUGUUCUUCUUAUUUUCUUUUAUUUGUGUUAUUGCUCUGCUUAUACACCACCCUCCCAAGAUUACACCGCAUAUAUACUAUUAUUGUUGUUGUACACCAUAGGAGUAAAAAGACAGUUACAAGAGAAAGAAAAUAGAAACAGCAAAUCAUAAACCAAAGCAAAAAAGGCCAACAAACCUGAAACACAGUCCUAAUUUUGUCUUUCCAACCCAUGUAAGCACUUCUGAUACUUCCAACUCACUGUUGAUACUCCGAAAUCACCAGAUAAAAUCGCAUGUCCAAACGCAUACUAACAAGAAAACAAGUUUGAAGACCUUCUAGAUAUGAUAAUGUAUCAAGACUGACUAAUAUAGCAUCACAAUAAGAACAAAAUUGACUUUUCAAAAAUAAAUUAACAGUGAAGCAUCCAAUACCCACUUUGAACCAGUAGUAGAGCCGGAAUUUUCACUAAGAGGGUUAAGAAAUAAACAUACGAGCAAUCGAAGGGGUUCAACAUCUACUGUAUACACAUAAAAAACAAUUUUAAUCAUGUAUAAAUAGUAUAAUUUUCCGUUGAAGGAGGUUGAACCUCUGCCAAAGGAUAGGUCCGCCGCUGCCUUGAACUAUGACCAAAUUUGGUACGACACACUCCAACUUAAUGAGGGUUCUAUUACCCUUAAUUCAAUUUUAACGUAUUUUUGUCGGUCUUUUUAGCUGACGUGACACCUUUUGUCAACCUUUUUAGCUGACGGAGCUGGACUCCAUUUUAUGUAAUAAUGGUGCCGCGUCAGUAUAAAAGGGUGACAAAAAUUACUACGACACACUCUAACUUCACGAGGGUUCUAUUACCCCUUAACUUAAUUUUAUCGUAUUUUUGUCAAUCUUUUUAGCUGACGUGACACCUUAUCAACCCUUUUAGCUGACGGAGCACCUUUAACGUGGGCUCCAUUUUAUGUAAUAAUGGUGCCGCGUCAGUACAAAAGGGUGACAAAAAUUGCUACGACACACUCCAACUUCACGAGGGUUCUAUAAAAAGGUUGACAAAAAUAUGAUAAAAUUAAGUUAAGGGGUAAUUGAAUUCCCGUGCAAUUGGAAUGCGUCGUAGCAACUUUGAGCAUAGUUCGAGAUGGUACGAAUGCUUAUCUCAUAAAUUAAUAGUGCUAAAUCAAACAUUAAGCAUUCAAAGGUAACACAAAGGUAAAUGUAGUGUCUCAGAUUUGAACUUGAAACUCGAAAUGAAUGAAUUUUGCCACUAAUACAACCUCUCGUCUUGUGUUCAACGAUUCAAAAUUUAUGUAUAUAUAAAUAAAAGAAAAUUUUAAAAAUUACCUUAUAUAUAUAUAUAUUUGUGCUCUUUUAAAUCUUGAUUUGCAUGUUGCAUGGCUCAUUUAUGGGGCGACUAUCCAAUAAGACACGUGAUUAAGGAGUCGUUUGGUAGGAGGGAUUAUUUUUCUAAUUCAUGUAUUAAAAUGUGGGAUAAAUUAAUACAAUGUUUGAUAGCAAAUAAGAAGCAAUGUAUAACUAAUACAUGGAUUAGUUAUACACCCCACAUGGUAUUAUAGGGUGUAUAACUAAUGCACCCAAUUUGGUUGGAUUAGUAAUCGAUGAAUAAAUAUUAAUAAAGACGAAAAUGGCCUUAAAUUCUUUUAAAUCUUUUUUACUUUAUUCAAUAUGAGUUAUUUCUUUUCAAUUUUCAAGAUGAUAAUAUUCCUCUAAAUAAUUUUAAUCAUUAAAAAGACUACUCCAUUAACUUAGAAAAUACUUAUUUGUCAAAGCCCGAAAGAAAUUGCAUGGUUGCAUAUAGCUUUAAUUUUGUAAAUAGAAUGUUUCACAAAUAAUAAUAAUAAAAAAUCUUAAAUUUAACACUUUACGAAACAUAAUUUUAUGUUAACAACGAUGCAAUUGUCUUAUUCAAAAGUUACACGUAUCCCUUCCAACUUAAAACACCACAAAGUGCGAACAACAAAAAAAUAAAGAAAAGACAACUUUUUUUUUUUUUUUUGCAAGUGAAUGAUUAAAUCUUAAAAUUUCAAAAUAAGUUAUUACUAUAGUUAUAUUGUUGAUUUUUUUUUUAAAAAAAAAGAAUAAUAAAGCUUUGCAAAGUAAAUAUACAAAGUUAUUCUAUAUCAAGGGUUUUUUUGUAAACAAAUAAUAUUCUUUUUAAAAUACAACAAUACAUAUUGUUUUCAAUACAUCAAACCGAACACUGCAUAAAAAAUAAUCUCAGCAUUACUAAUCCCAGUAUUACUAAUUUCAGCACUACUAAUUCCGAUAUUACUCAUACACUCUAUUCAGUAUUAUUUUAUACACUCUACUAAACGACCCCUUAGAGUGUAAAGAUCUCAAUCGUCCCAUCACGAUCCAAUUCGGUAUAGAUCAAGAUUUGAUCAGAGCCGUUGAUAUUGUCAAACAUGUUAAAUUACUUGGUCAAAUGAUGACUACUUGGUAGGUUAUAACUGUCAACAUGUGGGACCCACACAAGAAGAGUGAUUGGUCAAUUUCCACUUUUUUAAAAAAAAUUCUAGCUUGUUUUUUUUAAUGGUUCGUUUGGUCGAGAAACAAGUUAUCCCGCAAUUAUAUGAAAUGAGAAUUACAGUGGAAUGAAUAGGAUUAAAUCUUUAUUUUGAAGUUUAUACACUCAUGAAACGGCCACAUAUUAAUAUUAUAAUAAUAAUAAUAAUAAAUAAAUAAGUUCAUAGUUGAAUAUUUAUAUGUAGUUAGCGUAUUUCGUUAUAUUUAGGCUAUUCGUAACUGACUCUCUAGAUUUACAUUGGACUUCGUUAUCCUUAAUCAGGGUAACAGGUUCGAACCUUAGAAAUGAAAUAACCUAGUAGGGAACAUUUUCGCCUUUUAAUUGACCUUACGCUAUGCGAAUUCAAAUUAGUCGAGUCAGUGAAUUUCAAAUGUCAAAUUAUUUUAUAACAAGAAAAAAUAAAAAUAAAUUAAUACGGGAAACUUCCUAGAACAACAAGCAAAUAGGAGUACUUUUUUUAAAAUAAAUAAAUAAAUAAAUAUAUANNNNNNNNNNNNNNNNNNNNNNNNNNNNNNNNNNAUAUAUAUAAUGUGAAAUUUACUAAGUAAACGAUAUGAUUCAUUAAUUUAUAUUAUGCAUUAUGCAUUAUAUUUAACUUGUCAAAUAUGAAGUGGGAAAAGUGUAACAAGGAAGAAAUAUUAUUUUAAAAUAUAUGUCGUAUAAAAGAAUUUUAAUUCAAAUGGCUAAACGUUUUCAACUACGUCAUGUCACAAUCCAUGGCGAAAUCAGAAAUUCAAACGAAACUACUUAAAAAGAUCGAAAUCGCAAUGCAGAUUUCUAUAACAGUUGUAACAUACACGUCAUAAUAUUGAGGUAUAUUCUUCGAUUAUCAAAAGAAAUAGUUUUUUUAUUAUCUUAUAAGCUUAUAUAGAACAAACAUCGCACAAUUAUUUAAUUGAUCGUGUCAAAUAAUUUUAUAUUGCAUAUUUUUAUAUUUAAUUAACCAGAGUAGCCAACCUGUUUUUGUUUCUCCAAUUGAGUAAUUUAAUCCCAACAUGGAUUAAUUUUAAUUUUUUGGCAUCAUAUAUUACAAGCAGAAUUUUAGGAAAAUUAUCACAAAAAUUAAUUAAUCAAUUAUAAUUAAUAUCCCACCAACAUUGUGCCUAAAUUUAGCAUGUGUUAUGUUCACCUACUCCAAUGGCUUAUAAUUAGCCACCUAAAUUAUAAUUGUUUAUUUAAGAAAAUAAAAAAUAAAAUCAUCACAUAGGAGGAAAAAAAUUAUAAAUUUAGUGAUUCAUAUAAUUUUUUUAUACACAUGAUUUUUUAGUAAUAUCACAGUAUUAUACUUUAUUGUUUUAUUUAUAAAUAAAAUAUUUUUCAAAAUUCAAAUAUUUCGAACAAAAUCUUUAACCUUUUGUCAAGGUUUUCUUUGUAGACUAUUAUAUACAACAAUAAAAUAUUUUCAAUAGCUUAAAGACAGCUAAAUAAAUAUCAAAACACUUAUAUUAAGGAAACAAUUAUUAUACUUUAAUAUUACAUUCAAAUACGUGACGACCUCGAGCAGUAAAACUAUAUAACAAUUUCAUAAUUCUCUACCUAACUUUUUUUUUUUUUUUUUUCCCCCCCCCCCUUAUUUACAUGAUUUAGUUUAGGAUUAACACAUUUUUCCAUUUAAAGAAUUUAAGUUACAUCUAUUAAUAGUGAAAAUGGUGUAUUUUAGAACCAUCAAAAUGGAUCUCAAUUUAAAGUUUACGAGUUUCUACAUUAAUUUUAAUUUGAUAUAUAACAUUAUAAGAUUUAAGGAUAUUUUUGAUACAUAUACAAAAUAUGAACAAGAUUUAAUAUUUUCCCGAUAACAAAACAUGUUGAAUAUGCUAAAACCCAAACAAUAAUUUUAUUACAUUACUAGUAAUAUUUAUCUAGUACGCCUAAUGAUCAAUGUUGUGGGUUGAAAAUUAUUAGAUCUUAAGUUUAAAUUUCAAUAUCAGUAGAGACAUGAUGCAAUUUCUUCCCUUUUAUUUUAGCUUUGGUGAACACAGUUACUUGGUACCUAUUCGCGGUAAAAGGCGACCAGUAGCCGUUGCUGAUAGGAGAUGACAUGUAUCAUGCAAAAUUUGUCGUUUGGUGAACAAUGUUACUUGGUACCUAUUCGUAGUAAAAGGCAACCAGUAGCCGUUGUUGAUAGAAGAUGACAUGUAUCAUGCAAAAUUUGUCAUUUGGUGAACACUGUUACUUGGUAUCUAUUCGCGGUAAAAGGUGACCAGUAGCCGUUGCUGAUAGGAGAUGAUAUGUAUCAUGCAAAAUUUAUCGUUUGGUGAACAUUGUUACUUGGUACCUAUUCGCGGUAAAAGGCGACCAGUAGCCGUUACCGAUAGGAGAUGACAUGCAACACGCAAAAUUUGUCGUCUGGUGAACACUGUUACUUGGUAUCUAUUGGCAACCGUAGCUGAUUGGAAAUGACAUGUAUCACACAAAAUUUUGUCGUCUGGGGAACAUUGUUACUUGGUACCUAUUGGCGGUAAGCGUUGACUGGUAGCCGUUGCUGAUAGGAGAUGACAUGUAUCAUGCAAAAUUAGUCGUGAUGCACGCAAACUUACUUAGACAUCACCGUUAUAAAAAAAUAAAAUUUUAUCAAGUAAAAUUCUUGGGCCAAUCAUGUGGAAAUGGGCUCGCUGGACUAAUCAUUCUUCUUGUGUGGGACCCACACGUCGACAGUUAUAGCCUGGAAACUAAAUAACCAACCAACCAAGCCGUCAUCAUCUGAUCAUUUAAUUUAACAUGUUUGACAAUAUCAACGGCUCUGAUCAAAUGAUUUAAUCUUUUAUAUCGAGAUAGAUGGUUGAGAUUCGUUCAUUUUUAAUCAGAAAUCUCGAGUUCGAACAUUGUCACACAUGUAUCGAAUCCUUUAAGGAAACACUUUUUUUAACAACAUGCACCCAUCGACAUUGUUGAAAAGUCCAAGCAACAUCUAGAAAUGGAUUUUGCAACGCGUGAACGCAAACUUAGUCAAUAUAAUUACUAGACAAAAAAAAGCAGUACGGUGCACUAAAGCUAUUGCUAUGCACGUUAUCUGAAAAGGGCCCACCACAAGAGUAUUGUACGCAAGCCAAAGUUUUUUCCAAUGCUUGAACCCGUAACCUCCUAUAACUUUACCGGUUACUCCAACGUCCCCUUUAAAUUAUUAGACACCGAAUGAAAAAUUAAAAAAGAAAUAAAUUGAGCUUUGAUCUUUGGGAUCUCCUAACAAUAAUUUAAAAUUCAAUUUUCAAAAAAUAUUAUGCACUUUCCAUGUACCUCGGGCACCAUCUUUCCAUAUAGUUGUAGAGUUGAAUUUUUUUUUUUUUUUUUCAAAAAGUCUUAAAAACUGCCUCAUUAGAAGAAUCCAUCAUACAAAUUUUUUCCAUACUUAAAUUUUCUUGUUUUGCUUUGUGUUCUGCCAUUUGUAAAGACUUUCGAAAGGGGUAAGAAUUGCGUACACUUUAAUAUGUUUUUUCCUUUUCAUACUUACUUUUGAUUUAUGUACUCUAAGCCGAAGGUCUAUCGAAAGCAACCUCUUUAUGUUUACGGUCUAACCUUUCCAUACCCCACUCAUGGGAUUUUACUGGAUAUGUUAUUGUCCUUAAGCAACCUCUUUACCUUUUAAGGUAUGGGUAAGGUCUGUUUAAGCUCUAACCUUCGUGGGGUUUUACUGGAUAUGUUAUUGUCGUCGUUGUUGUUGUUGUUUUUCUUUGCUUUGUGUUCUUUCAUUGCUAAAGAUUGAAGCUUUAUCUUCCUGUGGGGGGCCCAAUUUGAUAGUACAUUCUUGUAUUAUCCACAAAAUAUCUGCUAAAAAGGGUAUCUUUCAAUGCUUAAUCUUUGAUUUGACAUCACUAAUUUCUAUUUUAAAAUGUCAAAUAUGUUCUUAUUAUGAUGCUAUAUUUGCCAGUAUUGAUAUCAUUUCUAGAAGGUCUUUUUUUGGUGAUGAAUCUUAAGUAUUUCUUUUCUUAAUUAUGGUGAGUUUUUAGUCACUUUUCAUACUUACUUUUGAUUUGUUGUACUUGAGUCGAGGGUCUUUCGAAAAUGAUCUCUCUGCCUUGACGAGGUAGUGGUAAGGACUGCGUACACUCUACCCUCCUCAGACCCCACUCAUGGGAUUUUAUUGGAUAUGUUGUUACUGUUGUUCUUUGCUUUGUGUUCUUCCAUUGAUAAAGAUUGAAGCUUUAUCUUCUUGUGUGGGAACCAAUUUGGAAAAUUAUUGUAAAGGGUACCUUUCAAUGUUUAAUCUUUGAUUUAUCAUUAAUAAUUUCUUCUUUAAAAAGUCAAUUUUGUUCUUAUUAUGAUGCUUUUAGUGCCUCUCCACCUCCCUAAGGUAGGGGUAACGUCUGCGUACACACCACACUUCUCGGACCCCGCUCGUGGGGUAUGUUAUUGUUGUUGUUAUGAUGCCAUUAGUCAGUCUUGAUAUCAUAUCUAGAAGGAUAAAUCUUGUUUUCUUUCUUAAUUUUUGGUGGGGUUUGUUGUUUCUGUUUCUUUUAAAGUGUACUGUAUUUUUUUCUCCUUUUUCUUGCUGAAAAAUUGAAUCUUUAAACAGAAACUUGUGGGUGACACAUUUGAAACAUUAUUUUGCUUUGACUCCAAGAUAUUACAACAACAACAUACACUGUGUAUUCCCAUACAGUGGGGUCUGGAGAGGGUAGAGUGUACGCAGACCAUACCACUACCUUAGGUGAAGUAGAGAGGCUGUUUCCGAUAGACCCCCGGCUUAGGACUGAUAACACUAUAACAAGCGCAAAACAUAAAUGCAUAUAAACUAGUACAGUAAAAAAGCUAGUACAGUAAAUGCAUAUUUUGCUUUGAUUCCAAGAUAUUAUCUGCUAAAAAUUGUAUAUACUUUUCAGUGAUUAAUGAUUUAUAUAACAUCAUUAAUUUCCCUUUAAUUAGUCAAAGUUGAUCGUAUGAGUUAUGAUGAUAGUACUAGUCUGUCUUGGUAAUCAUUUCUAGAAGGAUUAUUUGCUGACAAAUCUUUGUUUCCAUUCUUGAUUUUGGUGGGUUCUUGGAAUUUAGGUCCUCAAGAUUCUUUAUGAGUUUGGAUUUUGCUCCUUUUUGAAAAAUUUUGUAUUUUUUUCUUCUCCAUUUUCUUCUUUCUUGCCUUUUUUUUUUUGGUUUUCCAUCCGGUGUCUGGUACCUGCAUUGGAGCCGACUAAUCCAGAUUCGCGCGUAGUAGAUCCCACUUGGGGAAAGCCUUCUAGCCAGGGCUCAAACCGAGACCUCUGGUUAAGGAAGGAACAACGUCAUCCGCUACACAACAUCCUUUGAUGGCUCUUCUUUCUUGCCUUAUCUUCUGCCAUCGCUUAAUGAUUGAAACUUUAACUUGUGGGGGACUCAUUUAUAACUAUUCUUAUGCUAUAUUACUCAGUCUUGUUAACAUAUCUAGAAGGAUUUUUUUUCCUAAUAAAUAGUGGGGGUUUCGGUUUCUGCUUUGAUAUGUGUUGCCUGAACUAAGGGUCUUUCGGAAAUAGCCUAUCUACCUCCACGAGGUAGGGAUAAGGUCUGAGUCCACUCUACCCUCCCCAGACCCCACCUGCGGUAUUAUACUGGCUAUGUUGUUGUUGCUAUCUUAAAGUCUUUUAUUUCAUACUGCAUUGUCUCUCAAUUUCCUUCUUGUCUUGCCUUAUGUUCUUUCCAUUUCUAAAGUUUGAAGCUUUAACUUGUGGGGGGGCCCAUUUGAAUUAUUCUCUUGUUUCCUCAGAAAAUAUCUGUUAAGAAGGGUACCUUUCAGUGCUUACUGUUUGAUUUAAUACCAUUAGUUUCUUUUAAAUUGUCAAAGUCAUUCUUUAAAUUAUACUUUACUCAGUCUUGAUAGCAUUAUCUAGUACCUUUUGCUGAUAAAUCUUGUCUCCUUUCUUAAUUUUGGUGGAUUUUUGGGUUUCUGUUCUUUUAUUUCAUACUGUAUUUUUAAUCAAUUUUCUUCUUGUUGUCUUCUUCUGCUUAAAGGGUACCUUUCUAUGCUUAAUGUUUAAUUUAACAUCAUUAUUUUCUUAUAAAAGUCAAAGUUGUUCUUAUAAUGAUGCUAUAUUAGUGAGUUUUGAUAUCAUAUUAGAAGGAUUAUUUGCUGAUAAAUCUUGUUUCUUUCUUAUUUUUGGUGGUUUUUUGGAUUUUAGGUCUCAAGAUUCUUUGUGAAUUGAAGUGUCAGCGGUGCUUACAUGGCUUGGAAAGAUAAGAUUCGGACUGUGUUUCAGGUUUGUUGGCUUUCUUUGCUUUUGGUUGAGUUUUAGUUUUUGAUUUGAUGUACUCGAGCCGAGUGUCUUCCGGAAACAGCCUACCUCUACGAGGUAGGGGUAAGGUCUAUGUACACUCCACCCUCCCCCAGAUCCAACUUGUGGGAUUUCACUGGAUAUGUCGUUGUUGUUGUUGUUGAUAUCUGGUUUUUCUUAUGAAGUGACUUGUUUCUGUAUUCUCUUGCAGUAGUCCUUUACCAAUAUGGUGUAUGAUACUUUGUGAUGAAGAAUCCAAUUUUGUAUGGUAGAAUUGUUCUGUUUGGGGUGGGGGGUGGGGGAUUGUACUGUGGUAUUGUUAGUAGGUAGUAGAGUGUUUUCUUGCGUAUCCCCCCAUAGGCCCAUAUUGGUAGCCACAGUAUUUCUCUGUAGUUUCUUGUCCUUCAACUUCUGUUACUAUCUACCGUCUCUUGUACUUCGUGUAUCACACUAUUUUAUUGUAGUUACUGUUCCCCUUCUUUUUUUUUUUUUUACAAAAUGCUUUGUUAUACUUUCUCCGGGGGUCUAUCAGAAACAACCUCUCUACUUCACCCGAGUUAGUGGUAUGGUCUGCGUACACUCUACCCUCCCCAUACCCCACUAUGUGGGAAUACACUGGGUAUGUUGUUGUUGCUUUGUCAUACUUUCUAUAGUAUUUUGCCAUGAUUUCUUCACUUCUAUUAUUUCUUUUUUGAUUUGCUUUUCCUUGAGCCGAGGAUUUAUCGGAAACAACCUCUCUACCUCACUUGUAGGAUUACACUGGGUAUGUUGUUGUUGUUACUUUCGAUCAUCGCAAUUUAGAGCUCCAGUCAUAUAACCAGAAAAAUACUGAAUGAACUCUAGUGAUAUUGGAAGAUCCGUGGUGCAGGUACCGUUAAUCACAUUGGUACUAAGUUGCUUGGACUAUCCAAAAAUGUUGCCGCACCUGUGUCGGAUCCUUUAGAAAUACACUAUUUUUGGAGGAUCCGGCUCACACCCGUAGACAUUUUUGAAGAGUCCGAGAAACUUAGCAUUGGUAUAUCUACAACUAUCUUUUUCUGUAGGAUUAGCAUGAUGUCGCCAAAGCAGUCUCUUUUUCUCCUGAAAAUGUGUAAACAUCACAAUCGAUUAACGAACAUUUGUUAGUCAUUCCCAUUUCUGUCGAUUUGCCAGUUGAAAAGAAUUUUUUAGUCUUGAUUCUUAAUUAUUCUCCUGUAUAACACCGGAUAGAGAUGAGCUCUAAUGGCGCGAUAUGUACAAUGAGGAUUCAUAGCUGACCCCAACUUGCUUGUUUUCGAGGCCUAGAUGUUUGUUAUUGCUGUAUUCCCAUUUCUGAUGAUUAUGUUGUGUGGUUCAAAACGAAGUUCAUAUUCAUCCCCGUCUUGCUAAUUUCGAAGUACUUUUGCUUGUUAGACUGUUUUUUCAAAUGAACUAUCAGUUUGAAUACUAAAUUUGGUUUUGCAACAGGGUAAUAGAAAUGAGAUUGAGCUCGGAUGCGGACAUACUAUUAAGUCUCAUGGGUCGUCCGUUGCAAGAAUUCACAUGCAUGACUGGCUUAUAUUGCUGCUGCUUGUAGUAAUAGAGAUAGUCCUUUAUGUCAUCGGUCCAUUUUACCGGUAUGUUGGAAAGGAUAUGAUGACUGAUCUGAGAUAUCCUAUGAAGGAUAAUACGGUCCCAGUGUGGUCUGUUCCUGUGAGUACUCCGUUUCCUUAUUAACAUAUAGAGCCAAAUAUUAGUNNNNNNNNNNNNAGUUUAAUUAAUUCGAAAAGUUCCAAUUUUUGUAAUCAAAUCCCGGCGUUUCUAGUGUUUUUAAUAGAUUUUUCUGAUGAACAGCUAUAUGCAGUUGUAUUGCCUAUUAUCAUCUUUGUUUUCAUCUAUCUUCGGAGGAGGGACGUCUAUGAUCUGCAUCACAGCAUUCUAGGUAAUUCCAUUUGAGUUAUUUUCCCUUUAGAACGGAUUGAAAUAUCUAUAGAACUCAAUUUUGCUUCUGUGACUUUGUUUUCGUUGUUGUAGUGAAAGGAAUGUUUUCCGUUUUGUUAUGCCAAGUAACUUUACUAAUUGCGCUAGACUCGUCCAAAAAUUGCAGGCCUCUUAUUUGCCGUACUAAUUACGGCUGUAAUCACGGAUGCAAUCAAGAAUGCAGUAGGUCGUCCCCGGCCAGACUUUUUCUGGCGUUGCUUUCCUGAUGGUAAAGAUGUAUGUACCUUACUCUCCCCAAUUUUCUUCCUCUAGUGAGACAACGUUUAACCUUUUUCCCUCCAUCUCCUAGUGCAUUUCCGCUCGACUCAAUAUAAGUAUCUGUAUGUUUAUCUGAUAGUGAAAGCGCUUUUCUUGAUUAUAUUACUCUAAUACACUUACAAGCACGUUUGAUUGAUUUAUUUCGCACAAGGCAAAGUUUUACUUUUUUCCCUCCAUCACCUAGUGCAUUUCCGCUCGAUUCAAUAUAAGUAUCUGUAUGUUUAUCUGAUAGUGAAAGCGCUUUUCUUGAUUAUAUUACUCUAAUACACUUACAAGCACGUUUGACUGAUUUACUUCGCUGUUCCCUUUUCAGGAGUAUGAUCGGUGGGGAAACGUGAAAUGCCAUGGUAAAGAAAGUGAUAUUAAGGAAGGACAUAAGAGCUUCCCAAGUGGACAUACCUCAUGUAUGUAUCUCAAAUUUCUCCGAUUCCACUAUCCAACUUCAUUGAAUCAGGAUUUGCGAGAUUUUAAUUAGUUGAAACCUUUGACGAAGGUUGUUUUCAGACUUCAAACGGGAGUACUUCAUCCGAUAUGCAGUCUGAGUUAUCAUGAAAUCUUUCUUUCUUUAGUGUCCGAGUUGGAAAUCUUUUUGGUUAUUUCCAAGAAUUUUAGGAUUAAUUUUGUUGGAAUGAAAAUCAGUAUCUUCAGAGAGUUUAAUCCAACAAUAUUUGGCUUCUUCUUUGCAGGGUCAUUUGCUGGUCUCGGGUUUCUAUCGUUGUAUUUAGCAGGGAAGAUAAAAGCAUUUGAUCGCCGAGGGCAUGUGGCAAAACUAUGCAUAGUUCUUCUUCCUCUCCUAAUGGCAUCUCUUGUCGGUGUCUCACGUGUGGAUGACUACUGGCAUCACUGGCAAGAUGUGUUCACUGGCGGAAUGAUAGGUUCGUCUUGAAAUUCUACAUUUAGAAGUAAACGAGGCCUAUGUUUCAUUUGACAAAUACUUACUCCACAUUUUUCGCAUUUCAGGCCUUUUCGUUGCAACAUUCUGUUACCUGCAGUUCUUCCCAGCUCCAUACCAUACUGAAGGUAAUCUCCUCCCGCGCUGUGUAUUAACUCCUUGCGCUUCAGCAAACCUUCCUCCGAUCUUUUUGAUUUCGUUAGCUUCUUAGUACUUAAACAAUAGAAUUAUUUUCUCGUAUUCAGACUAAUACCAACCAACAAAACCACUCAUUACAUAUGAGAUCUUGUUAAUGUUGACUAAUCUGGCUUAUGUUUGCCAUGUAUUCCAUAUCGAGAGAGUUGAAAAAGCACUAUCUCGUUGAAAGGUUUUAUACAUUUGCCCUUUCUCAAUGUGUUUCUUAAACAAAGAAGGUCGGUCCGAUCAUCUUUGCAUAAUCCUGUUGUCAACAAAUGCUCUUGUUACACUCGUAGUCAGUUAGUGCCUCAGCCACUUACUUUCAUAAAAGAGCUGUUAAACAGAUCAAGAUUUCUAGGUUCCGCUACGGAGGGUGUAUGUGGGCAAGGGGGCGGGGAGGCUGGCUCCAUGAGCUGAACAAGUCAACAUUUCAUAUCUAUUGCACCUUCUUGAUGCCUUUUAUGAAAUCUACAAUAGACUCUUGUGGGACCGGCCCUUCCCAGACCCCGUGCAUAGCGAGAGCUUUAGUGCACCGGGAUACAUUUCAGGUUACUUCACUUUCGCUUUACUCUACUUAUUGUAUCAGCAGAAAUGCCACAGCGCAAUCGCGUUUUCUUCUAAUUUCCUACGAAUUUUCCUUUUGGUUUCUAAUCAUCUACGCGAAGGCAUUGCACAAAAUCUCCUUUACGCGACUUUACUGCUAUACAACAACAACAACAACAAACCCAUUGUAUUCCCACAAGGUGGGGUCUGGGGAGGGUAAGAUGUACGCAGUCCAUACUGCUACCUCCGAAGAAGUAGAGAGGCUGUUUCCGAUAGACCCCCGGCUCAAGAUAAAACGACUUUACUGCUAUAGUGGACAAAAUACUGAAACUAACCCGAUAUGUUCAUUUUUUUUUUUCGCGGUUCUCAGGAUGGGGACCAUAUGCAUAUUUCCGGGCAGUGGAGGAGGUUCGCAGUAGCAGACAAAUCGUCCACCCUACUAACGGAGGAUUAGAAUUAGAUCAACCCGAGGUACAACGGAAUCAGCAGUCUAGUACAGCUACCAAUCCUUUUGAGGAUGUCGAGUUUGGCAGAAUGUGAGACAUCAUAAGACACUGUAAACUUAUGUUUUAUCUUUGUUCAAAGUGUUAAAACUAGCUCAGUUUGUUAUUUUCUUGUGAAUAUUUUUAAGGUUGUUUUUGUUAUAUGUCAAGUAUUUUAGCUUAGGGACCUAUUUGAUUACUGAAAUUGUUUAAUCAGUUUAGUUUUUGUGUGUAAAUUGUUGCAUAAUUAGUUCAAUUGGCUGAUGAUUUUGUCUCUAACUUAUUUUCUUGUUGCUGUGUUUGUUCAGUCGAAGGGGAGCCUCGGAGUAACUGGUAAAGUUGCUUCCAUGUGACCAGGAGGUCACGGGUUCAAGCCUUGGAAACAGCCUUUGGCAGAAAUGCAAGGUAAGGCUGCGUACAAUACACCCUUAUGGUGGGGCCCUUCCUCGGAUACCGCGCAUAGCGGUAGCUUUAGUGCACUGGAUUGCCCUUUUUUUGUGUUUGUUCAGUCGAGGGUCUAUCAGAAACAGUCUCUCGACCUUCUCAAGAUAAUAGUAAGAUGUAUGUACACUCUACUCUCUCUAGAUCUCACGUAUUGGAUUUACAGAUUCGCAGGUGGCCUCGCAGGUGGCCUCAGGCCAUACUUAGUCGACUAACAAUGAUGACAAAGGCUUGCGAAACUAAGUAGGGUCUUUGAAUAACCGAUUCUCAUUAUCUUUAAUAAGUGAAGUAGGCAAACCUAUAGGUCGGUAAGGUGAAGGACAGGGGUGGGACCUCGAGUUUGGAUGUGAAAGGUAGUUCUUUCGGCCGCGACUCGAAGAUGGAUUACGCGGAAAGGAUGAAUAGGAUGAGUGAAAUGGUGGACAGGCAGUAUUGAAUCGCUAUCGAUACGAUGUGGGGCUAAUUUGUUGACCGUAACGAACUUGACUCUGCCCCCAAAAAGGGCGGGAAGACCUUUGACCUGGGUUGGGGAGGAAUUGGGGUUGCUUUUCUUUAGGACCUUAGUCCGUAACAAGGCUUGAAAACCUCCGGCUAGAUUUGAAAUGGAUCCGGUGGGGUAUCCGUUUACGACACGCACCUAUAAAAUUGCAUGUUUUCGACUUUACAAACUUUAAAUCCUAAUUCCACGUCUGUUUAUACCAAAAAAGGGAAAGGCAUGUUGUAGGCUAAAGAAAAGCAAGUGGCCAAAUACACUAAGAAUAAGCAAAGAAUAUAUGAAGAGGCCCAUGAAAAUGACAUAGGCUAACUUAGUUUUCUAGAGCUACUUAACUAGAUUUUUUUACUCUAUCAAUUUCUUAUUAUGUGAAAAUGUUUGACUGGACACGAAUACUCAACUAGGCAACGAUAGAUCGUUACUUGACUAGCUGAGAUUGUGAUAUUUUAAUCGACGUGUUUAAUUUCACCUGUGUGAGCUCGUUCACAUUAUCAAUUUUAAAUCUGAAUAAAGGAGGAAAGUUACUUGUAAAUCGCCUCUCUACCCUAUAAAGGUAGGAAUGAGACUCCACUAUACAUUUUACACUCCUCAAAUUCAAUUACGAGAAUAAGUUGUAUUUUGUUUUAGGGCUUGUAACUAGAGCGAAAUUUGGACGAGUUAAAAUUAAUUGAGUCUCUAAUAAAUAGGCGUGUUAAUAACCAAAAAUUACUUGAAUUGAAAUGAGUUAAAUAAUGGGUCAUACAUAGUUAAACUCAUUUCUUUUUUAUUUUGUUUCUUAUAAUUUGUUUUCAGUACUAAUAAAACUUUUGUACCUCUAUGACUAUACAUAACGUAUCAAAUACAAAAUGUUUGUCAAUAUUUUGAUAAAAAAAAAUUUGAGUCAAUUUAAAUUAUAUAUAAAUACAAUUUUUAGAUAAACUGAAUUAAGUGAGUUAAUAUGUGAUGAAUUAAUAAAUAAGUUAGUUAAUUACUCAUCCAUACUAGAGCUAUUUGGGCAAAUCAUGCUUUCACGGACUAACUUUACCAUCACUACGUCGAAAGUUUAUCGAAAACAACCUCUGAGAUAAGACUGUAUAAACAACGCUCUUACCAAACCUCGCUGUGGGAUUACGUUGGAUACGUUAUGAGGAAAAAAAAAGGCAAACAACAUGAAUCCCGACAGUUUGGAGCUUAAUGACAGAAAAUUCUAACAUUUUGCAUAAUUACUGAAAAUUGUAAUUUUGGGUCUAUCGAGAUACAUAAUUAGCUCCCGAUACAUUUUUCUCGAUUUUAAAUUUAUCGAGAUACAUAAUACAAACGAAGAUACAUUUUUUCCUUAUAAAGAUACAUAAUUAGCUCCAGAUUUAUUUUUUUUUAAUUUUGGAUAUGUUGAGAUAAAUAAUUAGCUUCCCGAUAUUCAACGAAGAUACAUAAUUAGUUGAGAUUCUUAUAAUUAAUUUAUAAAAUUAAAAAUUUAUCUAAAUAUAGUAAAUUAAGAUGUAUAUUUAUGUUAUUUAUCACCUUAUUGGAGACUAAAAUUAUAUUAGUAUUUAUGUUAUAAUUAUGUAUCUUUUUAGAAAAAAAUAUAUCAGGAGCUAAUUAUAUAUCUCGGUAGACUCAAAAUUGGGAUUUCAAUAAUUAUGUAAAAUUUCAAAAUUUUCUAUAAUUAAGCUGUAAACUGUUGGAAUUUAUAUUUUUUUUUCGCGGAUAAUAAAUAAUAUAAAUUGAUUUAAUUAUUGUCCCCUUUUUGGCUCUAUCUUAUUUAACGUUUUCGUAUUUUAAUAAAAAAUCUAAGUUCGAAACUUCAAAUUUCCAUUCUCACUUUUAUAUGCUUUUUUCUCUCCACUACUGCUACUCUCACUUUAUCUUCUCCAAUUAUUUGAAUUUCAAUUAACAAAAAACGCUCCCGAAAUCCUUCUCUCGAAGCGUUUUUCUCUCUCCAGAUAUUUUUUUUCAGGUGAAUUUUUUUCCCCGUUUUUUUGGUAGUUUUAUCAACGUACUUUUUUGCAGUAUCGUCAGUUUUCUCAGCGGCGAAGUUUUUCGGUUACUUUUUAUCUGUUCAUAAUUGUUGUUUAAUGGUUGCUGGUAGUGGAGGAAAAGUAACUUGUGAUUUUGCUGGUGUAUGUCAGUAUGUGUUUUGGUUUAGUUAGAAAUUGGAAUAGUGGGAGAGCUGUUUGAGUUACGUGGAAAUUUGAGUGUUUAUUGUUAGGAAAAUGAGGAUUUUUAAGUUGAAGUUGAAAUUGAAGUACGAAAGUAUGAAAAGAGUGAGUAAUUUGUGAAGACACUGUUAGCUGAAUUGAUAGUAUUUUUUGGAAUAAUAUAUCGGAGUAAUGUGGAAAUUUGAGUGUUUAUUGUUAGGAAAAUGAGGAUUUUGAAGUUGAAAUUGAAGUACGAAAGUAUGAAAUGAGUGAGUAAUUUGUGAAGACACUGUUAGCUGAAUUGAUAAUAUUUUUUGGAAUAAUAUACCGGAGUAAUGUGGAAAUUUGAGUGUUUAUUGUUAGGAAAAAUAGGAUUUUGAAGUUGAAAUUGAAGUACGAAAGUAUGAAAUGAGUGAGUAAUUUGUGAAGACACUGUUAGCUGAAUUGAUAGUAUUUUUUGGAAUAAUAUACCGGAGUAAUGUGGAAAUUUGAGUGUUUAUUGUUAGGAAAAUGAGGAUUUUGAAGUUGAAAUUGAAGUACUAAAGUAUGAAAUUAGUGAGUAAUUUGUGAAGACACUGUUAGCUGAAGUGAUAGUGUUUUUUGGAAUAAUAUACCGGAGUAAUGUGGAAAUUUGAGUGUUUGUUGUUAGGAAAAUGAGGAUUUUGAAGUAUUAAAGUAUGAAAUUAGUGAGUAAUUUGUGAAGACACUGUUUUGUUAUAGAUGAAAAACACUUUUAAAACCUAGCUGAAUCGAUAAAUUUUUAGUUUAGUUGGAAUAGUGCGAGAGUUGUUCGAGUUAUAUGGAAAUUUGAGUGUUUAUUGCGAGGAAAAUGAGGAUUUUGAAGUUGAAAUUGAAGUAUUAAAGUAUGAAAAUAGUGAGUAAUUUGUGAAGACAUUGUUUUUUAUAGAUGAAAAACAAUUUUAAAACCUAACUGAAUCGAUAAAUUUUUAGUUUAGUUGGAAAAGUGCGAGAGUUGUGCGAGUUAUGUGGAAAUUUGAGUGUUUAUUGUUAGGAAAAUGAGAAUUUUGAAGUUGAAAUCAAAUUCAUAAGUUUGUUAGGAUGCAACUGAUCUAGUAAGUAUCUUCUGAAUUUUUAGAUGAAUCGAUUCUUUUUAGGUUCAUAGCAGCUCUAUUAUUAGAUUUAAAGAUCUUGUGCAACCUCUUAGCCCCUUUUUGAUCUGUGUCUUCCCAUCCAUGUCUAAGUGCAGCAGAGAAUAUAUUGACUGGCAUUGACUAUAAAGAGAACAUGAUUAAUCUUAUCAUGUCUCUCUCUAUAUAUAUGGUACAAAAGUCAAUCUUUGUUUGGUUACUCCUAUAUCAAUGUCAUACAAGUUUUACCGACUGUACUUACAAAAAAAUCUUACUGAUUGAUAUUUUGGUUGUGUUAGUUGGUAAAAUGCCAGAGAUUCAAUUGGGUGCGCAUACAUUCAGAAACCAGGGAGUGGAAGUAGCAAAGUUUCACAUGCACGACUGGUUUAUUCUCUUCCUACUUGUGGUGAUUGAUAUAGUUUUAAAUGUGAUAGAACCAUUUCACCGUUUUGUUGGAUCUGACAUGAUGACAGAUUUGAAAUACCCUUUGAAAGACAAUACUAUUCCCUUUUGGGCUGUUCCGGUAAGUGCAACCAUCAAGUCUAAUUGUGUUAAGGCAAUACAUAGUUAUACAAGAGUAGUGUGUGUUUUUUGUACAUCUGUCGUGUGCUUUUUAUAACCCAUAUACCUUUCCAUGUAAACAGAUUGUUGCUAUAAUCUUACCUUUACUGGUCAUACUUGUCUUUUACUUCAUCAGAAAGGAUGUUUACGAUGUGCAUCAAGCUAUAUUAGGUAUUCUUUGUCCCUUAUGUGACUAUUAGUCUUUACCUGGUGGCAAGUUAUGUUGGCAAAUAUAUAACAUUGGAUCAGAUUGAUUACUUCGUGUGCUUUGUUCAGGAUUGCUGUACUCUGUACUCAUCACCUCAGUUCUUACUGAUGCAAUAAAAGAUGCCGUUGGUCGACCCCGUCCAGACUUCUUCUGGCGGUGUUUCCCUAAUGGAAAAGCGGUAUUCUUACUCAUUUGGAAUCUCCCUUUAUGUAUCAGAAACUGAUAUAACAUCAUUUUGCAACUUUCAAUUAUAAUUUUCUGUGUUUAGGUGUUUGAUACAAUCACAGGCGAUGUCAAUUGUAGUGGCUUGAAAAAUGUUAUCAAAGAAGGACAUAAGAGUUUCCCAAGUGGACAUAGUUCUUGUGAGUAUAACUGUUCCCUAUCAAUUGCAUUGUUGGCAUCAGAAAAUUGUGAUUAUUUUCCUUUUGGUGCUCCACCCUUCAACAAAAUGAGCACUUGUCCUUCACUUCUGUUCUUUCUUUCAAUGAAACUUUCUGAGUGAUGUGAACUGUUUUAUUUUCCUUUUCAUCGAUAUACUUAUGUUCUCCCAUUCAGCAUAGGAUUUCACUGCAAGAUUUUAGAUUGUGUUUACUUAUAAGAAGUGCAAUUGAUCUUCAAAUAAUAUAUGUAAAACAGGAAGAAUGAAACAUCUGUGCUUUGUUGUCCGGUACAAUUCAGUCAAGUGGCUGCCGAAUUUGUGCAACAGUUUCUUAAAAUGCCCAAUAUAGAUUUUUGUAUAUCACUAUGCUGUCACUCUUUUCCUAUAAUUUUUUAAUAGUAAAGUUUUCACCUCAAAUAGUUCAGUCAUAUUAAAUAGCUGGUUCAUAGGUGACGUUGACUUAUGUUUGAAUGAUCUACUUAAGUAGACAUCUGGCUCAUAACUCGGAAUUCCUGCACGUGCAAUAUGAGAUAUUAUGUUCCUCUAUGUCUCUGUAAGGAUGUUUGGCUGUUUUAUCAAAGAUCUUGGCUUGCUUUGAGUAAAUUUUGAGUUCUUAAAGAAAACUGAAGCUUGUUGCCAUUUGUUGGCAUCAUGUGAAAGGGUCUUUCGCUGGUCUUGGUUUCCUCACUUGGUACCUGUCUGGGAAAAUCAAGGCAUUUGAUCGAAGAGGCCAUGUUUAUAAGCUCUGUCUUGUUCUCCUGCCCUUACUAGUUGCAGCACUAGUUGCAGUUUCCCGAGUUGAUGACUACUGGCACCAUUGGCAGGAUGUAUUUGCUGGAGGUCUCCUAGGUCUGUAGAUUAUGGAUGAACAUGUACUUUCCUGGUUUUCCUGUUUCUUAUUGUGUUUGUAUAGAACUUAUUGUUAUUUUCUUUGUGCCAUUUAUGCAGGAUUGAUUGUGGCUUCAGUUUGUUACUUACAAUUCUUCCCCCCGCCAUAUGAUAUAGAUGGUACUUGCUCACUUUCUUCAGCAUCUUUUUACACAGUAAUCCUACUUUGAAUCAGCAAAAACAAAGAAUUAGCCAGUUUACUAGUUAAAAUCCUUAACAGUAGGGCAUUGUGAUUUUUGUUAAGUAAAUAGUAAAUCAUUUUGACUGCCACAUAUGUAGUGAGUUUGCAUCUGUCUAUCUGAUGGAUGUAAUGAGUUUGUUUCUGUCUAUCUGAUGACUGAAAGAUAAUAUGAAAGCUAUGUAAAUGAGUUCCUCAACUUCUCACUUGUAAAAACGCGUAAUACGUAAUUGAAGUUUUCUGGAGGAUAUCAGAUAACUUCAAAUUCUACCGUUGCGGAAUUUUUAAGCUUACUUUCUACUAUUAGAAUGCCUCUCCAUCCUCAAGGUUGGGUGCACGGGUGCUUCCCUUUUCGCCAACUAUUCCAAGUGGGUAGGCUAGAGAUAGGCAAUGGCCCGACACGUGAGGGAGCACAACCUUUGUUGUUUGUCUUUUCCUGUCUGUUGGCUGUUUUUCGUGCCCUAAUGCUGUAAGUUUCGAGUCCUUUUCUAGCUGAAGAAGGAGAAAGAAACAAAGGAAAAAGUUAAUUGGCGAAUAUUGCUUAGUCAUUGCACAUUUACUGUUGUUGCGUCUAUUAUUUGGGGGGUAGAGGGAAACAGCUAGAGAUGUGCAAUGGCGAACACAUGGCAGAGUGCCUUUGAGAAAGUUCUUGUUUUCCCUUCUGUUGUUUUAUCUUACACCAGCAUCUAAUAGAGGAAAGCCCCCCCACCCCCAGUGCUAGCUAAUUUUAGGCUUUCCGAAUGUUGUUAAAUGCUGCCUUUCCCAGAUGAAGGAUAUAAGUAGAUGAAAAAGUUAGGCCAGUAUUACUUAGCCUAUUGCUGAAUUUUCAUGUUGGUUUAUGCAAACCACGAAGGUUUCAUAAUGCCCCGUCUUAUGUCCUUCAUUCAUAGAUUAGCAAUGUCUCUUGCAUUUUCUAUAUAAUGCCCCGUCUUAUUGCUGUUAUCUCCCUAACUGAAGAGAUUCACAUUUUCACUUCUAUUAGAAAGUUGUUUAUAAUUGAUCUGAAGACUCGAAAGGAGAAAUUGACGUGACAUGUAUUUUUAGUUGAUGGAACUCCUUAUGGGAAUUUUGAUACACUGCCUAUUCCAUGUCCAGGUAGGAUGCCUCAUGUACAUUUACAAAGGCUGGCAGAACAGCGAACUGGUACACAGUCUAUGUCGAAUAAUCCAGGUCAUCUUACUAUAAGGCAACCCGAAAUUGACAAUAUGUAUGCUCAACCUCAACAUGGCGUUGGUGUAUCAGAACACAGUGCACAUGAGACCCGACCAAUCUUUGAUGAAGACGUUGAAAAUGGCAGAUGGAGGCGUUGAAUUGACUUCAUGUUUCGUGCAUUAACUGUAUAGAUCAGAAUAGGUAUUCUGCAACUCAGUUAGUCUCAUCGAUCAAGUAAGUUUUUUGCAGGGGUUGCUUGUUUUUCUACUUCUGUGAAUUUCUACCCUCGUAAUUUUACAUUUGUUUCUUAGAUUCGACUUCAAGAACUCCACGUGCUAACUGGUUACUACCUAGUUCUCAAGUAAUUUCCGUGAUUUCGUUCAUUUUUAGACGAGAUAAAAUGUGGUGUAUAGACAUGAAAUCUCAAAGCCUUAUGGCCUAUGUUUAGGACUUGCGAGUAUUGUUGAUAGUUCAUGAGUUCACCUUUUACUCUUUUAAGUGUGGAAUAUUUUUAAUGUAUGCAAAUGUAUGUGUGUCAUUAUCUAUAGUUUAGUAACCCAGUUUGGUUGACUACUUGAACUUUCACCUUAUUGGUACGGAUUGGACUCCACCGUGUAAUCCCCUUCCCAAUUUCCCCUACCCUAUCCCCCCUAUUGUAUUACUUACUAGAACCUCAACUCUCAAUUGUAGUUUCCACACCCCCACCCCACCCCACUGCACUCCGCCCCUCGUAAUGUAAAACUCGAUAGGGGAGUCUUGGAGCAGCAGUAAAGUUGUUUUUGUGUGAUUUAUAGGUAAUGUGUUUGACCCUUAGAAUCAGCCGUUGAUGCUUGCGUCAGGGUAGGUUUCCCCCUCAGUUGUAACGUAAAACUCGACAAGGAGUCUGGGAGCAACGGUUAAGUUGUUCUUGUGUGAUUUAUAGAUUAACGGGUUUGACCCAUGGAAUCAACUACUGAUGCUUGUGUCUGGAUUUGCUAUCUACAACAUACUCUUUUAAGAUGUUAUCAAAAUGUUUUAUUUUUAAUUGUAAUGUAAUAUAAUACUCACCUUUCGCACAUAAAGUGAUAAGAGACGGCAAUCUUUGGCAACUAGUGGCAGUAAGUAUAAUUGGACCUUUUCAAUUGGUUUAACAACAGACGGCCUUAUAAUUACUAAAUGAUUAAUCAUUGUGGUCUUGUUUAUUUGAAAAAAUAACAUAAUCAUACACCUUUAAACUUAUCGUAUUUACACAAACUCUCGCCUUUAACUUAUCGUAUUUACACAAACUCUCGCCCUUAUAAAGUAAUUAUAAAAAUUUCAACUAAUAUGUAUGUUCGUUGGAUGUAUCAGGAGCUAAUUAUAUAUUUCGGUAGACCCAAAAUUGAAAAAAAUGUAUUGGGAGCUAAUUAUGUAUCUCGAUAAAUCCAAAAUCGAAAAAAAUAUAUUGGGAGUUAAUUUUGUAUCUUUAUAAAGAAAAAAAUGUACGUUCGUUGGAUGUAUUAUGUAUCUCGACUGACCCAAAAUCGAAAAGAAUGUAGCGGGAGCUGAUUAUGUAUGUCUACAAAGGAAAGAAUGUAUCUUCGUUGGAUGUAUUGGGAGCUAAUUAUGUAUCUCGAGAGACCCAAUAUCGAGAUUUUCAGUAAUUAUGUAAAAUAUCAAAAUUUUCUGUAAUUAAGCUUCAAACUGUUGGAAUUUAUGUUGUUUUUCCUUCAUUUUUACAACAUUAACUAACCAAAUAGUCACUUGUGGGGUACUAUUUUUGUUUUUGUAACUGCUCAAAUUAAAUCAGAUUCGCGUUUAAAGUGGUUCAGUGAAGUUGGGACGAGCACCAUGAGGUCUUAGGUUCAAUUCCCAGUAGAGACAAAUACUAGGUGUUUUCUUUCCAUUUGUUCUAGCCUUGGUGGACAGAGUUACCUAGUAUCUCGUGGAUUUAGUCGAGGUGCGCGCAGACUGGCCCAAACACCACGGUUAUAAAAAAAAUAAAAAGGCUCACUAGGGGUGUAAACCACUCGUUAACGAAGUGUUCUUUGUUUUUAAAGCUCGAUUAGACCUCUGAUUAAAAAAGAAAGAUGUUAAUCUAACAAACUUUUACUUGUUUGAAAUAGUCAAAUAUGAAUAUGUUAUUAUCAUCUAAAUAUGAUCUUUUCAAAUAGGAUCCACAUUUAUAGUAAGUUGUAUGUUCCUAUUUCUAUUAUAAUGAAGUAUAAUGCAUCAUUUAUAAACUUUUAUAGUGUUUGAACUAUAAAUCCAUUUGUCAUUUUGUUAAUGUUUGUACCUUAAAAACAUAAUUAAAUGAACUUCAUCAUUGUACUUAUCCUAUUAACUCUAACCUUAACAUGCAAUUCUUACUCUAUAUAAAGUGUCCCUUCUCACACCUAGAGAAUCCACACAAAAUCUUUCUAACACUUUUUAAUUGGUAUAUACUAUAUUCUAUAGUUCCGCUUGACUCGCUCUUAAAAAAAAUAUUUUUUUCUUUUAUAUAUGAGUAAUCUCGUUCAUCAAGUUCUUGUUUGAUCUGUCAUUGUUGACGAAAUCGCAUCAAUGGGAAUUUUCGAUUUUUCAUAUUUGGAUAACCUAAAGAAAUUCUGGGCGAGGCGAAAGUACGAAAGAUUAGGAGAUGCAAAAGGGGGUAACAACAAGAGGAAGAUGAGAGUUAUUAGGCUUGGAAACAAGAAAAGGAUUAUUUGUUUGAAGAUGAAACAAGCACACAUUAAGCUUCAUUGGAAGCUAUUUUCACCAUUGAAACUAAUGACAAAGUUUCACAAUGCUUAUGUAAAUAAAAUGAUGAGUUUAGAAGGGAGAAAGAAAAUUGAUACUAUUUGUGGAUGGAAAAAAAUUGAAAUUGGGAAACCAAUUCCAAUGAUGGAUUCUUCAACCAAUGAUGUGGUUGAUUUUAGGAUGGUUUUGGAAAUUUAUAAAAAUAUAUUGUAUUCUAGGGAACUUAACCAACUAGCACACCCGUUAUGAUUCUGUUCUUUCUCGAAUUCUGCAUGAAUACAGAAUGCUUUGCGCAUCAGUUUAUUUUUUUUUAGGUCAUUGGUAAAUUCUUUUCCGAACUCUGUAUAAAUGCAGAAUGCUCAUUUAGGGAAAAAAUCCAACAAAAAGAAUUUUUAUUUUGGUGUUGAAAUUGUGAAAAUAGAAAAACAAAAAACAAUAUGAUGAGAAAAGUUAAAACCAAAAAUACUAGUGCUUCAUUAUAUGACUUUGCUCCAUUCUUUAUUUCGUGUCUAUUUUGAUUUAUUAUUAUUUCAUUUUGCUGUCCGUAAAAAUAAUGAUUGGAUAAUAGUGGCAAAUGCCAAUCAUUUCAGACCUACUUCCUCCAUGUGCUUUUACUCAUCACUAAUUUUUUAAUUAAGUUUCUACUUUUACUUAUCAUUUUGACAUAUUAAGAAACAACUUUUACUGAUAGCAUUAAUUGUCUUUUCUCCAAGUCAAUUUCAAGAUAAAUUAUAAACAUCAUUUUAUGAAAUUGUAAAUGUGCGACUUCUAGUCGUUUUUUUCUUUUUUGGAUAAUUGCAAGCCCAGUGAGAAUCGAACCUGCGAAGUCAGACUGAUGCUUGCGGCCCAAGUAGCACAACUCAGUACCACUGGACUGUCUCAUUUAUUUAGUUUAGGUGGUUCAAAAUUAAUAUACGUAUAGAAAUAUAGAUUUUUUACUUUAUAUAUAGAACAUAAUUUUUCACCGAAAAAGUUCGAAUGAGCAUACUGACACCCGGUCCGACCCUGAAUUCAGACAUACAACAUACUUUAAAUAAAAAUCAUACAAUAUUUCUUUUUUGUUUUUUCAUUCAGUAUUCGAUACCUGCAUUCGAAUUCGCGUCUGGUAGAAUCCCAUUCGGGGGUAGCACUCAUAACAAAGUUUUUUUUUUUUUUUUUUUAUGUUCAGAGUCGAAUCUUCGAUGUCUGAUUAAAGAUGGAGGAGAACACUAAUACAGUAUUUGAUAGUAACUUUUUGCCCCCUUCCUUUAAUGAGAAGCAAACUCUCUACAAUUUAACUUUUUGUCCUCUUUCUUUAAUGAGAAGCAAACUCUUUUCCUUUUGAGUAUUUAGAGUGAAUAUUAAAUGAAAGCUUAAAACAUACAGCGCUUUUUAGCAUGGAUCAAUUUUUACUUAUCAUCUUCUUCUUCUUCUUCUUAUUGUCAUCCAAAUCACAUUGCAGAGAGCUCCGUCCAUCGGAGCACGGGUUACCAUACCAACAGUCGUUAAAUCCGACUCCAAAAUCACAGUUGCAUUCAUUCUUCUCCGGCACCGGAGAGAAGACGGUGCCGGAGGGAAGAAAUAUCACGUGGUGGAAUAAUAAUUCGGGAGGUGAAAUAUCACGUGAUAGCAACCGGAAAGAUCACGUGAGACAAGUGCUGUUGAUUUCCAGCUUGAUUUGUGGAGCAACCGGCGUCGUUUUGCUCCUCGCUUCCGCCAUUGUUUACGUCGUUAGGCACCGAAAGCAAAGGCAAACACAAACGUCAUUGUCAACGGUAGGGUCCACAUCAGUACCUAACGUCCUCAAUAAAAUGACCAGAUCAACUCAAGCAGAUAUGUCAUAAAUAUGCCUAUUUUAUUUUUUUAAUAUGUAAAAGACAUAUAACUCACUCUUCUAUGUCAACAAUAUAUUCAGUGUAUUUUCACAUAAUGAAGUCUGGAGAGGAUAAUGUGUACGUAAAUCAUACCAAGGUAUAAUAUGCUUGUAAUACACUAAAACAAUAAGAUUUUACUCACUUUUGAUUUGCGUUUAUGUAUGUAUGUAUAGCGGAACCUUUAAUGAGGCGUCAGCAAAACACUCCCGUGCCGUCUGUUCCAAAAACAAAAGCCCCUUAGCGCCCCGGGACGGGAGUGGGGGACGGCCCUACGCGUAGGCAACAACAACACCGGCUCUACGAAGUCAGAAUCUAAUCUUUCUGUUGGCUUUCCCAAUUCAUUUGUGAAUAAUAAUUCAAGGGCGUGAAAGCGAGUACUUCUAGCUGCUUCGCCUGCUUCUUAUUAUGGCAGCUAUGUUUUCGUGGCGAAAAUGAACAAAAAGCGAGAUUGAGCAUGCUAUUUUCAAAUCGAUUGAUAGAUAGCCUAAUCUGAUCUGAUAGAUCGAAAGAGAUAGAGAGGGAAUCUCUCAAGAAUAAGGGGAAAUCUCCUAUUUCUAUCUAUUGAUGAGACAGCUAUCUAUUCUUGAUCCAUCAAUCUUUGAAACAUUUGAUCAAGAGAGAUUUCAGAACUAAAACAUUAGCAAGAAUGGUGCAAAAUAUUGACUACUAAUUAAACAGCAACUUUAACAUUUUACAAAGUAUGUUGAUCUUUAAUAGCACAGCAUUUAUGGUAUAUAUCAAGAACUUGGCUUAAAGACAUUAUCUAUCUGAAACUAGUGAUAAUUAUAUGCAGCAUAUCUAACAGAAAUGCGAACCUACUCACUAAGUAAAUCGUCUCAAAUACGAGACCAAUCAUCUUUGCUAUGCUGAGAUGUUCCUCCUGAUAGAAUCUGAUGUUCUUGGUCUUGGAGAAUUUGCGACCAGCCUUUUCUCUUGCGCGCUCUUUGGAGCUACUGUUCGAUUUGAUUGGGUUUGCUUGGAUGUUUUGCUUGUUGGAGCUGAAGACGGCACGCUACUGAAGUAUGAACGGUUGCUUCUGAAACCAGUGGGUGAAUCGGCCACAUUUAGACGUUCAUUAGUGGAACAUCUGUUAUAAACUUCUGCCCUUGAACAACGAACAGUGUUCUCUGUUGCACUAGUAGCUCUAGCCCCUGCAGUCGAAGGCCUGCUUUGUGAUUUACUGGAUUUAGUUUUACUUUCCAACUAAGUAAUAAGUAAUCAAAGAGCAAGUUAUAUUACUUGGUCGUCGGAGCGAGAGGGAAAAACAAUCACUUUAGAGGAGGAUAAGGAUGAAGACUAAGAGUCUUUAAGUGAAUGGCCCGACAGAUAAUUAGUUACACGUUUUUUUUUUUUUUCCUGUUGCAGUAGGAUCACAAGAUUUAUGUAAUUGGAUAGCUAAAGAUGGAAGAUUAUUCUGCUUCAAAAUAAAGGUUUCGUGGCACAAAUGCCUCAGUUUAUGGGAAUCAAAAGCUGAAGAUCACCGGAAAAUUGAAGCAUUUCUGAAUAACCAUGGGUCAUAUGCUCCAAAGAGAUACAACUAUUCAGAGAUCAAAAGGAUCACCAGUCGCUUCAAAAACAAACUAGGUCAAGGAGGAUUUGGUAUUGUAUACCGAGGAAGUUUGGCUAACACUGAAUGGACUAAAAGGAAAUGGUGAAGAAUUCAUUAACGAGGUGGCAAGUAUUAGCAAGACAUCACAUGUUAACAUUGUGAGCCUUGUGGGAUUUUGUUUCGAGGGAUGCAAAAGAGCUCUCGUAUAUGAAUUCAUGCCGAAUGGAUCACUUGAAAAGUUUAUCUAUGAAGAAAGAUGCGAAAAUGUUCGCCAAUUGGGUUGGCCAAUAUUGUACAAAAUUGCACUAGGCAUAGCUCGAGGAUUGGAGUACUUGCAUCGUGGUUGUACCACUCGGAUUUUGCAUUUUGAUAUAAAACCUCAUAAUAUCCUGCUUGAUGAAGAUUUUUUUCCUAAGAUCUCCGACUUUGGUCUUGCCAAACUGUGCGUGAAAAAGGAGAGCAUUGUGUCAAUGUUAGGUGCACGAGGAACCAUCGGUUAUAUCGCUCCUGAAAUUGUUUGCAGAAAUUUAGGAGGUGUCUCUCACAAGUCUGAUGUCUAUAGCUAUGGAAUGAUGGUCCUAGAGAUGGUUGGAGGAAGAAAAAACGUUGACGCUGGAGCUGAUCGCACGAGUGAGAUCUACUUUCCACAUUGGCUCUAUCAACGAAUUGAACA
rnacentral:lncRNA from 1 species